CAAAUCAAGAAAGUAAGAGAGAGGUUUGAUGAGAUUGCAAACAUGAUGCAUAAGUUUGAUCUCACUGCACGACUUGAUGAUCGUAGUUGGCGAAUUGUGCAUGAAGAGAGGGAAUCUACUCACUCGUUUGUGCGUCCAUCAGAUAUUAUUGGAAGAGAUAAAGAUAAAGAAAAAAUUAUUGAAGCUCUGAUGCAAGCAAGUUCUGGCGAAAGUGAAACUGUGUCUGUUAUUCCUAUUGUGGGAAUUGGAAGUCUGGGCAAAACUGCUCUUGCACAGUUGGUGUUCAAUGACCAAAGGGUAGAAGAGCAUUUUGAGUUGAAAAUCUGGAUAUGUGUUUCUGAGGAUUUUGGUGAGAGACAAAUUAUGACAAAGAUUAUCAAGUCGAUAACUGGUCAAAACCAAGGUGACUUGGAUAUAGAGCAAUUGCAACGAAUCUUGCGAGUUUGUUUGACUGGUAAGAGAUAUUUACUUGUUAUGGAUGAUGUAUGGAACGAAGAUCCCAAAGUAUGGGAUAAAUUGAAAAACUUAUUGUCGGGGGGUGCUAAGGGAAGCAAAAUUCUGGUAACCACACGUAGCAAUAAGGUUGCUUCAAUCAUGGGCACGAGGGGAGGUACUACUGGCUACAACUUACAAGGUCUACCGUUCGAGGAUUGCUUGUCUUUGUUUAUGAAAUGUGCAUUUAAAGAAGAGCGAGAUAAACAUUCAAACCUUGUAAAAAUCGGGGAAGAAAUUGUGAAAAAAUGUGGAGGAAUUCCGCUGGCAUUCAGAACACUAGGAAGUCUAUUAUAUUGCUCAACGGAUGAACAUGAUUGGGAAUAUGUGAGGGAUAAUGAGAUAUGGAAGUUAGAGCAAAAGGCAAAUGACAUUUUACCUGUUCUGAGGUUCAGUUAUGAUCAACUACCGCCUCGCCUGCAACAAUGUGUUGCUUAUUGUUGUAUCUUUCCAAAGGAUUAUUAAUUUUCAAGUGUUUAUUUAGUUCAAUUUUGGAUGGCUCAAGGACUUCUCCAUCCACUUAAUGAAAAUGAUGAACUAGAUGACAUUGGCAUGCGGUCCUUGAAGCAACUAUGUUCAAGAUCUUUCUUCCACGAUUUGGUAUGAGGAUUUGAGAUGUUCACUUUCAAAAUGCACGACCUCAUCCAUGAUCUUGCACAGCUAAUGGCCAAAGGUGAAUUCCUAGUAGUGAACUCUGACUGUCAAUCUAUUCCCAAAAGAGUCCGCCAUUUGUCAUUUGUGGGUGCUAAUGCAUCAAGAAAAGAUUUUUCAAGCUUUUUAUCUGAUUUAGGUCGUGUGAGAACCAUUUUCUUUUCAAUUAAUGAUGAGAAGGUAAGCCAAUCAUUUGUUAGAUCAUGCAUCUCAAAGUCACAGUUCCUGAGAGUGCUAAAUUUAAGUGGCUCUGCUAUUGAGGCUUUGCCAAAAGAGAUAGGUAAUUUGAAGCAUAUGAGAUAUCUGGACCUAUCAAGAAAUUAUAAAAUCAAGAAACUUCCAAAUGCCAUUUGCAAGCUGCAAAGUUUACAAACACUGAAUCUUGAAGAAUGUCUGGAGCUAGAAGAGUUGCCUAAAGACAUAAGGUACCUUGUUAGUCUCAGAGUGUUUGAGGUAACCACAAAGCAGAAGUCUUUGCAGGACAGUGGAAUAGGGUGCUUGGUUUCUCUUCGUUGUUUGAUAAUAUCUCAUUGCAGGAAUUUGGAAUAUUUGUUCGACGAUAUAGAUCAACUAAGGGUCCUUCGAUCAUUAUUAAUUGCUGGUUGUCCCGUCUAAUCUCAUUGCCACCUGCUAUGAAAUACCUCAGCUCAUUGGAGACUCUAAUGUUUGGUGUGUGUGAAAGCCUUAGUCUUAAUUUGAGCAUGCAAUUGGAAGGGGAAGGAAGUCAUCAAGCUCGCAAUACCACAAGGCCUCACCUUCGGAAACUUCUCAUUGCCGGAGUAACACCGUUAUUGGAAUUGCCACAAUGGCUUCUUCAAGGUUCUACUGGAACUUUACAACACCUAUUUAUUGCAAAUUGUCCCAACUUCAUGGCACUACCAGAGUCACUGAGAAAUUUCGAAGCACUUGAGGGUCUUGUCAUCGGGAAUUGUCCAAAAUUGUCAUCGUUGCCGGAGGAUAUGCUUCACCUGAAAACAUUGAGGAUUAGAGGCUGUCCUGCACUGAGUGAUAGAUGCAAACCGCUAACAGGUGAAGAUUGGCACAAGAUUGCCCAUGUCGCUCACAUUAAGCUUGAUGACGAGAUAAUUAAAUCAAGUGAUAUUUAGGUAUGGAUUAAUCUCUCCUUUUUUUUUCCUCUUUUCAUUCAAGUUUUUACUUUUGAAUUUCUCAUCUAGCUAUACCGUUUAUCGUUUAAUGUUUUGUUCUGUUUACCGAACAGAAACUUGUUGAAUGUUUAGUUAGUUAGUUCAAAUUUGUACUAAUUUCUUUUCUUCUAACAAAUGAUUAGUUUGUUAAUACAAACUCAAGCAUAUUGUUUGGAAACCGAACCAUUCUUGGGGUUAUUUAUAUCUGUUUCUAUAUCCAAACGGUUCAGGAAUUUUCAGAACGGAAGUUAUAAUGGGAUUUUCUUAAUUAGCCAGUUAUCUUCGUAUGGAACCUUAUUUACAUAAAAGAUUAGCUUUUGAAAUUUCAAUUUUUCUUAAUAUUUUAAUUCGUGUCGAAACAUCUAACAAUUCAUCCUUUCUUUUCUUUUUCCCCAAAUAUUGCAGCUUUCUUCGGAGAGGUUCAACCGAGUUGCAGAGACAGUGAAAUCAUUUCUGUAAUGUUGUUCAGAAUAGAGAUCAACGAUUUCAAUGUUAUGUUUAAAAUUACAAGUAUCAUAUAUUCCUUACCGGACAAUUUAUCCUCUAUUUUCUCUUCUUUUCUUUUCUUUUCCCCCAAAUAUUGCAGCUUUCUUCGGAGAGGUUCAGCGAAGCUAUAGAGACAAUGAAAUUAUUACUGUAAUGUUGUUCGGAACAGAGGUUCAACGGUUUUAAUGUUGUGUUUAAAAUUGCAAGUAUUAUAUAUUCAUUACUUAUGACAAGUACAUCGAGUGAUGUAUAUAUGUUGGAGAAUUAACAAAAUAAAACACACAAAAAACACUAUUUUAUUUCUUCAACAACACUCCUCACCAAUUACAACUCUUAUUUUUCACUCUCUACACCUUAGAGAUUUUGCUACUUCACUUGAUGAUUAAACCAAAGGGGAGAGGGGGUAUUUAUACAUGAAACAAACUAAUCACAACCAUUCAUUUAUUCAAUUAAUACACAAAUCCUCACCAUCCAUUAAAACCUACCACUCACCUACUUCACCAACCACACCUAACACACCUAACACAAAUAAUUCAAAGCUCACCAACCAUACCUACUCAUGGAACCUUCCAUGAGUUGGGCUUGAUUUACUCAUCUUGGAUCAAGUUUAUGAUCCAACACCUCCCCUUAAACUUGAUCCUGUGACACCAAACAAACUUCUGAAUCUUGCAAAGUCUUCUUGCUUGAGUGGUUUAGUGAAGAUAUCAGCUGCUUGAUCUUGUGAUUUUACAUACUUGACUUGCACUUCUUUUCUUGCAAUACACUCUCUUAUGAAAUGAUAGCGAGUGUCUAUGUGUUUACUUCGAUCAUGAAAGACUGGAUUCUUGGAUAGGGCAAUUGCUGAUUUGUUAUCAACACAAAUCUCGGUUGGCUCUUCUUGUGCCAAACUCAACUCCUUCAGCAAAUUUCUGAGCCAAAUUGCAUGACAAACACUUGAUGUGGCAGCUACAUAUUCAGCUUCACAGGUGGAUAGAGUGACAAUUGGUUGCUUCUUUGACAUCCAUGUGAAAGUAGUAUCUCCCAUGAAGAACACAAAUCUUGUUGUGCUCUUUCGAUCAUCUACAUCUCCACCCCAAUCGCUAUCGCUAUAUCCAAUAAGCUUGUAGUCAUUAGAAAAUGAGUAUAACAAGCCGAAAUUAAUUGUACCUUUGAUAUAGCGAAGGAUUCUUUUUGCAGCUUUAAAAUGAGUGGUCUUUGGAUUCUCCAUGUAUCGGCUCACAAGUCCAACAGCAUAAAGAAUAUCUGGUCUUGUGCAUGUCAAAUAACGUAGGCUUCCAACCAAACUUUUAAAGAAUGUUGGAUCUAUAUCUUCGCCUUCAUCAUAUUUGGAUAACUUGACUCCGCAUUCCACUGGCGUGCUUAUAGGCUUGCAAUCAUUCAUCUUGAACCUUUUGAGAAUCUCCUUUGCAUAACUUUCUUGGGAGAUAAAUAUGUCUUCUUCCUUUUGCUUGACUUCAAUGCCGAGGUAAUAUGUCAUCAGUCCGAUGUCAGUCAUCUCGAACUCUUUGAUCAUCACUCUUUUGAACUCUUCAAACAAGUUUGGAUUACUUCCAGUGAAGAUGAGAUCAUCCACAUACAGGCACACAAUCAAAAUAUCUCCAUCUUUUUCUUUGACGUAGAGAGCAUGUUCAUAUGGGCAUUUGGUGAAGCCUUUCUCUUGAAAAUACUUGUCAAUUCUGCUAUUCCAUGCCCUUGGUGCUUGCUUUAACCCGUAAAGAGCUUUCUUCAAUCUCAAAACUUUGUCUUCAUGUCCUUUCACCAUAUAGCCUAAUGGUUGUUCGAUGUAAACUUCUUCUUCAAGGAAUCCAUUCAAGAAAGCAGACUUCACAUCCAUUUGAAAAAUCUUCCAUUUGUUCUGAGGAGCCAAAGAAAUAAUAAGUCUAAUAGUUUCAAGUCGAGCUACAGGAGCAAAUACCUCGUCAUAGUCUAUGCCAGCCUUUUGACUAUAGCCUUUUGCAACUAGCCUCGCCUUGUGCCUUUCAAUUUCUCCAUUCGCAUUUCUUUUUGUUUUAUACACCCAUUUGACAUCGAUCGCCUUAUGACCUUUUGGAAGAGUAGUAAGCUCCCAAGUAUCAUUCUUCACAAUGGCUUUGAUUUCUUCAUCCAUUGCAAUUCUCCACUUCUCAUCUAGUGCAGCUUCUUGGAAGUUGACUGGCUCACAAUCAGCAAAGAGGCAAAAGAGAGUGAGAUUAUCAUGUCUCUCAGUUACCUCAUAGAGAUCUUGAAGACUCCUUGUACGUUCUUCGGUUCUUUCAUUUAAGAAAGGCGGCGGGGAAUCUCCGCAUGUGGUUGGUACCGGUGAGAUAGGUGGAGUGGCAGGCUCUUGUUGUUCGUCUACUUGUUUUAUCUGUGUAUGAUCAUCUUCUUCAAUGGGAAAGAAGUUGAAGUCAUCCACACCAGAGCCAAAAUCCCAUUCUCCUUCUUCAUCAAAAACUACAUCUCGACUGAUCACGAUCUUCCCGUUGUUUGGAUUGUAAAGCUUGUAUCCUUUGGAGUUGUUGUCGUAGCCGAUGAAGAUGAACUUUUCACUUUUGUCAUCCAGCUUGGCUCUACUUUCAUCUUGUACAUGUACAUGGGCAAUGCUUCCGAAAACUCUUAGAUGGGUGAUGCCGGGUUUUCUUCCACUCCAAGCUUCUUGUGGCGUCUUGCCCCACACGCUUCUUGUUGGAGAUCGAUUGGAUAAGUAGACUGCACAUGCAACAGCUUCAGCCCAAAAUUCUUUAGGUAGCCUCUUACUCUUAAGCAUGCUUCUUGCCAUGUCGAGGAUGGUUCUGUUCUUCCUUUCUGCAACACCAUUUUGUUGAGGGGAUCUUGGAACUGUCAAAGGGCGUCGAAUUCCAUUUGCUUCACAAAACUCUAAAAAUUCUUUGGAAGUGAACUCUCCACCUCGAUCAGAUCUCAUGGCUUUAAUCUGGUAUCUACUUUCUUUUUCCACUGCAGCUUUAAACUUCUUGAAAGCUUUAAAAACUUCUGAUUUUUGCUUCAAAAAAUACACCCAAGUUUUUCUUGAAAAAUCAUCUAUGAAGAGAAGGAAGUAGUUACUUUUACCAAGGAAGUUUGGUUUGAAUGGACCGCACACAUGAGUAUGAAUGAGCUCGAGUGGCUUCUGAGCUCUUGAGUUUGACUCCUUUGGAAAGCUCUUUCUGAAUUGCUUGCCAAGUAAACAUCCUUCACAAAGUUGAUCAGGGUGAUUGAUGUAUGGUAAGCCUUUCACCAUGUUCUUCUUGAAUAGUAGCUCCAAUCCUCCAAAGUUGAGAUGCCCAUAUCGAAGAUGCCAAGUCCAGGAUUGAUCUUUGUGACAGGCUUUGAGACAUUUUGCAACAUCAUUUUGAAUAUUUAAUGGAAACAUUCUAUUCUUCGACAUUUUCACCUUUGUAAUUAGAUUUCCUUUGUCAUCUUUUAGGAAAAGACUAUAAUCUUUUAAGUGAAUAUCAUAGCCUUUUUCUAAAAGUUGACCCAAACUAAGAAUGUUGCUUUUCAUAUUGGGCACAUAGUAAACAUUCGAAAUUAUUUGGUGACUACCAUCUUUUGCACGAAAAAGAAUGUUACCUCUACCCUUCAUUGGUACUUUUGAAUCAUCUCCAAAAGCGACACUGCCAUUCAAAGAUUCACUUAGUUGCACGAACAUGUUUAUGUUUCCACUCAUAUGAUUGCUAGCACCUGUGUCAAGAUACCAUGUAUUUUCUUGACCUCCACUUGUGUCAUUGCGUGCUAGUAAAAGUGUGCCAUCUUCACUAUUUUUCUCUUCAGCAUAGUUCACUCUCUCUUCAAUUCUGGUGCUUGGAGCUCUGCAUUCUGAAGCAUAAUGCCCAAACUUUUGACAAUUAUAGCACUGUACUUGGGAUUUGUCAUACCUAGAUCUUGAAUUGCCUCUGCCUCGUCCUCUGGUUGAGCUUUCUCCUUUGGCAUAAUUGGAGUUGUUGUUGUUGAAAUUCCAACCUUGUCCAUGACCACGACCUCUACCUCGUCCAUGACCACGACCUCUACCUCAGACAUAGUGCCUUCUCUCAUUGUCGGAGCUUUCUUCUCUUUUCUUUGGAUUGACUUCCAUCUUGAGAAGUUGUUCUUCGAUUCCUUGCCUCUUUUUUUGUUUUUCUUCAUAGGCUUGCAACCUUCCUUGAAGUUGCUCGAUCGUCAUAUCCUCCAGAUCUCUUGUUUCUUCAAUUGUCACAACAAUAUGGUCAAACUUCGACUCUACUGAUCGAAGUAUCUUUUCAAUGAUCCUUACCUCUUUUAACUCCUCGCCAUUUCUUUUUAAUUCAUUGGAAACAGUCACAACCCGAGUAAAGUAGUCAGAAAUUGACUCUGACGCCUUCAUAUGUAAGGACUCAAAUUCUCCUCGUAAUGUUUGGAGACGAACCUUCUUAACUUGUUCCGCUCCUUUGUAAGAGGUCUCUAGUUUCUCCCAUGCUUCUUUUGAGGAGGUUGUACCAGCAAUUUUUUCAAAAGCAUCUUCAUCUAAUGAUUGAAAGAUGAGAUACUUUGCUUUAUUCUCUUUCUUCUUCAAGUCUUUUAAAUUCUCCUUCUGCGCCGCAGUUAAAGUGGCUUCAUUUUCUGGCACAAUAAAGCCUUUUUCCACGACAUCCCAUACGUCAUGUGCGCCCAAUAGAGCCUUCAUUUUAAUACUCCAAUUGUCAAACUUACUUCCCUUUAAUUGUGGAACUUGAAAUGACAUCAUACCACCGUUUGCCAUAACUCACAAAUUGAGUGAGAAUUUGGAGAUUCUGAAAGCACAAAUGGAUCCGGCACGUCGAAAAACCUUGGGAAUGACUCGAGUCAACUUUCGGUCAACGGUCAACGCUGGUCAACGGUCAACGUCGGUCAACGAUCAACACCGGCUUGGUAGUCUUGGUUCGGUCCGGAUUGGUUCAGCUCGAGUUGGCUCGGUUCGACUUGAUUCGGUUCAGCUCGGUUCGGCUUGGUUCAACUCGGUGAGUCGACUCAGCUUUAGGGCAGAAAACUUCCGGCGGCAAGUGUGGGCGCGUCCGGUCUCCGAUUGGGAUAAUUUUUGCGGCGUCACUUUCCUCUCGUCGAGAUCUUCGAUUUGAUAUGCUAUAUGACCAUAUAUAGCAUCACGUACUAGCUCUGAUACCACUUUGUUGGAGAAUUAACAAAAUAAAACACACAAAAAACACUAUUUUAUUUCUUCAACAACACUCCUCACCAAUUACAACUCUUAUUUUUCACUCUCUACACCUUAGAGAUUUUGCUACUUCACUUGAUGAUUAAACCAAAGGGGAGAGGGGGUAUUUAUACAUGAAACAAACUAAUCACAACCAUUCAUUUAUUCAAUUAAUACACAAAUCCUCACCAUCCAUUAAAACCUACCACUCACCUACUUCACCAACCACACCUAACACACCUAACACAAAUAAUUCAAAGCUCACCAACCAUACCUACUCAUGGAACCUUCCAUGAAUUGGGCUUGAUUUACUCAUCUUGGAUCAAGUUUAUGAUCCAACAAUAUAUGCGUGCCUGUAUGACCAUGACUGAUAACCUUAAAUAUAUAUGUGCCUGUGUUAUCAUGACUGAUGACCUUAAAUAUAAUACCAAUAAUGUUGUAGAAUUUCUGAAAUUCUCAUGACGCACAAUUUAUGUAAUUUAUAGUAUGUUCCUUCUCCUCCUUCGGUAGUCAGUAAUAUAAUUUGCAUUUUUUUUUUUGAAGAAUAUUGACGUGUUGUGUAAUGGAAUGGUGGUGCCUGUAUUUUGUGCUUUGUGAUUGAUGACUCACAUUUUCCCAAAAAAAAAAUGGAAACGGAUAGGCUUCCUUUUGAAUGGUGACCUUUUAUGAUAUGAAUCAUAUGUUCAUCAGUAGCAGUUGGCCUACUAACUAGAUAUUGCAUUUUGGCCUUGAGGUGAAAUUAGUGAGCAUGUUUCUUGAGGUUUUUUUAAAAUUUUUUAUAAGACACUUGAAGAAGGAAAUUCAUGUUCUUGCGAUGCUUCUUUCUCAAUAUAAAAUGAUUAAUUUGAAGAAUACUUAUUAUAAUAGAACGUAGAACUCGUAUGUAUUUUAGUAUAAAAAUUCUUUACAAUAAAAAGUUUUUUAUGUGAAGUCGAUCGACACUAUCACAUUAUCAUAUUGCCAUUCAAUUUUUUAUUUUUAUCUAAUUAAAAUGAUAAAUUAAAGUUGAUACGAGAAAAUUAAAGAAGAUUGGAACUUGGAGGGCAAUGUGAAUUUUGAAACGACACCAUUUCAACUCCACCUACUCUAUAACUAAAUGAUUAUGAGUGAUAGAACAAGAUCAGCUUGAUACAGAGAGAGACUCUCCACUCUUAACAAUGAGCAAAAAAAUGGUACGCAACUUCGUUUUGAUUAAAAUUUAAUGAUUUUUUCGUAUUAAUCAAAUUAAUCAUUAUUAUUAUUAUUAUUAUAUAUACACAUACAUAUAUAAAUACACACACACAUACAUAUAUAUAUAUAUAUAUAUAUUCAAUUUCAGAAGAAUCUGUUUUGUAGUUCUCCUCCUCAAGUGCCUACUUUUCAGUGUGCAAGGAUGUAUGUUGAGGGCAGCGGAUGAAAUCGCUAAACUGUUGGGGGUAGAGGAGGCGGGAGAGGAGAUGGUUCCCAUUUCCGCCCUUGCUUUCCUCCAUUUGGCUGCAAAAGUUCAUCACAAAUCAACUCCGUUACAUUGUUACUGGUCUUUUGCUUAUUUAUUUUCAAUGUCUUAUUAUGUUUUAAAUUAUUAGUUCAUGAGUUGAGUUUGAGUCUACCAAGUCAAGGGUUGUUAAGUUAGACCAAGUCUCGUGAAAAGAAUUAAUUUUUUUUUUCCGUUUCUUUGAGAUUUGAUCAAUAAAUCAGUUUCAAUUGUACUUGAUGGCCAUAUAAGCCAUGAAAGACAUGAAUAAAAGGAUUAUUCAAUUAUUUCAAAUCAAACCAACUCUUUUAAAAAAUAAUAAUAAUAAAACCAACUUAUGUUGUUGAGGGCAAGAUUCCUUUAUUAAUUAUCAACCUUAAACUGAUAGCUUUAAAUUCCCCUCAUGGUAGGUUCCAACAAAAAAAAAAAGAUUUCUCUAUUUUACCAUUAAUUAUAUAUAUUAAUUUCCAAUUUUACCCUUUACCAGAUUUAAAUGACACCACUUAAUUUAAUUUUCACGUGCUCGAUUUCAUUUUACUGGUCAACAAAAUCUCUCAAAAUUGUUGUCCUGAACUUGCGGCAGCUUUCAUCACCGACGGAGGCUGAAGAUUCAAGCAACAGAGCUGAUCGUGAUGAGGCGAAGGAGAAGAGGACCUAGCGAGUUCGCAAGAGCGAGUAUAGAGGAAUAAAGCGGAGGCCAUGGGGAAAAUGGGUAGCUGAAAUUAGAGACCCUUACAGGGGCGUCCGCUUUUGCCUCGGCACUUUCAACACCGCCGAAGAAGCCGCAAGAGAUUAUGCUGAAGCCGCCAAGUGUAUCCGCAGCAACAAGGCCAAGCUCAGCUUUGCUCUGCCGCCGCCGCCGCCAAUAACUCAAUCUCCAUGAUGGUUGUCGAAGCCAGCAAAAAUAAAUAUCUAUUCUAAAUAAAUUGUGUAUAGUGAUUGAGCAGGGUUGUGUCCACAGAGAUCGGUAAUUAUUUAAAUCCUUUUAAAUUGUAAAAUGCAAAAUGGGGGGAUUGUUGACAAUAAUAAAAAUCAAAUUAAAAUAACAAAUGCAAAUUCAAAUUGGGAAAAGCUCUGGUUGAAGGAAUUAACUCAGCUUGAUUCGACUAUUGAUCAUUGAUUCAAAUAUAAAUCAUUACUACUUAUGAAUAGACCGGUUAUAACUACUGAGACUCUCUAAUAACUAAUCUCUCCUUAACUAGUUGAUAAUCAAGGUACGACCAUUGAUUAUUUCCCUAAUCAAUAGACAACUCUAUAUACGAUCAUAGGGUUUAUCAAUUGACAGCCUGAAAAACCAGAGAGACCCAAAUCCUAAUCAACAAACGCAUACGAUGGUUCAUUUAAAUUAGAUUGUUUAUUCUCAUAACACAACGCACUGCUAUGCUAUUUGUCACAAACAUUAAAAUCCUCAUACGAUGAAUCUUUUAAUUGACAAUAGAUUAAGUUGAUAAUUAAAUAGUGGCCAAUUAUCUAAUUAACAAACAUAAUCAUGACAAUAAUUUAGAGAAUAAACAAAUACCCAAAAAGCAAUAAAACAAUUAAAGCAUAAGAAAGAUCUCACAGUAAUGAUGAAUCAAAACUUUAUUAACCUUCAACCAGAAUAAUAAGUUUAGUUCUUCAUAGAGAGAAGAGAAAAAUUUAGAUCUAGGGUUUCUUUCUUCUCAAAAAUCUCCUCUUUCCUUGUUUUUCAUGUCUCCUUCCUCUUAUAGAGUUUUUUUAUAAAUAAAAUACUAACAUCUAAAAUAUUAUCUAAAUAUUAAAUUCAAAAUUAUAAAAAUAACCAAAAAGACAAAACACGUUAAACUAAAAAUUGUAGGUCCGUAGUUGACAGCACGCGCCCACGCCUUAUCAACAAACAUCAUCUUGUAGCUCAAUUUUAGCACCAAUCAAUAGAAUUGCACCUACAAAAAUAAAACACAAGUAAAUCACUAUUAUUAAGUGCAAAACAUCGAAUUAAAGGAAGUAAACAAUGCGAAACUAGUACAUAAAUUGCACUCUUAACACUCCAGCUAAGAAACGCUGCAUGUUAUCCCCUGAGUUGACUCUGCCGUGUUUUGAAGAUUACUUUUUUAUUGGUUUAUGCAUUUGAGUUUACAAAGAAAUGGUAUUCCUUUUCCCUAUAUUUUGAACACUUGGGCUUUUAUUGUUGAAAAUGACCUUUUUUGCACUGUUCUUAUCUAUGAGGUUGUGCCUUCCUUUGGAUGCUCUUUAAUAAACAGCUUUCCCAAUGACAACUGAAGUGAAAAGUCAUUUAUCAAAUGAUUUGGUGAAAUUUCAGGUGCUCUCAUCUUGGUUUUUGCAGUUAAUAGGAAUAGGUUGGUGUUGGGAUGUGCUACAUGUAUCAAGUUCUUAUCGCUAGUGGAUGUGCCAUCAUUUACUCUCACUGAAUGUAUUAUUAGUUUCUUUAUUGAAAAGUCCCAAAUCAGUAAAGAAUCCUCAAUUUUCUCUGUUUUCUUUAGAUCCUAGUAGUGUUUUAGCAUGCACAACUAGUGUUUAUGCAUGUGUCGGCAAGUGUUUAGACAAUAAAUUUAAAGGUUACAGUGACAUAACUUGACUGCAGGAAAGGUAGGAUGUAUGCUGCAUUUGAAGGAAGGUGAAAGUUUUCCAUUUUUGUAAUUGAGUUUAAAGCAGGAUAUGUUUAGUUUCAUGAAAUGCUUUCUUAUUUUUCGAUGACGAAGUAAUGUGAGUCAAUAUUCUCUUUAAAUAAUGUUCCCCAGUUCUUGAAUGUUCUGCCAGUCUUUAUUUCUUAUUUGAAUUUAAAGAAACUUUCUAAGUGCAUACAUCCAUAUAAAGUUGAAGAUCUUCUAGAAAAGCUGGCAUCCAUCAAGAUCAAGAAAUUUUACUGCUUAGUAUGUGUUAUAUUUAUAGAUUGGCUAUUGAAGAAGUAGUAUUUGUACCGAUGCAGAUGCAGGAACUAUACACAUCUAAAGUUUAUGAGAUAUUUUUGUCUUUUUUGACUCAGUUAGAUAACUAUCAGUCGUUUAACCAAUUUAUGUUACUCUUGUUUGGCUAGCCAAUUAAGAAUUUAUAUUUGCUGGAUUGUAAAGCCUACAUCUGCAAGCCAUAUGUGAUUUUAUUUGAAGGCAAUUGGUUCUAGACUAUAUGCGGAUUUCUGUCAUGAUUUCUAUAAGCUUGAAGGAGAUUUCCUUUUUUUUUUUUAAAUGUCUGUGAGCUUGAAAAUUAUACCCGUACAUGUUGAAACCAUUAGAUACAUGCUAAGAAUCAAGCAUAAUUGUGUCCAGUUGAAACCAUAAUUUGGGUACUGUUUUAUGAGAAAAUUAUGUGUAAUUUGGGUGCAGUAAACCUAGGUUGAAUACCAGGACACAGUAUAAAAGCGAAACCACAUAUUGAAUCUUAUAUAAAGACUUUAAAGAUGCAAUUUUGAAUUGUACAUGAGAUGUUGUCUGGACUGAAUUUCAGCGGCUUUGGUUAGGAUUCAGAAAAGAGAAUUGUAACCGCAGAGAAUGCUCUGUGGGAUGCUUAUAUCCAGGUAUGUAAUGGCCUUAUUUUGAUUCUGGGCUGUUUGAGUUUUGUGCAGCUGUUCUUUGUUGCUGCUUUUGCUACUGAUUUUAGCUAUUUUCUGCUACUGUCUUAUUUGCUUUUUUUUUUUUUAAUACUACUUUUGCUGCUGAAUUUUGCUGGUUUCUGCUGUUUCACUCGCUGAUAGCUGCUGUUUAUUACUAUUGUUUGCUACCUUUUGAUUUGCUCCUUUUUUGCUGCUGAUUUUUGCUGUUUCUUUCCGCUGUUUUUGCUGCUUUUGUUGCUGUUUUUUUACUGCUUUUACUGUUGAUUUUUGCUGUUUUCUACUGUUUUGUACUCACUGGUUGCUGUAUGUUUAUUAAUAUUGUUUGCUGCUGUUUUAUUUGCUUUUUUUUGCUUCUAAUUUUUGCUGUUCUCUGCCAUUAUUUGCUGCUGUUGCUGUUUUAAUCGCCGGUUGAUGCUGUUUUGUGGUUCGCCUCCUCAAGUGCCUGCUUUUUUCAAUGUGCAAGCUUAUAUGUUGAGAGUGGCGGAUGAAAUCUCUUAACUGUUACAGUUGAUCCGAGGCUCCUCUAGAGAAGGAUUUGGUCUUAAUUUGGGGAAGGGGGUUUUUCUGGUUUGUACUCAAGCGUAUGCAUUCCUUCAAUCACGUAGCUUUGUGCCAUUAACAUAAUGGCAACUCUGUAUUGGUUUUUCUCUCGCUGUCUGUACCCAUGAUUAAGCAUGUAAUGGCUUUUAAUAAAAAAUAAUAAUAAGACAUAGUGCAGUCAAAUAUCAAGAUUAUAUUUUAAACAAAAAAAAAUUAUAUUUUAAACAAAAAAAAAAAUUAUAAUAAGUAUGAGGAUUCAUUGUCUGUUAGAUAAGACAUAAGAUAUGUGAAUAACAUAGGAAAAAGCCACCUACAUCCUCAAGAUGUGUUUAAAUGUUAAAUGGUUACACAGGUUCUUUUUGCUUCAUAAUAAUUAUAUAGACCCGUUUUGUUUAAUAUUAAACUAAUUAUACCUUUUAAUUACAAUAACCCAAUAAUUGAUUUUGAAUAAAUUUUUAUUAUAAAUAUAAAAUGGAACUGAAAUAAUAUUAUAUAUAAAAUAAGUUAAAAUUUAUAAAUUAUUUUGAAUAAUAAUAUUAAAAUUAUUUUACCCAACCCUCACAUUAAUUUAUAAAAUUUAUAUUGUUUUGCUUACUAUUUUUUUAAUUACGUCUACAUCGUAUAAAUCUUAAAAUCAAUCUUUAGAUUAAUAGAAUUUUGUAUUAAUAAAAACCGCUGGGUAUAUGUUAUUUUAUUAUACAUACUUGUUGCAAUAUUUUAUAUGUAUUAUAUGUUAUUUAUUUCUUAUUUUUAUCUCAUUACUAUAUUUAUAUUUAUUUGUAAUGUUAUAAUCAAAAGAUAUUAUCGCCCAAAUGGGGUUUAUGUGACUAUUUAUAAAGCCAAAAGGGUUUAUGUAAUCAUUUAAGUAAACCUUAAAAACGUGAGUGGCUUUUUCCAUAUAACAUAUGAUCCGAUAGCCAAGAAAUCAAUUAUGUAUUUCUUGUUUCUGAAAAAAUGAGUAAUCCUUUAACGAGGGUUAUCAUCAAUUGCAAGUUUCUAGUUUGGUUGCUUAAUUCGAGGACUAUGAAUAUUAUUGCGGAAAUGUGGGUUGAGUUUUCAACAAUUCUCCACCUCGGCGAAGAUUUAGUAAAUCUGAACCGACUAUCAACAAACUACAUUCCAGUUUCUGCCUUCUUUGGCUACUUUUAAACUUGUAAGAUGUUGAUCAAGUUUAAACAAUGCUCAAACUUGAUCGCCGUCACUACCUUGGUCAACAUAUUUGCGGGAUCAUCUGCAGUUUUAACUUUUUGAAGAAGAAUAUUCCCCUCAUCAAUAAUUUCCCGCACAAAGUGGAAUCGUACAUCGAUAUGCUUCGUACGCGCAUGAUAAACUUGGUUAUUCGUUAAGUGAAUAGCCCUCUGACUAUCGCAAUACACAUUAAUGUGCUCCUGUGCCAAUCGCAAGUUUUCAAGCAAACCUUGUAACCAAAUAGCCUCUUUAACAGCCUCUGUAAUUGCCAUGUACUCGGCCUCUGUGGUCGACAGUGCAACUGUAGACUGUAGUGUAGACUUCCAACUAAUUGGCCCUCUAGCAAAAGUAAAUACAUAUCCGGUGGUUGACCAUCGUUUGUCCAAAUCACCAGCAUAAUCAGAAUCAACGUACCCGAUCACACCUUGACCAAGUGUAUCGUCUCUUUCAAUCAGUAAACCAACAUCCAUGGUCUUUUGAAUGUAUCGUAGAAUUCAUUUCACAGCUUGCCAAUGGCCUUUACCAGAUUAUGUAUAUAUCUGCUCACUAUACCAACUGCAUGUGAAAUGUCAGGCCUUGUACACACCAUUGCAUACAUCAAGCUACCCACUGCAUUUGAAUACGGAACUUGUAACAUGUAUUCUCGUUCCGCAUCUGUUGAAGGAGAUAAUUGUGCAGAAAGCUUGAAAUGAGAAGCCAACGAGGAACUUACAGGUUUUGUCUGCUCAGUCAUACUAAACUGCUGUAGUACCUUCUUCAAAUAUUGCUUCUGAGACAAGCUUACUUUGCCAUGAGCUCUAUCUCUGCAUAUCUCCAUGCCAAAAAUCUUUCAUCUCAAACUCUUAAUUGAGUUGAGUCUUCAACUUCUCUAUCUCAUCUUUGCUCUUCGAUGCUAUUAGCAUAUCAUCGACAUACAAUAGCAAAUAAAUGAAAGAUCUUUCUUGUAGCUUGCGAAAAUACACACAAUGAUCAAAUUUGUUUCUUGUGUACCUUUGCCCUUUCAUAAAUCGAUCAAAUCGCUUAUACCACUGUCUCAGAGAUUGUUUCAAUCCAUAAAGCGACUUUGUCAAUUUGCAAACCCAAUUUUCUUUUCCAGCAACCUUAAAUCCAUCUGGCUGAGUCAUGUAGAUUUCCUUUUCCAAAUCACCGUGUAAAAAUACAGUUUUUACAUAAAGUUGAACUAGUUCAAGAUCAAAUUGUGCAACAAUGGCUAGCAAAAUUUGAAUAGACGAGUGUUUUACAACUGGAGAAAAUACCUCAUUGUAGUCUAUUCCUUCCUUCUGAGCGUAACCCUUCGCUACCAAUCUAGCCUUGUAUCGAAUUUCAUUUUUACGAGGAAAUCCUUCAUUUUUUGCAUAUACCCAUUUGCACCCAAUUGCCUUCUUUUCCUUGGGCAGUGUAACUAACUCCCAAGUUUCAUUUUUGUGAAGAGAAUGCAUUUCUUCGUUCAUUGCUUUCUUCCACUGUAUACUUUCUGGAUUACUUAAUGCUUCUUUGUAAGUGGAAGGAACAUCAUCAUCUACAAUUGGAAGUGCAUAGGCCACCAUAUCAACAAAGCGAGCAGGUUUGCGAAUCUCUCUGCGUGGCCUUCUAUAUGCAAUUAACUCUUGUUGCUGUGAAGGUUCCUGGGUUAGAACCUCUUCAUCAUUUUCGGUCGAUGGAGAAUCACUAUCCAUCUCAUCGACACCAGCUAGAUUAGCUUUAACUUUUUCAAACUUCACCUACUGCAAAGUGCUACUGGUCUUGUCAUCCUCUUGAGAAUCUUUUUGUUUCAACAUGGCUAAUUCAUCAAAAGUUACAUCUCUGCUGAAAAUAAUCGUCUUCGUAACAGGACACCAAAGACGGUAUCUGUUUACUCCACCAGUUAUACCCAUGAACAAUUCUUUCUUUGCUCUUGGGUCUAACUUAGAUUCUUUUACAUGAUAAUAAGCAGUGGAACCAAAAACACGUACAAAAUUAUAAUCAGUAGCAGGUUUACCAGUCCACAUCUCCAUGGGUGUUUUGCCCUCAAUUGCAGUUGAUGGCAAAUGGUUGAUCAGAUGGCACGCAUAUACAACUGCCUCAGCCCAAAAAUCUUUGCCCAAUCCAGCAUUGGAUAACAUACACCGAACUUUCUCCAGUAUAGUCCGGUUCAUGCGUUCUGUCACCCCAUUCUGUUGUGGUGUAUCUCGAAUAGUGAAAUGUCGUACAAUACCCUCAUCUUGGCAUAUUUAAAUAAAUGGAUCAUUUUUGUACUCACCAUCAUUGUCUGAGCGAAGUCUUUUGACCUUUCGACCAGUCUGAGUCUCGACCAUUUUCUUCCAUUUCAAAAAUAUGCCAAAAACUUCAUUUUUGUUCUUCAUUAAAUACACCCACACUUUUCUUGAAUAAUCAUCAACAAAAGUAACAAAAUAGUGCAUACCUCCCAAAGAAGCUAUUUUAGUAAGUCCCUACACAUCACUGUGAACAUAGUCCAUAAUUCCUUUUGUAUCGUGAAUUGCCGAACCAAACUUUACCCUUGUCUGCUUGCCCAGAACACAAUGUUCACAAAAUUUUAAUUUGCAAGAAUUUGUGCCUUUCAAUAAGCCUUGCUUCGCUAAAGUCUGCAAAGCUUUUUCACCAGCAUGUCCCAAAUGCAUAUGCCACAACUUGGUUGCUUCUGAAUUUGCAUCUUUUCCAGAAACUGUUGAUGCUGGUCCAAUAAUUGUACUUCCUUGAAAAUAGUACAAGUUAUUUCUUCUUGUGUCUUUCAUCACCAUCAGCGCCCCAGCUACUACCUUCAACAAUCCAUCUCUUAAAGUGAUUGUGAGCCCUUUAGAUUCUAGGACUCCUAAUGAGAUGAGAUUUUUCUUCAAGCUUGGUACAUAGCGAACAUCUGUCAAAAGUUGGAUUGAGCCAUCAUGAUUCUUUAAUUGGAUUGUACCUAUUCCCAUGGUUUUACAAGCAUUUUCAUUGCCCAUAAAAACAACUCCACCGUCUAGCUCCUUAAAGCUAGAAAAUCCACUCAUCUGAGUGACAUAUCAAUGUCAUGCCAACCAGACUAAAGUUUGACUCCUCAUCAUGCUCUGGUACACAUGCAUCAGAAGUAGCAUUGCCCUUUUGUAACUUAGGACAAUUCUUUUUCCAAUAUCCUUUCUCACGACAAAAAACACAUUCAUCUUUGGCAGGUCUCCCUUUAGACUUACUCUUUUUUCCAGGGUUGAGGCUUUGCGAACGACCUCUCGUUGUUAAUGCUUCUGUAAUUGUAUCUCUGUGAUCCUUUCUGUCUUUCUUUCUGGUCUCAGAGUUGUACAAUGCACUGUAUACAGCAUCGAACGUGACACUGUCCUUCCCAUUAAACAAAGUAGUGGUGAGAUGAUCAUAUUCAUCAGGAAGUGAAUUCAACAACAACAGUGCCUUUUCUUCAUCUUCAAAUCUCUCAUCCAGAUUUAGCAAAUCCACUAAUAUCUUGUUGAAUAAGUUCACGUGGUCAUUCAUUGACAUGCCAUGUGUGUAUGUAAAUCGAUAGAGUUUCUUUUUCAUAUAAAGCCUAUUUUUAAGACUUUUCUUCAUAUACUUUUCUUCCAGUGUCUCCCACAAUUUCUUUGUCGAUGUCUCCCUCAUGACAGAGUAUUUCUGAUCUUUAGCCAGACAUAGGCGAAUAGUACCACAUGCCUAUCUAUUGAUUUUUAUCCACUCCUUGUCAUCCAUCACGUGAGGCUUUUCUUCAAGAGCAACAUCCAACUCUUGUUGACAUAAGACAUCCAACACCUCACAUUACCAUAUACCAAAAUUAUUGGUACCAUCGAAUUUCUCCACUUCAAACUUUGCAUUAGUCACAGUAGUUCUCGCUGAUGAAGACGACAACGAUGCCUCUACCAUCAUUUUUAUCUCAAAUGAUCAGUUUCUUCAACAACUAUUUACACUUAAAAAACAGCCUCUAUGAUGUUUAUUUCGCGUGAAUAAAUGCACCAAGAAAGUUCCCAGGAAACUGGACAGGAACUAGGUCCCAAUUAAAAACCAGAAUCCUUAGACUCUUAUCGCCUUUGUUGACAGAACUUUCUUUGACAUGCAAAAAUACACACUACUUACAAUAGACUGUCUCCCAAGUAUAAAUGGCUGUCUCCACCGUAUUUGUAAACAGUACCGUAUACGUGAAUAAUACCAUAUCCUCCCAAGUACGAACCGUCAGCUCUGAUACCACUUGUUACGGAAACGUGGGUUGAGUUUUCAACAAAUAUUACAUUAUCAUAAUUAAGGGGAAAGAAUAUAUGCUAUAGUCUUUGCCUGAUCACUUUCUUCUUUUUAAUUAACCACUUGCAAGGAAAGAAUAUUGUAUACACAACACACUAUAAUACUCUAAUUACCAAUUCUUUAUGUUAUAUUAAAGUUCAUAGUGAUUAAUUUGUCCAUAUUCAGCAAAAAACAAUCCCAUUUCUCUUUGCUCCAGCCAAUUGAUAGCAGAAUCAUCACAGACACCUUGAGCUCCGUCGAAUCAUCAUAGACAAUUGGUGAUUGGUGGGAGCAUUACAAGAAAGGUACGACUCCUUCAGACUGAUACAUUUGUUUAUAUGAUUCAGUGAUAGUUUUAUAUAUGGUUAAUAGCAAUAAUGAAGAGAUAAUCAUGUACAUCAUCAGUUGCACAAAUGUACCUACUAAUUUAUUCCUCUACUUGCCAGAAUCACACAUGUAAAAUGAGAUAAAUUUUAAAGUUUAAAACUUUGCAAUUCAUUAAAAAUCUAGUGGGAUAUUAAUUGGUAAAAUCACUCAAUGGUAGUACAAGAGGUUUGUGAAUUGCGAUUAUGCCAGUUUAUGUGGAUGGAGUGAGAAUUUUUUUAAUAAAUAAAUAAUAAUAAUUAAUAAUAUUAUUUAUAAAAAGACAUAAAUUUGAAGGUUUAAAAUUUUACAAUUCAUUAGAAUCUAGAGAGAUAUAUUGCGUAAAUUUUUUGUCUCUAAUUAAUUUACAGGUAGGGGAUAUAUAUAUAUAUAUUGUGAGGCUAUUUGCACAAUCUUGGGCUUUGGACACAUACCAAGAUGAGAAUAGUUGGACCCACUAAAAUACACUUUGCAUUCACUUCUCAAUAAAAAAUUUUAUUACAAGAUUUUAUUAAUUAAACUAUUAUUUUUGCCAAAUAUUAUGUUCGUUUCUCUCCCUAAAGUUUUUUUUCCACCAUUUUUUCCCUUUUUCUCUCUCGCUCUCCCUCUCCCUAGUUGUCUUCUAUUCUUUUGUGGUUCUUAUAUUUUGAAACUUCUAUUGGAGUAAAAUCUCUUUAAAUUAUUCUUAUAAAAAAAAGGCUUUUAAAAUUUGGCUUAAUCUUACAUGUAUGUGAUUUCGAUGAAACUUUAGUAAAUGGGUUUCCACUAGAAAUGAAAAGAUCACAAAACAAAUAUCAAAAGAUCACCAACUUAAUCAUACUGGUAGUAAUUAAGAUAAAUAAAGACUUAUUAUUUCUGCUUGAAGUUGAUAUGAUAAAGAAACCAAAAAAAAAAAAAAAAGCAAGCCACUACAAUUACAACAUUGGAGGAUUUGUUAAUAAAACUAUUGCAGAUAUAAGUUUUAAUUGAUAAAGAAGAUUUAAUAGACAGUAGUGAGAAAAACAACUUAUAAAAAUUAAUGAUAUUUUUUAUGGGUAUAUUAGGAAUAUUUGUGGCCUCAUCCCUCUUAUUAUGAUAAUUUUUUUAUUACUACCAUAACCCUAGUAUAUUUACUAUUAAGGGCAACAUAAUGAAAAUUUUGUUACUCUUAUAUCUAUUGAAGAUACAUUAUUAUUUUGUGCAUGCCAGACUCCAAUGUCCAAGUAAAAUUUUUAGUGGAAUGUAUAAGAAAGUGUAGGAAGAAUUUCAUCAAGGUAUUUCAGUUGUAUUUAAUGCUCUUUGCUCGUGUAAACUAUUAUGUCACGUGUAAUAUUUUGAUCAUGACACGUGGCAUUGUAAAUAAUGCUCUUAUUUUAGGUCUUCGUAGGUACUUCGGAGGUACGUCCGCUCUAGAGCUAGUAUUAGGUUAUCAUGUGCUUCUUUUAAUGAACCACAUGAUUCCUUCCAUCCUUACAUUAGAGUAUUUUCUACAAAAUAGUUGUGUCAAAUGUUUGUUUAUCAAGGACACAUAUUGUGUCGGCAGAACAUAAUAAAAAUAUGAAACUUUAAUCCAUUAGCAUUUAUGGAAAAUCAAAUGAGAACAAAAAUUAAAAAAAAAGUAUAAAAGCUAAUUAAUUGACAAUGCAAAAAUAUAAAAUAUUAAUAGAUAAGAGAAAUUAGGUUUUUGAAUUAUGAAAAUUUAUUAAAAAAUUCUAAAUGAACAAAACUAUGGUUUUGUGCCCUUUUUUAUACUAAACCUGAAUAUCAUGAAUUUACUAAAAUAGGUCAAUGUAAAAUAUUAUUUUAUAAUAAAAUUCUAAUAAUCUAAAUCAGGAGAACAAAACAAACUCUGUCCAAAUUCGAUAUCUAAAAAAAGAUAAAAAAUCUAAAAGUAAUAGGAAAAAUAACUUAAAACUAUAAAAUGACUAGGGCAAAAUAACAUGUGCAAUUUUGGUUUGAUUUGUCUCAUCGCAAGCUUCGAAAGGAUAUAUUAUACACUUAUAACGAAUACUUGUAGCUCAAGUUAUGACCUUCGAACAGUAACCCGCUUAUCCUACGCAACCAUCCUACAUCAAUCCCCCUCACUUGGAAAAGAACUCAUCCUUGAGUGGGGCUAGUACAACCACUUAUUAUUUGGAUGAUAUUCAAACAAAUCGGCCAUGUUAAAAGUGUGGGAGAUAUUUCAACUAUCCGGCAGCUAAAGCACAUAAGAUUAUCAUUAAUCUUCUUAGCCACAUGAAAUGGACUGUACUUCAACCUCUCUAAUUUAGUGCAAAUGCCAGGAAAAUGGCUAUGUUACAGAUGUGCCAUCACCAAAUCACCUUCCUAAAACACUUUCUUGCAUUGGUGCUUGUCUGCAUUAGCCUUGUACUCAGUAUUGGCAGUCUUUAAAUGAGCUCACACCUCAACAUGAAUCUGCAAAGCCUUUUCUGCCACAUUAUCCACUGCUUUACUGCCUCUAGCUACUGUUGGUAUAGCAGUUAGAUCAUAGACAUGGCUUGGAGAACAAGUGUAGACAACUUCGAAAGGAGCCUUGCUAGUAGAUCCAUUCAUCGUGCUAUUGUAAGAAAACUCAACUUGAGGCGACACGAUUUCCCAAUUUUUUUGUUUGUCACCACAAACAUAGCGCAACAUAUUAGCCAAAAGUUCGAUUGACCACUUUUGUUUGUACAUCUCUUUAGGGAUGGGAAGCACUAUUAAACUAUAAAUGUGUCCCGAACCUAUCUCACAGAUAAAGCUAAAAUUUGCUGAUGAACUUCACAUCCCUGUUAGAAGUAAUAGCCUUUGGAAUACCAUGCAAAUGCAUCACUUCUUGAAACAAAAGAUGUGCCAUAGAAAAAGCAUCUUUAGUCUUUCUGCAAGUAAUAAAAUGCGCUAUCUUUGACAAUCUGUCAACAACAACUAGUAUAGUGUCUCAACCAAUUCUUGUACAAGGCAACCUCAACAUAAAGUUCAUGGAUAAAUCUAACCAAAUAUUCUCUGAAACAUGUAAUGUGUGUUUAAUCUCGUGUUCUACGAUCCCUUACCUUCUUGACAAAUCUGGCACCUCUGCACAAUCCUUCGAACAUCUUUAUUCAAUUACAGCCAAUAAUAUCACUUUUUGACAAGCACUUUAUGCAGCUCAUGGAUAAUGUGCUCCCUCAAAGAAUUACGAGGCAUACACAAUUGUUUAUCCUUAAACAAAUAUCCAUCUUGAAUGAGAAAGUCUUUCAUAUUUUAAUAAUCGAUACACCAAUCCCAAAUGUACGAAACAGUAACUUCAUUCACGAGUGUUGCUAGUAAGGUUGCUUGCUUACUUAGAACGUUCACAAUUGUAUUCUGCUACUUAGACUUGUGUUUCAGAACAAACUUAUGCUUAUAGCUCACCCAUCUCACAUGUAUCUUCUCAGAUUUUCUUGGCUGUUAAAGCACUUUAAUACUUGAUGGUCAGUGUAAAGCACAAACUCCUUUUGAAUCAAGUAAUGCUCAAAUGACUUCAAUAUUUUAAAGACCGCAUAAAAUUCAUGGUCAUACAUAGAUCACUUCUAUUGUGCUUUAUUCAACUUCUCACUCAAAUAAUUAAUUGGUUAGACUUUUUGAGAAAGGACAGUCCCUACACCCUUACUAGAAGCAUUACACUCGACUUUAAAUGACUUGUCAAAGUUUGAUACGGUCAACACAAGAGUAGUAUACAACUUCUCCUUUAAUAAAAAUAAAACUCGCCUCUUGGUCUUCCCCUCAUUUGAACUUUCUUUCUUCAAACACUCUAAUUGGUGCAGUUUUAGUGUUAAAAUUGUGAAUGAAUCUCCUAUAAGAUAUCACUAGCCCAUAAAAACUCCUAACUUUACCCACAGUUUUAGGCAUAGGCCAUCCUAUAAUAGCUUGUAUCUACUCAAUAUCUCUAAGUCCAUCUGUACCAACUAUAAAACCUAAAAACUCCAUAUUAAUACAAAGAAAGCUAUAUUUGUUCAGGUUAAUGUAAAGUUUAUUUUUCCACAAUAACUCCAUAAGGAUUCUCAAAUAUGUGUCUUGAUACUAAUAGAAUAAAUCAAAAUAUCAUCAAUAUAUAUCAUAAUAAAUUUACAGGAAAAAGGUCUGAAAACUUGAUUCAUUAAAUGCAUAAAGGUACUUGGCACAUUCGAUAACCUGAAUUGCAUCACGAACCACUUAUACAAUCAUUCUUUCAUUUUUAGCGUUGUUUUCUGUUCAUCUCCAAGCCUAAUUCUUAUUUGAUGAUACUUGCUGCAUAAGUCUAUCUUUGGCACCAUCUGACUAACUAGUAAAUCUUGAAACACCGAAAUAGAAAAUCCAUACUUUAUAGUAAUCACAAAUAAAUCUUUUUUGCAACAACUUAUUAACUUGUUCUUGUAAGAUUGCAUGCUCGUGAGGAUUCAUAUGAUAAUGAGGCAUGUUAGGUAUACUCGUACCAAAAACUAGGUCCAUAUAAUGGUGUAUAUCUUAUAAAAACGUAAGCCAUCUGACAUUUCAAAGGGUGUAAUAUCAGUAAACUUAGCCAAUAAAGGUUGCACUUUGUCAUGAAUAGUCUUUACCUCAAAUUCUUCCUCUUUUUACAGCUUUUGGCAACCAUCACAAUCAGCCUUCAAAUAACUCUUUACAAUGGCUAGAAAGUUCUUCCCUUGAGCCUUAGAAUUCUUUUUCUAGUUCUUUUAAAGGUCCUUAACGAACCUUUUUGCUAUUUCACUAAAAUUCAUAUAUAUUAUCCCUUGUUUUAUGAAUUGCAUCAAUAUUGAAUUGCCAAGGUCUACCAAGUAAAAGAUAACAGGCAUCCGCAUCCACCAUGUCACAUACCACGUCACUUUUAUAGAUCUUCCCAAUAGAGAAUAGAACACGACAAACCUCUAUUACUUGUGUUUUUGUCUCUUUCUUUAUUUACCUUAUGUUGUAAAGUAUUAGAUGUUUUUCUGUUAACAGUUCUAUCAUGUCAACCAGUGCCUUUUAAACUAUGUUCUCGCUAUUGUCACUAUUGAUUAUCAUGUUGCACACCUUAUCAUUGGUGAUGCCAUGUUCCUAAAAAUCUUAUUACGUUGGUUAUCCUUAUCAAGCUUCACUGCUAAUAAAAUCUUAUGCACAAUACAACUCAAUAUCUCUCAUUCAUCUAUACUUAACUCUACUGUUUCUUUGUCAUCUCUAUUCUCAAUAGUGUUUGUCUUUAUCUUGUUGGCUUUAGCUUUUACCAAAUUUAAAACUUUACUAUGACAUUCAUUUGAUUGAUGCUUGUGCCUUAUACUUUAAACACUUGUUUAGCAUAGGCUUUGCAUAUAGAUUAUUUUGAGAUUGUUGUCGGUACUGCUACUGUUAGGAUGGCUGCUACUGUCUAGGAAGCUGCUACCUUGUUUAUUACUAUUGUGGUUGUUAUGAUUGACUACUUUCAGCCAUGACUUCUGUUUAUUCUCAACCCCACCAUUAAUCGACUUAUUCUGCAGACCAGGGAAUUAAUACUGUUGCACUUCAGAAACAACACACUUAUUUCAUUCUUUCUAUUUCUUUGCCCUUGCAACCAUCAUGCCCAUAUUCCAGAGUGGCUUUAUGAUCUCAUCUCGAAGCUUUUGUUCCAAUUCGCCAAUAUACUUUGCAAUUGUUCUAGAUUUCGACUCAUUCAUAUUUUUUUUGGCAUUUGUACUCUGCUGGCAAGAAAUACUCUUCCAUUAUCCUUUGCAUUCUAGCCCAUGAUCUGAUCAUUAGCUUUCCUGCAAUUCUUAUUCAAUUUUCUAUGUGUUGCUGCCAAGUGAAUGCUAAUGCCUUUCAACUUAAACGCCACUAGCUUAACCCACUUCUAUUAGGGGAUUUGCAAAUACAUGAAGAAAUUCUCUACUUAUGUUAUCCAAUCUAAAAAUUCUUCAAUAUGCAUCCACCAUAGAAAUCUGGAUGAUCUACACUGAUCUAGUAAUCUGAAUUCUUUCCACGCCUUCUUUCAUAAUCGACAAACUCGUCUUCUUCCUAAGCACUUACAAAGGAAUCUUUGAAUGCACGAGGAUUCAUCUUACGAGACGUAAAUAUUGAGGCAUUACACUGCGAUUGGUGCCCUAAGGCAUUAUUUCAUGAUUAUAUCCUUGCAGUAUCUUCUCAUGGUUAUAAUUUUGAGAUUGUUCUUCACACUUGACUCCUUAAAGUAUUUUCUUGCUAUUAUCCCUAAGAUGUUGAUCUCUCUUCCUAUUUAUAUCAUCAAUAGAAAGCCCAAGACCCUCAAUUGCUGGCUUUAUCACCUUCAUUCUCAGGUUAUCCUCAAUGGCUUGCAAGGCUGCUUCUCUGGCCAUCUAUCUAAUAUCCUCCAUAGACUGUGCUUGUAUAUGAGGUUAUGGGUUUGAUUUAUCUUGUCGUAAACUUCAAAACGAUAUAUUAUACGCCCAAAAUGAACACCUAUAGUUUAAGUUAUAACCUUCAAUGUUUAUCCUGCUCAUCUUAAGCAACCAUCCUACAUCGUUAAUAACGUUUGAGUUUGAGAUGUUGAAUAUUUAAUUUCAUAGGAGUAAAGAGAGGAAAGAAAAGUACGCUAAAUUCAGGCUAUUUUACUAUUAAAUGACAAUUUAAAAUAAAUUUUGUUUUAAAAAUUUUAUUAAAUAAAGGUAGGAAAUUGUUCAAAAUAUGUUUUAAGUAUAAACUCGUCCAUUUGAAGUAAUAGUGCAUGAUUAGCAAUAGUUAAAUCAACUUAUUAUGAUGAGACUCGUCAAAUUUAAUAUUUAAAAAACUUGUCAUCUCAGCACAGAGCACACAACUCUCCAUUUAGGCAGCGUUUACAUUUUGCAUUGAAGUGAGAAUCCCGAGGAGUGAGAAUCCUGGGAUUAGGAGUGUGGAGUGGAAGUGGAAGUAUGUUGUUUAGUUACACUGGAAUGAGAGCAUAAUAUUGAAAUUAGAAUCCAAUUUAUGUGUUUACAUAGUCUUGGAUUGGGAGUAAAUAAUUUCAAAUUAUAGUUUUACCCUUAUUUAAGAAUUGUAGUUUUCAAUUACAAAAAUAAUAAAAAUAUAUUUGAAAAAUAAAAUAUUUAUUUUAUUAUAUUUGUACAUUAAUGAUAAUUAUUAAUAUUCUUAAUUAUGUAAAUCAAAAAUUUUAUUAAUUUUUUUUAAUUAUGUAAAUAAAAAAUUAUUAUUAAGAGCAAUACAAAUGAAACAUUAUCAUUAAUAAUAUAAUACAAAAUUAAUAUUUUCUUAGAAUAAAAUAUUGAUUAUUAUUAAUUACUAAUAUUAAAUAAAUAUAAUACUAUUAUUUUUAAAUAAAUAUAACCAUAUUAUAUUUUCAAAUAAAAAUAGUGUAUAGUAAUAUUAUUUAUUCUCUAUGAGUAUAAUAAUAUUAUUUUUAAGUAAUUGUAAUUUAGAAUAAAUGUAAAUUAUUAUUUUUAAUAAAUAUAAUUUAUAAAAUAAUAUAAUCAUAUUAUUUAAAUAAAUAUGAUAUUAUUUAUUUUAGCUUAUUAAAUAUAAGAGUAAAAAGGGAAGAGGGGGAAGUGGAUUCCCACUUCCACCUCCCCCAUGGGAGUGGGAAUCCCACUCUCCACUCCAAAGAAAGGCGGGUUCCACGGAGUGAGAUUCCCACUCCCCCUUAAAAUUGGUAAGCAAACGUUGGAGUGGGAGAAAUCCAAACUCCUCACUCCCACCUCAGGAAAUAAACACUGCAUUAGUAGAGUAUGAGUGGUUGGCAAACACCAUGGCUUACACAAAUAUUUCUAAUAUUUGAAUCCUCAAACCCUCCUUAAAAAAAAAAAAAAACAGUGUCUUUUGUGAAUCAUUGCUAACGGACUAGCCCAGUUGAGUACUUUUCAAUUGAUGGGCUAUAAUCGCCAAUUUCUAAAUAGAACAAAUUUGUACAGGCAAACUAGUAGAUUGAAUGACAACCGACAACAUAUGACAUAAUUAACUUAUCUAAGAAGAAUUAAAAAAACCAAAAAAAUACAGUGGAUGAACAUAAGACUCUUGUGUCAAGUUUUUGAAUUCGUCAAUCAUGUAUAGGCAAACCAACCUUAAGAUAAGUGGGGUUCACAAGAAAAUAAUUUGAAAAAAUAAAGAGAAACUUAUUUGAGUUAUUUAUUACUUUAUGUUAAGUCUAUUAAAAUAUCUUGUUAAAUUUAUAAAAAUAGUAAACUCAUAAAUCUAUCAAAUUUAAACUUUCAAUUUGAGAAUUAUAAAAGCGCACACUUUAAUUUUAAAAAAUAAAAUCCUACUGUAACUCAUAUGGGUGGUUUUACUAGUAUUUAAAUUAGUCCUAUUAAAUUUAUUAAAAUAACCUUUAAAUAAAUUUUAGUUUUUACUUCUCGUCAUUAUAUAAUUUAGUCCCCAAUAAAUUAUUUUACUACAUUAAUGUCAAUGAUCCUUCAACUUCCUUAAAAUUGAUGUUUAGCCAUAUUGACACAUUCACUCUUACCACUUUUUUCAGAACCCAUAUGCAUUAUUCUAAUCAGACAUUAAUUUAGCUACUGACAAAUUAAGUCUAUCGAUAGAUUUCCAACUUCACUACUAAUUGAGAGAUAUUUAUUCCUCGAGAAGGUUUUUGGUAUUUAAUCAAUAUUUGCCACGUGUAUGAACAUUAUCAUAAUUAGUUGAAACAUACACUUGAUAAAGAGGGAAUGGAAAAGGAACAAUAUUAUUUUAGGAGCUAGCCCUCAAGAAUUUUUCUUACUCUAUCCAUAUGAGUGAAGGAAAUGUCUACCUCCACCCAAUUAUAUAUUAUUGGACGAGGAGUUGUUGAGUCGCCACUAGGGAUUCGUUGGUCCAUUUACCACCACUUUGUAUUCUAAAAUUUUGGUUGAAUUUAUUCAACAGCAACAAGAAUCGUAUAAAUAGGAAAAAAAUACAUUCAAAUAAUAUUCCAUGACUCUAUUUCUUCAAUUUCAGGAACAAUGGUGGAAUCAUUUUUACCGCUUGAAAAACUUACGAAAAAAUUAGGGUCUCGCGCUUUCGAAGAACUUUUAUUGUUCUACUGUGUCAAAAAUGAUGGAGAAAAGUUGAAGGAGACCUUAACCACGGUCAAAUGUGUGGUUUUGGAUGCCGAGGAAAAGCAAGUCCAUAAUCACCAGUCAAGAGAUUGGCUGGAAAAGCUUAAGGAUGCAUGUUAUGAUGCAGAAGAUUUGCUCGAUGACUUCGAUGUGGACGCUCUACGAAGGCAGGUCAUGAAGCAAAGAAGCACUGGAAGGAAUUUGCGUAACUUUUUUGGGAGCUCAAAUCUGAUAGCUUUUCGAUGUAGAAUGGAUCAUCAAAUCAAGAAAAUCAUAGAGAGGUUUGAUGAGAUUGCAAACAUGAUGCAUAAGUUUAAUCUCACUCCAGGACUUGAUGAUCGUAGAGGGCGAGCUGUGCAAGAGAGGGAACCUUCUCACUCGUUUGUACGUCCAUCAGAAAUUAUUGGAAGAGAUGAAGAUAGAGAAAAGACUAUUGAACUAUUGAUGAAAACAAGCAAUGGCGACAGUGAAACGGUGUCUGUUAUUCCUAUCGUGGGACUUGGAGGUCUGGGCAAAACUGCACUUGCAAAAUUAGUGUACAAUGAUCAAAGGGUAGAAGAGCAUUUUGAGUUGAAAAUCUGGAUAUGUGUUUCUGAGGAUUUUGGUGAGAGACAAAUUAUGACAAAGAUUAUCAAGUCGAUAACUGGUCGAAACCAAGGUGACUUGGAUACAGAGCAAUUGCAACAAAUCAUGCGAAGUUGUUUGAAUGGUAAGAGAUAUUUAUUUGUUAUGGAUGAUAUAUGGAACGAAGAUCCCAAAGUAUGGGAUGAAUUGAAAAGUUUAUUGUUGGGAGGUGAUAGGGGAAGCAAAAUUCUGGUAACCACACGUAGCAAUAAUGUUGCUUCAAUCAUGGGCACAAUGAGAGGUACUGGUGGUUACAAAUUAGAAGGUCUUCUGUACGAGAGUUGCUUGUCCUUGUUUAUGAAAUGUGCAUUUAAAGAAGGGCGAUAUAAACAUCCAAACCUCGUAAAAAUUAGGAAAAAAAUUGUGAGAAAAUGUGGAGGAAUUCCUUUGGCAGUGAGAACACUAGGAAGUCUAUUAUAUGACUCAACGGAUGAACAUUAUUGGGAAUAUGUGAGGGAUAAUGAGAUAUGGAAGUUAGAGCAAAAGGAAAAUGACAGUUUACCUGCUCUAAGGUUAAGCUACGAUCUGCUACCGCCUCACCUGAAACAAUGUUUUGCUUACUGUUCAAUCUUUCCCAAGGAUUAUGAAUUUUCAAGUUUUCGUUUGGUACAAUUCUGGAUGGCUCAUGGUCUUCUCCAAUCCCCUAAUGAGAAUGAAGAAUCAGAAAAUAUUGGUAUGCGAUACUUGAAGGAAUUACUGUCAAUAUCUUUCUUCCAAGAUUUAUCUGAUGAAGGAAUUGGGAUAUUCUUUGAAGGAUUGGGGAUGUUCUUUUUCAAAAUGCACGACCUCAUCCAUGAUCUCGCACAGCUAGUGCCCAAAGGUGAAUUCCUAAUAGUGGACACAAGACCUCGUCUAUGAUGUUGAUCUCUCUUCCUACUUAUAUCAUCAAUGGAAAGCCCAAGACCUUUAAUUGCUGGCUUUAUCACCUUUAUUCUCAGGUUACAAGCUUCCUCAAUGGCUUGCAAGGUUGCUCCUCUGGCCAUCUAUUUGAUAUCCUCCAUAGACUAUGCUUGUAUAUGGUUCUGGUUUUGAUUCAUUUUGUCGUAAACUUCGAAACGGUAUAUUAUAUGCCCAAAACGAAUACUUGUAGUUCAAGUUAUAACCUUUAAUGUGUAUCUAGCUCAUCCUAAGCAACCAUCCUACAUCGUUAUUAACGUCUGAGUUUGAGGUGUUGAAUAUUUAAUCUUAUAGGAGUAACGAUAGGAAAGAAAAUUAGGCUUAAUUCACGCUAUUUUAAUAUUAAAUGACAAUUUAAAAUAAAUUAUGUUUUAAAAUUUUUAUUAAAUAAAGGUAUGGAAAUUGUUCAAAAUAUGUUUUAAGUAUAAACUGGUCCGUUUGAAGUAAUAGUGUGUGACUGGCAAUAGUUAAAUCAACUUAUUACGAUAAGACCCGUCAAAUUUAAUAUUUAAAAAACUCGUCAUCUCAUCAUAAAACACACAACUCUCCAUUUAGUAGAGUAUGAGUGGUUGGCAGACACCAUGGCUUACACAAAUAUUUCUAAUAUUUGAAUCCUCAAACCCUCCUAACAAUGCCACCAGUGUUUUUUCUAAGUCAUUGCUAACGGACUCGCCUCAAUUGAUGGGUCAUAAUUGCCAAUUUCUAGAUAGAACAAAUUUGUACAUGCAUACUAGUAGAUUGAAUGACAACUGACAGCAUAUGAUAUAAUUAACUUAUUUUCGAAAAAAAUAAAAAAACAAAAAAAAAUACAGUGGAUGAACAUAAGACUCUUGUGUCAAGUUUUCGAAUUCCUCAAUCAUGUACAAGUAGAUCAACCUUAAGAUAAGUGGGGUUUACAAGGAAAUAAUUUUUAAAAAAUAAAGAGAAAAUUAUUUGAGUUAUUAAUUACUUUCUGUUAAGUCUAUUAAAAAUUUAUAAAAAUAGUAAACUCAUAAAUCUACCAAAUUUAAAUUUUCACUUUGAGAAUUAUAAAAGCGUACACUUUAAUUUUAAAAAAUAAAAUCCUACAGUAACUCAUAUGGGUGGUUUUAUUAGUAUUUAAAUUAGUCCUAUUAACUUUAUUAAAAUAACCUUUAUGAAUUCAUUAACCUAUAAAAUUUUAGUUUUCACAUCUUGUAUUAUAUAAUUUAGUCCCCGACAAAUUAUUUUACUGCAUUAAUGUCAAUGGUCUUUCAACUUCCUUAAAAUUGAUGUUCAGUUAUAUUGACACAUUCACUAUUGCCACUUUUUUGAAAACUCAUAUGCAUUAUUAUAAUCAGACAUUAAUUUAGCUACCGACAAAUUAAGUCUAUCGAUAGAUUUCUAACCUCACUAAUAUUUGAGAGAUAUUUAUUCCUCGAGAAGGUUUUUGGUAUUUAUUCAAUAUUUGCCACGUGUAUGAACAUUAUCAUAAUUAAUUGAAACAUACACUUGAUAAAGAGCGAAUGGAAAAGGAACAAUAUUAUUCUAGGAGCUAGCCCCCAAGAAUUUUUCUUACUCCAUCCACAUGAGUGAAGGAAAUGUCUACCUCCACCUAAUUAUAUAUUGUUGGGCGAGGAGUUGUUGAGUUCCCACUAGGGAUUCGUUGUCUUUUAAAAUUUUGGUUGAAUUUAUUCAACAGCAAUAAGAAUAGUAUAAAUGAAAAAAAAAACAUUCAAAUAAUAUUCCAUGACUCUGUUUCUUCAAUUUCAGGAACAAUGGUGGAAUCAUUUUUGCCGCUUGAAAAACAUAUGGAAAAGUUAGGGUCUUGUGCUUUCGAAGAAUUUUUAUUGUUCUACUGUGUCAAAAAUGACGUAGAAAAGCUAAAGGAGACCCUAACCACUGUCAAAUGUGGUUUUGGAUGCCGAGGAAAAGCAAGUCCAUAAUCACCAAUUGAGAGAUUGGCUGGAAAAGCUUAAGGAUGCAUGUUAUGAUGCAGAAGAUUUGCUGGAUGACUUCGAGCUGGAAGCUCUACGAAGGCAGGUCAUGAAGCAAAGAAGCAUUGGAAGGAAUUUGCGUAACUUUUUUGGGAGUUCAAAUCUGAUAGCUUUUCGAUGUAGAAUGGGUCAUCAAAUUAAGAAAAUCAGAGAGAGGUUUGAUGAGAUUGCAAACAUGAAGGGUAAGUUUAAUCUCACUGAACGACUUGACGAUCAAAAGCGAGUUGUGCACAAAGAGAGGGAACCCACUCACUCGUUUGUGCUUCCAUCAUCUAUUAUUGGAAGAGAUGAAGAUAGAGAAAAGAUUAUUGAACUGCUGAUGCAAACAAAUGACGGCGAAAGUGAAACUGUGUCUGUUAUUCCUAUUGUGGGACUUGGAGGUCUGGGCAAGACUGCACUAGCAAAACUGGUGUACAAUGAUCAAAGGGUAGAAGAGCAUUUUGAGUUGAAAAUCUGGAUAUGUGUUUCUGAGGAUUUUGGGGAGAGGCAAAUUAUGACAAAGAUUAUCAAGUCAAUAACUGGUCAAAACCGAGGUGACUUGGAUACACACCAAUUGCAACGAAUCUUGCGAGGUUGUUUGAAUGGCAAGAGAUAUUUAUUUGUUAUGGAUGAUGUAUGGAACGAAGAUCCCAAAGUAUGGGAUGAAUUGAAAAUUUUAUUGUUGGGAGGUGCUAAGGGAAGCAAAAUUCUGGUAACCACACGCAGCAAUAAUGUUGCUUCAAUCAUGGGCACAAUGAGAGGUACUGGUGGUUACAAAUUAGAAGGUCUUCCGUACGAGAGUUGCUUGUCCUUGUUUAUGAAAUGUGCAUUUAAAGAAGGGCGAUAUAAACAUCCAAACCUCGUAAAAAUUGGGAAAGAAAUUGUGAGAAAAUGUGGAGGAAUUCCUUUGGCAGUGAGAACACUAGGAAGUCUAUUAUAUGACUCAACGGAUGAACAUUAUUGGGAAUAUGUGAGGGAUAAUGAGAUAUGGAAGUUAGAGCAAAAGGAAAAUGACAUUUUACCUUCUCUAAGGUUAAGCUACAAUCAAUUACCGCCUCACCUGAAACAAUGUUUUGCUUACUGUUCAAUCUUUCCCAAGGAUUAUGAAGUUGCAAGUGUUAUUUUGGUUCAAUUUUGGAUGGCCCAUGGUCUUCUCCAAUCCCCUAAUGAGAAUGAAGAACCAGAAAAUAUUGGUAUGCGAUACUUGAACGAAUUACUGUCAAGAUCUUUCUUCCAUGAUUUUACUAAUUAUGAGAUGCCUGAAGGAUUUGAGAUAUUCUUUUUCAAAAUGCACGACCUUAUGCAUGAUCUUGCACAGUUAGUGGCCAAAGUUGAAUUCCUAAUAGUGAGCUCUGAUAGUCAAUCUAUUCCCAAAAGAGUCUGUCAUUUAUCAUUUGUUGGUGGUAAUAUAUCAAGAAAUGAUUUUUCAAGCCUUUUAUCUGAUUUACGUCGUUUAAGAACCAUUUUGUUUUCAAUUAAUGAUGAGAAGACAAGCCAAUCAUUUUUGACCUCGUGCAUCUCAAAGUCGCAGCUCCUGAGAGUGCUAGAUUUAAAGGACUCUGCUAUUGAGGUUUUGCCAAGAGAGAUAGGUAAUUUGAAGCACAUGAGGUACCUUGAUCUGUCAAGAAAUUAUGAAAUCCGGAAACUUCCAAACUCCAUUUGCGAGCUGCAAAGUUUAGAAACACUAUUUCUUGAUGAUUGUCUGGAGCUAGAAGAGUUGCCUAAAGACAUAAGGUACCUUGUUAGUCUCAGAGUGUUUAUGCUAACCACAAAACAAAAGUCUUUGCAAGAGAGUGGAAUAGGGUGUUUGACUUCUCUUCGCAGUUUGAUGAUUGUUAACUGCAUGAAUUUAGAAUAUUUGUUCGAGAAUAUAGGUCAUCUAAGCGUCCUUCAAUCAUUACUUUUAGUUAAAUGUCCUCGUCUAAUCUCAUUGCCACCAGCUGUGAAGUACCUCAGCUCAUUAGAGAUACUGGCUUUGAUCCAGUGUGAAAGCCUUGAUCUUAAUCUGAACAUAGAAAUGGAGGGGGAAGGAAGUCAUCGUGAUCGCAAUAACACAAGGCUUCACCUUCGGAAGCUUACCGUUUUGGGACUAACACUGUUAUUGGAAUUGCCACAAUGGCUUCUUCAAGGUUCUACUAAAACUUUACAAAACUUGGUUAUUAUAGGGUGUCCCAACUUUAUGGCACUCCCAGGGUCACUGAGAAAUCUCGAAGCACUUGAAACAUUGGCCAUUGGAGCAUGUCCUGCACUGAGUGAAAGAUGCAAACCACAAACAGGUGAAGAUUGGCCCAAGAUUGCAGAUAUCCCUGAGAUUUUACUUGACGACAAGAUGAUUAAAUCAAGUGAUAAUUAGGUGUGGAUUAAUCUCUCCUCUUUUUAAUUUCCACUUUUCAUUCAGCUUCGUAAUUUUUAAUUUCUCAUACAGCUAUGCCGUUUGUAGUUUACUGCUCUGUUAUGUUUACCAAACAAAUGCUCGUUGAAUGUUUAGUUAGUUAGUUCAUAUUUGUUCUAAAUAAUUUCUAAUAUAUGAUUGGUUUGUUAAUACAAACGCAGACAUAAUAUUUUGAAAUCAAAGCGUUCCUGGGGUUAUAUCUGUUUCUAAAUCCAAACGGGUUCAGGGUUUUUCAAAAAGGAAAUUAUAAUGAGAUUUUUCUUAAUUACCCUGUUAUCUUCAUAUGGAACCUUAUAGCUUCUGAAAUUUCAAUCUUUGUUAAUAUUUAACUCGUGCCGAAACAUCUAACAAUUCAUUCUAUAUUUUCUUUUAUUUUCUUUUCUUUUUCCCAAAAUAUUUCAGCUUUCUUUGGAGAGGUUCAACCAAGCUGCAGAGACAGUGAAAUUAUUACUGUAACGUUGUCCAGAUCAGAGGUUCAACGGUUUUAAUGUUGUGUUUAAAAUUACAAGUAUUAUACAUUCAUUAUCUGUGAUUAUGUAAUUUGCUGAUGAUAAGUACAUUGAGUGAUGUAUAUAUAUGUGCCUGUGUGAUCAUUACUAAUAACCUUGAUCGUAUGUUUUUAAUACCAAUAAUAAUGUUUCAGAAUUUCUCAAAUUCUCAUGAUGUACAAUUCAUGUUUAUACUAUGUUUCUUUCUCCUCCCUGAGUAGUCAGUAGUAUAAUUUGCAUUGACUGCAUUUUUUGGCUCUACACAAUUUGCUGAUUUUUUUGAAGGAUAUUGAUGCGUUGUGUAAUGGAAUGAUGUUGUCUGCAUCUUGUGCUUUCUGAUUGAUGACUUACAUUUGCCAGGAAGAAAUGAAACCGAAUAGGCUUCUUAAUUUUAUCUAUUUAGUUUUUUGAAUGGUAACCUUUUUAUGAUAUAAAUCGCAUAUUAAUUAGUAGCAGUUGGCAUACUAAUUAGAUAUUGCAUUUUGGCCUUGAAGUGAAAUUAGAGAGCAUGUUUCUUGAGUUUUUUUUUUUUUUUUUUUUAAACAAGACACUUGAAGAAGGAAGUUUAUGUUUUUGCAAUGCUUCUUUCUCUAUAUAAAAUGACUAAUUGGAAAGAAUAUUUAUUAUAAUAGAACCUGGAAUUCCUAUGUAUUUUAGGAGGAAAAUUUAUUGUACUACCACAUCAUCAGGUUACCAUUCAAUGAGCACACGUUCUUCAUUUUCUCCUCUAUUUUUAAUUUCCCAUUGUUAUCCAGACUUUUAUAUGGUAAAAUUAAGAAAUUUAUUGAUUGACUACAUUUUUAAGUUCUUUACAAUUUGUAGAUUAUUUUAAGAACAAUUAGCUACUGCUGCGUUCUGAUGUAAUGUCGGUGUCUAGCAUGCUUUUACCCAAGAUUCAACUAAUUAGAGAUAUGCUGGUACAUUAAAUUAUCCACUUUUAUUAUAUUAAUAUUGGAAAGCAAUCUGAAUGUUGAAACGGCACCGUUUCAGCUCAACCCGCUAUAUGUGUGCGUAUAUUAACAUAUUUAUGCCAUACAGAUAAUUUGAUUGGUCGAUUAAUAUACGUAGUUAGAAAAUUCUAAUCAUCCUAUUAGGUUACAUCACAGUUAUUUCAGAGAAUAACGGGUUUCUAAAAGCUAUUUUUGCUACUAAUUUCUUUGUUAAUGUUCAGGCAGAAAGAAUGGUAAAUGAAUCUUAAUUCCUUUUUCUUUAAAAAUUGCCAAAAAAUUCCCCAGGUUAUUGAGUCUAUGUUAAAGUCCCUUGUGUACUUCAGGUAGCUCUAAGUCAAAAUUAACUAGCACAUUUGCGUAAUCUUGGCAUAAUAUUCAAAGUAGCUGAGGCAGUUUAUGCAGCUAUUUGUACAAUAUUUACUUUUCAUCUUCUUCAUUUCUACAGUCACGCAGGUUUUAUUUAUUUAUUUCUUUUAUAUAAUAAAGGAUGGAUAAAGUUUAAAUCAAAAUUUUCAGCUCACAAUUCGAACUCAAGAGAACAGCAAGUAGCUUGAAAAAUAAAAAUCACUCGGUUAAAUGCCUGGGGCAAUUGUCACAUAGGUUGAAUUAAUGAAAAGAUGCAAUAAAUUUAUUAACAACACAAGCUUGAAUCAAUUUGUCACACUCUCUCUUUCAUUAUUAAUCAGACGAGUAAAAAACAAAAAAUGACAUCUCACAGUCCUGUCUAGUCAAUGGAACCCAAUUUUUUGAGACGAGCGCUGCAUCUUCUCGAACCACCCAACAUCGUCCCUGCCGUCAUGUUUGGUGAAAAAUCAACCUUUAUUUCCUCACACGAGGCUUUGAGACGAUAUCUGGUGUCUGCAGUCUCCGCAAUUGCGUCAACUUCGAUCGUAAAGUUCACAGCUCCGAUUGACGUCCAUUCUUCAACAAUGGCAUCCGCAACAGAGGAAUUGAUGCUCGCCGAGGCAACAUCAACAGUCGCAUUAAUCAGCGUCGUGUGCUCGUGCUCAAAAUACUUAGGAUAUAAAGUAACCAUGGAGGAUAUAUUUUGAUCCAUGUACAAAAGUGAAACGUCAACGUCUCCCAUACCCAGGGACUGAACAUAACACCCAUACAGGCGCCUGCAACUCUCAGGAUUUCUAACAGAGAAUAUAACGCUCCAAUUGGCUGUUAUAUGUUGAAAAGUCAGCAAUCAAAGCCAACUUUUCAAAAAGAAACACACAGCUAGCAUACAAGCUUUGGAGAAAAUACAAAACGUGUUGAAACCAUUGGCCAAAGUUGGCACCGACCCUUGACAAUUAAUUGGCAAGUUGAUGGAGGAGCCACACGCAUUUCUUUUGUUUUUCAAGUCGGUGCCAAAUUGCAAGACUUUUGCCAACUACUUGAAGACUUUUUGCAGUGAAGCUCAACUAUAAAUAGAGCUUCAUUCAGAGAGAAAUUUGCAUCCCAAAAUUGUUAAACUUAUAAGUUUCUAAGCUUUUGAGAGAAGUGAGAGAAGUGAGAGAAGUGUGUCUGGGGAAUUUAUCUUUCUUGCAGAGUGUGAGAGUACUGGGUAUAUUUGGGAUCUGGGAAGUGAGAUUCGUUACUCAAAUAUUGUACUCUAUUAAUUGUUAAAUAAACAAUUAUUCUUUCUUGCCUCCGUGGAUGUAGGUUUAAUUACCGAACCACGUAAAUUUUGUGUCCUUUAUUUUUUAAUAAUUAUUUGGUGCGCUUGAUUCCGCAUUCCGCGCACAACAAGUGGUAUCAGAGCCGACGGUUCGUACUUGGGGGAUACGGUACUGUUCACGUAUACGGUACUAUUUACGCAUACGGUAUUGUUCACAUAUGAUACUGUUCACAUACGGUACUGUUCACGAAUACGGUGGAGACGGCCAUUUGUACUUGAGAGACAAUCUAUUGUAAGUGGUGUGUAUUUUUGCAUGUCUAGGAAAGUUCUGUAAAAAAAAGGCAAUAAGAGUCUAAGGAUUCUGGUUUUUAAUUGGGACCGAGUUCCCGUCCAGUCUUUUGGGAACUUUCUUGGUGCAUUUAUUCACGCGAAAUUAACAUCAUAGAGGUUGUUUUUCAAGUGGAAAUAGUUUGUUGAGAAAAUGGUAGAAGGUGAAACUUCCAGAAUUAUGGAGAGAUCUACCGAGACUAUUUCAGGAGACACUUCAAGUGGGAGGCGAGAUUUGUCAAAUUGCUAUUCAGCACCUGUUAUAGGAGGCCAGAAGAACGAUGUUGAAAAGUUUGAUGGGAAAAUCAAUUUCGGCAUGUGGAGGCGCGAAGUUAUGGAUGCCCUUAUUCAAAUCGAUCUCGAUGUUGUUCUGAAAAUAAAAGACACUUAUAUGAUGAAGAAAUUUGGGAUCGUAUGAAUGAAAAAGCAUGUGAUCAGAUUAGAUCUUGUUGGACUAAGGAGGUGAAAUACUUGGUGAAAGAUGAGGAGUGUGCGGUGACUUUGUGGCGUACAUUGGAGGAGAAGUACAUGCUGAAAAGUCCUAAAAAUCGUCUUCAUGCAAUGAACCAAGUAUAUUGUUUUCGAAUGAAGCCUGGAGUGUCAAUGUACGAUCAUGUCUCAAAAUUUGAAAAGUUACUUGCUGAUUUGAAGAAUCUUGAUGAAGAUAUUAAGGAUGAAGUGAAGGCUAUGAUUCUGUUACACUCACUACCAGAGGAAUAUAGCCAUUUUGUGACUACUUUGAUAUAUGGAAAGAGUGUGAUCGUCUUCAAAGAUGUUUGCACAACAUUGACUAACUUGGAGAUUCGAAAUAAUGAUAAAAAUUCUGAACGACUAUCGUCUGAAGCUUUGGUGAGCAGAGAUUGAGCGAUAGAGAAAAAAAAAAAGCGUGGUGGAAAGAAUUCUCUAUCCAAAUCGAGAAGCAGAAAUCUAGCUCGAGAUAAGUGUGCCUUUUGUCAUGAAAAUGGUCAUUGGAGGAAAGAUUUUCCAAAGGCUCAAAAGAGAGAUGGGAAGAAACCAGCAGCAGCAAACAUGGCACGGAAAGAUGAAGACUCUGAUUAUUCACUAAGUAUUACUCCUGCAACAUGCGUGGCUAGUUCGAGCGAGUGGAUACUUGAUUCUGGAGCAACCUAUCAUUUGUGUCCUAUUAAGGAAUGGUUUACGGAUUUUUGUAAUCUAGAAUCCGGUGCAGUUGUGAUGGGGAAUGAUCAACCUUGUCGCACAAUGAGGAUAGGAACAAUUCGGCUCAAAAUGUUUGAUGGAAUAGUCAAAGAACUCAAAGAGGUUAGAUUUGUUCCAGCUUUAAAGAAAAAUCUAAUUUCUGUGGGUGCUUUAGAAGCUAAAGACUACAAGGUUACCAUUGAAGAUGGCAUAAUGAAGUUUACACAUAGGGCUCUGGUGAUUCUGCAAGGGGUUCGGCAUCACAAUCUGUACUAUUUGAAGGGAGGUACAACUGAUGAAGCAAAUGUUGUUGAGGCGCACAGUGACACCAUCAAGCUAUGGCAUGUACAACUGAGACAUGCUGGAGAGAAGUCUUUGCAAACUCUGAUGAGGCAUGAACUCUUAAAAGGUACCAAAACCUGUAAAUUAAAUUUCUGUGAGCAUUGUGUAGUAGGCAAAAAAACAAGGGUCAAGUUUGGUACAGCUAAUCACGAUACUCGUGAGAUCCUUGAAAAUGUUCAUAGUGAUGUAUGGGGACUAACCAAGACUGCAUUAAUUGGUAUAAGCCAUUAUUUUGUUACAUUUGUUGAUGAUUUCUCUAGACGUGUGUGGGUGUACACCAUGCGAGCAAAGGAUGAGGUUAUAGAGAUUUUCGUGAAAUGGAAGAAAUUGGUGAAGACUCAAACUGGCAGAAAAAUCAAAGUAUUACGAUAUGAUAAUGGGGGUGAAUAUACUUCUGAUCCAUUCUUGCAAGUAUGCCAAAACGAGAUUAUUAAAAGACAUUUCACAGUGAGACAUACUCCGCAAUAGAAUAGUGUGGCUGAGCGUAUGAAUCGUACUUUACUGGAGAAGGUACGGUGUAUGUUAUCUAAUGUUGGUUUAGAUAAAAAGUUUUGGGCUGAAGCUGUGAGUUACGCAAGUCACUUGAUAAACCGGUUGCCUUCUGCUGCAAUUGGAGGUAAAACUCCUAUGGAAAUGUGAUCUGGAAAACAUGCACAAGACUAUGAUUCCCUUCGUAUAUUCGGGUGUCCAGCUUAUUAUCAUGUCAAAGAUGGUAAACUGGAUCCUCGUGCUAGAAAAGCUAUCUUUGUGGGAUUCAAAGGUGGAGUAAAAGGCUUCAAGCUUUGGGAUCUCGAAGAUAAAAAGUUUGUGUGUAACAGAGAUGUCACAUUUGAUGAAGCUUCAAUGAUAAAAGCUUCAGGUUCUCAGUAGGUGGAGAACAAGACCAAAGAGGUAUUGCAGCGGGUGGAGUUUGAUGCAACUCCAUAUGUACCAGUUAGUUUUACAUCAAAGAAUGGUUCAACUAUGGAGGUGAUACAUAGAGUUGAAGAAGAGAUUGUUUCUUCUGAUGUCCAACAAAGUGAAGAAACAAUUGAUGAUGUAGAUAAUGAUGAUUUUAUAGCAACAAAGAGGCCAAGAAAAGAGAUAAAGAAACUCGGAUGACUUACUAAAGAUACGGUGGUAGCCUAUGCACUUCCAGUUAUUGAUGAUGACAUUCCUAACACUUUCGGUGAAGCAUUACGCUGCAGUGAAAGUGAUCAGUGGAAGUUAGCCAUGGAGGAAGAGAUGAAAUCUCUCCAUCAAAACCAGACUUGAGAACUUGUAAAGUUACCAAAAGGGAAAAUGGCUAUUGGCAAUAAAUGGGUCUACACCAAAAAGCAAGGAUCUCCGAAUCAAACAACUCCUCGAUACAAGACAAGGCUCGUGACAAAAGAUUUUGCUCAAAAGGAAGGUAUUGACGACAAUGAAGUUUUCUCUCCAGUUGUAAAACAUACUUCCAUUCGUAUCCUACUUGCCUUAGUUGCAGAAUAUGAGUUAGAGUUGGCUCAAUUGGAUGUUAAGACGACGUUCUUACAUGGAGAUUUGAAUGAGGAAAUCUAUAUGAUUCAGCCUUGUGGUUUCAAAGUUGCUGGAAAGGAGAAUCAUGUGUGUAGGUUGAUUAAAUCUUUGUACGGACUGAAGCAAUCGCCAAGGCAGUGGUACAUAAGAUUUGAUCAAUUUAUACAAGGGCAGAAAUUCACCAGAAGUGAACACGAUCAUUGUGUUUACUUUAGAAGACUACCAGAUGGAGCUUUCAUUUAUUUGUUACUCUAUGUCGACGAUAUGCUUAUAGCUUCGAAGAAUAGAGAUGAGAUCGAAAGAUUAAAGAAGCAGCUGGCUUCUGAGUUCGAGAUGAAAGACUUGGGUGAUGCACAGAGAAUACUUAGGAUGGAGAUUCAUAGAGACAAGAAGAAUGGGAGCGUAUGGUUGACUCAAAAGUCUUAUUUGAAGAAAGUGCUAGAAAGAUUCGGUAUGGAUGACAAAACUAAACCGAUAUGUACACCUCUAGCUCCUCAUUUCAAAUUAAGCUCUUCUUUAUGUCCUAAAUCUCAAGAGGAGCGCGAUUAUAUGGCUCGUGUUCCAUAUGCUAGUGCUGUGGGUAGUCUUAUGUAUGCUAUGGUAUGCACAAGGCCCGAUAUAUCUCAAGCAGUGAGCGUAGUUAGUAGAUACAUGCAUAAUCCGGGUAAAAAUCAAUGGCUUGCGGUAAAGUGGAUUCUCCGAUAUCUGUAUGGGACAAUUGAUGUUGGUUUAUUGUUCAAGAAGGAUUGUGGUCAAUAAUGUGUUGGGUAUUGUGAUUCUGAUUUUGCUGGAGACCUUGACAAGCGAAGAUCAACAACGGGCUACGUAUUCACAUUGGGUGGAGGUCCGGUUAGCUGGAGGUCGAUUCUACAAUCGACAAUUGCUCUGUCCACUAUGGAAGCAAAGUAUAUGGCAACAACUGAAGCUGUAAAGGAAGUUAUCUGGUUGAAAGGCUUGUUAGGUGAUUUGGGAGUAAUCCAGGAGAACAUUGCAGUCUUCUGUGAUAAUCAAAAUGCGAUACUCCUUGCGAAGAAUCAAACAUAUCACGCUCGAACGAAGCACAUAGAUGUGAAAUAUCAUUAUGUGAGGGAGAUUAUCGAGAGCGGUGAUGUGUUGUUGAAGAAGAUCGAUACAAAAGAUAAUCCAUCAGAUAUGUUGACGAAGGUAGUUUCUGGAGUUAAGUUUCAACAUUGCUUGAAACUAAUUCAAAUCCUUCGAUUGUGUUAAGUUAUGUCCUUUGGAAAUCUUGAAUUACAGUUGGCUUGAUCCCAAAUUUUGGGUACGUAGGCAGUCAUAGAGAUGCAACCACUUUGAGGAUGAUGGUUCGUUGAUAGUCGGCUCAGAUUUGGCUAAAUCUUCGCCGAGGUGGAGAAUUGUUGAAAAGUCAGCCAUCAAAGCCAACUUUUCAAAAAGAAACACACAGCUAGCAUACAAGCUUUGGAGAAAAUACAAAACGUGUUGAAACAAUUGGCCAAAGUUGGCACCGACCCUUGACAAUUAAUUGGCAAGUUGAUGGAGGAGCCACACGCAUUUCUUUUGUUUUUCAAGUUGGCGCCAAAUUGCAAGACUUUUGCCAACUACUUGAAGACUUUUGCCAAAUUGCAGUGAAGUGAGAGAAGUGAGAGAAGUGUGUCUGGGGAAUUUAUCUUUCCUGCAGAGUGUGAGAGUACUGGGUAUAUUUGGGUUUCUAGGAAGUGAGAUUCGUUACUCAAAUAUUGUACUCUAUUAAUUGUUAAAUAAACAAUUAUUCUUUCUUGCCUUUGUGGAUGUAGGUUUAAUUACCGAACCACGUAAAUUUUGUGUCCUUUAUUUUUCAAUAAUUGUUUGGUGCGCUUGAUUCCGCAUUCCGCGCACAAAAUUAUACAACUAGAAUUAUUCGAGAUGUUGAACUUGAAUGGAUGUACACUCAAUGAAUCAACUUUGAACGUUAAAGGUCCGCCAGAGUAUUCUUUUCCAAUAAAGAUAUGGAGACUAAACCAGAUUGCCAAACAUAAUCUAAAGAAAGAGCAGCAAGCUAGUAUGCAAGAACAGAAAAGCUUACAGCAACUAGUAGCAAAGUCCUCGUCCAUUGUCGAAGAUUGUGCUUCUGCACGUUGAUUCCACGUAAUGCUGAGAAUUAACAAAUUCAAAAACUCACCUUUGGAGACUGAAAUAAUAUUUUAACUAGAAUCAACUACUAAAGACUACAAAAGAAAUCUAUUUAUAUUAUUAGCAAUUAUCCUCAAAUAUUUAGGAAAAGGGAAAAAUUUUUCCUACUAACAAUAAGGAAACUGCAACCAAUCUAAAUAGUGAUAAGGAAAGCUAGUCCUAAUCUGCGUUAAUAUAUCUAUAGAGAGAGAGAGAGAACAAAAGUGGACGAAGGUUUAUUAAGAUUGUUGAGGAUUUAAUUUGAACAAAUUGAAUGUUGAUUGUUCAAAUUUUAAACAAAUUUGCGAUACUGAAUCUAAGUUUUGAAGAACACCAAUUAUACAAUUAGGGUGUGUUUGGAACAAGAGAUUAUAGGGUAUUAAAACAUUAUUCACAUUAGCUUAAUACCAAUAUCAUUGGAAAGAAAUUGUAAUGGAUUAAAGAGAGUGUGCUAAUGCGGCAGUUGCCACAUUAAUGUUUUUUUAAAAAUAAUAAUAAGUAAAUAUAACUUUUUAAUUCAAUGUAAUAUUAUAUAAUAUUCAUCUUUCUUUUCUUUUAUUUUUACAUUAUAAUUAUUAAUAUAAACUAAUAAAUUUAUAAUUUUAUUAUUGAUAUUUUAAUUUUUUUAUAUUAAGAAUAUAACUAAAAUAAUAUAUUAUUUAAUUAUAUAAUAAUUAAUAUAUAAAAUUGAUUAAUAUUUAAUAAGUUAAUACAACUAAUAAAAAUACUUAAAUAAUAUAUAAAAAUAAAAAUAUAAGAUAAUAUUACAUUAUUCAAUUAUAUUAUAGUAAUUAAUCUAUAAAAUUGAUUAUUAUUUAACAAUUUAGUAUAAAUAAUAAUAAAUAUUUAUAUAUGAAUAAAUUUAAAUAAUAUUAAUUUAAAAUUAAUACCAAUAUAAAUAAUAAUAUAAAAUAAUAUUACAUGUACUAUGGGAUUCUUACUUGGAUUAUUUAGCACAAUUCAUUUUAUUGGUGAAUAUAUUACAACUAUUGUAUCACUUUAUUAUUUUCUGAUUAUCUUGUGGCAUAUAUAAACACUUUUAUUCUAUCAUCCGAAGAUAACUUUUAAACUAAUCUUGUAGGUUUUAACCAAUUUAUUUAUCAUUUAGAAAUUAUGUUAUUAAAUUAUUUACUUCGAUCUUUAUUUCACAAGUUAUAUAUUAAAAAAUACUAAAAAAUAAAUAUUAUGCUGCCGAAAAUGUAAGGUUAUAAGCUUCAAUCUUUAUGAAAAAAUUUCUAAAAUUUAAGACUUCUAUAUUUAGUAUUUUUCUACAUACUAAUAAAUAUUAUUUUCUAAAUAUAUAAUUUAAAUUAAUCACAAAAAAAUUAAUACAAUACAAUGUAGCACCAAGCGUUGUACAUCAUUAUUAUAAUAUAGUGUCAAUGCAAUACAAUAUACAUGUAUUAAAAUAAUGCAAUACAAUAUAAUACAAUACACUAUGCCAAAUGCACCCUUAAUACAGAAUUGAUCCAUUGCUUUAGAAUCGUUCAAAAUCUUUCAUAUUAACCUUGGUCUGAUUCAAUUCUUGGAACCAAUGACAAGCCUUUGAUGUUUUUAGUCCACUUAAUAUAUAUCUUAUAAAGAUUUUAUAAUUAAUUAAUGGGAAACUAUCAAUUUGUCAUUUAGGUUUUUUAGAUGAUAUAUCAAUUUGAUAAAUUUGUAAGAUAACACAUUAUAAAAAAAAAAAACUCUUAUAAUUUCUUAUACUGUUAACAUUUUUGAAAAAAUAAAUACUUGUUUUGGAAAAGGUAGAUAAACCACAUUAGUUUUACUUGUUUAACCAAAAUACAAGUAAGUUAGUUCAUAAAACAAAAAAUUUAAAUCGCUUAAUUACAACAAAAGAACAUGAGAUUAAAUUUUUUAGGAAAAUAAAAAAAUAUUUUCAUUAAAUAAGUAUUUAUUAAUUAAUACAUAAUUUUAUAAUUUUAUAAUUUUUGAUUAAUUAAAAUUCAUUUAUUUAAUAUAUUUUUUGUGGAUGGUUCUUGAGUAAUACCCAAAUAUUUUUACCAUAAGUGCUAAGGUGGUACACACGCCCAUUGAAUGAUCAAUUUCAUGAUUAAUUAAAUUAUCUUUUAUUCCAUUUGACUAUCUAAUGAAAGAAUAUAUAUCACUUUAUUUAGUAUUGUAAUGGUUAAGAUACGGCUUGAGAAGUAUAAUUGGUCAACUAAGUCAUAAGAUGGGCUUGACGGUUUUUAAGUAACUUUAUUUAGUUAGCCACCCAAAUUUAAAUCUUGAAAGAGGUUGACAAUGACAAAUUAAAAUAAAAAAGUCAUGAAAAUGAGCCAUUGGAGUAACCUAAAUUGUCUCAUAUUUUGUUACCUUUUUUCAUAUAGUAACGAUAUUGGUUACAAUGUAGGGAUAUAUAUGAAGUUUGUACUUCAAAUUAUGCAAAAUGACAUGACACUUGAUGGGUUAUUUAUUCAUUUUUUUUAUCAAAUUAUCUUAUUUAUGAUUAGUAUAAAAAAUCAACUACUAACAAUAAUGAUUCAUAAAAAAUUAAAAAUAAAAUCAAUUAUUAAUGAAAGAACAAAUUCAAUUAAAAUUUUUAAUUCAAAAAAAUUAAAAUAAAAAAUGUAAUUUACGCUUGCCACUUACCUCCACAACACGCUUGAGUCACGUGAAGUGUAAACAAAAACCAACUUUCCCAAAACAGAAGCUCAAACAAUUAGUUUCAACAACUAUAUCUUUGAUGCCCUAACCCUAACUAACACCGCCAAAUAAUGGCUAGUUGCUGGUGCUUAAACUUUUGGCACCAAUUGAAUGAAUUUUUCUUCAUUAAUAAACUUGUUGAUACAGCACCCGAAUUCAGGAUUCAUAUAGCACUACUUUAAAGAGAUUUCACAGCGAUUAUAUCGUUGAGCCAAAUUUUAGUAUCAAAAAAUUAAACUUAAUGUGCACUUAAGAGAAUACUCACCUGGUUUCCUGAUUCCAUUCGAAUUAGAUAUCAAAUGACAACAAUUCCCCCAAUAUCCUGCUUCACGUACACAAACGCAACAACACUUGAUUUCCAAGUAACUGAGAGAGUUUCCAAAUUUUGCUUUUUUAUCUCGUCAUUCAUUCUCUCCAAUCAAAUUUACCCACCAAAAGUCUUCCUAAUUCCAUCUCUAAUUCUUUCAUUUUAAAUCUUGCUUUCCGAUUUCGUGGACAAAACAACAAAUAUGGCUCAAGUUAGAGAUCAACAAGAGCUGUUGGAUUACUGUCUCUUCAACAAGAUGACACAAUACCCUCUUCUUCAUGAAGAUGGGAAAUGGUAUUCCCGUAAGAAAUUGCAAUCUUUAUGUCUUCAACGAGCCAUCUAUAAUUUGGAGUUUGUACGAAGGAGACCAAUUACUUGAGAAUCAAGCUUUCUACGUUUUCACCAGGAUGAAGAAACUAUCUCCAAAGACUUCAAGAUUUACAGAAAGAUUGGUUCUAGUGUGUGGCGGGGAAAGGAUGGAGCCAAGCUUGUUCUUGCUUCUGGCUCUGUUGAUCAGAUUUUAGGGUUCAAGAAGAGGAUCUUGUAUCAAAGUAGUAAAAACCCUAGAGAAGAUAGAGGAUGGAUCAUGCAUGAAUUUACUAUUAAUCCAACCUUGUUGGAGUAGCAAUAUUCGCAUAAAGCCUUCAACUUUGUUCUCUACUGCAUUAAAAAGAAUGAAUCUGAACGACAAGCAAAUGACUUGGAUUAGCCAUAUUAAUCAGAAUGAUGAGUGCUUUCAAAAUAAGCACUUAAGAGCUCAACAAGCAGCAGUUCUAGUUCAACAUAACCCACUCACCAUGUUUAAGCUUUGCCAGUAGUGGAAUAUGAAGGGGAAUUCUGAUACCACUAUUGCUUUCUUUAUUUUGAUAUGAUUUUAGGAAGCAUAAAAUUGAUUGCCGAUGUAUGUAAACAUUUUUUUAAUUGUUUUUAAUCAUAGUCAAUUGUAUUACAAUCUCAUCUUGGUGGGAGUGCUUAAAUACUUAUUGGGAAUGCAGCUGCCUUUAUAUACUUGUUAGGAAAGUUUUGUCGCUCUAUUGGUCCUACCCUACUUGAAUCUGGAUUAGUUGAGGCACAAUACAAUCUUCACUAUAAGGAUGGCAAUUGUGCCCGCAAACCUACAAAUCUGCCCAAACCCGCCCGCCAAAACCCACCAAUUGCGGAUAAUUUUGCGGUUGCGGGUGGGUUUGGUAUUAUAAAUUGAAACCCGCACUUGGAUGUGGGUGAGUUUGGUAUUAGCUCAAUAUCCUGUGGAUACCCGCAUGGAUAUCCGCUAGACCCGCAAUUUUUUUAAAAUAUUUUUAAUUUAAUUUUAAUUUAAAAAUAUUUUAAUCUAAAAAAUAUAUAAAGAAAAUAAUACAAUUAUGCAAAGUGCCAAAUAACCGAAGUGUUUUUGUAUGGUCUAUUUUUCUUUAACUUAAUGCAUGAAUUAUUUCAUUAUUAUAAUUUUUUUAUUCGAAUUAAUAUUUAAAAAGUAUUAUUCUUUGGAAAAUAUUAAUCUUAGUAAUUAUUGUAGGCAUCAUGUUGGAUAUGUGCUAAUGAUGGUGAAUGAAAUGAAAAUCUUCUCUUGGAGGAACUUAUGUUGAAUGAUAAUAUGAAAAAUUAUUAUUAUUUUUAGAUACUAGUUUGUGGGUUUUUUUUAAUGGAUUUGUGUAUUUGAUACUUAAAUUUGAGAAUAUGUGUUGGAUUGAUGUUGAAAUUUUAAUUUUUCAUUUACAUUGGUUAAAUUUAAAAUUGAGUAUGUUAUGUCGAAUUUGAGGUUAUUAUUGUAAAUUUAUAUAUUGAACAUUUGUGAUUUUAAAUGUACAAACCCGCAAAAAAUCAGUUGGAUACCAUUGCGGGUUUGGUAAUUGUCAAAACCCACAGCGAGUGGGGUUUCUUAAAAAAAUUAAAACCCGCUAUGGGUUGCGGGUGGGUUUGGUAAUUUAAACCCGCUGUGGGUUUGCUAACCACUAAACAGAAGUCUUUGCAAGAGAGUGGAAUAAAGAGCUUGGGUUCUCUUCGUUGUUGUCAAUUUCUAGUUGUAGGGAUUUAGAACAUUUGUUCGAGGAGAUAUAUCAAUUAAGUGUCCUUCGAACAUUAUUAAUUGAUAGUUGUCCUCGUCCAAUCUCAUUGCCACCUGCUAUCAAAUAUCUCAGCUCAUUAGAGACUCUGUCUUUGACUGGGUGUGAAAGCCUUGAUCUUAAUCUGAACAUGGAAGGUGAAGGAAGUCAUCAUGAUCGCAGAAACACAAGGCCUCUGUAACACCCCAGUCUGAAUUCCAUGGACAAAUAUGUCCACAACUCACAUAUGAAUUUAAAUAACUCUUUAUAAACGCUAAAAUUCGAGCCUUAAAUACAAAAGCCAGCAGAAUAACUUAAAAUUUUAGUCAAACCAUCUACCAUCCUCAAUUUAAAUCCAUCUUCUCGCUCAUCACGAAUCAAUCAUGACUUCUGGAAACUGAAUCACAAUAAACUAUAAUGAGUACAAAACCCAGUAAGCAAACUAGUUUUUCUUAUACGAAAAUACAUACAUACUUAUAUAUAAUGCAAUGGAUGAUAUGACAUGAUCUUUUGGAAAUAUUGUAAAACAAAUUCAUCAAUUUUUUUUUUUUUGUCGCUUUCAAACUUUCACAUUUUCUUUCCAUAAAAUACGUAUCCUGCAAUGUGGCACUUUGCGCUGUGCGUGGCACUUUGCGAUGCUUUGGCCCUCAAGAGGUGGCCCCUGCAUAGUCUCAAGAGGUGGCCCCCACACAACUUCAAGAGGUGGCCCUUAAUGUAAAAUCUCAUAAAACAGAAAUUUCAUUUGGUAAAAUCCACUUUUUCUUUCAUAGAAAACUCAAUGCAUUUUCGUGCUUAUACAAAUGAACCAUCACACAUGCAUAUGCCCAUGUAUAUAAUCACACCCAACACAUAAGAACACAUCACAUAAACACAUGAGCAGAGACAUAUAAAUCCAUAUUCGUACAUAUCAAAAUAGGCUUUUCAUACAAAUCAAACAUAUAUAUUGUUUAUUGUGAUUCGUUUUAUAAUCCAAUUUACUUACCUCUUGGCAUCCUUAUGUAACAAAUGCGUACUGAUAUCACCAACCUAAAAUCAUCAAUAAAUUUCUCAUAAGAUAUAAUCGAGUCUCAAUCAUAAACUCUAAUGUCCUCAAAUAUCUCAAUUUACACAUCUCCUAAGCUCAACCUCAAAUGUCCUCAAUAAUCGGCCCUCAAAACAGAACAGUCCAUAUUCUCCCAUUUUUUUAAUAAAUUAUUCCCUCGUUGGAAAACUCUCAAAUUUUACAGACCAUAUGCUGACAUAUUGAAAGUUCAUUGAUAAAAAUUUCAUAACUUGAUUCCUUCAAAAACUAUUGAAAAUAAUUGACGUUUCAGACAUCAUCAAUGUUGUCAAACAGUUUUCUGUUUUGCACACACUUGGUUUAAAAAUACAAAACAAUUGAUUGCUUUAUCAUAAAAUCAUGAACAUUUACAUAAUCAUACUAGACAUAUAUAAAAAUCACUGAUCCAAUUUUCAUAAUUUUUGAAGAAGUCUAGCUAUGGUAAAAAUAAUUUCGUAAUUCACGUUAUGCACUGAAAUCAGAAAUUUUCAGGUUUUCAGACUUGAAUUUGAAAAAUCGUAACUAAUUGAAAUCUUAUCCGAUUAACUUGAAACAAGUUUCAAAACAUUCUAGACGAUGUCUAGUUUAACAUAUCCAAAAAUCAGAAUCAAAAUCAAUUUGUACAAAUUACUAAGAUUUUCGUAAUAAUUCACUGUUAGCAUAUUUCUGCAAAAUCUUAAGUUUAUACUUCUAUUGCAAUCAUACUUCUCCAUAACAAAUUAAUAAAAAUCAAGAAUUAAAACUUACCUCCAAAUCCAAAUCUUCUCUCAACAAUACCCAAUUCAAAUUAUGCAAUUUGAUCUCAUGUGUUGUCAUGGCAGAACAAAGAAGAAGAAGACUUUCUUCUUCUCUUUUUCUUUUCUUUUCUCUCCGUCUCUCUCUCUUUUUUUGUCGUUUUUUUUUUGUCUUAGCCGAUUUCUCCUUCUUCCUCUCUCAUAAUGGAAAAGACAUCUUGUUCUAUUUAUACUAGGGUAAAAGAGAUCACUAAAAACUAAAAAGACUUAAAUACCCUUAGGAGAUUUGGGGUAUUACAGCCUCACCUUCGGAGGGUUGUCAUUGGGGAAAUAACACAAUUAUUAGAACUGCCACAAUGGCUUCUUCAAGGUUCUACUGAUACUUUGCAGAACUUGUUAAUUUUUGGUUGUCCCAACUUCAUGGCACUACCAAGGUCUCUAAAAGAUCUCGAAGCUCUUGAAACUCUUGUCAUUAUAGGAUGUCCAAAAUUGUCAUCGUUGCCGGAGGAUAUGCAUCACCUCACUACUUUGAAAUCAUUGGCCAUUGGAGGAUGUCCUGCGCUGAGUGAACGAUGCAAACCGCCAACAGGUGAAGAUUGGCCCAAAAUUGCACAUAUCCCUCAGGUUAAUCUUGAUGGCAAGAUGAUUAAAUCAAGUGAUAAUUAGGUAUGGAUUAAACUCUCUUCUUUUUUAAUUUCCUCUUUUCAUGCAGCUUUCUAGUUUUUAAUUUCUCAUACAGCUAUACCGUUUAUAGUUAAUGUUUUUUUAUGUUUGCCAAACGAAAACUUGACUUUGAAUGUUAGUUAGUUAGUUCAAAUUUGUACUGAUUUAUUUUCUUCUAAUACAUAACUAGUUUGUCAGUACAAAACACAAAAAUAAUAUUUCGGAAACCGCACUGUUCUAGGGGUCAGAUCUGUUUCUAAAUUCAAACAAUUCAGGAUUUUUCAAAAUGGAACUUAUAAUGAGAUUUUUUUUAAUUGCCUAGUUAUCUUCAUAUGGAUUUUCAAUCUUUGUUAAUACUUUAACUUGUGCCGAAACAUCUAACAAUUCUUCCUCUUAUCCUUUUUUUCCCAAAUAUUGCAGCUUUCUUCCUCUUAUAAGGCAGAGGCCAUGGGGAAAAUGGGCAGCCGAAAUUAGAGACCCUUACAAGGGUGUCCGCGUUUGGCUCGGUACUUUCAACACAGCCGAAGAAGCCACAAGAGAUUGUGCUGAAGUCGCCAAGUGAUACACCUCUACGAAACCAAGAAUGUAUCGGAUUAAACUUGCACUCUUCGAGUGAGUGUUGACUCCAAAAAUAGAAAGAUCAGAGAUGAAUAUUAAGAAGGGAAGAGAGGUUGAGAAAGAGAGAAGAGCCAAGAGAAAUAGAAAGAGAUAUUUUAUUUCCUCAUGCCCCACACGAAUUCGUUCUGCUCUACAUAUAUUCCUCUGUCUAAGACGUUAGCAAAAAUAUUACAGCUCAGCAACUUCUAACAGAAAAUAUGACAGCAAAAACAAACCAGCAAUCAUAAGGUACUAGCAAUUUCACUACACGACAUAAUCCUUAAACCACCCAGGGGAUCUUCUAACUCGUGUGCUUGUGUGCCGUUCCUCAUGGGCUGAUUCUUCCUCAACCUGUAAUGUGGCUUCCUUCAUGGGUUGUUCAUAAUUGGACUCGCUGUUGGGCUGCCCUUCUUGUAAGCAAUCCGGUUGAUCCGACUGAAUGUGAAAGGUUGUAUCACCAAGCGUAUCCGUGGCAACAAGGCCUAGCUCAACUUUGCUCACCGGCCGCCAAUAACUCCACCUCCAGCUAAGCAACGCUUCAUGCUAUCCCCUGAGUUGACUCAGCCGAGUUUCGAAGAUUACUUUUUUAUUGGUUUUCAUUGAUUUCUUUUCCCUUAAAUUGUGAACACUUGGGCUUUUAUUGUUGAAAAUCACUUUUUUGGCGCUGCUUUUAUCUACGAGGUUGUGCUUUCCUUUGGAUGCUCUUUAAUAAACAGCUUUCCUAAUAACAACUGAAGUGAAAAGUCAUUUUAUCAAAUGAUUUGGUGAAAUUUCAAGUACUUUCAUCUUGGUUUUUGCAGUUAAUAGGAAUAGUUUGGUGUUGGGAUGUGGUAUAUGUAUCAAGUUCUUAUUGCUAGUGAGCAUUACAGGUUUAGUGUGCGAUCAUGUACUAUCACUGCAUGCAUUAUUAGUUUAUUUUAUUGAACUAUCCCAAAUCAGUAAAGAAUCCUCAAUUCCCUCUGUUUUCUUUAGAUCCUAGUAGUGUUUAGCAAGCAUCAACUAGUGUUCAUGCAUGUGUCGGUUCAUCAUGGACAACUUCAGCACACAUACAACAGCCCUCAUUUCUCCUUGCUCCAACCAAUCGAUGGCAGAAUCAUCACAGACACCUUGAGCUCUGUCGAAUCAUCAUAGACAAUUUGUGAUUCUCACAAUGUAGAGAUAAAAUAUGCAAAACAUCAUUUAUGUCCUGUAUCAAUUUCAAGGUCAAUAAUCCCCAUCAAUCCCUCUCCAUGAAUUAAUUAAUAUAAGAGAGUUUUGUAACAGAAACUAAUUAAGAGAUUAAGAAAGCUUUGAAGAGGGGACACUUGAAUGUUCGUAAUGACAUCCCAAUAAUUGAUGUGCUUUUACAAACAGGUCAUUUUAUUUUAGUAUGAUGGCAUAUCAGUAUAAGGAGUUUAAGUAGAGAAUCAUCGUGACAAUUCUUAAGUUAGAUUAUUUGUAAUUUAUAAUUGACUUAAAAUUAAUUUCUCAUAAUUUUUUUAAUUAUUUACCAACCAACCAUUGAAUUAUAAAAAAAUUAAAUGUAAAUUAGAUAUUAUGUAAUUCUAGAAGGGUCAACAACUAACUACAAUAAUUUUUACAGAGACAAUCAUGUACGUCAGUAUUUAAAUAAAUGCAUACUAAUCUAUACAUCUACUUGCCGGAAUCAUAUAUGUAAAACGAGAUAAAUAUUAAGGUUCAAAACUUUGUAAUUCAUUAAAAAAUUAUCCAUCUUUACGUUCCAAAUAUAAUUGGUGAGUUUUUAUUGGUCUGUUUGAUAUUUUAUGAUUUCUGGCUUUAUGGGUUUGAUGGAAUUUUUCAUUUUUACGUUGUGAAUGUUAGGGUACGCGAGAGUGCUCUUGAAUUGCAUUGCCUUGGCUUUUUAUGUUUUCUCUGUUCUUUACUUUAUCAGCUGAGAAUAUAUUUUAGAAGUUUACUUUGAUUUCUAGCUUUAUGGCCUCUGUUUGAUGUGUGUAGUAUUUGACUAAUGCGAGUAUUGUGUGUUUUCAGCUUUGUAUGUGAUGCAGUAGAUAGUUGGUGUGCUCGUAAAUUCAAUCAAGGCAUGAAGUGACUGCUAUCUAUCUUUCGGCAAAUUAAGCGUCGAUGAUUUAUGCUAAUGGAGCUGCUAAAAAUUGUCUUUGUGUGUGAUUGAGUACAUGUUAGUGUGAAUUCUCGUAAUCUUUAUCAGUCAAAGCAAACGUUCGCCUCUCACAUUGACGGUUAGGCUAGAUGUUUGGUCCUGUAUAAGAUGAUUGAGUUUAUUAUAGUCUUCUUAUAUUGUCGGUUCAAUAUCAUUUUGAAAUAUCACAUCAACUCCGCUUUUGGAGUUUUAAUUCAUGCCCAGUUACACCUUUAUUUUACUUUUGAGCUGCAGCAUUGAGUCACAUUCUUUUUGCUGUUAUUAUUUCGAUUAGCGACUGGUACAGUGGUAUUUGAACUGCAUAGUAUGUCAACUUUCGCUCUAAAUGUAUUAGAAAUUCUGUGUAUCACUAAUUUCCUAGAGCAGGCCUCGAUGACAGUCAAAGAUUUGAGGCAUAUUUCUGGAUUAAAGGCUUUUCUGUAGUCUAUUUGAUGAUAAGCGCAUUUAUUAUCUCCAACAUUUUAAGCACUAAUUUGUAACUGCUAGUAACCAGUACCUAAGAUGUUGCAUUUGACCGUCUUCUCUUUCUGGUUCACUUUCAACCUUUGGAGCUGUUUUAGACAUGGUAACCGAUAGGUAAUUUCUCUACCCCACCCCCCAAUGUAUCAUUAGUCAUCAUUCGUUCUGGUUGGCGUAGAUACGCAUACUAAUUUGGUGGAUUAUUGUCUGUGUCUUCGUCUUUUGUCAAUAAUCUUUUGCAUUUCAGGAUUAGUACAGCUUGUCUACUGGUAAUACUCUCUCAAGUAUACAGGUAAGACUUUGUUACGUUUUCUUGACCCGUAAUCUAAUGCUUUAAGAUGAAUGCAUAAUUCAGCUAUUUUGCAUCCCCAUGCAGGCCUGGUUUGGUUUUUGUGUCACUACUUGCAUUAGAUAUUGGCAGUCAAUGGCUGCGGAUGUAUAGGUGCCUCUUCGUUUCCCUGACAUAAUCUCAUGUAAGAUGACAUUGCUUGUGGAACUGGAAGAUAUUUGAUUUUUUUUUUCAUUUUUGCUAAAGAAAAGUGUUACUUGCGUUGGGAAAUAUGCCUACCACUCUGGAUCUCCGUUGCAGUACAUUCUUGAGAGGAAAAUCUAGCCAUAAAAUGUAAAAGACAACACAAAUUGGCUUUUAAAAGCCUAUUAUGGGAACCGGAUGUUUAUGGGUUAUAGUUGUGUGGCAUGUGAGGUAAUUGUAGCUUUCCGUGUUAUUAUCCAUAUCAGGAUUUGCAAAUGUUAUCAGUGCUUUUUACCUGAUCCAACUGUUUCAACCCUGCAGCUUCUUUACCUAAUCCUAUUUCUUAUUGCGGAGACGCAGAGUGAAAGUUUGGUGGAUGUAGGAUCUCAUUUUCUUACUAUUAGAUUGUUCUGCAUAUAGAAAGAUUUCCCCUGUUUCUCGCUUUGCAAACAAUCUCUUCUUUCAGGUAGUGGUGAGUGCUGUGCAACAGGGCUCGCCUCUUUCCUUCCUAGUUGCAUUGAGUUUAUUCGGAUGGGCAAUCAAGCAAACGAUCAAUGUCAUACAGGUAACUUCAACCCCAUAUGAUGGUAAUGUUCGUUUAUCCUGAUACUUCUUGACAAUAAGUAAAUUUCUUGAUGUCUACAAAUUAAGGAGACUUUUGUAUGGGUAAAGUUGACAUUUUACAAUGGCAUUCUGGAUCCUGAAAUCGGUCGGUUUGAGAUUCACAUGCUGUGAUAUGCUCUAAUGUUAAAACUCAAACCUUUUCUGUAUCUUAAAUGGAUUUUCGUGGAUAUGCCUGGGAUGAUCAUUUUCUUCCUCUUCAGCUCAUCAUCUUUGUCAUAGUAGUUAUAAUUGAUUGAGGAGUGAGAAAACGCAUUGUGAUGAAUGAAUGCACAAGCUAUGUGAUUAAGACUGCAUUUAUUAGGUUGGUGACGGCAAAUAUCAGGCAGGAUAUUCACAAUGAGUAAUGAUAUAGCCACAAACUCUUGUACAAAUUUAUUUUGUACAAACUUAUGUGGCAUGAUAAGAUUGGUUGAAUUAAAUAUCACUUGGGCCACAUGAUUUGUUUUCAUUAUUUUAUAUUUUCAUUCAACCAAUGAAUUAGUGCCACGUCAGUUUGUACAAAAUAAGUUUGUACAAUAGUUUGUGGCUGUAUCAUUACUCAUUCACAAUAGUGCUACUGAAGCUUUAUAUGGAAUAAGGAGACCAAACCUCUAUAUGAUAAGAGUUGUACGAAUACCAAAUGAAUUGUAAGAGGAUAUGGUUAAUUUAGAUUGUAAUUUAAGAAAGCUUGAGUUCUAAGAGCACAGAAAUGGGAUCAGUCUUGCUCAAGUGUGAACUCCAUCAGUUCGGAAGCUGUCCAUCAAAUGGAAAUAUUUACGUGAUUCAGAGAAAUUUUGGACUUUUGAUGAAAACAAAAAUCCUGUAUGCAUUUGCUUGCUCCCAAUCCUGUAUGCAUUUGCUUGCCCCGAAGGAGCUGAAAGUUCUCAAAUUUUUUGUAGACGUCAUAGUUCUCCUGAUGUCAUUUGGCUUGGUAAUCUUUUUUGCUCGAAAAUUUGCCCAUUGUGUGGUCUUGACGGUGGGUGAAAUUGAUUUGUGGUUUCAGAUGAAGACAGCAGCAGAUGUGUGUGCGCUAUAUGACAUCGAGAAAAAGCAAAGGCCUUAAAGAGUUCAUCAACAUUUUCCAUUUCAGAAGAAUCUGUUUGUGGUUCUCUUGCUCAAGUGCCUACUUUUCGGGGUGCAGCAUAUAUGUUGAGACCGGCAUAUGAAAUCACUAAACUUUUACAGUUGAUCCGAGGCUUCUCUAGCAAAGGAUUUGGAAUUAAUUUGGGGAAGGGGUUUUUUUUUGGGUAUAUGAGUGUGUGCAUUCCUUCAAUCACGUAGCUUCGUGCCAUUAACAUAAUGGCAAUUCCACAAUGGUGAUAAUGAUAAUUUUAUGAUUGGGGCACAGUGUUAGGAACUCUUUACUGCUUUUUCUUUCGCAUUUGUGUCUAUGAUUAAGGUUGUUUAAGGUGGUAUGGAUUUCAGUACAUUGAACAAAAAUUUAUUUAUUUUUAUUCAAAUUAAAAUACCUAAAAAUCAAACCUAAGUUAAAAAAAUAAAGUUAAAAAAAUUCUGAAAUUAAUCAAAUUUUAAAACUUGAGACUUUUAACAGAUUAAUCCAACCUUUGAAUAAAUAAACUAAAUGGGGGUCAGUUUUUCUCGUGUCAGCUUGUUCAAUCGACACUAUCUUUUCAACCUCUCACGAAUAAACAAAUCACUAAUGAUGUGUCCAUUUCUUCUACUUUAUACUAAUUUUUAAUAAAAAGAUUAUUAAAUUGGUUCGGCUGUGGGAGCCACACGUGUCUGUGGCAGCGCACACCCAAGAGAAGCCAGUCUGGUUCCAAGAAGAAAGUGAACAUGUGAUGAUGAGAUGCCGUAUCAAAUGGGGCCACGUAGACAGAGGUGCUUCGAGGUGACAUGUCAGCAGAUACCUCCACCGACGAUCUUCAAAAUAAUUUGAACGGUUGGGAUUUUAUUUUCAACUUACCUGUGUCCAGGCUACUGUUGAUUGUCGCUAUCCUGAAUUGUCCACUUCGAACAACCGAUGGGAACUAAUGACUUUCCAGAUUAAAAAAAAAAAAAGUAGUCUUUGAGGGAAAUACAUCGAGGCGACCAAACAUGAUGAGCAGGUGGUUGGUGGCAGGGUUCUGCGAGCAGGUGUAUCCUGCAAGAGUCAAGUAGCAGGAGAAUAGGAGCAAGAGUAUUCUACUCGUCCACGAAUAUGCCAUUCGUGAGGCCGAACUCCUGUUAGAGGCAUAAGGUCAUUCCUGCUAGGCAUCGAGGCGAGGAGACCCAGUCAACGACAGUUGGCAGGACGUGCAUUCCUAUCUGAGAAUUAAGGCACGAGGUCCAUCUCCAUUCGCCGACAAUGGCGAUAAUGGGGCGUCCACACCUGAGAGUGGGGAGAAUGACGUGCGUGGACUGCGGAAGAUCUGGAUUCAGAGGAAGCCUAUAAAAAGGUAGCCAACGAAGGUAAAAGGGUGAGAAUUUUUGCUAUUUGAACUAAGAAAAGAGAACUCUAAGAACUGAGAUUAUAGAAAAGCCAUAAGACCUGUGGCAAGCGUUCCCCGAACCUUCACAUAUGACUUGAGCAUCGGAGGGUUUGCGCCGGAAAAACAACCGGCGUACUCUGACUUGUCUGUGUGCGCAGGAACCUCUGGAGAAGAAGCCUUACGAGGAGACCUUCUGGUCGUGGUGAAGUUGAUCGAGCAGAGAGCCUGGUCGUAGAACGAGGAGAACCAGAAUCUCGCAUCAACAUUUUGGCGCCGUCUGUGGGGAACUGAUCAAAAAGCUUCUGUUGAUAGCAAGAAGGGGAGUAAAGCAAGUGAAAAGCGAUGGAAACAGGGGAAGCAAUGCAGAUAACAUCCCUCGAUACCCGAGUGGAAAACAAGAAUGGCAGACAAGAACCUGUAGAGGAUCUGGAAACUGUAAGCCUGGGACCAGAGAAUCCGGGAAAGACAAUCAGAAUCGGGUCGAGACUUAAGGGAGAGCAAAAGCAGGAGUUGGUGAAAUGCUUACAGACUCAUGCAGAUGUGUUUGCUUGGACACAUGAAGACAUGCCAGGGAUUGAUCCUGAGGUAGCAUGUCAUAAGCUGGCAAUAAAGAAAGGUGCUCGGACAGUAAGGCAGAAGAGGAGGUGCUUCAACCAGGAGAGGUAUGAGGCUAUAAAUGGCGAGGUGGAGAAGCUCUUGAGAGCAGGGUUCAUUCGGGAAGUCAAUUACCCUGAAUGGAUAUCGAAUGUGGUGUUGGUAAAGAAAGCGAAUGGCAAGUGGAGGAUGAGCGUGGAUUUCACAGACCUCAAUAAGGCGUACCCAAAAGACAGCUUCCCUUUACCAAAGAUCGAUCAGCUAGUAGACUCAACGGCUGGACACGCUCUGCUUAGCUUCAUGGAUGCGUUCUCGGGAUACAACCAAAUCCCCAUGUACGAGCAGGACGAGGAGAGCACGGCUUUCAUCACUAACCAGGGUUUGUUCUGUUAUAGGGUAAUGCCAUUUGGUCUCAAAAAUGCUGGGGCCACCUAUCAGAGGCUGGUGAACAAAGUCUUUAAGCCAUUGAUUGGGAAAACCAUGGAGGUGUACGUGGAUGACAUGAUCACCAAGUCCAAAAUCCCGAAGGAACAUGUCAGACACCUCGAGGAGACAUUCGAGCUUUUGAGGAAGUAUAAGAUGAAGCUCAACCCGGAGAAAUGUGCUUUUGGGGUCGAGUCGGGGAAGUUCCUUGGAUUCAUGGUGAGUUAUCGGGGGAUCGAAGCAAAUCCCGAGAAGAUCCAGGCGAUCUUGCAGAUGAGGUCUCCUCGUAGCCUGAAGGAAAUACAAAGCCUUACGGGGAGAUUGGCGGCAUUGAGCCGAUUCAUAUCCAAGGCUACAGAUAAGUGUCAACCAUUCUUUCAAGUGAUAAGGAGGGGAAAGAAAACAGAGUGGACCCCGGAAUGCGAGGAAGCCUUUCAGAACUUGAAGCAGUAUUUACAGCAAGCCCUUCUGCUAUCCACACCGAGGGAUGGGGACAAGUUAUUUUUGUAUCUGGCGAUAUCGGAACGGGCCGCCAGUUCUGUUCUGGUGAGAGAGGAAGAAGGAGUUCAGUAUCCAAUAUACUACACCAGCAAGGCCCUGCUCGACGCUGAGACUAGGUACCCACCGUUGGAGAAAUGGGCACUUGCCCUUGUGGUUGCUGCUCGGAAGUUGAGGCCAUAUUUUCAGGCAUUCCCAGUCUCGGUUAUAACAAACCGGCCAUUGCGUCAAACUCUGCACAAGCCCGACGCUUCUGGUCGGCUCGUCAAGUGGGCUAUAGAGCUGAGCGAGUUCGACAUAGACUACAAACCCCGAGCAACGAUCAGGGCUCAGGCAAUGGCCGAUUUCGUAGCAGAAUUCACAGAGCUUGAAGUAUGUUUACACCAACAAGAUGUAGUUGCAGACAGUGGCGAAGCUCAAGUAUGGCAAAUGUCUGUAGAUGGGUCAUCAGGGGAGCAGGGAUCAGGAGCAUGGAUUGUAUUGGAAGGCCCAGAGGGGGAGGAGAUCUCUUAUGCUGUAAAGUUAGAAUUCGCAGCAACGAAUAACCAGGCAGAGUAUGAAGCCUUGAUAGCAGGAUUAGAACUGGCUAAGGCCGUGAGAGCAGAUAGAGUGAAAAUCAGAACUGAUUCCCAGCUGGUUGCGAAUCAUGUCAGUGAAAGAUUCCAACCGAGAGAGGAGAAGAUGGAGCAGUACCUGAAGAUAGUCAGGCAGAUGAUGGGGAAAUUCGAAGCGGUGGAGGUGGUACAAAUCCCUAGGGAGCAGAAUAGUCGAGCAGAUAUUUUGGCCAGGAUGGCAGCGGUAGCAGACCCAAAAAAGCCAAAGUCGGUCCCUUUGGAGGUGAAGUCCAGCCCGAGCAUCGAGCAGAAUUUGGGGGUGCUGCGAAUAGAACAAAAAUGCUCGUGGAUGGACCCAAUAGUUUCAUACCUCAGAGACGGGGUACUACCACCAGACAAGCUGCGAGCUCGGAAGAUUAGAGCCCAGGCCUCGAGAUACACGAUGAUUGAUGGGAUACUGUAUCGGCGAGGAUAUACACUACCGUUCCUUCGAUAUUUGGAUGAGGACGACGCGGAUUACGUACUGAGAGAAGUACAUGAAGGAAUUUGCGGGAAUCAUUCUGGUGGGAGAUCCCUGGCGCACAAGGUUCUAAGGCAGGGAUAUUUCUGGCCGACAAUGCACCAGGAUGCACAGGAGAAGACCAGGAGCUGUGCAAGCUGCCAGAGUUUUGCAAGUUUCCCCAGCCAACCACCAGAGAAGCUCACCUCUAUGGUCUCCCCUUGGCCAUUUGCUCAAUGGGGAAUUGAUUUGAUCGGCCCGCUGCCAAAGGGACGAGGAGCAGCAACACAUGCAAUAGUUGCUAUAGAUUACUUCACGAAGUGGAUAGAGGUCGAAGCCCUUAGCAAGAUCACAGAGAAGAAAACAACAGACUUUGUGUGGAGAAACCUGGUCUGUCGAUACGGGAUCCCUUACGCCCUGGUAACGGAUAAUGGCAGGCAGUUCGAUAAUCACAGCUUCAGGGAUUUCUGCCAGAACCUCGGGAUAGAGCUGAAGUAUUGCUCGCCUGCUCACCCGCAAUCGAAUGGACAAGUAGAAGCAGCCAACAAGACCAUCAAGAGGCUUUUGAAAACCAGGCUUGGAGCAAAAAAGGGCACAUGGGUUGAUGAGCUAUCAGGUGUCCUAUGGGCAUACAGGACAACCCACAAAACAACAACUGGGGAGACACCGUUCGCCCUGGCUUUCGGACAUGAAGCGGUCGUACCAGCUGAGAUAGGAACGACCACGCACCGGACAGACCAUUUCAAUGAGCAGGAGAACGACGAGCAGAUGUGUUUGAAUCUUGAUCUGCUAACGGAGAAGAGGGAGCAAGCAGCUGGCCGAUCAGCCAUUUACCAGCAAAGGGUUGCUCGCUAUUAUAACCAGAAGGUGAAUGUACGGCAGUUCAGGGUCGAAGACUGGGUACUGAGGAGAGUGAAUCAGAACACCAAAGACUCGACUCAAGGAGUGCUCGGUCCGAAUUGGGAAGGGCCAUAUAGAGUCAAGCAGCUAGUUGGUCCGGGAGCUUACAAGCUGGUUCGCAUGGAUGGCCACUAGGUGAAGCGCCCAUGGAACGCAGCACACCUCAGGAAAUAUUUCCAGUAAGAGUCGUUAAUAUUCUCAAGUUCUUUCUGUUCGUAUUUGCCGUUAUUUAUUUUAUGACUAAGCAAUUUCAUGUAAGUUGAAUCCUACCAUUAAUGGAACGUCGAGGAAUUUCAUUCGCUUGAAACUGUGAAAAUUUCCUAAGGCAUGCAAAGGCUCAUCAAAGUCUCAAAGCCUGUUUUAUGGCGAGACAGAAGCCAAGCGUGCCAGGAUCUGCUCGACCACGAGAAGGCGAGCAGAAUCCCAAUCAUUGAAGAAUUGAAGGCUUGCAAAGGCUUAUCAAAGUCUCAAAGCCUGUUUUAUGGCGAGACAGAAGCCAAGCGUGCCAGGAUCUGCUCGACUAUGAGAAGGCGAGCAGAAUCCCAAUCAUUGAAGAAUUGAAGGCAUGCAAAGGCUCAUCAAAGUCUCAAAGCCUGUUUAUGGCGAGACUAGAAGCCAAGCUUGCUAGGAUCUGCUCGACCAAGCGAAGGCGAGCAGACUCCCAAACGUUGUAAAAAUUCCUAAGGCAUGCAAAGGCUCGUCAAGUCUCAAAGCCUGUUUUUGCGAGACAGAAGCCAAGCGUGCCAGAAUCUGCUCGACCACGCGAAGGCGAGCAGAAUCCCCAAGCAUCGAAAAAUUUUCCAAGGCAUGCAAAGGCUCGUCAAGUCUCAAAGCCUGUUUAUGGCGAGACAGAAGCCAAGCGUGCCAGGAUCUGCUCGACCACGCGAAGGCGAGCAAAAUCCCCAAGCAUCGAAAAAUUUUCCAAGGCAUGCAAAGGCUCGUCAAGUCUCAAAGCCUGUUUAUGGCGAGACAGAUGCCAAGCGUGCCAGGAUCUGCUCGACCACGGGAAGGCGAGCAGAAUCCCCAAGCAUCGAAAAAUUCUCCAAGGCAUGCAAAGGCUCGUCAAGUCUCAAAGCCUGUUUAUGGCGAGACAAAAGCCAAGCGUGCCAGGAUCUGCUCGACCGCGCGAAGGCGAGCAAAAUCUCAAGCAUCGAAGAAAUUUCUAAGGCAUGUGGCAAAACCAUAUGCCAAGCCAGAACCUGCUCGACCAGACAAAGACGAGCAGGUUCCCAAACGGAAAAUAAGUGAUGAUUACAACACGAGAAAGUAAUCAAAAACAUCUUUAUUAAUUGUUAGUAAUUAACAGAAGAGAUAAUCGCCACAAAAAUUGUUCAUUAUAAUACAAGAAAUAUAUCAAGAAGAUGGUGGAUCAGUAAGCCGAGCAGCAUCUGUUGGCUGGACCUCCUCAGGUGCAGGGGGGUAUCACCAGUUGCGUCCAGAGGGGUACUCGCCUCGCCAACAUCAGCAGGGACUGCACGAGGAGGAGAGUUUUCCUCCUCAAUCACGAUCGGCUCUACCCCUUCAGCAUCAUCCUUGGCCGCCUCCUCGUCCAUAUGUUGAGCAACACCAGCUGCAAGGUCAUCCAUUUUCAGAUCAGGGUGUUGCUUCCCGAGGACAGCCAUGAUGCAACGAUAGGAAUGCCGAAGUCCCUGGUCGUACUGGUUCUCGGCCUCCCUCUCCAAGUUCUCGACCUGAGCUCGGUUGGAGUCGCGGAGAGAUUCGAGCUGGGCGUCAUACAUAGCCUUCUGCCUUUGCAGAUCCUCCUUGACCUUGGUGGUCAUGCAGCUGAGGUGGAAGGCGCUAUACUGCAUGGCCCCCACCAGCUCACCCAAGGUGCAGCCGUCAAAGUCCUCCAGGUCCUUCUUGCUCACGAGUUUAGAGAACUCAUUAAGGUAGGGGACCAAGUGUUCUGCUCGGCUGUCAGGUAAGUGAGAUCGAGGCCCGACAGGGGGCGAAGAGGAAGCAGGAUCCGUGGCUGCUCCACUAGUCUCCCCAAUUUUGGCAGGAGUAGGAGGUAAAGUCUUCAAGGGCGUCCUUGUUCUGGUCCCUCUUCGUGGUUUGAGGUCGAGAACGUUUCCUGUUCAGAGCCCCAAUCACAGCGUCCUCCAUCUUAUGGCCAGGUAGUAUCAAGCGAGACUCGAGCAAGUUGUAAGUAGUUAACAGCUCUCGGCUCGGGCAGGAAUUGACUAGCACAGCCUCAACCUGUUUGAGCUGGCCAGGUUGGAACGGGAAAUGAACACCCCAAGAAACUACAACACAAACAGACACUUGGUUAGAGACAAGCCAAUAAAGCAAGAACAAUUAUGGAUACAGGACAUUUAAAGCGAGCAGGCAACCUGGGACCGUGAAAUGGGGUGGGACCCGAUAAUCCUUCCCGUCCAUUUGUGCAACCUGACCCCAAGGGCCUCGUAACCAUUGGUUUGACAUUCAAAUAGAGGGGCAGAUUUCUGCCACAUCACCUCGUACGCAAUUAAAUGCGACACGACUCUUGGCAGCCUUUUCCAGUCCCACGCGAGCAAGAACCGUUGAGUUUCUACUACUGGUCCAUUACAUUACCCAACACCAGAAACUGGGGGACCGGUGUUUGAGGGAAAUACAUCGAGGCGACCAAACAUGAUGAGCAGGUGGUUGGUGGCAGGGUUCUGCGAGCAGGUGUAUCCUGCAAGAGCCAAGUAGCAGGGGAAUAGGAGCAUGAGUAUUCUGCUCGUCCACGAAUAUGCCAUUCGUGAGGUCGAACUCCUGUUAGAGGCAUAAGGUCAUUCCUGCUAGGCAUCGAGGCGAGGAGACCCAGUCAACGACAGUUGGCAGGACGUGCAUUCCUAUCCGAGAAUUAAGGCACGAGGUCCAUCUCCAUUCACCGACAAUGGCGAUAAUGGGGCGUCCACACCCGAGAGUGGGGAGAAUGACGUGCGUGGACUGCGGAAGAUCUGGAUUCAGAGGAAGCCUAUAAAAAGGUAGCCAACGAAAGUAAAAGGGUGAGAAUUUUUGCUAUUUGAACUAAGAAAAGAGAACUCUAAGAACUGAGAUUAUAGAAAAGCCAUAAGACCUGUGGCAAGCGUUCCCCGAACCUUCAUAUCUGACUUGAGCGUCGGAGGGUUUGCGCCGGAAAAACAACCGGCGUACUCUGACUUGUCUGUGUGCGCAGGAACCUCUGGAGAAGAAGCCUUACGAGGAGACCUUCUGGUCGUGGUGAAGUUGAUCGAGCAGAGAGCCUGGUCGUAGAACGAGGAGAACCAGAAUCUCGCAUCAACAAGUAGGAUUAUCAAACUAUGUAGCAUUGUUAUGUAAAGUUUUAUGGUUAUUUUAAGGCUAAAAUUGGUUUAGAAAUUAAUUAAAAGACAAUAUUCAUUCUAACAUAAAACGAGUUUUUAACAAGAGGAGGAGGUUCCUUUUAUAAGUUACUAAUUUAUACAACCUUUAAUAUUAAAACAAUAUUUUAUAUAUUAAGGACGAUGAUUCUUGCUCACUUAGUAAGAUAUGUACAUAACAUAGGUUUGUUAAGCAAGGAAUCAAUUAUGUAUUUCUUGUAUCUGAAAAAAUGAAUCAUCCUUUAACGAGGGUUAUCAUCAAUUGCAGGUUUCUAGUUUGGUUGCUUAGUUUGAGGAAAGAAUAUAUGGUAUGGUGUUUGGCUGGUCUGCUUUUUUCUUUUCAAUUAAUGUAAUAUUCUUAUGCUAUGGAAUUGAUUAUCAUAAGUACUAAAGGAAAGAAUAUAUACUAUGGAAUAUAUGCUAUGGUCUUUGGCUGGUCUACUUUUUUCUUUUCAAUUAAUGUAUUAUUCAUAUGCGAUGGAAUAUGAAUAUUACAUUAAGGGAAAGAAUAUUUUUACACAGCACACUAUAAUACUCUAAUUACCAAUUUUUUAUCUUGUAAUACAAGUUCAUAGCGAUUAAUUUAUCCAUCUUCAGCCAAAAAAAAAGUCCCAUUUCAGCACAUAUACAAGAGCCCUCAUUUUUCUUUGCUUCAGCCAUUUUAUAGCAGAAUCAUCACAGACACUUUGAGCUCUGCCGAAUCAUCAUAGACAAUUUGUGAUUGGUGGGAGCAUUACAAGAAAGGUACGACUACUUCGAACCGAUAGAUUUGUUUAUAUGAUUUAGCUAUCGUUUUAACUUUUAACAAUAAACAAGAGACAAUCAUGUACAUCAUUGGUUACAUAAAUAUUAAAAUGAGAUAAAUUUAUUCCUCAACUUGCCAGACCCAUACAUAUUAAAAUGAGAUAAAUUUUAAGGUUUAAAAAUUUGCAAUUCAUCAAAAAUCUAGUGCGAUAUUAAGCGGUAAAAUCACUUAGGGUUAGUACAUGAGGUUUAUGAUUCCCUGACUCAUUUAUAUGGGUGGAGAGGGAAUUAGGCAAUGAAGAAUUGAUACAAAUUAAUAAUUAUAUUAUAAAAAGAAAUAAACUUCAAGAGAGAUCAUAAGUUCGUAGAAGAUUGUAUGUCAGUUAUUUGUAGUGGAAUGGAGUUUUUUUGGAGAGGCUAUUUGGCUUGGAAUAUAUAUUAGAAUGAGAUUAUUUGAACCCACCGCAAUACUCUCUAAAAUCCACUUUUCAAUAAAAAAUUUCAGUACAAAAUUUUCCUUAAUUAAAUUACUAUUUUAGCCAAAUAUUAUGUUGAUUUAUCUCCCUAAAGUUUUUAUUUUUUUUCACCCUUUUUUCUCUUUUCCUCUCUGUUUCCCCAAUUUUUUUUUUUCCAGUCCUAUGUGGUUCUUAUAUUUUAAGGCUUCUAUUGGAGUAAGAUCUAUAUUCAAAUUGCUUAUCCAAAAAAAAAAAAAUUCUUUUAAAAUUUGCCUUUCCUUUACCCUCGAGUCACUAUUAGAUGUAUAUGCUCCUCAAGAAACUUUAGUAAUUGGAUUUCUAUUAAAUAUUUUAAUUUCAAAAAAUGAGAAGGUCACUAUACAAAUAUCAAAAGAUCACCAACUUAAUUAUACCAGUUAUAAUUGACGGAAAUAAAAGACUUACUAUUUCUGUUUGAAGUUAUUAUGAUGAACAAAGAAAGGGGGGGGGGGGGGGGGGAACAAGUCGCUGCAAUUGCAUCAAUUGAGGACAUGUUAAGAAACGUAUCAUUGAGAUAAGAUUUAAUUGAUAAAAAUAAGAUUUACUAGAAAGUAGUGAGAGAAACAACUAACAAAAAUUCAUUAUACUUAUUGAGGGUAUAUUGAGAAUAUUUGUGGCUUUUUUUAGUUAAAAAAAUAAAGUUUUAAGUUGUGAUAAUGUGUUUAUUACGUAAAUGAGUUUAUUUAAUAUUACAGUGGAUUUAAGUAGCCUUACCCUUCAUAUUAUAAUAAAUUUUUACAUUACUCUAUAAUAGCCCUACUAUAGAGGACAAUGUAAUGAAAAUAUUGUUACUCUUAUACCUAUUAAAAGAAACAAUAUUAUCUUGUACGUACAAGAACGUUCUAGUGCCCAAGUAAAAGUUUUAGUAAAACGUAUAAGAACUCUAAGUGUAAAGAGAGUUUCGUCAAGGUACUAUAGUAGUAUCUAAUGCUCUUUGCUAGUGUAAACUAUUUGUGCCAUGUGUGGUAUUUCAAUCUUCACAAGUGGCAUUGCAUAUAGUGGCUCUUAUUUCAGUUCCUCAGAGGCACUCUAGAGGUACGUUAGCUUAUAAGCUAGUAUUUGGUCAUCAUGUGCUUCUUUUAAUGAAACAUGUGGUUCAUUUUGUCCUUAUACGAGAGCAUUUUGUGUGGAAUAACCUUGUAAAAUGCUCAUUUAUCAAGGACACAUGUCGUGUUGUCAGAACAUAGUAAAAAUAUGAUACGCUAACCCAUGUGCAUUUAUGAAAAAUCAAAUGAAAACAAAGAACUAAAAAAAAUGCAAAGGCUAAUUCAUAAUGUUUGAGUUUGAGAUUAUUAAUAUUUAAUUUUAUGGUUGCAAAGAUAAGAAUAAAAGUAGGUCUAGUGAGAAAUACCCUCAUAUUAUAAUACUAUUUAAAAUAAAUUUUGUUAUAAAAGAUUUUAUUUAAUAAGUAUGGAGACUGUUCAAAAUAUAUUUUACGUACAAACUCAUAUGUUUGACGUAAUAGUAUGUCUCAUGCUAGGACUAGCAAUGGUCAAAUCAACCUAUUUCGAUAAGAUCCAUCAAAAUUAAUAUUUAAAAAAUUUAUCAUCUCAUUAUACAAUACACAGCUUUGCCAUCACAGCUUUGCCAUCUAGUAGAGAAUGAUUGGUUGGCACACCAUAGUUUACACGAAUAUUUCUAAUAUUUGAAUCGUCUAUUAGAAAAUUUUAAUCCUACCAAGAUCUUGUAAGUAAAAAUAUCAAAUAAAUAGUAAAUAGAAAAUAUACAGAGAAUAAGACCAAUCAUACAACACAAUAAUUUACGUGAAAAAUUCUUAUAUUGAAGAAAAACCACAGUCGCCAAAGAUGACAAAAGAAAAAUCUACUAUUUAAAUAUCAUUAUAAUUACUUUAAUAUUUUCCUCACAUAAAAAACCCCAAUAACAAAUAAUCUCUCAUUUCAGAAACUGGCUACUUGUAUAGAACUGAUUGUUGUGUUAUUCAAACAAGUGAAUCUAAUCUUUCGUAUAUAUUGUGAUUAUUUCAUAUUGGAGAAAUAUUUAUUUCCUUAUAUAAUUUGUAUUUCUCCUUUAAUAAGUUCUUUGGCAUUACUUAUUCCUUAAACAUGAAACCCCCCCCCUGAACAAGAAAAUUACUAAAUAAAAACAUUCUAGGAAAUAUCCUAAUUUAGGAUUUACAAAUCUUCAUUGAAAAAGGAGAUAUGUUUCUUAAAAAUCUCCACUUUGGUGAGUUUUUCAAUUAAGCGACAAAAUAUAAUCUGCCAUACAUCUAUGCAACCAUGUCGUCUCCCCCUUAUUUAGUCUACCAAAACCACACUGACAUAAGUCUAAUGAGAAUCACUCCACCAUGAGUAAAAUCUUGUCCUCUAUCCAGCAGCCAUAAUUUUCUACAUCGAGAAUCAUCAUACUCCACAUUAUCCAGAGCACACAUGUUUUGUAACACUCCAAAAAUUACCCAUGAAAACACAAGGGUAAAAUUGGAAUGAAACUUUACAUCAUUUAUUCUUAUUAAUAAAUCUCAAGAUAGACAAUUAUUCAUACUCCAACUGAAUCCUUACAUAAAACAUCUGAAAUAAAGUCUCCAAAGAAAAGUCUCUAGUCCAAAAUAAAAAGUCUAGCCAAAUUCACUCUUGAAAGCAACUCCAAAGUCCACUAAGAAAAAUUCUCCAUCUAAGCACCCAAGCCACAUUUCUAAUCAAUCUCCAAAAUAUUGGAGACGAGGGGUGAGCCGUCAACUCGGUAAGCAAAUCUAUGCACAAUAUUUGAAAACCUUGUCAUUUUACCUUUAAAUAUUUUAUAACAACAUCUUCAUUUAGCAUAAGGGGUGGAUUCAUAUAAAAGCAUUAAAAACAUUAAAACAUUCAUAAAACCGUUAAAACAUAAACAUUGGUAGCUCAUGCCUCGUACUCAUCAUCAUUCAUCAUUCAUCAUUUAGGGUGUUAUACCCCGCAUUUUUCCUCAUUUAGGGUACUAUACCCCACAUUGUUCAUAACAUCCUUGUGCACCAGAUCAUCAUCAUACCAGCAAGCUGGCCUUAGCAUUUCAUAACAUCAUAACAUUAACAUCAUAUACAUUACUACGGACUAUGAGCCAAAAUAUUUUUGAAUCCACCUUACAUCUUUUCAUAAAUAGCAUUUAAAGUCUUCUAAAACAUUUAAGAACUUUUCUUUUAAACAUUUAAUUCUUUUAAAAAAAUUCUUUAAGAAAACAUUUAAUUUAAAAAAAACUAAUUUCUUAAGAAAAAAUCAUUUUAAAAUACAUUUAUAUAAAUUCAUUUAGAAGCAUUUUUAUUUUAAAAAAUUCAUUUAAAUAUGUUAGAAAUCAGUUUUGUAAAAAUCUCUAUUUAAACAUAAUUCUUAUAACAUAAUUCGCAUUUAUUAUAAAGGACAUCAUGCAUGAAUCUACUUACCUCGAUCCAUAGCAAUCAAUUCAAUGUCUCAAGAAUAACCAACGAGCUCACCCACGUCCUAUAGUCAUCAUAAAAAUAUUCUUAUCAAUAUCAUCUCUAACCUUAAACAUAAUCCCAGUCAGCCUUAAAUCAUAGGCUCUUAUACUAGCUUAAUACUUAUACAUAUUCUAAACAUAUCCUAUACUUAUGAGUAUCCUGUACAUGCUGAUUUUUAAUAACCUAUACACAUGUCGAAAAACCAUGAAAAUUUACAGAGGCACUGUGAACAUGCAUAGCAUUGCAUACAAUAUUUCACAAUUUACAGAGGCACUAUCAACAGAAGCUUUUUGAUCAGUUCCCCACAGACGGCGCCAAAAUGUUGAUGCGAGAUUCUGGUUCUCCUCGUUCUACGACCAGGCUCUCUGCUCGAUCAACUUCACCACGACCAGGAGGUCUCCUCGUAAGGCUUCUUCUCCAGAGGUUCCUGCGCACACAGACAAGUCAGAGUAUGCCGGUUGUUUUCCCGGCGCAAACCCUCCGACGCUCAAGUCAGAUAUGAAGGUUCGGGGAAUGCUUGCCACAGAUCUUAUGGCUUUUUCGUAGUUUGCUCUUCUUUAGAAUUUCUUUAGCUCUCUUCUAAUCUCAAAAUUGCUAACCCUUUUACCUUCGUUGGCUACCUUUUUAUAGGCUUCCUCUGAAUCCCAGUUUUCCGCAGCCUAAGUCCGUUAUCCUCCCACCUCUCGAACGUGGAUUCCCCAUUUCCGUAGUCAUGGGUGGUUGCGUGGCCUUCGUGCCUAGAUUCUCGGGCUGGAGAGCAUGCCUCGCCAACUGUCGUUGACCGGGUCUCCUCGAAUCAACCCUUAGCAAGAAUACAGCAGGAAUGGCUUUAUGCUUCUUGCAGGAAAUUGACCUCGCGGAUGAUGUGUUUCCUGGUGACUUCCUGGUCGAGGUGACCAAUAACAUCCUGGUCGAGGUCAUGUGCUCGAGGUCACCACAUAUUUUUCUGGUCGAGAUGAUCUGCUCAACCAUUUGCUUACUUUUACUUUGAGGAGAGCACGAUAAUGUAUGAGCAAACACCUUUAUCUUGGUCACCCUAUUUCAUUCCCUAAACACCAGUCCCCCAGUUUCUAGUGUUGAGAGUGAAACGAAUCAAGACUGGAAACUUUAGUGGUCUGCUCGUCUUCGCUUGGUUGAGCAGAUCCUAGUAUGCUUGGCUUUCUGUCUCCCCAUAAAACAGGCUUUGAGACUUUGAUGAGCCUUUGCAUGCCUUUGAUUCUUCAAGGAUUGGGAUUCUGCUCGCCUUCUCGUGGUCGACCAGAUCCUGGCACGCUUGGCUUCUGUCUCGCCAUAAAACAGGCUUUGAGACUUUGAGCCUUUGCAUGCCUUUGAUUCUUCAAGGAUUGGGAUUCUGCUCGCCUUCUCGUGGUGGAGCAGAUCCUGGCACGCUUGGCUUCUGUCUCGCCAUAAAACAGGCUUUGAGACUUUGAUGAGCCUUUGCAUGCCUUUGAUUCUUCAAGGAUUGGGAUUCUGCUCGCCUUCUCGUGGUCGAGCAGAUCCUGGCACGCUUGGCUUCUGUCUCGCCAUAAAACAGGCUUUGAGACUUUGAGCCUUUGCAUGCCUUUGAUUCUUCAAGGAUUGGGAUUCUGCUCGCCUUCUCGUGGUCGAGCAGAUUCUGGCACGCUUGGCUUCUGUCUCGCCAUAAAACAAGCUUUGAGACUUUGAUGAGCCUUUGCAUGCCUUUGAUUCUUCAAGGAUUGGGAUUCUGCUCGCCUUCUCGUGGUCGAGCAGAUCCUGGCACGCUUGGCUUCUGUCUCGCCAUAAAACAGGCUUUGAGACUUUGAGCCUUUGCAUGCCUUUGAUUCUUCAAGGAUUGGGAUUCUGCUCGCCUUCUCGUGGUGGAGCAGAUCCUGGCACGCUUGGCUUCUGUCUCGCCAUAAAACAGGCUUUGAGACUUUGAGCCUUUGCAUGCCUUUGAUUCUUCAAGGAUUGGGAUUCUGCUCGCCUUCUCGUGGUCGAGCAGAUCCUGGCACGCUUGGCUUCUGUCUCGCCAUAAAACAGGCUUUGAGACUUUGAGCCUUUGCAUGCCUUUGAAAAUUUCCACAGUUGUAAGUGACUGAAAUUCUUCGACGUUCCAUUAAUUGCAGGAUUCAACUUACAUGAAAUUGCUUAGUCAUAAAAUAAAUAACGGCAAAUACGAACAGAAAGAACUUGAGAAUAUUAACGACUCUUACUGGAAAUAUUUCCUGAGGUGUGCUGCGUUCCAUGGGCGCUUCACCUCGUGGCCAUCCAUGCGAACCAGCUUGUAAGCUCCCAGACCAACUAGCUGCUUGACUCUAUAUGACCGAGCACUCCUUGAGUCGAGUCUUUGGUGUUCUGAUUCACUCUCCUUAACACCCAAUCUCCGACCUUGAACUACCGUAUGUUCACCUUCUGGUUAUAAUACCGGGCAACCCUCUGCUGGUAAAUGACUGAUCGCUCGGCUGCUUGCUCCCUCUUUUCCGUUAGCAGGUCAAGAUUUAAGCAUAUCUGCUCGUCGUUCUCCUGCUUAUUAAAAUGGUCUGUCCGGUGCGUGGUCGUUCCUAUCUCAGUUGGUACGACCGCUUCAUGUCCGAAAGCCAGGGCGAACGGUGUCUCCCCAGUUGCUGUUUUAUGGGUUGUCCUGUAUGCCCAUAGGACACCUGACAGCUCAUCAACCCAUGUACCAUUUUUUGCUCCAAGCCUAGUUUUCAAAAGUCUCUUGAUGGUCUUGUUGGCUGCUUCUACUUGUCCAUUCGAUUGAGGGUGAGCAGACGAGCAAUACUUCAGCUCUAUCCCGAGGUUCUGGCAAAAAUCCCUGAAGCUAUGAUUAUCGAACUGCCUGCCAUUAUCCGUUACCAAGGCAUAAGGGAUCCCGUAUCGACAGACCAGGUUUCUCCACACAAAGUCUGUCGUUUUCUUCUCUGUAAUCCUGCUAAGGGCUUCGACCUCUAUCCACUUCGUGAAGUAAUCUAUAGCAACUAUUGCAUGCGUUGCUGCUCCUCGUCCCUUUGGCAGCGGGCCGAUCAGAUCAAUUCCCCAUUGAGCAAAUGGCCAAGGGGAGGCCAUAGAGGUGAGCUUCUCUGGUGGUUGGUUGGGGAAACUUGCAAAACUCUGGCAGCUUACACAGCUCCUGGUCUUCUCCUGUGCAUCCUGGUGCAUUGUCGGCCAGAAAUAUCCCUGCCUUAGAACCUUGUGGGCCAGGGAUCUCCCACCAGAAUGAUUCCCGCAAAUUCCUUCAUGUACUUCUCUUAGUACGUAAUCCGCGUCGUCCUCAUCCAAACAUCGAAGGAAAGGUAGUGUAUAUCCUCGCCGAUACAGUAUCCCAUCAAUCAUCGUGUAUCUCGAGGCAUGGGCUCUAAUCUUCCGAGCUCGCAGCUUAUCUGGUGGUAAUACCCCGUCUCUAAGGUAUGAAACUAUCGGGUCCAUCCACGAGCAUUUUUGUUCUAUCCGCAGCACCCCCGAAUUCGGCUCGAUGCUCGGGCUGGACUUCACCUCCAGAGGGAUCGACUUUGGCAUUUUUGGGUCUACUACCGCUGCCAUCCUGGCUAGAAUAUCUGCUCGACUAUUCUGCUCCCUUGGGAUUUGUACUACCUCCACCGCUUUGAAUUUUCCCAUCAUCUGCCUGACUAUCUUCAAGUACUGCUCCAUCUUCUCCUCUCUUGGUUGGAAUCUUUCACUGACAUGAUUCGCAACCAGCUGGGAAUCAGUUCUGAUCUUCAUUCUAUCUGUUCUCACGGCCUUAGCCAGUUCCAAUCCUGCUAUCAAGGCUUCAUACUCUGCCUGGUUAUUUGUUGCUGCGAAUUCUAACUUUACAGCAUAAGAGAUCUCUUCCCCCUCCGGGCCUUCCAAUACACCUGAUCCCUGCUCCCCUGAUGACCCAUCUACAGACAUUUGCCAUACUUGAGCUUCGCCACUGUCUGCAACUACAUCUUGUUGGUCUAAACAUACUUCAGGCUCUGUGAAUUCUGCUACGAAAUCGGCCAUUGCCUGAGCCCUCAUCGCUGCUCGGGGUUUGUAGUCUAUGUCGAACUCACUCAGCUCUAUAGCCCACUUGACGAGUCGACCAGAAGCAUCGGGCUUGUGCAGAGUUUGACGCAAUGGCUGGUUUGUUAUAACCGAGACUGGGAAUGCCUGAAAAUAUAGCAUCAAUUUCCGAGCAGCAACCACAAGGGCAAGUGCCCAUUUCUCCAACAGUGGGUACCUGGUCUCAGCGUCGAACAGGGCCUUGCUGGUGUAGUAUAUUGGAUACUAAACUCCUUCUUCCUCUCUCACCAGAACAGAACUGGCGGCCCGAUCCGAUACCGCCAGAUACAAAAAUAACUUGUCCCCAUCCCUCGGUGUGGAUAGCAGAGGGGCUUGCUGUAAAUACUGCUUCAAGUUCUGAAAGGCUUCCUCGCAUUCCGGGGUCCACUCUGUUUUCUUUCCCCUCCUUAUCACUUGAAAGAAUGGUUGACACUUAUCUGUAGCCUUGGAUAUUAAUAGGCUCAAUGCCGCCAAUCUCCCCGUAAGGCUUUGUAUUUCCUUCAGGCUACGAGGAGACCUCAUCUGCACGAUCGCCUGGAUCUUCUCAGGAUUUGCUUCGAUCCCCCGAUGACUCACCAUGAAUCCAAGGAACUUCCCCGACUCGACCCCAAAAGCACAUUUCUCCGGGUUGAGCUUGAUCUUAUACUUCCUCAAAAGCUCGAAUGUCUCCUCGAGGUGUCUGACAUGUUCCUUCGGGAUUUUGGACUUGGUGAUCAUGUCAUCCACGUACACCUCCAUGGUUUUCCCAAUCAACGGCUUAAAGACUUUGUUCACCAGCCUCUGAUAGGUGGCCCCAGCAUUUUUGAGACCAAAUGGCAUUACCCUAUAACAGAACAAACCCUGGUUAGUGAUGAAAGCCGUGCUCUCCUCGUCCUGCUCGUACAUGGGGAUCUGGUUGUAUCCCGAGAACGCGUCCAUGAAGCUAAGCAGAGCGUGUCCAGCCGUUGAAUCUACUAGCUGAUCGAUCUUUGGUAAAGGGAAGCUGUCCUUUGGGCACGCCUUAUUGAGGUCUGUGAAAUCCACACACAUCCUCCACUUCCCAUUCGCUUUCUUUACCAACACCACAUUCGAUAUCCAUUCAGGGUAAUUGACUUCCCGAAUGAACCCUGCUCUCAAGAGCUUCUCCACCUCGCCAUUUAUAGCCUCAUACCUCUCUUGGUUGAAGCACCUCCUCUUCUGCCUUACUGCCCGAGCACCUUUCUUUAUUGCCAGCUUAUGACAUGCUACCUCAGGGUCAAUCCCUGGCAUGUCUUCAUGUGUCCAAGCAAACACAUCUGCAUGAGCCUGUAAGCAUUUCACCAACUCCUGCUUUUGCUCUCCCUUAAGUCUCGACCCGAUUCUGAUUGUCUUUCCCGGAUUCUCUGGUCCCAGGCUUACAGUUUCCAGAUCCUGUACAGGUUCUUGUCUGCCAUUCUUGUUUUCCACUCCGGUAUCGAGGGAUGUUAUCUGCAUUGCUUCCCCUGUUUCCAUCGCUUUUCACUUGCUUUACUCCCCUUCUUGCUAUCAACAGAAGCUUUUUGAUCAGUUCCCCACAGACGGCGCCAAAAUGUUGAUGCGAGAUUCUGGUUCUCCUCGUUCUACGACCAGGCUCUCUGCUCGAUCAACUUCACCACAACCAGGAGGUCUCCUCGUAAGGCUUCUUCUCCAGAGAUUCCUGCGCACACAGACAAGUUAGAGUAAGCCGGUUGUUUUCCCGGCGCAAACCCUCCGACGCUCAAGUCAGAUAUGAAGGUUCAGGGAACGCUUGCCACAGAUCUUAUGGCUUUUUCGUAGUUUGCUCUUCUUUAGAAUUUCUUUAGCUCUCUUCUAAUCUCAAAAUUGCUAACCCUUUUACCUUCGUUGGCUACCUUUUUAUAGGCUUCCUCUGAAUCCCAGUUUUCCGCAGCCUACGUCCGUUAUCCUCCCACCUCUCGAACGUGGAUUCCCCAUUUCCGUAGUCAUGGGUGGUUGUGUGGCCUUCGUGCCUAGAUUCUCGGGCUGGAGAGCAUGCCUCGCCAACUGUCGUUGACCGGGUCUCCUCGAAUCAACCCUUAGCAAGAAUACAGCAGGAAUGACUUUAUGCUUCUUGCAGGAAAUUGACCUCGUGGAUGAUGUGCUUCCUGGAGACUUCCUGGUCGAGGUGACCAAUAACAUCCUAGUCGAGGUCAUGUGCUCGAGGUCACCACAUAUUUUUCUGGUCGAGAUGAUCUGCUCAACCAUUUGCUCACUUUUACUUUGAGGAGAGCACGAUAAUGUAUGAGCAAACACCUUUAUCUUGGUCACCCUAUUUCAUUCCCUAAACAUUUCCUUCUCCAAAGACUUAUAUUUCUUUCUUUUCUUUCUAGGGUUUGUAACGGUGUAGAAAAUAAAAGACGGCUUUUUCUUAAAUACUUGUCAAUUAAUAAAUACUUUUUUUAAAAAAAAAAUUUAAUAACUUACGUAAUUUAUUUAAAGCAAUUUGAUAAAUUUUACUCACACACAAACACUCAAUAAUAAUUAUCCUACUCAAUUUUGAUAAGGGUAAAAGUAGAAAAAUAAAUAAAAGUGGGCGUUACAUGUUUGGCAUAUGUCGAUGACAUUUCUAAAAUUACCCACUCUCAUGUUUGGCUUUUUUGAGAGCCCUCAUCAAUCAACAUAAAAAUUUCACCUCAUACCUUGCAUAAAUACUAAACUAGGGGUUGUGUGCAUAUCUUGUGGACCAAUUAGCAAUAACACAUCCUCUUCACGAAACACCAAUAGAUGUCAUAAUUACUAUCUCUUUCUGUUGAUUUAAAUCUACUUUCCAAAUUUGCUAUAUUCCAACAAUCUCUUUUAAGAUGCUUUGAUUACCUACACUCGUCCAAGGGUUUCUACUAGUGGAAUAGGCCUUACAUUGUUCUUUGCUUUACUUGUAUAGACAUAUUGAAUCAUUACGUUAUUGACUUGAGCUUCCCAUAAGCAAACAUUGAUUAUUCUGUCAAACUUUUUUGUUUCUAUCUUCAUAGGUUUUGAAAACCUCCUUGUUGCCAUAUUUGCUCUACAUUGCAACCUUAGCUCUAUUAUCACCUACUAAGAAAUAAUUAAUCCCACUUAAGAUUCGUAAGAAAAAAUAUCAAAUAAAUAGUAAAUAUAAAAUAGAUAGAGAAUAAAGCCAAUCAAAUAAUACAAAAUUUACAUGAAAAUUUCUAUACUGGAGAAAAAUUAUAAUAGCCAAGGAUGUUAAGAGAAAAAAUUAUUAUGUAAAAAUUAUUAUAAUUACUUUAGUAUUUUUUUAACACCUAAAACGCCAAAAGCACCUAAUCUCUUAAUAGAACUAUCUUUUCUCUUUCAGUAAAAACUAUUUACUUACAGACAACCAAUUAUUAUAUUAUGCAAAUAAGUAAACCUAAUCUCCACAUAUAUAUAUAUAUAUAUAUAUAUAUAUAUAGAUAGAGAGUAGUUUUCCAAUCCAGUAUCCUGGAUUGGAGUUAUAAUCCGGGAGACAAUUUGUAGCCGUCGGAUCAAAUCCAACGGCAACUUAUAUUUUUAUUUCAAAUAUUGAUUCCAACAGUAGGGCCCACAUGCAGACUUUUACAAUUUUUAAUAUUAAAAAGUAAAGCUGCUUUUAAAUAGAGAACUGAUAUUCCCUCCCCGGAUUCUUCAUCACUGACUAAAGGCAAAAAGAACUGAUACUAACAAAUCACCAUUUGGGAUUUCCACUUUUUCAUUAUCCAUUUUAGUACAACUUAAAUCAAGGGGGAAAAAGGAAUAAAACAAGCAGAUGAUUACACAUGCACACUGAGUUCCAUUUUGUCACCAUUUCUUGCCGAUGUUGCCGCCGUAAUUCUUUUUUUUUUUUUGGUUUAUCUCAAACUUUGUAAUUUUAUUAAUAUUGAGAGCAUAAAAAACAACGAGUUCAUGAUCCAUCUGAUUUUAGUAAAUCAAUCAGGUGAGCUUUGCUAUUAACUUUCCUUCACCGGCAACUAUAGAGAAGUGCUGGAGCAGGAUCUCCAGACUCCAGUCAGGCAUCAACAUCCAUCAAAAACUCACAAAACUUUCUCUCUUAAUCGCCUUUACAGACUCUUCGUUUCUCAUUUUUCUCGCUUUCUUCUUCUUCGAAAGCAGCGAGCCCUUCCAAUCCCUUCUUUUGUGGCUCUCCUUUUCCCUCUUCAUCCGCCCCUUCGCCAUCGCUCAACUCACCUGCGGUCACACUGCGUCGGUCACAGCCCAAUCAUUGAAACCCCUCAUAUCCAGAUCCAAAGAUUAAAAGGAAGCCUUAGAAGUCGAUCGUUAAAAUCUCAAAUGGGUCAAUUGGAAUUGAGUAAAAAGAGAAGAAAUUUGAAGUCUUGGAGGAAUCAAAUGGAGAGGAUAUUCAGAUUCUGAAAAGCAGUGAUGAAGAAACCGAUGGGGAAGAUCAGUUCUCUCUCUAAAAAUUUAUCAGGCAACUUUAUUUUUUUAAUAUUAAAAAUUAUAAAAAGUCUGCAUGUGGGCCCUUAUGUUGGAAUCAAUAUUUGAAAUUAAAAUAUAAAGUUGCUACAAAUUGUCUCCCGGAUUAUAACUCCAAUCCAGGAUACUGGAUUGUAAAACUACUCUAUAUAUAUAUAUAUAUAUAUAUGUAUGUAUGUAUGUAUAUAUGUAUAUGUAUGUGGGUAUGUAUGUAGGUAUGUAUGUUCUGAGGUUAAGCUACGAUCAAUUGCCAUCUCGCCUUAAACAAUGUGUUGCUUAUUGUUCAAUCUUUCCCAAGGAUUAUCCAUUUGAUAGUUAUACUUUGGUUCAAUUUUGGAUGGCUCAUGGUCUUCUCCAAUCCCAUAAUAAGAAUGAAGAGUUAGAAGAUAUUGGUAUGCGGUACUUGAAGGAAUUAGUAUCAAGAUUUGACUUUUGAGAUGUUUGGACGGGAGGUGUUGUAUUUCAAAAUGCACGACCUUAUGCAUGAUCUUGCCCUGCUAGUGGCCAAAGAUGAAUUCCUAGUAGUGAACUCUGAUUGUCAAUUUAUUCCCAAAAGAGUCCGCCAUUUGUCAUUUGCUGCUGCUAAUGCAUCAAGAAAUGACUUUUCAAGCCUUUUAUCUGAUCUAGGUCGUGUGAGAACCAUUUUCUUUUCAACUGAUGAUGAUGAGAAGACAAGCCAAUCAUUUGUUGAAUCAUGCAUCUCAAAGUCGCAGUUCCUGAGAGUGCUAAAUUUAAGUGAACCUGCUCUUGAGGUUUGUCCCAGGAAGAUUGGUCAUUUGAAGCACAUGAGGUGUCUUGAUUUGUCGAGAAAUUAUAAAAUCAAGAAACUUCCAAAAUCCAUUUGCGAGCUACAGAGUUUACAAACACUGAAUCUUGAAGGAUGUCUGGAGCUAGAAGAGUUGCCUAAAGACAUAAGGUACCUUGUCAGUCUCAGAUUGUUAGGAAUAACCACAAAACAGAAGUCUUUGCAAGAGAGUGGAAUAAGGAGCUUGGGUUCUCUUCGUUGUUUGUAUAUUGCUGAUUGUAGGGAUUUAGAACAUUUGUUCGAGGAGAUAGAUCAAUUAAGUGUCCUUCGAACAUUAUCAAUUGGUGAUUGUCCUCGUCUAAUCUCAUUGCCACCUGCUAUCAAAUAUCUCAGCUCAUUAGACACUCUGAAUUUGUGGAGGUGUGAAAGCCUUGAUCUUAAUCUGAACGUGGAAAUGGAAGGUGAAGGAAGUCAUCAUGAUCGCAAAAACACAAGGCCUCGCCUUCGGAGGGUUUUGCUCAGGGCAAUAACACAGUUAUUAGAACUGCCACAAUGGCUUCUUCAAGGUUCUACUGAUACUUUACUUAGCUUGGUAAUUAGAGAUUGUCCCAACUUCAUGGCACUGCCAGGGUCUCUAAAAGAUCUCAAAGCUCUUGAAGCUCUUGUCAUUGCAAGAUGUCCAAAAUUGUCAUCGUUGCCGGAGGAUAUGCAUCACGUCACAACUCUGAAAUCAUUGACCAUUGCAGGAUGUCCUGCACUGAGUGAACGAUGCAAACCGCCAACAGGUGAAGAUUGGCCCAAGAUUGCACAUAUCCCUGAGAUUUUACUUGAUGGCGAGAUGAUUAAAUCAAGUGAUUAUUAGGUAUGGAUUUUUUUUUCAAUAAGCAUACCACUCUGUUAUAUUUCCUCUUUUCAUGCAGCUUUCUAAUUUUUAAUUUCUCAUACAGCUAUACCGUUUAUAGUUUAAUGUUUUGUUAUGUUUACCAAACGAAAACUUGACUUUGAACGUUAGUUAGUUCAAUCAAAUUUGUACUAAUUUAUUUUCUUCUAAUACAUAACUAGUUUGUCAGUACAAAACACAAAAAUAAUAUUUUGGAAACCGCACUGUUCUGGGGGUCAGAUCUGUUUCUAAAUUCAAACAGUUCAGGAUUUUUCAAAAUGGAACUUAUAAUGAGAUAUUUUUUUUAAUUAUCUAGUUAUCUUCAUAUGGAAUUUCAAUCUUUGUUAAUACUUUAACUUGCGCGGAAACAUCUAACAAUUCUUCCUCUUAUCCUUUUUUUUUUCCCAAAUAUUGCAGCUUUCUUGGGAGAGGUUCAACCAAACUGCAGGGACAGUGAAAAUAUUACUCUUAACGUUGUUCAGAACAGAGGUUCAACGGUUUUAAUGUUGUGUUUUAAAGUUACAAGUAUUAUAUAUUCGUUACGUGUGGUUAUGUAAUUUGCUGAUAAACAAGUACAUUGAGUGAGGUAUAUGUGUGUGCCUGUGUGGUCAUUACUGAAUUUCUCAGUAAUAUAAUUUGCAUUGACUGCAGAUUUGUGAAGAACAUUGAUGUGUUGUGUAAUGGGAACGGUGGUGUCUGUAUUUUGUGCUUUGUGAUUGACGACUUACAUUUGCCCAGGAAGAAAUGAAAACAAAUCGGCUUCUUGAAAUUAACCAUUUAUUCUUUCGAAUGGUAACCUUUUUGUGACAUGAUUCGCAUAUUAAUCAAAAGCAGUUGGCAAACUAAUUAGAUAUUGCAUCGUGAUUCGUGGCCUUGAAGGGAAAUGAGUGAGCAUGUUUGUGGAGGUUUUUGUUUUUUUCCUCCAUAUAAAAUGACUAAUUCGAAAGAAUAUGUAUUUGUAACGACCCGCUCCGACCUCCACAGGGCGAAUCUUACUGAUAGAUUCUUAAAAUAAAAUAAUAAUAAAUAAGAAUAAUAAUAAUCCUUUUACAAUCCAUAAAAAUCAUAUCCUUGAAAAUACAAAGAUAAAAUGCAAACUGCAGCGGAAGAAUUUAAAAUUCAUGCCAAACCAUCUAAUUCCUCCAUUCAAGUCCUUCUCGUUGCUCAUCACGACUCAAUCCUGAUUUACAAAAACUGAAUCACAAUAAACUAUAAUGAAUACGAAACUCAGUAAGUAAAUCAGCUUUGCAUAUACCAAAAUACAUACAUACAUAUAUAUAGUGCACAUGAAUGACGUACCGUGGUAUUCGAAAACAUUGUAAAACAAAUCAUCGAAAUCUCAUUCUGUCUUUCUCAAACUUUCACUUUCUCUUUCAAACCACUUACUUGAGCUACCUUCAUUCGAUUACCGCUUAGUAAGACACUCUCUUAACUUUCAUAACUUUCAUAGUUCUCACCAAUGUGUCCUUCGCCCACUUAUCUCAUAACUAUAUAAACAUCUAGAGUAUCCUCCACUAAGCCAGUAACGAAUUCAAGCAUCCAAGCUAAAACUGUAAAACAAUCUUUCUUUCGUCAAAUUCCACUUGCUAAAAUCAACUUUCUCAUUUUGCAGAAAUCAUAAUGCAUUUUCAUGCUCAUGCCAAUGAAAUAUUCACACAUACGUAUGCCCAUGUCCAUAAAUACACAUAACAACAUAUCAUACCAACACAUCACAUAAACACAUGGGCAAAACAUAUAAAUCAAUAUCCGGACAUAUACAAAAAUAAACUUUUCAAACAUGUCAAACAUAUAUAUUGUUUAUUGUGAUUCGUUUGGAAAUAUAGUUUACUUACCUCAUGGCAUCCUCGAAUAACAAAUGCACAUCGAUAUCAUCGGCCUAUAAAUAAAUAAAAAUACUCUCAUGAGAAUAAAAUUAAACAAUAAUCAUAAACUCCAAUAUUCUUAAAUUCCUCAAUAUAAUCACAUUCCAUACUAACCUCAAAUAAUUUUAAUUUAAAUAAUAAAUCAUCAAAAUACUCACAAUUCUUGAAAUUACGAAAUUACCCUCAAAUAUCAAAAUUACCAAAAUACCCUUGAAUUCAAUAUUACUAAAAUACCCUCAUAUCAAAAUUACCAAAUUAACCUCAAAAUCAUAAAUUACCAACUUUAUCCUCAAUUUCAGCAAUUAUUAAAACACCCACAAAAUCUGAAAUUACAAAAUUGCCCUUGGACUGUGAAAUUACCGAAAUACCCUUGCCGGUGGACGGUCACCGGAAUUCAACCGACGGCGACGGGAUGGCUCCGGAUCGAGCUCCCAAAAUCGUGAAUCCUCCAACGGCCGAUCAACGGCAAAACGACGUCCCCGGCGUCAGUGGUUAGUCGGAAAUGGCAGAGGGAAAGGUAAGAAACAAAACUCAAGUGAUGGCUUCACCGGAAACCGGCGAAAUCACGGCGAAUCGAGCCGGCGAUUCCGCGGUACUUCAAAGCUUCGAUCGGUGGCUUUCCGAUCGAUUUCCGGCGGCAAGGACGGCAUGGAUACGUUGCUCGUCUCUCAAGCUUCAAAUCGGUACCAACCUUGACCGGAACGGUGGCCGGAAAUGGAAUAACCGGCCGGGUCGCGCUCGCGGGUCGGGUUGGAUCCGGUUCUGUUUCUCCUCUCUCUCUCUUCUCUUCUCUCUUUCCUUUCUCUCUUUCUGUCAAUUUAUAUGGGUGGUCAACAGAGUCAAAACCGGGUGUGGGGUAUUACAGUAUUGUAAUAGAACCUAGAACUUCUAUGUAUUUUAGAAUGAAAAUUCUGUACAAUAGAAAAUAUUAAAACGAAAAUUAAAGUUGAUAUGAGAAAAUUAAAGAAGCUUGGAACUGCAAUCUAGCUCGACCUACUAUAUAUAUAUAUAUAUGUUAUUAAUUAAUUGAUCAGGUAAGAUAGAGAGAGACUCUCGGACUCUUUACAAGGAGCAAAAAUGGUAUGAAACUCUGUUUUGAUUAAAAUUCAAUGACUUUCUUCGUAUUAAUUAAUUAUUUUGGUGAAAUUGAUUCACGGUUUCAAAUGAGGACAUGCCGCGGAUGCGUGCGUGCCGUAUGACAUCGAUGAAAAAGUAAAGAGUUUGAUUUCUCUAUUUUACCCUUAAUUAAUCGUUGACAUCUAAUUUUACACUCCCAACAAAUUUGAAUGAAACAAUCCUAAGUGAUCUGCUCUUCAAUUGCAUUGCCUUUGCUUUAUGUUUCUCUGACAAAAGGGUUUGCUUGUUCUUUACUUUAUCAGCUGAGAAUAUAUUUUACAAGUUUACUUUGAUUUCUGGCUUUAUGGCCUCUGUUUGAUGUGUGUAGUAUUUGACUGUAAUGCGAGUAUUGUGUGUUUUCAGCUUUGUAUGUGAUGCGGUAGAUAGUUGGUGUGCUCGUCAAUGCAAUCAAGGUAUGAUUCGUACGAAGUGAUCUGCUAUCUAUCUUUUGGCAAAUUAAGCGUCGAUGAUUUAUGCUAAUUGAGCCGCUAAAAGUUGUCUUUGUGUGUGAUUGAGUACAUGUUAGUGUGAAUUCUCGUAAUGUUUAUCCAGUCAAAGCAAACGUUCGUCUUUCACAUUGACUAUUAGGCAAGAUGUUUGAUAGUGAAUUAGAUGAUUCAGUUUAUUAUAGUCUUCUUAUAUUGUCGGUUCAAUAUCAUUUUGAAAUAUCGCAUCAACUCCGCUUUUGGAGUUUUAAUCCAUGCCCAGUUGCACCUUUAUUUUACUUUUGAGCUGCAACAUUGAGUCACAUUCUUUUUGCUGUUAUUAUUUCCAUUAGCGACUGGUACAGUGGUUCCUGAACAACAUAGUAUGUCAACUUUCACUCUAAAUGUCUUAGAAACUCUGUAUAUCACUAAUUUCCUAGAACAGGCCUCGUUGACAGUCAAAGAUUUGAGGCAUAUUUCUGGAUUGAAGGCUUUUUUGUAGUCGAUUUGAUGAUAAGCACAUUUAUUAUCUCCAACAUUUUAAGCACUAAUUUGUAACUAGUAUUUUAAACAUGUCAAGAGUCGCUAUAAUCAUUGUGCUUGGAGCCCAUCAGGCCAUCACAGCAGGGAGAGUAAAAAUGAGUUCGUGGGUCCUCUCACUUAUGGACUAAAGCCUAUUCACAAGAAUUCCAGGAACGGCUCAUCGCCGCACGUCCCUGGAGUUUGUACGUGCGGCCGUCCACUUCAGGUUCUUCUUUUAUGUAUAGAAGCUGGACACGUGCUAGCAUCACGACAAGAGCCGUCCAUUUCCACAGCCAUCAAGACAAGUUGGCUAAGGCAACUAGUCAAUAAAUCAACGGUCGGUUAGCGGCAGAGCCCACUGAACUCAUUAAAACUCAACUCUCUAUAUAAUUUAAACAAUUAAUUGGGUCCUCCUAACUUGCAACAGUUGCAUGAUACCCUAAAUUUUGUCAUUUUCUGAUUCAGCCAAUAAAUCUAAUGGCUAAAGUAUUCAACGGUUGAGAUGUAUUCAAUUAGUUAUUAACAUUUAAGUCCUUAUUGUUUAUAUAAAAUUACAAAAGCUAAAAGUUCUUAAAUAUUUAUUUAUAUAACUCUUAUUGUUUUAAAUUUUUUAAAGUUUGAUCCAUUGACCUAACUUAAUCAUAAACAUGAUUGAUGGUGUAAAGAUGAUAAUGUAAUAUCACAUAAAAUUUUUUAAACACAUGAAAAUUUGAUAAAUGUAAAUAAUAUUUCUAGAAUAAAUAAACUGAAUAUGUAUUAAGAAUAUAGGUUAUUGACCUUGCAAUACUUUAGAAAAGUAUAAAAUAAAAAAGGUGAAAUUUCAAAAUAAGAAACAUGUAAAAAGUGUUACGUUGUAAAAUUUUAUCAUUUUAAUAUUACGAAACUUUACUUUUUUUUAAUUACAUUUUUGUUUUUAACAUUAGCUGACAUGCUAGUUUAUUUAAUUAUUUAUACAUACAAUGUGUUAAUUUACCUAUAAAAUACCAAUAUUACUCUUGAAAUUUAAGGAAGCCAUUUUAAUUUUUUAAAAUUUUAAAUGUAGUCCAAUAAAGUUAUAGAAAGAUAAACAAAGAAUAAUAUAAAAGGAAGUUAUUUUUUUAAGAAUAUUUCAAAAGAAUUUGAGUUUUAUGUUUCUUGAGAAUUAUCUUUUUUUUUUAUAGAUGUUUGAGCUUGUAAAUCUUUUUGUAAUGAUAAUUUAUUAUUUAUUAAAAAUAAUUAAAUAGUAAAUUUAUUGAUUUUUAAAUACUCUUUUAAAUGUAGGAUAGCAGCUUAAUUUUUAUUAUGUCAGCCUAAACUUUUUUUAUAAUAGCUAAUCAACUAUCACAAAAGACUCUGCCACGAUUAUGUUUACUUUUUCUAUACCCUUUAGACCAUCAUCACUCAAAAAAUUAAGGAUCUGUUUGGCAUACUAUACUAUAUUAUAUUGUAUUGCAUUAUUUAAUAUAUGUGUAUUGUAUUAUGUUAUAUUACAUUAGUAGUAUAUUAUAAUAAUAUUGUAUAACGUUUGGUAAUUGGUAUUACAUUGUAUUGUAUUAAUUUCAUAUUAAGACUAAACUAACAUUAUUUAAAUUUAUUAUUAAUUAUAUUAAAUUUUUAUUUUUUUAUAUAAUAUAAUAUGAUAUAAUAAAAUAAUAUUAUAGUAUAGUUUAUUUUUAUAUUUUUAUUUAUAAUUUAUUUUUAUUUAUUAUAAUAAAAAUAAAAAUAUAAUUAAAAUAUAUUUAAUGCUCAAUUAAAGCAAAUUAAUAAUAAUAAUAGCAAUAGUAUUAUUUAAAACGAAAAAAUGUAUAAAGUUUAAUAAUGAUGAUGAUGGUGUUGUUGACUACAUUAAUAACAACAUAAUAAUUAAAAUAAUAAAGUUAAUAUAUAGUAAUGACUUAAUUGAACUAAUCAUAACAAUUAAAAUAAUAAAAUUAAUAAAUUUUCAUAAUAAUAAUAAUAAUUAAUGACAGUAAUAAUAAUAAAUUAUAAAUAAAAUCAUAAAUUAACAAAUUUUAAUGAUAACAAUAAUAUUAAUAAUAUUAAUAGUGAUGAUGUUUAUGAUAGUAAUAAUACAUAACAACAAUUAAAAUAAUAAAAUUUAAUAAUAAUAAUAAUAAUAAUAAUGAAAUUAAUAAAUAAUACUAAUAAUAACAGUUAAAAGUUUUUUCAAAAGCCAUUUUAUUAAAAAAAAAAGUUAUAUAUAAAAUUUUGUAACUUCUAAUGUCUAUUCUAUUUUUUCAUAAAAUAUAAGAUAACACAGUGUAAUUUACUAAAAAAAUAAAAUUCAUUGAUAUGCUGCAACAGUUACAACAUAAUUUCACCCCAAUUUUAACAACUAUAAAAAAUUUUCAACGAUAAAAUUGGAGGCUAAGGAAACAAUAAAAAAAUGUGCAGAAAAGUUGUUAAUAAAGAGGAAAAACGAAAGCUCCAUCUCCAACAAUGCCGCGUACAGCGUGGACCGACUUUUGCUGAUCAGACAAGAAAAAUAAGUACCGUGUUCGGCAACACAGAUUGUGGCACGUGGCGUACGUCUCUUGGGCCUGAGUUGUGGUGGACCCAUAUGGGCCGCGUGCUGUUGAAAAUCCAAUAAUAUAUCCGCCAGGACUCUGCUUUCGUCUUAAGACAUCAAAAACGCGGACAGCUGUCCACCUUGUUCAACGCGGUUACUUACAUCAUCAUCGUCGUCAUUAUCAUAUUAAACACAAGCUUACCCCAUUGGUUUUGUCGCCUACAUCAUCAACCCGGUUACUUACAUCAUCAAUCCUUAUCCACUACCGAACCUACCCUUGUCUCAACAUUGGGUUUUUAGCCUACUGGCUACUAAACUCUAAAGCAGGGCAAUUUUGGAAUGAAAUUAAGCUAGAGCAGAUGAUUAACGUGACCGCAUUAGCUACAAUAAAGUAGUUUUAAUUUUGGUUGGUGAAUACUCGAUCUAACCUCAGUUCUUAGAGAUCACUACAAACUGAGUGGGGAGAUACACUCAAAAAAGUCCCAUUUCAGUACAUAUACAAGAGCCCUCAUUUUUCUUUGCUUCAGCCAUUUUAUAGCAGUGUCAUCACAGACACCUCAAGCUCUGCCGAAUCAUCAUAGACAGUUUGUAAUUGGUGGGAGUAUUACAAGAAAGGUACGGCUACUUCAAACUAAUAGAUUUGUUUAUAUGAUUCAGCUAUAGUUUUUACUUUUAUAUAUGGUCAAGUUAUAACAGUAAUCAAGAGAUAAUCAUGUCCAUCAUAAUUUACAUAAAUGUACAUACUAAUUUAUUCCUCUACUUGCCAAAACCAUACAUAUAAAAUGAGAUAAAUUUUAAGGUUUAAUCUUAGGGUUGGCACAACAAUCCGGAAGAUCCAAAUCUGGAAAAAUUUGGAUCUGUAUGUUAAAAAAUACGAAUCCAGAUCUUAAAAAUCACAAUCCGUGCGGAUCCGGAUGUAAGUGCAUCUGGAAAACCGAAUAUCUGGAUUCACAAUUUUUUAUAAUUAAAUUUCAAUUGAAAAAUAUAUAAAUUAAAUUAUUUAUUUAAAUGUAUAAGCAUAAUUAACUCUCUAAUCUUCAUUAACUUUAAAAAAUAUGUUAAUAAACUAAUAAUAAUAAUAAUAAUAAUUAGAGAAUAUUGUAAUAAAUCGGUUUACCUUACAUUUUUUUAUUUUUUUAUGUUUGAUUUAUAUUGUGAAAUUAUUGUUUGUGAAUUUAUGGUGUUGUUGUAUGUUAUUUAUGUUGAAUUGAAGUUAAAUUGUUGAUUAUUAAAUUAUAAUUGAAUUUUAUUUAAUAUUAUUAUGUAAAUUAUUAAAUUUAAAAUUAUAUUUAAAUUUAUUAUUAUGCGGAUCUGGAUAUCCGGAAUAUCCGCCUGCAAUCCGUGCGGAUGUUAUCCGCAUCCGGAUCCGUAUUUUUUUUUGCAGAUCCGGAUGUCAAAAGUUCUUUUGACAUCUGGAUCCAGAUCCAAAUUUUGCCAUCCCUAGUUUAAAACUUUGUAAUUCGUUAAAAAUCUUGUGGGAUAUUAAUCGGUAAAAUCACUUAGGGAUAGUACAAGAGGUUUAUGAUUCCUCAACUCAUUUAUGUGGGUGGAGAGAGAAUCAAGUGUUUUUUUUUAAAAUAAAGUAUAAUUAAUAAUUAAUAAUCAAAUUAAUAUAAAUAAAUAAAUUGUAAGGGGGAUCGUAAAAGUUUUGUAUGUAACAUAUCGGUAGUGGAAAGAAAUUUUUUUGGAGAGGACAUUUGGCUUGGAACAUAUAUUACAAUACUCUCUUCAUCCACUUCUCAAUAAAAUAUUUUAUUACAAAAUUUUCCUUAAUUAAAUUAUUGUUUUAGCCAUAUAUUAUGUUCGUUUAUCUCCCUAAAGUUUUUAUUCUUUCACCAUUUUUUCUCUUUUCCUCUGUGUCUCCCCAAUUUUUUUCCAGUCCUAUGGGGUUCUUACUAAAGCUUCUAUUGAGUAAAAUCUCUAUUAAAAUUGCUUAUAAAAAAAAAAAGAAAAAAAGAAUGGGUCUCUUUUAAAAUUUGACUUUUCUUUCUUUACCCUUAAGUUACUAUUAGGGCAGUGUUUACUUUCUGGAGUGUGAGUGUGGAGUGUGAAUUCCUCCCACUCCAGUGUUUACUUACCUUAAAAAAGGGGGAAGUGGGAGUAGGAAUCUGUGGAUCCCACCCAAUUUUAGAGUGGGGAGUGGGAUUCCCACUCCCAUGGGGGAGGUGGGAGUGGGAAUCUACUCCCCCCUCUUCCCAUUUUAUCCUUAUAAUUAAAAUAAAUAAAUAAUAUUUAAUAAAAUAAAAAUGAAUAAAUAUUAUAUUUAAAUUAAUAAUAUUAAACAUUAAUUUUAAUAAAUAUUAAUUAUUUAUUUAAUUAAUAAUAAUAAAUAUUUUACCGUAAAAAAUAUUAAUUUUGUACUAUAUUAUCAAUAAUAAUAUUUCAUUUGUGUUGCUAUUAUUAAUAAUUUUUAUUCACAUAAUUUAAAUUAAAAUUAAUAAAAAAUUAUGAUUUACAUAAUUAAGAAUAUUAGUAAUUAUUAUUAAUUUAUAAAUAUAAUAAAAUAUUUAUUUUAUUUUCCAAAUAUAUUUUUUAUUAAUUUUUUAAUUACAAAUUAUAAUUCUGUACAUAAGGAUAAAAUUGUAAUUUAAAAGAAUUUACUCCCAAUCCAAGACAAAGUAAACAAAUAAUUGGGAUUCUGAUUCACAAUCCAUACUUUCAUUUAGUCUAAGUAAACACCCUACUCCCACUCCCACUCCCACUCCACACUCCUAAUCCAAGGAUUCCCACUCCUCAGGAUUCCUACUCCAAUCCAAAAAUAAACGCAGCAUAGAUGUAUAAUCUCACGAUGAGAGUAGUAAUUGGAUUUCCAUUAAAAAUUUUAACUUCAAAAAAUCAGAAGAUCACCAUACAAAUAUCAAAAGAUCACUAACUUAAUUAUACUGGUAAUAAUUAAGAUAAGUAAAAGACCUACUAUUUCUGUUUGAUGUUAUUAUGAUAAAGAAAGGAAAAAAAAAAAGAAAUAGCAAGUCGCUGCAAUUGCAACAAUUGAGGAUAUGCUAAUAAAAGUGUUACAGAGAUAGAUUUAAUUGAUAAAAAUAAGAUUUUAAUAAAAAGUAGUGAGAGAAACAAUUAAUAAAAACUAAUGAUAUUUAUUAAGGGUAUAUUAUGAAUAUUUGUGGCCUUUUUUGAGGUAACUAAAUAAAUUUUAAGUUGUGAUAAUGUGUUUAUUACAUAAGUGGAUUUAUUCAGUAUUCUAGUGGAUUUAAAUAGUUUCAACUCUCAUAUUAUAAUAAAUUUUUAUAUUGCUACAAUUGCCCUAAUAUAGUGGACAAUAUUAUAUUGUACGCAUAAGAAUACUCUAGCACCCAAUUAAAAUUUUUAGUAAAACUUAUAAGAACUCUAAAUGUAAAGAGAAUUUCGUCAAGGUAUUGCAGUAGUAUUUAAUGCUCUUGGCUAGUGUAAACUAUUGUGCCACACGUAGUAUUUCGAUCCUGACAAGUGCAUUACAAAUAAUGACUCUUAUUUCAGGUCUUUUAGGUACUUUAGAGAUAUAUUAGCUCUGGAGCUAGUAUUAGGUCAUCACGUGCUUCUUUUAAUGAAAGAUGUGGUUCAUUUUUCCCUACACCAGAGCAUUUUCUAUGGAAUAACAUUGUCAAAUGCUCAUUUACCAAGGUCACGUGUGGUGUUGUCAGUAUGAUAUGCUAGCCCACAUGCACUUAUGGAAAAUCAAAUGAGAAAAAUGAAUUAAAAAAAUACAAAAGCUAAUUAAUAAUGUUCGAGUUUGAGAUGAAGAAUAUUUAAUUUUAUGGAUAUAAAGAUAAGAAAGAUUUAAUGAGAACUAUCCUAAUAUUAAAAUACUAUUUAAAAUAAAUUCUAUUUGAUGUAAUAGUAUGUCUCAUAAUAAGACUCGUAGUGGUCAAAUCAACUUAUUUUGAUAAGAUCCAUCCAAUUUAAUAUUUAAAAAAUUUAACGUCAUGUUAUACAACACACAACUUUGACAUUUGAUAGAAAAUGAUUGGUUGGCACAUCAUGGCUUACAUGAAUAUUUCUCAUAUUUGAAUCUUUUGUUAGAGAAUUUUAAUCUUAUCCAAGAUCUUGUGAGUAAAAAUAUCAAAUAAAUAAAAAAUAGAUAUAGAAUAAAAUUAAUCUUAAAACACAAGAAUUUACAUGAAAGCUCCUAUAAUAGAGAAAAAUCACCGUUGCUAACGACAAUGAGAGAAAAACCCAAUAUGUAAAAAUUAUUACUAUCAUUCUAGUGUCUUUUUUCUCAUGCAGAAUCAUAAUAACAAUCAAUCUCACAAAACCUAGUAUUUUUCUCACAUUAAAAACUGUCUAUUUGUAGAGAACUGAUUGUUAUGUUAUGCAAACAAGUGAAUUCAAUCUCCUUAUAUAUAGUGAUUAUUUCUUAUAAAAGAAUCAUUUCUUUCCUUAUAUAAGUUGUGUUUCUCCUUGAAUGAGUUCUUUAGAAUUACUUAUUCCUAAAACACAAACCCCCAAUAAGAAAUCUACUAAAUAAAAGAAUUUUAGAAAAAAUCCUAAAUUAGGAUUUACUAAUCCUCAUGGAAAAAAGAGACAUAUUUCUUAAAAAUCUUCACCUUGGCAAGUUUUUUAAUUAAGUAAUAAAACAUGAUCCACUAUGUAUUGAUAAAACUAUAUCGUCUCCAUCCUUUUUACUCCACCAAAACCACACUCACAUAGGGCUUAUGAGAAGCACUCCACUAUGGUAAAAUCUUGUCUUCUAUCCAACAACCAUAAUUCUCUACACCGAGAAUCAUCGUAUUCUACCUUAUCUAGUGUACACAGAUUCGGGACAUGUUAACCACCUUUAUGAAAAUAUCCACUCUCAUGUUUGGCUUCCUUGAGAGUCCUCAACAAUCAACAUAAAAAGUCCACCAUACACUUUGCAUAAAUGCUAAAUCACGGCUUGUAUGCAAAUUCUGUGGACCUGUUAGUAGUAACACAUCUUUUUCCAUGGCAUACCAAAGAUGAUAAUCCAGUCUCUCAUGGAAAAAAUAGACACACCAAUAAAUGACAUUAUCAGUAUCUCCUAUUGAUUUGAAGCUACUUGCUAAAUAUGCUAUAUUCUAAAUUCUUUUUAAGGUGUUUUGAUUGUCUACACUCCUUCAGGGGAUUUCUACUAUCGGAAUAUGGUUUACAUUGCUCUUGCUUUCCUUGUAUAACCAAAUUGAAUCAAUAUAUUAUUGGCUUGAACUUGCCACAAGCCAAAAUUGAUUAUUUCGUCAAACUUUUCUAUUUCUAUCUUCACAAGUUUUGAAAAUCUUGUUGUUGACAUAUUUUCUCUACAUUACAGCUUUAACUAUGUUAACACUUCCUGGUAAAUAAUUAAUCCCACCUAAGAUUUUCUAAGCAAAAAUAUCAAAUAAAAAGUAAAUAAAAAAAUUGGAGGGUAAAACUAAUCAAACAACACAAGAAUUUAUGUGGAAAACUCUUAUACUGGAGAAAAAUCAUAGCUGCCAAGGACGAUGAGAGAAAAAUCUAUUAUGUAAAAAUUAUUGCAAUUAUUCUAGUAUUUUCUCACACCUAAAAACCUAAAAGCAUCUAAUCUCUCAAUAAAACUAUUGUUUCUUAUAGUAUAAACUAUCUGCUUGCGAAAAAUUGAUUGUUAUUUUAUGCAAACAAGUAACCCAACCUCCCUAUAUAUAGUGAUUUUUUCUUAUAGGAGAUUUAUUCUUUUCCUUACAUAAUUUGUAUUCCUCCUUAAAUAAGCUAAGUUCCAAAGAAAAUUUCUUAUUUUUUAAAUAGAAAUCAUACUGAAUAAGAAAAUUAUUAAAUAAGAAAAGUCUAAAAAAUAUCUUAAUUUAGGAUUUACAAAUUUUCUUUGAAAAAGGAGACAUAUUCCCUAAUAUCUCAAAUCCUCCUUGCCAAUCUCAUUUGUCAGUCAUUACUAACGAACUAGCCUAGUUGAAACUUUUAAAUUGAUGGGUCGUAAUUGUCAAUAUUUGAAUAAAACAAAUUUUCAUGGAUAUAUUGGUAGAUUGAAUGACAAUUGGCAACAUAUGAUUUAAUUAACUACUUCCCAAAAAAGUAAAAGAAGAAGAAGAAGAAGAAGAAGAUAGAUACCGUGGAUGAACAUAACACUCUUGUGCCAACUUAUGGAAUUCGUCAAUAAUGCAUGGGCAAAUCCACCUCAUGCUUAGUGGGGUUCAAACCCUCCCUAAAUAAUGAGAAAAAUAUUUGAAUUACUAAUUACUCUUUAUUAGGUCUAUUCAAACUUUAACUUUGAGAAUUAUAAAUGUCUACACUUUAAUUAAAACAACACAAGCCGACAUGUUUGUAUUUAAAAUUUUGGUUUGAAUUUAUUCAAGAGCAACAAGAAAGAUACCUAAGUUGCAGUUCAGAAAGAUACCUAUAAAAUUGUAAACCACUCUAUAUUAUUUACAAUUUAUUCAUAAGUAUUAUGAAAUUUAUAGUGCAUUCACUAAAUAAGAAUCAAAAUUAGCUGGAAACAUAAUGAGUUAGAAUCGAAAUAGCUAUAAUCAAAAUUAAGAAUUGAAAUUAAAAUAAUUUAUUUACUUAAACUGCAUGAUUCGUAAUUAGAAUGAGCUGUAGUAUUUAUAUGUUUACUUUGUCUUAGAAUCAAAAUCAGAAUGAGUUAAAUUGUAACAAAUUAAUAUAAAAUUCUUAAUUAAUUUUUAUCAUUAUUAUUAUCUUGUAUUUUAAAUAUUAUUAUUAUUAUUAUUCAAAAAUUAAUUAUUUAUAAUAAUUAUCGUUAAUUAUUAUUAUUAACAAUUUAACAAAAUAAUAAUUAUUAAUUAUUGUUAUAGAUUAAUUAAUUAUAAUACUUUUUAUUCUUGUUAAUAAAUAUAAUCUAUUUAAAAAUUAUAAUUAUAUUUAUAGUUAUAAUAAAAUAACUACUAUAAUUAUAAUUAUAAUUCAUUUAAUAAUAAUGAUAUUUUUUAAUUAAACAGAUGAUAUUUUGGGAAUUUAAAAUUAUAGGAAAAAUUACUUAUUUCUUAAAUAUGAAUUAUCUUCAAUAAGAAAACUGAAAGGUGUAGAAAAUUCCUAAUUUAAGACUUAAAAAUCUUCUUUGAAAAAAGAGACAUCUCCCAAUAUUCUCAAAUCCUCCGUACAAUGCCACCAAUCUCUUUUGUGACUAGCCCAGUUGAAACUUUUAAUGGAUGGGCUGUAAUUGCCAAUAUUCAAAUAAAAAAAGAAAAGAAAAAAAAAGAACUUACAUGCAAAAAAAAAGAAAAAAAAAAAGAUACAAUGGAUGAACAUAAGACUCUUGUGCCAACUCAUGGAAUUCAUCAAUAAGGCCUUGGCUGAUCCACCUCAUGACUAGUAGAGUUCAAACCCCCGCUAAAUAGUAAAAAAAUAUUUGGAUUAUUAAUUACUCUUUCUUAAGUCUAUUUAAACUUAACUUUGAGAAUUAUGAACGUCUACACUUUAAUUAAAACAAUACAAGCCCACCCGUUUGUAUUUAAAAUUUUGUUUGAAUUUAUUGACGAGCAACAAGAAUAGUAUAAAUGAAAAAAAAACCAUCAAAUAAUAACCCAUGACUCUGUUUCUUCAAUUCAGGAGCAAUGGUGGAAUCAUAUUUUCCGAUUGAAAAACUUUUGGAAAAAUUAGGGAGCUCUGCUUAUAAAGAACUUUUAUUGUUCUGCGGUGUCAAAAAUGACUUACAAAAGUUAGAGGAGACGUUAACCACUGUCAAAAGUGUGGUUUUGGAUGCUGAGGAAAAGCAAAUCCAUAAUCGCCGGUUAAGCGAUUGGCUGGGAAAGCUUAAGGAUGCUUGUUAUGAUGCAGAAGAUGUGUUGGAUGAAUUUGAGGUGGAAAAUCUACGAAGGCAAGUCAUGAAGCAAAGAAGCAUCGGAAGAAAGUUUCGUAACUUUUUUGGAAGCUCAAAUCCGAUAGCUUUUCGUUUUAGAAUGGGUCAUCAAAUCAAGAAAAUGCGAGAGAGGUUUGAUGAGAUUGCAAACUUGAGGGGUGAGUUUAAUCUCAUUGAACGACUUGACGAUCAUCGGCGAGUUGUUCACAAAGAAAGGGAACCCACUCACUCGUUUGUGCUUUCAUCAGAUAUUAUUGGAAGAGAUAAAGAUAGAGAAAAGAUUAUUGAAGCUCUAAUGCAAACAAGUUCUGGCGAAAGUGAAACUGUGUCUGUUCUUCUUAUCGUGGGACUUGGAGGUUUGGGCAAAACUGCACUUGCAAAAUUGGUGUACAAUGAUCAAAGGGUAGAAGAGCAUUUUGAGUUGAAAAUCUGGAUAUGUGUUCCUGAGCAUUUUGGUGAGAGACAAAUUAUGACAAAGAUUAUCAAGUCGAUAACUGGUCAAAACCAAGGUGACUUGGAUACAGACCAAUUGCAACGAACCUUGCGAGAUCGUUUGAAUGGUAAGAGAUACUUGCUUGUUAUGGAUGAUGUAUGGAACGAAGAUCCUGAAGCAUGGCGUGAAUUAAAAAGCUUAUUGUUGGGAGGUGCUAACGGAAGCAAAAUUUUGGCAACUACACGUAGCAGGAAGGUUGCUUCAAUCAUGGGCAGGAGGGGAGGUACUACUGGCUACAAUUUACAAGGUCUACCAUUCGAGGAUUGCUUGUCUUUGCUUAUGAAAUGUGCAUUUAAAGAAGAGCGAGAUAAACAUCCAAACCUCAUAAAAAUCGGGGAGGAAAUUGUGAAAAAAUGUGGAGGAAUUCCUCUGGCAGUCAGAUCACUAGGAAGUGUACUAUAUGACUCAACAGAUGAACAUUUUUGGGAAUAUGUGAGGGAUAAUGAGAUAUGGCAGUUAGAGCAAAAGGAAAGUGGCAUUUUACCUGCUCUGAGGUUAAGCUACGAUCAAUUGCCACCUCACCUUAAACAAUGCUUUGCUUAUUGUUCAUUCUUUCCCAAGGAUUAUCAAUUUGAUAGUCAUUAUUUGGUUCUAUUUUGGAUGGCUCAUGGUCUUCUCCAAUCGCAUAAUAAGAAAGAAGAUUUAGAAGAUAUUGGUAAGCGGUACUUGAAGGAAUUAGUAUCAAGAUCUUUCUUCCAAGAUUUGAAUUUUGAGACGUUUGGACGGGAGGUGUUGUAUUUCAAAAUGCACGACCUUAUGCAUGAUCUUGCCCUGCUAGUGGCCAAAGAUGAAUCCCUAGUAGUGAACUCUGAUUGUCAAUCUAUUCCCAAAAGAGUCCGCCAUUUGUCAUUUGCUGCUGCUAAUGCAUCAAGAAAUGACUUUUCAAGCCUUUUGUCUGAUCUAGGUCGUGUGAGAACCAUUUUAUUUUCAACUGAUGAUGGGAAGACAAGCCAAUCAUUUGUUGAAUCAUGCAUCUCAAAGUCGCAGUUCCUGAGAGUGCUAAAUUUAAGUGAAUCUGCUCUUGAGGUUUGUCCCAGGAAGAUGGGAAAUUUGAAGCACAUGAGGUGUCUUGAUCUGUCGAGAAAUUAUAAAAUCAAGAAACUUCCAAAAUCCAUUUGCGAGCUACAGAGUUUACAAGCACUGAUUCUUGAAGGAUGUCUGGAGCUAGAAGAGUUGCCUAAAGACAUAAGGUACCUUGUCAGUCUCAGAGUGUUUGCGCUAACCAUAAAACAGAAGUCUUUGCAAGAGAGUGGAAUAAGGAGCUUGGGUUCUCUUCGUUGUUUGACAAUUUGUGAUUGUAGGGAUUUAGAACAUUUGUUCGAGGAGAUAGAUCAAUUAAGUGUCCUUCGAACAUUGUCAAUUGCUCGUUGUCCUCGUCUAAUCUCAUUGCCACCUGCUAUCAAAUAUCUCAGCUCAUUAGAGACUCUGAUUUUGUGGAUGUGUAAAAGCCUUGAUCUUAAUCUGAACGUGGAAAUGGAAGGUGAAGGAAGUCAUCAUGAUCGCAAAAACACAAGGCCUCACCUUCGGAGGGUUAUCAUCAGGGGAAUAACACAGUUAUUAGAACUGCCACAAUGGCUUCUUCAAUGUUGUACUGAUACUUUACAGAGCUUGGUUAUUCUUGAUUGUCCCAACUUCAUGGCACUACCAAGGUCUCUAAAAGGCCUCGAAGCUCUUGAAACUCUUGCCAUUAAAGAAUGUCCAAAAUUGUCAUCGUUGCCGGAGGAUAUGCAUCACGUCACAACUCUGAAAUCAUUGCUCAUUGAAGGAUGUCCUGCGCUGAGUGAACGAUGCAAACCGCCAACAGGUGAAGAUUGGCCCAAGAUUGCACAUAUCCGUCAGGUUCAUCUUGAUGGCGAGAUGAUUAAAUCAAGCGAUAAUUAGGUAUGGAUUUUUUUUUCAAUAAGCAUACCACUCUGUUAUAUUUCCUCUUUUCAUGCAGCUUUCUAAUUUUUAAUUUCUCAUACAGCUAUACCGUUUCUAGUUUAAUGUUUUGUUAUGUUUACCAAACGAAAACUUGACUUUGAACGUUAGUUAGUUCAAUCAAAUUUGUACUAAUUUAUUUUCUUCUAAUACAUAAUUAGUUAGUCAGUACGAAACACAAAAAUAAUAUUUUGGAAACCGCACUGUUCUAGGGGUCAGACCUGUUUCUAAAUUCAAACAGUUCAGGAUUUUUCAAAAUGGAGGGACAGUGAAUAUUGCAGCUUUCUUGGGAGAGGUUCAACCAAACUGCAGGGACAGUGAAAAUAUUACUCUAACGUUGUUCAGAAUAGAGCUUCAACGGUUUUAAUGUUGUGUUUUAAAGUUACAAGUAUUAUAUAUUCGUUACGUGUGGUUAUGUAAUUUGCUGAUAUAUAAGUACAUUGAGUGAGGUAUAUGUGUGUGCCUGUGUGGUCAUUACUGAAUUUCUCAGUAAUAUAAUUUGCAUUGACUGCAGAUUUGUGUAAUGGGAACGGUGGUGUCUGUAUUUUGUGCUUUGUGAUUGAUGACUUACAUUUGCCCAGGAAGAAAUGAAAACAAAUCGGCUUCUUGAAAUUAACCAUUUAUUCUUUCGAAUGGUAACCUUUUUGUGACAUGAUUCGCAUAUUAAUCAAAAGCAGUUGGCAAACUAAUUAGAUAUUGCAUCGUGAUUCGUGGCCUUGAAGUGAAAUGAGUGAGCAUGUUUGUGGAGGUUUUUGUUUUUUGUUUUUUUUUCCUCCAUAUAAAAUGACUAAUUCGAAAGAAUAUGUAUUGUAAUAGAACCUUGAACUUCUAUGUAUUUUAGGAUGAAAAUUCUGGACAAUAGAAAAUAUUAAAACGAAAAUUAAAGAAGCUUGCAACUUGGAACUGCAAUCUAGCUCGACCUACAAUAUAUAUAUAUAUAUAUAUAUAUAUGUUAUUAAUUAAUUGAUCAGGUAAGAUAGGGAGAGACUCGCGGACUCUUUACAAGGAGCAAAAAUGGUAUGAAACUCUGUUUUGAUUAAAAUUCAAUGACUUUCUUCGUAUUAAUCAAAUUAAUUAAUUAAUUAUUUUGGUAAAAAGAAUUUGCCAAUUGUGUGGCGGUCUUCAGACCCUUGACGGUGGUGAAAUUGAUUCACGGUUUCAAAUGAAAGACAUGCAGCGGAUGCGAACGUGCCGUAUGACAUCGAUGAAAAAGUAAAGAGUUUGAUUUCUCUAUUUUACCCUUAAUUAAUCGUUGACAUCUAAUUUUACACUCCCAACAAAUUUGAAUGAAACAAUCCUAACGUUCACUUUCUUCUUCGAUUUCAUUUUACGACUUAACAAAAACGAGAUGCUCCUGAUGAGGGGAAGGAGAAGAAGACACAGUGAGUUCGCAAGAACGUGUACAGAGGAAUAAGGCAGAGGCCAUGGGAGAAAUGGGCAGCUGAAAUUAGAGACCCUUACAAGGGCGUCCGCGUUUGGCUCGGCACAGCCGAAAAUGCUGCAAGAGUUUAUGCUGACGUCGCCAAGAAUAUCCGUGGCAACAAGGCCUAGCUCGACUUUGCUCACCGGCCGCCAGUAACUCCACCUCCAGGUAAGAAACGCUUCGUGCUAUCCCGUGAGUUGACUCAGCCGAGUUUCGGAGAUUACUUUUUUUUUUGGUUUUCAUUGAUUUCUUUUCCUGCUCUUAUCUACGAGGUUGUGCUCUCCCUUGGAUGCCCUUUAAUAAACAGCUUUCCUAAUAACAACUGAAGCGAAAAGUCAUUUUAUCAAAUGAUUUGGUGAAAUUUCAAGUACUUUCAUCUUGGUUUUUGCAGUUAAUAGGAAAUAGUUUGGUGUUGGGAUGUGGUAUAUGUAUCAAGUUCUUAUUGCUGGUGAACAUUACUGGUUUAGUGUGCGAUCGUUUACUAUCACUGCAUGCAUUAUCAGUUUAUUUUAUUGAACUAUCCCAAAUCAGUAACGAAUCCUCAAUUCCCUCUGUUUUCUUUGGAUCCUAGUAGUGUUUGGCAUGCAUCAACUAGUGUUCAUGCAUGUGUCGGUUCAUCAUAGACAACUUCAGCACACAUACAACAGCCCUCAUUUCUCCUUGCUCCAACCAAUCGAUGGCAGAAUCAUCACAGACACCUUGAGCUCUGUCGAAUCAUCAUAGACAAUUUGUGAUUAGUGGGAGCAUUACAAGAAAGUUACGACUACUUCAAACUGUUAGAUUUGUUAAUAUGAUUCGGCUAUAGUUCUAUAUAUGGUUAAGUUAUAACAGUAAUCAAGAGAUAAUCAUGUACAUCAGUAGUUAAAUAAAUGCAUACUAAUCUAUACCUCUACUUGCCGGAAUCCUAUAUGUAAAACAAGAUAAAUUUUAAUGUUUAAAACUUUGUAAUUCAUUAAAAAAUUAUUCGUCUACCUUUACAUUCCAAAUAUAAUUGGUGAGUUUUUGUGGGUCUGUUUGAUAUUUUAUGAUUACUAACUUCAUGGGUUUGAUGGAAUUUUUCAUUUUUAUGUUGUGAAUGUUUAGGGGAUGCGAGAGUGCUCUUCAAUUGCAUUGCCUUUGCUUUAUGUUUCUCUGACAAAAGUGUUUGCUUGUUCUUUACUUUAUCAGCUGAGAAUAUAUUUUACAAGUUUACGUUGAUUUCUGGCUUUAUGGCCUCUGUUUGAUGUGUGUAGUAUUUGACUGUAAUGCGAGUAUUGUGUGUUUUCAGCUUUGUAUGUGAUGCGGUAGAUAGUUAGUGUGCUCUUAAAUUCAAUCAAGGUAUGAUUCGUAUGAAGUGAUCUGCUAUCUAUCUUUUGGCAAAUUAAGCAUCGAUGAUUUAUGCUAAUUGAGCCGCUAAAAGUUGUCUUUGUGUGUGAUUGAGUACAUGUUAGUGUGAAUUCUCGUAAUGUUUAUCCAGUCAAAGCAAACGUUCGUCUUUCACAUUGACUAUUAGGCAAGAUGUUUGAUAGUGAAUUAGAUGAUUCAGUUUAUUAUAGUCUUCUUAUAUUGUCGGUUCAAUAUCAUUUUGAAAAAUCAUAUCAAAACUGCUUUUGGAGUUUUAAUCCAGCGCAGUUACACCUAUAUUGUACUUUUGAUCUGCAACCUUGAGUCACUGUCAUUUUGCUGUUAGUAUUUCGAUUAGCAACUUGUACAGUGGUAUUUGAACUGCAUGGUAUGUCAACUUUCACUCUAUGUGUCUUAGAAACUCUGUAUAUCACUAAUUUCCUAGCACAGGCCUUGUUGACAGUCAAAGAUUUGAGGCAUAUUUCUGUAUUGAAGGCUUUUCUGUCGUCAAUUUGAUGAUGAGCGCAUGUAUUAUCCCCAAUAUUUUGAGCAGGAACUUGUAACUAGUAAUAACCAGUACCUAAGAUGUUGCAUUUGAUUGACUUCUCUUUCUCGUUUAGUUUCAGCCGUUGGAGCUGUUUCAGACAUGGUAACUGAUACGUAAUUUCUCUCUUUCCACCCCACAAUGUGUCAUUAGUCAUCAUUCGUUCUGGUUGGCGUGGAUACGCAUACUAAUUUGGAUUAUUGUCUGUGCCUUCGUCUUUUGUCAAUAAUCUUUUGCAUUUCAGGAUUAGUACAUCUUGUAUACUGGUAAUACUCUCUCAACUAUACAUGUAAGACUUUGUUAUGUUUUCUUGACCCGUAAUCUAAUGCUAUAAGAUGACGGCAUAAUUGAGCUAUUUUGCAUCUCCAUGCAGGCCUGAUUUGGUUUUUGUGUCACUACCUGCAUUAGAUAUUGGUAGUCAACGGCUGCAGAUGUACAGGUGCCGUUUCGUUUCCCUGACGUAAUCUCAUGUAACAUGAAAUUGCUUGUGAAACUGGAAGAUAUUUGAUUCUUUUUGUUUUUUCAUUUUUGCUAAAGAAAAGUGUUACUUGCGUUGGGAAAUAUGCCUACCACUCUGGAUCUCCGUUGCAGUACAUUCUUGAGAGGAAAAUCUAGCCAUAAAAUGUAAAAGACAACACAAAUUGGCUUUUCAAAGCCUAUUAUGGGAACCAGAUGUUUAUGGGUUAUAGUUGUGUGGCAUGUGAGGUAAUUGUAGCUUUCCGUGUUAUUAUCCAUAUCAGGAUUUGCAAAUGUUAUCAGUGCUUUUUACCUGCAGCUUCUUUACCUAAUCAUAUUUCUUAUUGCGGAGACGCAGAGUGAAAGUUUGGUGGAUGUAGGAUCUCAUUUUCCUACUAUUAGAUUGUUCUGCAUAUAGAAAGAUUUCCCCUGUUUCUCGCUUUGCAAACAAUCUCUUCUUUCAGGUUGUGGUGAGUGCUGUGCGACAGGGCUCGCCUAUUUCCUUCCUAGUUGCAUUGAGUUUAUUCGGAUGGGCAAUCAAGCAAACGAUCAAUGUCAUACAGGUAACUUGCACUCCAUAUGAUCGUAAUGUUCGUUUAUUCUGAUACUUCUUCACAGUAAGUAAAUUUCUUGAUGUCUACAAAUUAAGGAGACUUUUGUAUGGGUAAAGUUGACAUUUUACAAUGGCAUUCUGGAUCCUGAAAUCGGUCAGUUUGAGAUUCACAUGCUGUGAUAUGCUCUAAUGUUAAAACUCAAACCUUUUCUGUAUCUUAAAUGGAUUGUCGUGGAUAUGCCUGGGAUGAUCAUUUUCUUCCUCUUCACUUCAUCAUCUUUGUCAUAGUAGUUAUAAUUGAUUGAGGAGUGUGAAAACGCAUUGUGAUGAAUGAAUGCACAAGCUGUGUGAUUAAGACUGCAUUUAUUAGGUUGGUGACGGCAAAUAUCAGGCAGGAUAUUCACAAUAGUGCUACUGAAGCUUUAUAUGGAAUAAGGAGACCAAACCUCUAUAUGAUAAGAGUUGUAUGAAUACCAAAUGAAUUGUAAGAGGAUAUGGUUAAUUUAGAUUGUAAUUUAAGAAAGCUUGAGUUCUAAGAGCACAGAAAUGGGAUCAGUCUUGCUCAAGUGUGAACUCCAUCAGUUAGGAAGCUGUCCAUCAAAUGGAAAUAUUUACGUGAUUCAGAGAAAUUUUGGACUUUUGAUGAAAACAAAAAUCCUGUAUGCAUUUGCUUGCUCCCAAUCCUGUAUGCAUUUGCUUGCCCCGAAGGAGCUGAAAGUUCUCAAAUUGUUUGUAGACGUCAUAGUUCUCCUGAUGUCAUUUGGCUUGGUAAUCUUUUUUGCUCGAAAAUUUGCCCAUUGUGUGGUCUUGACGGUGGGUGCAAUUGAUUUGUGGUUUCAGAUGAAGACAGCAGCAGAUGUGUGUGUGCUAUAGGACAUCGAGAAAAAGCAAAGGCCUGAAAGAGUUCAUCAACAUUUUCCAUUUCAGAAGAAUCUGUAUGUGGUUCUCCUGCUCAAGUGCCUACUUUUCAGGGUGCAGCAUAUAUGUUGAGACCGGCAUAUGAAAUCACUAAACUUUAACAGUUGAUCCGAGGCUUCUCUAGCGAAGGAUUUGGAAUUAAUUUGGGGAAGGGGUGUUUUUUGGGUAUAUGAGUGUGUGCAUUCUUUCAAUCACGUAGCUUCGUGCCAUUAACAUAAUGGCAAUUCCACAAUGGUGAUAAUGAUAAUUUUAUGAUUGGGGCACAGUGUUAGGAACUCUUUACUGGUUUUUCUUUCGCAUCUGUGUCUAUGAUUAAGGUUGUUUAAGGUGGUAUGGAUUUCAGUACAUUGAACAAAAAAUUAUUUAUUUUUAUUCUAAUAAAAAUACCUAAAAAUCAAACCUAAGUUAAAAAAAAUAAAGUUUAAAAAAUUCUGAAAUUAAUCAAAUUUUAAAACUUGAGACUUUUAACAGAUUAAUCCAACCUUUGAAUAAAUAAACUAAAUGGGGGUCAGUUUUUCUUGUGUCAGCUUGUUCAAUCCGACACUAUCAUUUCAACCUCUCACGAAUAAACAAAUCACUAAUGAUGUGUCCAUUUCUUCUACUUUAUAAUAAUUUUUAAUAAAAAGAUUAUUAAAGUGGUUCGGCUGUGGGAGCCACACGUGUCUGUGGCAGCGCACACCCAAGAGAAGUCAGUCUGGUUCCGAGAAGAAAGUGAACAUGAGAUGAUGAGAUGCCGUAUCAAAUGGGGCCACGUAGACAGAGGUGCUUCAAGGUGACAUGUCAGCAGAUACCUCCACCGACGAUUUUCAAAAUAAUUUGAACGGUUGGGAUUUUAUUACAAUGGUGAUAACGGUUACACAUAAAAAUUAAGGAAAGAAAAAAAAUGAUUAUAAUUAACGGUGUACGAUCCAUGUUGUCGAUACGCCGUUGGACAACUUUCAUUAGACUGAAGAUAAUAGUCAAUUUGUCACUCACAUUAAAAAAAUUAUCUGCGUCGCGCUAACACACUCUUUCACCUUCAAUGUACUGAAACUGGGGAACUACAUGUAUGAUUUUCAUUCAGAAAAACCGAUGGGAACUAAUGACUUUCCAGAUUAAAAAAAAAAAAAAGUAGGAUUAUCAAACUAUGCAGCAUUGUUAUGUAAAGUUUUAUGGUUAUUUUAAGGCUAAAAUUGGUUUAGAAAUUAAUUAAAAGACAAUAUUCAUUCUAACAUAAAAGGAGUUUUUAACAAGAGGAGGAGGUUCCUUUUAUAAUUUACUAAUUUAUACAACCUUUAAUAUUAAAACAAUAUUUUAUAGAUUAAGGACGAUGAUUCUUGCUCACCUAGUAAGAUAUGUAGACAUAACAUAGAUGUGGUGAGCAGGGAAUCAAUUAUGUAUUUCUUGUUUCUGAGAAAAUAUAUAAUCCUUUAACGAGGAUUAUCAUCAAUUGCAGGUUUCUAGUUUGGUUGCUUAGUUUGAGGAAAGAAUAUAUGCUAUGGUGUUUGGCUGGUCUGCUUUUUUCUUUUCAAUUAAUUUAAUAUUCUUAUGCUAUGGAAUUGAUUAUCAUAACUAAAGGAAAGAAUAUAUACUAUGGAAUAUAUGCUAUGGUCUUUGGCUGGUCUACUUUUUCUUUUCAAUUAAUGUAUUAUUCAUAUGCUAUGGAAUAUGAAUAUUACAUUAAGGAAAAGAAUAUUGCAUACACAGCACACUAUAAUACUCUAAUUACCAAUUAUUUAUCUUGUAAUACAAGUUCAUAGCGAUUAAUUUAUCCCUCUUCAGCCAAAAAAAAAGUCCCAUUUCAGCACAUAUACAAGAGCCCUCAUUUUUCUUUGCUUCAGCCAUUUUAUAGCAGAAUCAUCACAGACACUUUGAGCUCUGCCGAAUCAUCAUAGACAAUUUGUGAUUGGUGGGAGCAUUACAAGAAAGGUACGACUACUUCGAACCGAUAGAUUUGUUUAUAUGAUUUAGCUAUCGUUUUAACUUUUAACAAUAAACAAGAGACAAUCAUGUACAUCAUUGGUUACAUAAAUAUUAAAAUGAGAUAAAUUUAUUCCUCUACUUGCCAGAUCCAUACAUAUUAAAAUGAGAUAAAUUUUAAGGUUUAAAAAUUUGCAAUUCAUCAAAAAUCUAGUGCGAUAUUAAGCGGUAAAAUCACUUAGGGUUAGUACAAGAGGUUUAUGAUUCCCUGACUCAUUUAUAUAGGAGGAGAGGGAAUUAGGCAAUAAUGAAUUGAUACAAAUUAAUAAUUAUAUUAUAAAAAGAAAUAAAUUUCAAGAGAGAUCAUAAGUUCGUAGAAGAUUGUAUGUAAGUUAUUUGUAGUGGAAUGGAGUUUUUUUGGAGAGGCUAUUUGGCUUGGAAUAUAUAUUAGAAUGAGAUUAUUUGAACCCACCGCAAUACUCUCUAAAAUCCACUUUUCAAUAAAAAAUUUCAGUACAAAAUUUUCCUUAAUUAAAUUACUAUUUUAGCCAAAUAUUAUGUUGAUUUAUCUCCCUAAAGUUUUUAUUUUUUUUCACCCUUUUUUCUCUUUUCCUCUCUGUUUCCCCAAUUUUUUUUUUUCCAGUCCUAUGUGGUUCUUAUAUUUUAAGGCUUCUAUUGGAGUAAGAUCUAUAUUCAAAUUGCUUAUCCAAAAAAAAAAAAAAAUCUUUUAAAAUUUGCCUUUCCUUUACCCUUGAGUCACUAUUAGAUGUAUAUGCUCCUCAAGAAACUUUAGUAAUUGGAUUUCUAUUAAAUAUUUUAAUUUCAAAAAAUGAGAAGGUCACUAUACAAAUAUCAAAAGAUCACCAACUUAAUUAUACUAGUUAUAAUUGAGGGAAAUAAAAGACUUACUAUUUCUGUUUGAAGUUAUUAUGAUGAACAAAGAAAGGGGGAGGGGGGGGGGGGGGGGAAACAAGUCGCUGCAAUUGCAUCAAUUGAGGACAUGUUAAGAAACGUAUCAUUGAGAUAAGAUUUAAUUGAUAAAAAUAAGAUUUACUAGAAAGUAGUGAGAGAAACAACUAACAAAAAUUCAUGAUACUUAUUGAGGGUAUAUUGAGAAUAUUUGUGGCUUUUUUUAGUUAAAAAAAUAAAGUUUUAAGUUGUGAUAAUGUGUUUAUUACGUAAAUGAGUUUAUUUAAUAUUACAGUGGAUUUAAGUAGCCUUACCCUUCAUAUUAUAAUAAAUUUUUACAUUACUCUAUAAUAGCCCUACUAUAGAGGACAAUGUAAUGAAAAUAUUGUUACUCUUAUACCUAUUAAAAGAAACAAUAUUAUCUUGUACGUACAAGAACGUUCUACUGCCCAAGUAAAAGUUUUAGUAAAACGUAUAAGAACUCUAAGUGUAAAGAGAAUUUCGUCAAGGUACUAUAGUAGUAUCUAAUGCUCUUUGCUAGUGUAAACUAUUUGUGCCACGUGUAGUAUUUCAAUCUUCACAAGUGGCAUUGCAUAUAGUGGUUCUUAUUUCAGUUCCUCAGAGGCACUCUAGAGGUACGUUAGCUUAUAAGCUAGUAUUUGGUCAUCAUGUGCUUCUUUUAAUGAAACAUGUGGUUCAUUUUGUCCUUAUACGAGAGCCUUUUGUGUGGAAUAACCUUGUAAAAUGCUCAUUUAUCAAGGACACAUGUCGUGUUGUCAGAACAUAGUAAAAAUAUGAUACGCUAACCCAUGUGCAUUUAUGAAAAAUCAAAUGAAAACAAAGAACUAAAAAAAAUGCAAAGGCUAAUUCAUAAUGUUUGAGUUUGAGAUGAUUAAUAUUUAAUUUUAUGGUUGCAAAGAUAAGAAUAAAAGUAGGUCUAGUGAGAAAUACCCUCAUAUUAUAAUACUAUUUAAAAUAAAUUUUGUUAUAAAAGAUUUUAUUUAAUAAGGUAUGGAGACUGUUCAAAAUAUAUUUUACGCACAAACUCAUAUGUUUGACGUAAUAGUAUGUCUCAUGCUAGGACUAGCAAUGGUCAAAUCAACCUAUUUCGAUAAGAUCCAUCAAAAUUAAUAUUUAAAAAAUUUAUCAUCUCAUUAUACAAUACACAGCUUUGCCAUCACAGCUUUGCCAUCUAGUAGAGAAUGAUUGGUUGGCACACCAUAGUUUACACGAAUAUUUCUAAUAUUUGAAUCGUCCGAAAAAAAAAACCUCUUUCUAAUUUGAGCUAGACAGAGUUAAAAAUGGUGCGAAACUCUAUUUUGAUUAAAAUUCAAUGACUUUCUUCGUAUUAAUCAAAUUAAUUAAUUAUUUUGGUAAAAAGAAUUUGCCAAUUGUGUGGCGGUCUUGAGACCCUUGACGGUGGUGAAAUUGAUUCACGGUUUCAAAUGAAGACAUGCAGCGGAUGCGUGCGUGCCGUAUGACAUCGAUGAAAAAGUAAAGAGUUUGAUUUCUCUAUUUUGCCCUUAAUUAAUCGUUGACAUCUAAUUUUACACUCCCAACAAAUUUGAAUGAAACAAUCCUAAUGUUCACUUUCUUCUUCGAUUUCAUUUUACGACUUAACAAAAACGAGAUGCUCCUGAUGAGGGGAAGGAGAAGAAGACACAGCGAAUUCGCAAGAACGUGUACAGAGGAAUAAGGCAGAGGCCAUGGGAGAAAUGGGCAGCUGAAAUUAGAGACCCUUACAAGGGCGUCCGCGUUUGGCUCGGCACAGCCGAAAAAGCUGCAAGAGUUUAUGCUGACGUCGCCAAGAAUAUCCGUGGCAACAAGGCCUAGCUCGACUUUGCUCACCGGCCGCCAGUAACUCCACCUCCAGGUAAGAAACGCUUCGUGCUAUCUCGUGAGUUGACUCAGCCGAGUUUCGGAGAUUACUUUUUUAUUGGUUUUCAUUGAUUUCUUUUCCUGCUCUUAUCUACGAGGUUGUGCUCUCCCUUGGAUGCCCUUUAAUAAACAGCUUUCCUAAUAACAACUGAAGCGAAAAGUCAUUUUAUCAAAUGAUUUGGUGAAAUUUCAAGUGCUUUCAUCUUGGGAUGUGGUAUAUGUAUCAAGUUCUUAUUGCUGGUGAACAUUACUGGUUUAGUGUGCGAUCGUUUACUAUCACUGCAUGCAUUAUCAGUUUAUUUUAUUGAACUAUCCCAAAUCAGUAACGAAUCCUCAAUUCCCUCUGUUUUCUUUGGAUCCUAGUAGUGUUUGGCAUGCAUCAACUAGUGUUCAUGCAUGUGUCGGUUCAUCAUAGACAACUUCAGCACACAUACAACAGCCCUCAUUUCUCCUUGCUCCAACCAAUCGAUGGCAGAAUCAUCACAGACACCUUGAGCUCUGUCGAAUCAUCAUAGACAAUUUGUGAUUAGUGGGAGCAUUACAAGAAAGUUACGACUACUUCAAACUGUUAGAUUUGUUAAUAUGAUUCGGCUAUAGUUCUAUAAUUGGUGAGUUUUUGUGGGUUUGUUUGAUAUUUUUUUGUGGGUUUGUUUCUCAUAAUCUUUAUCCAGUCAAAGCAAACGUUCGCCUCUCACAUUGACGGUUAGGCUAGAUGUUUGACCCUGAAUAAGAUGAUUGAGUUUAUUAUAGUCUUCUUAUAUUGGCGGUUCAAUAUCAUUUUGAAAUAUCACAUCAAUUCCGCUUUUGGAGUUUUAAUCCAUGCCCAGUUACACCUUUAUUUUACUUUUAAGCUGCAACAUUGAGUCACAUUCUUUUUCUGAUAUUAUUACGAUUAGCGACUGGUACAGUGGUAUUUGAACUGCAUAGCGUGUCAACAUUCACUCUAAAUGUCUUAGAAACUCUGUCUAUCACUAAUUUCCUAGAACAGGCCUCGUUGACAGUCAAAGAUUUGAGGCGUAUUUCUGGAUUGAAGGCUUUUCUCUAGUCAAUUUGAUGAUAAGCGCAUUUAUUAUCUCCAGCAUUAAGCAGUAAUUUGUAACUAGUAGUAGCCAGUACCUAAGAUGUUGCAUUUGACUGUCUUCUCUUUCUGGUUCAGUUUCGACCUUUGGAGCUGUUUUAGACAUGGUAACGGAUAGGUAAUUUCUCUCUACCCCAGCCCCCAAUGUAUCAUUAGUCAUCAUUCGUUCUGGUUGGUGGAGAUACACAUACUAAUUUGGAUUAUUGUCCGUGCCUUCGUCUUUUGUCAAUAAUCUUUUGCAUUUCAGGAUUAGUACAGCUUGUCUACUGGUAAUACUCUCUCAAGUAUACAGGUAAGACUUUGUUACGUUUUCUUGACCCGUAAUCUAAUGUUUUAAGAUGAAGGCAUAAUUGAGCUAUUUUGCAUCUCCAUGCAGGCCUGGUUUGGUUUUUGUGUCACUACCUGCAUUAGAUAUUGGUAGUCAAUGGCUGCAGAUGUACAGGUACCUUUUCGUUUCCCUGACAUAAUCUCAUGUUACAUGAAAUUGCUCGUGGAACUGGGAGAUUUUUUAUUUUUUAUUUUUUAUUUUUUCAUAUUUACUAAAGAAAAGUGUUACUUUCGUUGGGAAAAAUGCCUACCACUCUUUAUCUCUGUUGCAGUACAUUCUUAACAGGAAAAACUAGCCAUAAAGAUGCAAAAGACAGCACAAAUUGGCUUUUCAAAGCCUAUUAUGGGAACCGGAUGUUUAUGGGUUAUUGUUGUGUGGCGUGUGAGGUAAUUGUAGCUUUCCGUGUUAUUAUACAUAUCAGGAUUUGCAAAUGUUAUCAGUACUUUUUACCUGAUCCAACUGUUUCAACCCUGCAGCUUCUUUACCUAAUCCUAUUUCUUAUUGCGGAGAAGCAGAGGGAAAGCUUGGUGGAUGUAGGCUCUCAUUUUCUUGCUAUUAGAUUGUUCUGAAAAUAGAAAUAUUUCCCCUGUUUCUCGAUUUUUCAAACAAUUUCUUCUUUCAGGUUGUGGCGAGUGCUGUGCAACAGGGUUCGCCUCUUUCCUUCCUAGUUGCAUUGAGUUUAUUCGCAUGGGCGCAAUCAAGCAAACGAUUAAUGUCGUACAGGUAACUUCAACCCCAUAUGAUGGUAAUGUUCGUUUAAAUAAAUUUCUUGAUGUCUACAAAUUAAGGAAACCUUUGUAUGGGUAAAGUUGACAUUUUACACUGGCAUUAUGGAUCUUGAAAUCGGUCUGUUUUAGAUUCACAUGCUGUGAUAUGCUCUAAUGUUAAAACUCAAACCUUUUCUGUAUGUUAAAUGGAUUGUCGUGGAUAUGCCUGGGAUGAUCAUUUUCUUCGUUUUCACUCAUCGUCUUUGUCAUCGUAGUUAUAAUUGAUUGUGGAGAGUGAAAACGCACUGUGAUGAAUGAAUGCAAAAGCUAUGUAAUUAAGACUACAUUUAUUAGGUUGGUGACCACAAAUAAUCGGAAGGAUAUUCACAAUAGUGUUAUUGAAGCUCUAUAUGGAAUAAGGAGACCAAACCUGUAUGUGAUAAGAGUUGUAUGAAUACCAAAUGAAUUGUAAGAGGAUAUGGUUACUUUAGAUUGCAAUUUAAGAAUGCUUGAGUUCUAAAAGCACAGAAAUGGGAUCAGUCUCUUGCUCGAGGGUAAACUCCUUCGUCAGUUAGUGAACUGUCCAUCAAAAGUAAAUAUUUAUGGGAUUGAGAGAAAUUUUGAUGAAAACAAAAAUCCUGUAUGCAUUUGCUUGCCCCCAAGGAGCUGAAGAUUCUCAAAUUGUUUGUAGACGUAAUAGUUCUUCUGAUAUCAUUUGGCUUGCUAAUCUUUCUUGCUCGAAAAUUUACCCGUUGUGUGGUCUUGAUGGUGGGUGAAAUUGAUGUGUGGUUUCAGAUGAAGACGGCAGCAGAUAUGUGUGUGCCAUAUGACAUCGAGAAAAAGCAAAAACCUUAAAGAGUUCAUCAACAUUUUCCAUUCAGAAGAAUCUGUUUUGUGGUUUUCAUGCUCGAGUGCCUACUUUUCAGUAUGCAAGCAGAGGAUUUGGCAUUAAUUUGGGGAAGCCUUUUUUUUGGGUAUAUGAGUGUGUGCAUUCCUUCAAUCACGUAGCUUUGUGCCAUUAACAUAAUGGCAAUUCCACAAUUGUGAUAAUGAUAAUUUUAUGAUUGGGGCAUAUUGUUAGGAACUCUUUACUGGUUUUUCUUUCCCCAUCUGUGUCUAUGAUUAAGGUUGUUUAAGGUGUUAUGGCUUUUAAUCUGCAAUCAUUGCGAAAGGGACUCACUAGCCGGCAAAUAAUAAAACAUGGUGCUGUCAAAUUUUAUAAGGAUUAUAUAUACAUACACUUUCGUCUUCAAUGCACUGAAACUGGGGAACCAUCUAUAUGAUUUUCAUUCAGAAAAACCGGCGGGAACUAAUGACUUUCAUGAUUAAAAGUAGGAUUAUCAGAUUAUGGAGCAUUGUUAUGUAACGUUUUAUGGUUAUCUUAAGGCAAAAGUUGGCUUGGAAAUUAACUGAAAGGCAAUAUUCAUUCUAUCAUAAAACAAGUGUUUUUUUCACAAGGAGCUGAAAGUUCUCAAAUUUUUUGUAGACGUCAUAGUUCUCCUGAUGUCAUUUGGCUUGGUAAUCUUUUUUGCUCGAAAAUUUGCCCAUUGUGUGGUCUUGACGGUGGGUGAAAUUGAUUUGUGGUUUCAGAUGAAGACAGCAGCAGAUGUGUGUGUGCUAUAUGACAUCGAGAAAAAGCAAAGGCCUUAAAGAGUUCAUCAACAUUUUCCAUUUCAGAAGAAUCUGUUUGUGGUUCUCCUGCUCGAGUGCCUACUUUUCAGUGUGCAAGCAUAUAUGUUGAGACCGGCUGAUGAAAUCACUAAACUUUUACAGUUGAUCUGAGGCUCCUCUAAAGAAGGAUUUGGAUUUUGGAAUUAAUUUGGGGAAAGGGUUUUUUUCGGGUAUAUGAGUGUAAGCAUUCCUUCAAUCACGUAGCUUUGUGCCAUUAACAUAAUGGCAAUUCCACAAUGGGGAUAAUGAUAAUUUUGUGAUUGGGAACUCUUUACUGGUUUUUCUUUCGCCAUUUGUGUCUAUGAUUAAGGUUGUUUAAAGUGUUAUGGGUUUUAAUCUACAACCAUUGCGAAAUGGACUCGCUAGCUGGCAAAUAAUAAAACAUAGUGCUGUCAAAUUUUGUAAGGAUUAUGCAUACACACUCUUUCGUCUUCAAUGCCCUGAAACUGGGUAACUACAUGUAUGAUUUUCAUUCAGAAAAACUGGCGAGAACUAAUGACUUUGCAGAUUAAAAAAUAAGUAGGAUUAUCAGAUUAUGUAGCAUUGUUAUGUAAUGUCUUGUGGUUUUUUUAAGGUUAAAGUUGGUUUGGAAAUUAAUUAAAAGACGAUAUUCAUUCUAUCAUAAGACGAAUUUUUAACAAGAGGAGAAGGUUCCUUUUUAUAAUUUACUAAUUUAUACAACCUUUAAUAUUAAAACAAAAUUUUAUAUAUUAAGGACGAUGAUUCUUGCUCACUUAGUAAGAUAUGUACAUAACAUAGAUGUGGUAAGCAAGGAAUCAAUUAUAUAUUUCUUGUAUCUGAAAAAAUGAAUCAUCCUUUAACGAGGGUUAUCAUCAAUUGCAGGUUUCUAGUUUGGUUGCUUGGUUUGAGGACUAUGAAUAUUACAUUGUCAUAACUAAAGGAAAGAAUAUUGUAUACACAGCACACUAUAAUUACCAAUUCUUUAUCUUAUAAUAUAAGUUCAUAGUGAUUAAUUUGUCCGUCUUCAGCCAGAAAAAAAAAAAAAAAAAGUCCCAUUUCAGCACAAAUACAAGAGCCCUCAUUUUUCUUUGCUCCAGCCAUUUUAUAGCAGUGUCAUCACAGACACCUCAAGCUCUGCCGAAUCAUCAUAGACAAUUCGUGAUUGGUGGGAGCAUUACAAGAAAGGUACGACUACUUCAAACUGAUAGAUUUGUUUGUAUGAUUUGGCUAUAGUUUUAACUUUUAACAAUAAACAAGAGACAAUCAUGCACGUCGUUAGUUACAUAAAUGUAGAUACUAAUUUAUUCCUGUACUUGCCAGAUCCAUACAUAUAAAAAUGAGAUAAAUUUUAGCGUUUAAAAAAUUUCAAUUCAUCAAAAAUCUAGUGCCAUAUUAAGCGGUAAAAUCACUUAGGGUUAGUACAAGAGGUUCAUGAUUCCCCGACCCGUUUAUAUGUAGGGGUGGAGAAGGUUUUAGGCAAUAAAGAAUUAGUAAAAAUUAAUAAACAUAUUAUAAAAAUAAAUAAAUUUCAAGAGGGAUCGUAAAAGAUUGUAUGUAACUUAUCGUUAGCGGAAUGAAAUUUUUUUGGAGAGGCUAUAUUUGGCUUGGAACAUAUAUUAGAACAACGUUAUUUGAACCCACCGCACUCUCCAAAAUCCACUUCUCAAUAAAAAAUUUCAUUACAAAUUUUUUCUUAAUUAAAUUAUUAUUUUAACCAAAUAUUAUGUUAAUUUGUCUCCCUAAAGCUUUUAUUUUUUCACCCUUUUUUCUUUUUUCCUCUCUGUCUCCCCAAUUUUUUUUCUAGUCCUGUGUGGUUAUUAUACUUUAAGGCUUCUAUUGGAGUAAAAUCUCUAUUCAAAUUGCUUAUCCAAAUUUUUUUUUUCUUUUAAAAUUUGCCUUUCCUUUACCCUCGAGUCACUAUUAGAUGUAUAUGCUCGUGAUGAAACUUUAGUAAUUCGAUUUCUAUUAAAUAUUUUAAUUUUAAAAAAAUGAGAAGAUCACUAUAAAGAUAUCAAAAGAUCACCAACUUAAUUAUAGCAAUAAUUAAGGGAAUUAAAAGACUUACUAUUUUUGUUUGAAGUUAUUAUUACAAAGAAAGAAAGGGAAAAAAAAAAGUCGCUGCAAUUGCAUCAAUUGAGGACAUGUUAAGAAAAGUAUCAUAGAAAGUAGUGAGAGAAACAACUAAUGAAAAUUAAUGAUACUUAUUGAGGGUAUAUUGGGAAUAUUUGUGGGUUUUUUGAAUGAAAAAAUAAAAUUUUAAGUUGUGAUGAUGUGUUUAUUAUAUAAAUGAGUUUAUUCAGUAUUACAAUGGGUUUAAAUGGCUUUAUCCUUCGUAUUAUAAUAAAUUUUUAUAUUACUAUAAUAGCCGUAAUAUAGAGGACAAUGUAAUGAAAAUAUUGUUACUCUUAUACCUAUUAAAGAAACAAUAUUAUCUUGUACAGACAAGAACACUCCAGUGCUCAAGUGUAAAAGUUUUAGUAAAACGUAUAAGAACUCUUUUAAGUGUAAACAGAAUUUCGUCAAGGUGCUGUAAUAGAAUCUAAUGCUCUUUGGUAGUGUAAACUAUGUGUGCCACGUGUAGUAUUUCAAUCUUCACAAGUGGCAUUGUAAAUAGUGGCUCUUAUUUCAGUUCCUCGUAGGCACUCUAGAGACACGUUAGCUUUGAAGCUAGUAUUUGGUCAUCACGUGCUUCUUUUAAUGAAACAUGUGGUUCAUUUUAUCCUUAUAUGAGAGCAUUUUGUGCGGAAUAACCAUGUCAAAUGCUCAUUUAUCAAGGACACGUGUCGUGUUCUCAGAACAUAGUAAAAAUAUGAUACGCUAACCCAUGUACAUUUAUGGAAAAUCAAAUGAAAACAAAGAACUAAAAAAAAGUACAAAGGCUAAUUAAUAAUGUUUGAGUUUGAGAUGACUAAUAUUUAAUUUUAUGGUUGUAAAGAUAAGAAUAAAAGUAGGUCUAGUGAGGACUAUCCUCAUAUUAUAACACUAUUUAAAAUAAAUUUUGUUAUAAAAGAUUUUAUUCAAUUAGGUAUAGAGACCGUUCAAACCAUAUUUUAGGUACAAACUCAUCUAUUUGACAUAAUAGUAUGUCUCAUAAUAUCUUUACAACAUAUUUCGAUAAGAUCCUUCGAAAUUAAUAUUUAAAAGAUUUAUCAUCUCAUUAUACAAUACACAGCUUUGCCAUCUAGUAGAUAAUGAUUGGUUGGCACACCAUAGUUUACAUAGAUAUUUCUAAUAUUUGAAUCAUUUGUUAGGAAAUUUUAAUCCUACCAAGAUCUUGUAAGUAAACAUAUCAAAUAAAAAGUAAAUAGAUAAUAUAUAGAGAAUAAAACCAAUCAUACAACACAAUAAUUUACCGGAGAAAAAUUCCUAUACUAGAGAAAAACCACGGCCGCCAAAGAUGACGAAAGAAAAAUCCACUAUGUAAAGAUCAUUACAAUCACUCUAGUAUUUUCCUCACAUACAAAACCCCAAUAACAAAUAAUCUCUCAUUCUAGAAACUGUCUACUUGUAUAGAACUGAUUAUUGUGUUAUGCAAACAAGUGAAUCUAACAUUCUUAUAUAUUGUGAUUAUUUCAUAUAAGAGAAGUAUUUAUUUCCUUAUAUAAUUUGUAUUCCUCCUUUAAUAAGUUCUUUGGAAUUACUUAUUCCUUAAACAUGAAUCCCCCAAACAAAAAAAUUACUAAAUAAAAAAAUUCUAGGAAAUAUUCUAAUUUAAGAUUUACAAAUCCUCAUUGAAAAAGGAGAUAUGUUUCUUAAAAAUCUCAACUUUGGCGAGUUUUUAAAUUAAACGACAAAAUAUGAUCCACCAUACAUCUAUGCAACCAUGUCGUCUCCACCUUCUUUAAUCUACCAAAACUACACUGACAUUGGAGUAAUGAGAAUCACUCCACCAUGAGUAAAAUCUUGUCCUCUAUCCAGCAGCCAUAAUUUUCUACAUCGAGAAUCAUCAUACUUCACAUUAUCCAGAGUACACAUGUUUGGCAUAUGUCGAUCACAUUUCUGAAAUUACCCACUCUCAUGUUUGGCUUCUUUGAGAGUCCUCAAUGAUCAACAUAAAAAGUCCACCACAUACCUUGCAUAAAUACUAAACUGCAUGUUGUGUGCACAUCUUGUGGACCCAUUAGCAAUAACACAUCCUCUUCCACGACACACCAAUAGAUGACACACAACAUGCAGUUUUGUAAAACAUCAUUUAUUACACUCCUCCAGGGGUUUCUACUAGUGGAAUAGGCCUGACAUUGCUCUUUGCUUUACUUGUAUAGACAGAUUGAAUCAAUAUGUUAUUGACUUGAGCUUCCUAAAAGCCAAAAUUAAUUAUUCCGUCAAACUUUUCUGUUUCCAUCUUCAUAGGUUUUGAAAACCUCCUUGUUGACGUAUUUGCUCUACAUUGCAGCCUUAGCUCUAUUAUCACCUGCUAAGAAAUAAUUAAUCUCACCUAAGAUUCGCAAGAAAAAAUAUGAAAUAAAUAGUAAAUAUAAAAUAGGUGGAGAAUAAAGCUAAUAAAAUAAUACAAAAAUUUACAUGAAAAAUUUCUAUAUUGGAGAAAAAUUAUAAUAGCUAAGGACGAUAAGAGAAAAAAUUAUUAUGUAAAUAUUAUUAUAAUUACUCUAGGGUUUUUCUCACACCUAAAACACCAAAAACACCUAAUUUUAAUAGAACUACUUUUCUCUCACACUAAAAACUAUUUACUUAUAGAUAACUGAUUGUUGAAUUAUGCAAAGAAGUAAACUCAAUCUCCAUAUAUAUAUAUAUGUAGUGAUUAUUUCAUAUAGAAGUUGUAUUCCUUUCCUUAUAUGAUUUGUAUUCCUCUUUGAAUAAGUUAAGUUCUAAAGAGAAAAUUACUUAUUUCUUAAAUAUGAAUUAUAUUCAAUAAGAAAACUAAAAAGUCUAGAAAAUUUCUAAUUUAAGACUUAAAAAUCUUCUUUGAAAAAAGAGACAUCUCCCAAUAUCCUCAAAUCCUCCUUACAAUGCCACCAAUCUCUUUUGUGACUAGCCCAGUUGAAACUUUUAAUGGAUGGGCUGUAAUUGCCAAUAUCCAAAUAAAACAAAUUUCCAUAGGUAUAUUGGUAGAUUGAAUGACAACUAACAACACAUGAUUUGAUUAACUUACUUCCAAAAAAAAAAAAAAGAUACAAUGGAUGAACAUAAGACUCUUGUGCCAACUCAUGGAAUUCAUCAAUAAGGCCUUGGCUGAUCCACCUCAUGACUAGUAGAGUUCAAACCCCCGCUAAAUAGUAAAAAAAAUAUUUGGAUUAUUAAUUACUCUUUCUUAAGUCUAUUUAAACUUAACUUUAAGAAUUAUGAACGUCUACACUUUAAUUAAAACAAUACAAGCCCACCCGUUUGUAUUUAAAAUUUUGUUUGAAUUUAUUCACGAGCAACAAGAAUAGUAUAAAUGGAAAAAAAAGUACCAUAAAAUAAUAUCCGAUGAUUCUGUUUCUUCAAUUUCAGGAGCAAUGGUGGAAUCAUAUUUUCCGAUUGAAAAACUUUUGGAAAAAUUAGGGAGCUUUGCUUAUGAAGAACUUUUAUUGUUCUGCGGUGUCAAAAAUGACUUACAAAAGUUAAAGGAGACGUUAACCACUGUCAAAAGUGUGGUUUUGGAUGCUGAGGAAAAGCAAAUCCAUAAUCGCCGGUUAAGCGAUUGGUUGGGAAAGCUUAAGGAUGCUUGUUAUGAUGCAGAAGAUGUGUUGGAUGAAUUUGAGGUGGAAGAUCUACGAAGGCAAGUCAUGAAGCAAAGAAGCAUCGGAAGAAAGUUUCGUAACUUUUUUGGAAGCUCAAAUCCGAUAGCUUUUCGUUUUAGAAUGUGUCAACAAAUCAAGAAAGUCAGAGAGAGGUUUGAUGAGAUUGCAAACAUGAUGCAUAAGUUUGAUCUCACUGCACGACUUGAUGAUCGUAGUUGGCGAAUUGUGCACAAAGAAAGGGAACCUACUCACUCGUUUAUGCAUCCAUCAGAUAUUAUUGGAAGAGAUAAAGAUAGAGAAAAGAUUAUUGAACUAUUGAUGCAAACAAGUGACGGCGAAAGUGAAACUGUGUCUGUGGUUCCUAUUGUGGGACUUGGAGGUUUGGGCAAGACUGCACUUGCAAAAUUGGUGUACAAUGAUCAAAGGGUAGAAGAGCAUUUUGAGUUGAAAAUCUGGAUAUGUGUUUCUGAGGAUUUUGAUGAGAGACAAAUUAUGACAAAGAUUAUCAAAUACCACGGUGACUUGGAUACAGACCAAUUGCAACGAAUCUUGCGAGAUCGUUUGAAUGGUAAGAGAUACUUGCUUGUUAUGGAUGAUGUAUGGAACGAAGAUCCUGAAGCAUGGCGUAAAUUAAAAAGCUUAUUGUUGGGAGGUGCUAACGGAAGCAAAAUUUUGGUAACCACACGUAGCAGGAAGGUUGCUUCAAUCAUGGGCACGAGGGGAGGUACUAUUGGCUACAACUUACAAGGUCUACCAUUCGAGGAUUGCUUGUCUUUGUUUAUGAAAUGUGCAUUUAAAGAAGAGCGAGAUAAACAUCCAAACCUCAUAAAAAUCGGGGAAGAAAUUGUGAAAAAAUGUGGGGGAAUUCCUCUGGCAGUCAGAGCACUAGGAAGUCUAUUAUAUUGCUCAACGGAUGAACAUGAUUGGGAAUAUGUGAGGGGUAAUGAGAUAUGGCAGUUAGAGCAAAAGGAAAGUGGCAUUUUACCUGUUCUGAGGUUAAGCUACGAUCAAUUGCCGCCUCAGCUGAAACAAUGUGUUGCUUAUUGUUCAAUCUUUCCCAAGGAUUAUGAAUUUGAUAGUUAUACUUUGGUUCAAUUUUGGAUGGCUCAUGGUCUUCUCCAAUCCCAUAAUAAGAAUGAAGAGUUAGAAGAUAUUGGUAUGCGGUACUUGAAGGAAUUACUAUCAAGAUCUUUCUUCCAAGAUUUGACUUUUGGGAUGUUUGGAUUGGAUUUUUUUUUUUUCAAAAUGCACGACCUUAUGCAUGAUCUUGCCCUGCUAGUGGCCAAAGAUGAAUUCCUAGUAGUGAACUCUGAUUGUCAAUUUAUUCCCAAAAGUGUCCGUCAUUUGUCAUUUGGUACUGCUAAUGCAUCAAGAAAUAACUUUUCAAGCCUUUUAUUUGAUCUAGGUCGUGUGAGAACCAUUUUCUUUUCAACUGAUGAUGAUGAGAAGACAAGCCAAUCAUUUGUUGAAUCAUGCAUCUCAAAGUCGCAGUUCCUAAGAGUGCUCAAUUUAAGUGAAGCUGCUAUUGAGGUUUGUCCCAAGAAGAUAGGAAAUUUGAAGCACAUGAGAUAUCUUGAUCUGUCGAAAAAUUAUAAAAUCAAGAAACUUCCAAAAUCCAUUUGCGAGCUACAGAGUUUACAAACACUGGAUCUUGAAGGAUGUCUGGAGCUAGAAGAGUUGCCUAAAGACAUAAGAUACCUUGUCAGUCUCAGAGUGUUUGCGCUAACCACAAAACAGAAGUCUUUGCAAGAGAGUGGAAUAAGGAGCUUGGGUUCUCUUCGUUGUUUGACAAUUUCUGGUUGUAGGGAUUUAGAACAUUUGUUCGAGGAGAUAGAUCAGUUAAGUCUCCUUCGAACAUUAUCAAUUGAAGGUUGUCCUCGUCUAAUCUCAUUGCCACCUGCUAUCAAAUAUCUCAGCUCAUUAGAGACUCUGCUUUUGGUUAGGUGUGAAAGCCUUGAUCUUAAUCUGAACGUGGAAAUGGAAGGUGAAGGAAGUCAUCAUGAUCGCAAAAACACAAGGCCUCACCUUCGGAGGGUUUUCAUCGGGGAAAUAACACAGUUAUUAGAACUGCCACAAUGGCUUCUUCAAUGUUGUACUGAUUCUUUACAGAGCUUGGUAAUUUCUGAUUGUCCCAACUUCAUGGCACUACCAGGGUCUCUAAAAGAUCUCGAAGCUCUUGAAACUCUUGUCAUUGCACAAUGUCCAAAAUUGUCAUCGUUGCCGGAGGAUAUGCAUCACCUCACUACUCUGAAAUUAUUGGCCAUUGGAGGAUGUCCUGCACUGAGUGAAAGAUGCAAACCGCCAACAGGUGAAGAUUGGCCCAAGAUUGCACAUAUCCCUCAGGUUCAUCUUGAUGGCGAGAUGAUUGAAUCAAGUGAUAAUUAGGUAUGGAUUUUUUUUUUUUCAAUAAGCGUACCACUCUGUUAUAUUUCCUCUUUUCAUGCAGCUUUCUAAUUUUUAAUUUCUCAUACAGCUAUACCGUUUAUAGUUUAAUGUUUUGUUAUGUUUACCAAACGAAAACUUGACUUUGAACGUUAGUUAGUUCAAUCAAAUUUGUACUAAUUUAUUUUCUUCUAAUACAUAAUUAGGUUGUCAGUACGAAAAACAAAAAUAAUAUUUUGGAAACCGCACUGUUCUAGGGGUCAGAUCUGUUUCUAAAUUCAAACAGUUCAGGAUUUUUCAAAAUGAGAUAUUUUUUUUUAAUUAUCUAGUUAUCUUCAUAUGGAAUUUCAAUCUUUGUUAAUACUUUAACUUGCGCCGAAACAUCUAACAAUUCUUCCUCUUAUCCUUUUUUUUUCCCAAAUAUUGCAGCUUUCUUGGGAGAGGUUCAACAAAACUGCAGGGACAGUGAAAAUAUUACUCUAACGUUGUUCAGAACAGAGCUUCAACGGUUUUAAUGUUGUGUUUUAAAGUUACAAGCAUUAUAUAUUCGUUACGUGUGGUUAUGUAAUUUGCUGAUAAAUAAGUACAUUGAGUGAGGUAUAUGUGUGUGCCUGUGUGGUCAUUACUGAAUUUCUCAGUAAUAUAAUUUGCAUUGACUGCAGAUUUGUGAAGAACAUUGAUACCAAACAUGUGGUGUCUGUAUUUUGUGCUUUGUGAUUCACAGCGAGUUUGCAAGAACGUGUACAGAGGAAUAAGGCAGAGGCCAUGGGAGAAAUGGGCAGCUGAAAUUAGAGACCCUUACAAGGGCGUCCGCGUUUGGCAAGCUGCAAGAGUUUAUGCUGACGUCGCCGAGAAUAUCCGUGGCAACAAGGCCUAGCUCGACUUUGCUCACCGGCCGCCAGUAACUCCACCUCCAGGUAAGAAACGCUUCGUGCUAUCCCGUGAGUUGACUCAGCCGAGUUUCGGAGAUUACUUUUUUAUUGGUUUUCAUUGAUUUCUUUUCCUGCUCUUAUCUACGAGGUUGUGCUCUCCCUUGGAUGCCCUUUAAUAAACAGCUUUCCUAAUAACAACUGAAGCGAAAAGUCAUUUUAUCAAAUAAUUUGGUGAAAUUUCAAGUACUUUCAUCUUGGUUUUUGCAGUUAAUAGGAAAUAGUUUGGUGUUGGGAUGUGGUAUAUGUAUCAAGUUCUUAUUGCUGGUGAACAUUACUGGUUUAGUGUGCGAUCGUUUACUAUCACUGCAUGCAUUAUCAGUUUAUUUUAUUGAACUAUCCCAAAUCAGUAACGAAUCCUCAAUUCCCUCUGUUUUCUUUGGAUCCUAGUAGUGUUUGGCAUGCAUCAACUAGUGUUCAUGCAUGUGUCGGUUCGUCAUAGAGAACUUCAGCACACAUACAACAGCCCUCAUUUCUCCUUGCUCCAACCAAUCGAUGGCAGAAUCAUCACAGACACCUUGAGCUCUGUCGAAUCAUCAUAGACAAUUUGUGAUUAGUGGGAGCAUUACACGAAAGUUACGAUUACUUCAAACUGUUAGUUUGUUUAUAUGAUUCGGCUAUAGUUCUAUAAUUGGUGAGUUUUUGUGGGUUUGUUUGAUAUUUUUUUGUGGGUUUGUUUCUCAUAAUCUUUAUCCAGUCAAAGCAAACGUUCGCCUCUCACAUUGACGGUUAGGCUAGAUGUUUGACCCUGAAUAAGAUGAUUGAGUUUAUUAUAGUCUUCUUAUAUUGUCGGUUCAAUAUCAUUUUGAAAUAUCACAUCAAUUCCGCUUUUGGAGUUUUAAUCCAUGCCCAGUUACACCUUUAUUUUACUUUUAAGCUGCAACAUUGAGUCACAUUCUUUUUCUGUUAUUAUUACGAUUAGCGACUGGUACAGUGGUAUUUGAACUGCAUAGCGUGUCAACAUUCACUCUAAAUGUCUUAGAAACUGUCUAUCACUAAUUUCCUAGAACAGGCCUCGUUGACAGUCAAAGAUUUGAGGCGUAUUUCUGGAUUGAAGGCUUUUCUCUAGUCAAUUUGAUGAUAAGCGCAUUUAUUAUCUCCAGCAUUAAGCAGUAAUUUGUAACUAGCUGUAGCCAGUACCUAAGAUGUUGCAUUUGACUGUCUUGUCUUUCUGGUUCAGUUUCGACCUUUGGAGCUGUUUUAGACAUGGGAACGGAUAGGUAAUUUCUCUCUACCCCACCCCCCAAUGUAUCAUUAGUCAUCAUUCGUUCUGGUUGGUGGAGAUACACAUACUAAUUUGGAUUAUUGUCCGUGCCUUCGUCUUUUGUCAAUAAUCUUUUGCAUUUCAGGAUUAGUACAGCUUGUCUACUGGUAAUACUCUCUCAACUAUACAGGUAAGACUUUGUUACGUUUUCUUGACCCGUAAUCUAAUGUUUUAAGAUGAAGGCAUAAUUGAGCUAUUUUGCAUCUCCAUGCAGGCCUGGUUUGGUUUUUGUGUCACUAUCUGCAUUAGAUAUUGGUAGUCAAUGGCUGCAGAUGUACAGGUACCUUUUCGUUUCCCUGACAUAAUCUCAUGUUACAUGAAAUUGCACGUGGAACUGGGAGAUUUUUUAUUUUUUAUUUUUUCAUAUUUACUAAAGAAAAGUGUUACUUUCGUUGGGAAAAAUGCCUACCACUCUCUAUCUCUGUUGCAGUACAUUCUUAGCAGGAAAAACUAGCCAUAAAGAUGCAAAAGACAGCACAAAUUGGCUUUUCAAAGCCUAUUAUGGGAACGGGAUGUUUAUGGGUUAUUGUUGUGUGGUGUGUGAGGUAAUUGUAGCUUUCCGUGUUAUUAUACAUAUCAGGAUUUGCAAAUGUUAUCAGUACUUUUUACCUGAUCCAACUGUUUCAACCCUGCAGCUUCUUUACCUAAUCCUAUUUCUUAUUGCGGAGAAGCAGAGGGAAAGCUUGGUGGAUGUAGGCUCUCAUUUUCUUGCUAUUAGAUUGUUCUGAAAAUAGAAAUAUUUCCCCUGUUUCUCGAUUUUCAAACAAUUUCUUCUUUCAGGUUGUGGCGAGUGCUGUGCAACAGGGUUCGCCUCUUUCCUUCCUAGUUGCAUUGAGUUUAUUCGCAUGGGCGCAAUCAAGCAAACGAUUAAUGUCGUACAGGUAACUUCAACCCCAUAUGAUGGUAAUGUUCGUUUAAAUAAAUUUCUUGAUGUCUACAAAUUAAGAAAACCUUUGUAUGGGUAAAGUUGACAUUUUACACUGGCAUUAUGGAUCUUGAAAUCGGUCUCUUUUAGAUUCACAUGCUGUGAUAUGCUCUAAUGUUAAAACUCAAACCUUUUCUGUAUGUUAAAUGGAUUGUCGUGGAUAUGCCUGGGAUGAUCAUUUUCUUCGUUUUCACUCAUCGUCUUUGUCAUCGUAGUUAUAAUUUGAUUGUGGAGAGUGAAAACGCACUGUGAUGAAUGAAUGCAAAAGCUAUGUAAUUAAGACUACAUUUAUUAGGUUGGUGACCACAAAUAAUCGGAAGGAUAUUCACAAUAGUGUUAUUGAAGCUCUAUAUGGAAUAAGGAGACCAAACCUGUAUGUGAUAAGAGUUGUAUGAAUACCAAAUGAAUUGUCAGAGGAUAUGGUUACUUUAGAUUGCUUGAGUUCUAAAAGCACAGAAGUGGGAUCAGUCUCUUGCUCGAGGGUAAACUCCUUCGUCAGUUAGUGAACUGUCCAUCAAAAGUAAAUAUUUAUGUGAUUGAGAGAAAUUUUGGAUUUUUGAUGAAAACAAAAAUCCUGUAUGCAUUUGCUUGCCCCCAAGGAGCUGAAGAUUCUCAAAUUGUUUGUAGACGUAAUAGUUCUUCUGAUAUCAUUUGGCUUGCUAAUCUUUCUUGCUCGAAAAUUUACCCGUUGUGUGGUCUUGAUGGUGGGUGAAAUUGAUGUGUGGUUUCAGAUGAAGACGGCAGCAGAUAUGUGUGUGCCAUAUGACAUCGAGAAAAAGCAAAAACCUUAAAGAGUUCAUCAACAUUUUCCAUUCAGAAGAAUCUGUUUUGUGGUUUUCAUGCUCGAGUGCCUACUUUUCAGUAUGCAAGCAGAGGAUUUGGCAUUAAUUUGGGGAAGCCUUUUUUUUGGGUAUAUGAGUGUGUUCAUUCCUUCAAUCACGUAGCUUUGUGCCAUUAACAUAAUGGCAAUUCCACAAUUGUGAUAAUGAUAAUUUUAUGAUUGGGGCAUAUUGUUAGGAAUUCUUUACUGGUUUUUCUUUCCCCAUCUGUGUCUAUGAUUAAGGUUGUUUAAGGUGUUAUGGCUUUUAAUCUGCAAUCAUUGCGAAAGGGACUCACUAGCCGGCAAAUAGUAAAACAUAGUGCUGUCAGAUUUAUAAGGAUUAUAUAUGUUUGGGAGAAAUAUGUCGACGAGACCAGGCAUGGUGAGCAGAUAUCUGAUGGCAGAGUUCUACAAACCGGUGUGUUCCGUAAAAGCCUGGUGCGCGGGGGAACAGGAGCAGAAAUAUCCUGCUCGUCCACGAGCACAUCAUCCGCGAGGCCAAUAUCCUGUAAGAGGCAUAAGGCCAUUCCGGCUAGAGGUCGAGAGGCGAGGAGACCCGGUCGACGGCAGUUGGCAAGACAUGCUCUCCAGCCCGAGAAUCUAGGCACGACAGCCACACUUUCCCCAGAACCACGGCGGAACACGCAAGAUCCCACGUUUGCCCAUAACGCAGCAUAACUCAGCAGUCGGAGUCCCAUACCGUCCCCCAAAAAACGGAAACAAGAUCUCACAGAACCACGACAGCCACGCUUUCCCCAGAACCGUGGCGUAACACGCAAGAUCCCACGUUUGCCCAUAACGCAGCAGUCAGAGUCCCAUACCGUCUCGAAAAAAGCAGAAAACUCGGAUUCAGAGGAAGCCUAUAAAAAGGUAGCCAACGAAGGUAAAGGGGUUGGUAUUUUUGAGAUGAGAAAAGAAAUUCAAAAGAAGAGAAAACCACGAAAAAGCCAUAAGAUCUGUGGCAAGCGUUCCCCGAACCUUCAUAUCUGACUUGAGCAUCGGAGGGUUUGCGCCGGGAAAAUAACCGGCGUACUCUGACUUGUCUGUGUGCGCAGGAACCUCUGGAGAAGAAGCCUUGCGAGGAGACCUCCUGGUCGUGAUGAAGCUGAUCGAGCAGAGAUCCUGGUCAUAGAACGAGGAGAACCGGAAUCCUGCAUCAACAUUUUGGCGCCGUCUGUGGGGAUGAGAGCAAAAAGCUUCUGUUGAUAGCAAGAAGAGGGGUGAAGCAAGUGAAAAGCAAUGGAGACAGGAGGAAGUAGUGCACAAGGGGGUGAUAGGAGGCUUAACGAUUCCGUGACGCUGAGGGAGAUAGUCAGUGAAGCACGAGAAAAAGUCAUGUUCGACCGGAUGGAACGGAUGGAAAAGCAGAUGGAGACCUUGACAACCAUCCUGCAUGAGCUGCGGAGCGAGCGAAGGGUAACCCAAGAGGGAAGGGUGAGAGGCGGUGGAGUGGCACCAGGUCCCGAUAGUGCGGGGAGAAGUCAAACCACCGGGAGAUUUGGUGGUGAGAGAGGUAACGUACCUCUGCGGGGAGAAUUUCAUAGAGAAAGAGAGCAGUCCCCGGCAAGACAGACUGGUGACGAGGACGACGGGGUGGUGAAUGCAGAGGAAACAGAGUUGAGGCAACACUUGCAUGAUGUAGAGCAAGAGCGGGAUCAAGUUACAGCACGUGACCCUGGUCGUGCAGUGCAGCUGGAAGAGGAAGUGCGCAGACUAGCGCAGAUAAUUGACGACAUGCAAGGAAGGAACAGAGCCCCUGGUUGGAGGAUAAUGCUGGACGGAGAAUCACCGCUUGCAGCAGAGAUCAUGAGGGCAGUUAUUCCGAGAGAUUUCCGCCUCCCAGACCUCAGAUACUCGGGAAGAACUGAUCCGCUGGUGCACAUAGAGCGCUUCAACGACAUAACUGGGGUACAAGGAUUAUCUCAAUCCCAAAGGUGCAGGGUGUUCCCACUAUCCCUUGAGGGACGUGCACGAGAAUGGUACAGGAAACUUCCUCGGGGCAGCAUUAAAACCUUCGAGCAGAUGUGCCAGGAAUUCGCGGAGCAGUUUAGUGGGGCAAUGGCACCGGAAGAUGACAUGAUGGAGCUGAAAAGCAUGAAAUAGGGGGAGCAAGAAACCCUUCGGGAAUUCAUCAAGAGGUUUCAUCGGGCUGUCCUCGACUUGGGAGCCUUCAACCACCCUCAGGCGUUAAGGGGAUUGAAAGAAGGGGUGAAGAUAGGAAGACUGUGGUACAAUUUGAGAAGCCCAGCUGUUCAAACGUAUGCAGCCGCAUACGAACAGGCUAAGAGAGACAUCGAGAUUGAAGAGGAGAAGGCUGCACGGAUUAAGACAGACCAGUUAGAAGGGUUGGGGAGGAAAGAGAAGAAAGCAUUACCGGGGAAUGGGCCGAUCAGAAGGAGGGACCACCAGGCCUCCGGUAGUGGAGCAGGAGGUCGGGUAACUGCUUACCAGCCUCAUCAGAGGCCACCACAGUAUCAGCGCAGCAGGGCGCAACCUCCUCGUUCCCCAGCUAGGGAGCCUUGGAGAAGGCAUGAGUCGGCAUCUGGUGGUCUUCAUCAACAUCCCCACGGUAGCAGAGCGAGCAGACCAGAAGUACUUCCACCGCCCCCAACUCAGAGCGGGGCAAACAGAGAAAGAGCAGUGCACCUGAUCGACCAGAACCCGGACUAUGGGCGGUACACUUCCUUGAAGAUGUCCCUGGAUGAGGUGUACGAGGCCAUAAAGGAUCGAGGGCUGCUGCACCUCCCUACACCAAUAACAAAGCUACCCAACAGGAGGGAUAGAGGACGUUAUUGUAAGUUCCAUGGCACCCAUGGCCAUACCACAGCAGAGUGUAGAGAUCUCAAGACCCAGGUCGAAGAUUUGGUGAGAAAUCGGUACCUGGACGAGUUUAUGGAUGGGACUUUCCCGAUGGUGGCCACAACAGGUGAAGGGGAGUAGAGUGGUGGAAACUUGAGGCGCGAGCAGCCCGCAGUAAGGGUGAUAGCUGGGGGCCCAACAUUGGCCGGAGAUUCCAACAGAUCGAGAAAAAAUUAUGCUAGGUACGCCAUGACCAGUAAAGAGGUACUCUUCAACACCCCAGCAGCCAAACGAGCAAGGGUCAGGCAAGUGCCAAUCAUGUGGACGGAUGAGGAUGAGGAAUGGAUUCUAUACCCCCACGAGGAUGCUUUAGUCAUCAAGGCUACUGUCGCUAGCAAGAAGUUUGACCGGAUACUGAUUGAUACAGGGAGCUCAGUUGAUGUGUUAUUUAAGUCAACCCUGGAAGAGAUGGGAAUAGCCGACCGGAAGUUGGAAUACACCAAUACCUCCUUGAAGGCGUUCGGAGAAGGGAAGCUGGUCCCUCUGGGCGUGGUCGAGCUGCCUAUCACAAUUGGGAGCUCCCCGACAGAAAGAACAAUGAUACUGGACUUUGUCGUAGUGGAUGAGGAAGGUCCUUACCAGAUGAUCCUAGGUCGGCCAUUUUUAAGGAUGAGCAAAGCGGUGUUGUCCAACCAUUAUCUGGCUCUGAAGUACCGGGUGAAUGGGGUAGUAGGAGUGGUACGAGGAGACCAGAGGAUCGCAAGAAGCUGCUACUCCUCAGCAGCAAGGGAAGCAAUGCAGAUAACAUCCCUCGAUACCCGAGUGGAAAACAAGAAGGGCAGACAAGAACCUGUAGAGGAUCUGGAAACAGUAAGCCUGGGACCAGAGAACCCGGGAAAGACGAUCAGAAUCGGGUCGAGACUUAAGGGAGAGCAAAAGCAGGAGUUGGUGAAAUGCUUACAGGCUCAUGCUGAUGUGUUUGCUUGGACACAUGAAGACAUGCCAGGGAUUGACCCUGAGGUAGCAUGUCAUAAGCUGGCAAUAAAGAAAGGUGCUCGGGCAGUAAGGCAGAAGAGGAGGUGCUUUAACCAGGAGAGGUAUGAGGCUAUAAAUGGCGAGGUGGAGAAGCUCUUGAGAGCAAGGUUCAUUCGGGAAGUCAGUUACCCUGAGUGGAUAUCAAAUGUGGUGUUGGUAAAGAAGGCAAACGGCAAGUGGAGGAUGUGUGUGGAUUUCACAGACCUCAAUAAGGCGUGCCCAAAAGACAACUUCCCUUUACCAAAGAUCGAUCAGCUAGUAGAUUCAACGGCUGGACAUGGUCUGCUUAGCUUCAUGGACGCGUUCUCGGGAUACAACCAGAUCCCCAUGUACGAGCAGGAUGAGGAGAGCACGGUUUUCAUCACUAACCAAGGUUUGUUCUGUUACAGGGUAAUGCCAUUCGGUCUCAAGAAUGCUGGGGUCACCUAUCAAAGGCUGGUGAACAAAGUCUUUAAGCCGUUGAUUGGGAAAACCAUGGAGGUGUACGUGGAUGACAUGAUCACCAAGUCCAAAAUCCCGAAGGAACAUGUCAGACACCUCGAGGAGACAUUCGAGCUUUUGAGGAAGUAUAAGAUGAAGCUCAACCCGGAGAAGUGUGCUUUUGGGGUCGAGUCAGGGAAAUUCCUUGGAUUCAUGGUGAGCCAUAGGGGGAUUGAAGCAAAUCCCGAGAAAAUCCAGGCGAUUGUGCAAAUGACGUCUCCUCGUAACCUGAAGGAGAUGCAGAGCCUCACGGGGAGGUUGGCGGCGUUGAGCAGAUUCAUAUCCAAGGCUACAGAUAAGUGUCAGCCAUUCUUUCAAGUGAUAAGGAGGGGAAAGAAAACAGAAUGGACCCCAGAAUGCGAGGAAGCCUUCCGGAACUUGAAGCAAUACUUGCAGCAAGCUCCGCUGCUGUCCACACCGAGGGAUGGGGACAAGUUGUAUCUGUAUUUGGCGGUAUCGGAUCGGGCCGCCAGUUCUGUUCUGGUGAGAGAGGAAGAAGGAGUUCAGUAUCCGAUAUACUACACCAGCAAGGCCCUGCUCGACACUGAGACCAGAUACCCACCGUUGGAGAAAUGGGCACUUGCCCUUGUGGUUGCUGCUCGGAAGUUGAGGCCAUAUUUUCAAGCAUUCCCGGUCUCGGUAAUAACAAACCAGCCAUUGCGUCAAACUCUGCACAAGCCAGAUGCCUCUGGUCGGCUCGUCAAGUGGGCUGUAGAGCUGAGCGAGUUCGACAUAGACUAUAAACCCCGCGCAGCGAUAAAAGCCCAGGCAAUGGCCGAUUUCGUAGCUGAAUUCACAGAGCCUGAAGUAUGCUUAGAUCAACAAGAUGCAGUUAUAGGCAAUGACGAAACUCAAGUAUGGCAGAUGUCUGUGGAUGGGUCAUCAGGGGAGCGGGGUUCAGGAGCAGGGAUUGUCUUGGAAGGCCCAGAGGGGGAGGAGAUCUCUUAUGCUGUAAAGUUGGAAUUUGCAGCCACGAAUAACCAGGCAGAGUAUGAAGCCUUGAUAGCAGGUCUGGAAUUGGCUAAGGCCGUGAAAGCAGACAGAGUUAAGAUCAGAACUGAUUCCCAGCUGGUUGCGAAUCAUGUCAGUGAAAGAUUCCAACCAAGAGAGGAGAAGAUGGAGCAGUACCUGAAGAUAGUCAGGCAGAUGAUGGGGAAGUUCGAAGCAGUGGAGGUGAUACAAAUCCCCAGGGAGCAGAAUAGUCGAGCAGACAUUUUGGCUAGGAUGGCAGCAGUAGCCGACCCAAAAAUGCCAAAGUCGGUCCCUCUGGAGGUGAAGUCCAGCCCAAGUAUCGAUCAGAAUUUGGGGGUGUUGCGGAUAGAACAAAAAUGCUCGUGGAGGGACCCGAUAGUUUCAUACCUUAGAGACGGGGUAUUACCACCAGAUAAGCUGCGAGCUCGCAAGAUUAGAGCCCAGGCCUCGAGAUACACGAUGAUUGAUGGGGUACUGUAUCGGCGAGGAUAUACACUACCGUUCCUUCGGUGUUUGAAUGAGGACGACGCGGAUUACGUACUGAGAGAAGUACAUGAAGGAAUUUGCGGAAAUCAUUCUGGCGGGAGGUCCCUGGCCCACAAGGUUCUAAGGCAGGGAUAUUUCUGGCCGACAAUGCACCAGGAUGCGCAAGAGAAGACCAGGAGUUGUGUAAGCUGCCAGAGUUUUGCAAAUUUCUCUAACCAACCACCAGAGAAGCUCACCUCCAUGACCUCCCCCUGGCCAUUUGCUCAAUGGGGAAUUGAUCUGAUCGGCUCAUUGCCAAAGGCACGAGGAGCAGCAACACAUGCAAUAGUUGCUAUAGAUUACUUCACGAAGUGGAUAGAGGUAGAAGCCCUUAGCAGGAUCACAGAGAAGAAAACAACAGAUUUCGUGUGGAGAAACCUGGUCUGUCGAUACGGGAUCCCUUAUGCCUUGGUAACGGAUAAUGGCAGGCAGUUCGAUAAUCACAGCUUCAGGGAUUUCUGCCAGAACCUCGGGAUAGAGCUGAAGUAUUGCUCGCCUGCUCACCCUCAAUCGAAUGGACAAGUAGAAGCAGCCAACAAGACCAUCAAGAGGCUUUUGAAAACCAGGCUUGGAGCAAAAAAGGGUGCGUGGGUUGACGAGCUGUCAGGUGUGCUAUGGGCAUACAGAACAACCCACAAAAUCGCAACUGGGGAGACACCGUUCGCUUUGGCUUUCGGACAUGAAGCGGUCGUGCCGGCUGAGAUAGGAACGACCACACACCGGACAAAUCAUUUCAAUGAGCAGGAGAACGACGUGCAGAUAUGUUUGAAUCUUGAUCUGCUAACGGAAAGGAGGGAGCAAGCAGCCGAGCGAUCAGUCAUUUACCAACAGAGGGUUGCUCGGUAUUAUAACCAGAAGGUGAACAUACGGCAAUUCAGGGUCGGAGACUGGGUACUGAGAAGAGUGAAUCAGAGCACCAAAGAUUCGACUCAAGGAGUGCUGGGACCGAAUUGGGAAGGGCCAUAUAGAGUCAAGCAGAUAGCGGGACCCGGAGCUUACAAGCUGGUUCGCACGGAUGGCCACGAGGUGAAACGCCCAUGGAACGCAGCACACCUCCGAAAAUACUUCUAGUAAGACUUGUUUACAUUUGAAAGCUAUUUUUGCUCAUGUUCAUUAUCGUUUAUCUUUCACGCUUUAUGUCCAAACAAUUUCAUGUAAGUCGAAUCCAGCCAUUAGUGGAACGUCGAGGAAUUUCUUUCGCUUGAAACCGAGAAAAUUCCCAAAGGCAUACAAAGGCUCAACAAAGUCUCAAAGCCUGUCUUAUGGCGAGACAGAAGCCAAGCAUGCCAGGAUCUGCUCGGCCACGAGAAGGCGAGCAGAAUCCCAAUCCUCGAAGAAUCCAAGGCAUGCAAAGGCUCGACAAAGUCUCAAAGCCUGUCUUAUGGCGAGACAGAAGCCAAGCAUGCCAGGAUCUGCUCGACCACGAGAAGGCGAACAGACUCCAAAGCAUUCGAAGAAAUUCCUAAGGCAUGCAAAGGCUCACCAAGUCUCAAAGCCUGUUUUAUGGCGAGACAGAAGCCAAGCGUGCCAAGAUCUGCUCGACCGCGCGAAGGCGAGCCGAAUCCCAGGCAUUGAAGAAUCUUCAAAGGCAUGUGGCAAAACCAUGAGCCAAGCCGGAACCUGCUCGUCUAGACAAAGACAAGCAGAUUCUCAAACGAAAAUUAAUUCAUAAUUACAACACAAGAAAGUAAUCAAAAAACAUUUUUAUUAAUUUGUUAAUAAUUAACAGAGGGGAUAAUCUUCAUGAACAUUGUUCAUUACAAUACAAGAAAUAUAUCAAGAAGAUGGUGGAUCAGUAAGCCCAGCAGCAUCGGUUGGCUGGACCUCCUCAGGUGCAGGAGGGGUAUCACCAGUUGCGUCCGGGGGGGGUGCUCGCCUCGCCAACAUCAGCAGGGACUGCACGAGGAGGAGAGUUUUCCUCCUCAAUCACGAUCGGCUCUACCCCUUCGGCAUCUUCCUUGGCCGCCUCCUCGUCCAUAUGUUGAGCAACACCAGCUGCAAGGUCAUCCAUCUUCAGAUCAGGGUGUUGCUUCCCGAGGACGGCCAUGAUGCAACGAUAGGAAUGCCGAAGUCCCUGGUCGUACUGGUUGUCGGCCUCCCUCUCCAAGUUCUCGACCUGAGCUCGGUGGGAGUCGCGGAGAGAUUCGAGCUGAGCCUCAUACAUAGCCUUCUGCUUUUGCAGAUCCUCCUUGACCUUGGUAAGCUCCUCCUCGAGGGUAAUGGCUUUUGCUUGAGCAAGUGAUUCUUGCUCUAUCAGCUUCAGAUUCUCGAGAUUCAGCUCCCCUGCUUUCUUCUCGGCAACGUCAGCUCUAGUCGUCGCCGAUUGAAUAUCCUCCUUCAUCUUCCGGUCGUAGCGGCCAACCUUAGCCUUGUAAUAGGUGGUCAUGCAGCUGAGGUGGAAAGCGCUAUGCUGCAUGGCCCCCACCAGCUCACCCAAGGUGCAGCCGUCAAAGUCCUCCAGGUCCUUCUUGCUCACGAGUUUAGAUAACUCAUUGAGGUAGGGGACCAGGUGUUCUGCUCGGCUGUCAGGUAAGCGAGAUCGAGGCCCGACAGGAGGAGGAGAGGAAGCAGGAUCUGUGGCUGCUCCACUAGCUUCCCCGACUUUUACAGGAGCAGGAGGUAAAAUCUUCAAGGGUGGGACCUGCUGCACGAUGUUGGCCCGCUUUGCAGCAGGGGCAUCCUUACUCUGGUCCCUCUUCGUGGUUGGAGGUCGAGAACGUUUUCGGGUCAGAGCCCCAAUCACAGCGUCCUCCAUCCUAUGGCCAGGAAGUAUCAAGCGAGACUCGAGCAAGUUGUAUGUAGUUAACAAUUCUCGGCUCGAGCAGGAAUUGGCUAGUACAGCCUCGACCCGUUUGAGCUGGUCAGGUUCAAGCGGGAAGUGGACACCCCAAGAACCUGCAACACAAACAAACAUUUGAUUAGAGACAAACCAGUAAAGCGCAAACGACAAGGGAGACAAGACAUCUAAUACGAGCAGGCAACCUGGGACCAAGAAACGGGGUGGGACGCGGAAGUCCUCCCCAUCAACCCGUGCAACUUGACCCCAGGGACCCCCUGCGAAUAAGAACUUCCUCUUCCAAUUCCCACCACCACCAGUAGGGAGAUCGGUUAUGGGUUUCCUGGUCUUGGUACUUGAUUGGAAGUAAUACCAGCCGGCAUCUUUUGGGCUGCUUUUCAGCUGGUACAGGUGCAUCACCUCGUCGACCGUGGGCUCGCUUUGGCAACAUCUGUCCCACAGUAUGAACAGACCAGAGAGCACUCUCCAACCGUUUGGGUUCAACUGACCAGGAGAUAGAUUCAACCCGCUAAGUAUCCGGGCAAAGUAAGGUUGCAAGGGACACCUCAGCCCAUACUUAAAGCUAUCCAGAUACAGGGUAACAUAUCCCCUAGGAGGCCGGCUAGGGGUAUCCUUCUUGCCUGGGACCUUGAGAAGUAUUUCACCAGGAAUGCUGUACCUAAGACGGAGGUCAGCGAGCUCGUCAAACGUGGUCGUGCACGUCAUAUAGUCGAUGGCAUAAUCACGCAACAAGGCUCUACCCCCUACUGUACCCCGUCCUUCUGGUCGUGACGUUCCAGAUGGAGACACCUCACCAGAGUCACCUUCGCCAUUCUCACUCAAAGUAUCCUCGGAGCCAGAAGAUCUCUCCUCACCAUUACUUCCGCUCGUAGAGGUUGUUUGGGGAGACAUCCUCCUAGCACUAGUCCCGACACUAGACCUAAUGGGCUCUAAGGGGAUCCCGGGGUCAAAAGCAGGAUCGGUGAGCAGACUAGGCAGGAAGUCCAACUCGUCGUCAUCAACCUCAAUGACCUUCUCUUUGCCUUUCGACAUUCCCUAAGCUCUAACCACAACACCACCAACUACUACCCAAACAGAAGAGAAGAGAAAUUAUCUACAACUAUCCGAGACCAAGGAGAUAGAAGAAAUACCUGAAGUAAUGGUUCAGUCGGUGAAAAUCAGAGAUGGAGGCCUUUUAUGCCGGAACUUCUUUGCCGGAGAGACAGAGACGGAGACGGAGUGAAUGAUGAAUAUGCUGUUCGAGAGGAUUUGGUUUUCCUAAUGAGGACGGACUCUUGGGUUGCCAGCAUUUAACAACGCCGAAUCCCGAGGGUCUCAUAACCGUCGGUUUGAAAUUCAAAUGGAGGGGGAGAUUUCUGCCACGUCACCUCGUCCGCAAUUAAAUGCGACAUGACUCUUGGCAGCCUUUUCCAAUCCCACGCGAGCGAGUACUAAGGAGUUUCUACUGCUGGUCCACUACAUUACCCAACACCAGAAACUGGGGGACCGGUGUUUGGGAGAAAUACGUCGACGAGACCAGGCAUGGUGAGCAGAUAUCUGAUGGCAGAGUUCUACGAACCGAUGUGUUCCGUAAAAGCCUGGUGCGCGGGGGAACAGGAGCAGAAAUAUCCUGCUCGUCCACGAGCACAUCAUCCGCGAGGCCAAUGUCCUGUAAGAGGCAUAAGGCCAUUCCGGCUAGAGGUCGAGAGGCGAGGAGACCCGGUCGACGGCAGUUGGCAAGACAUGCUCUCCAGCCCGAGAAUCUAGGCACGACAGCCACGCUUUCCCCAGAACCACGGCGGAACACGCAAGAUCCCACGUUUGCCCAUAACGCAGCAUAACUCAGCAGUCGGAGUCCCAUACCGUCCCCCAAAAAGCGGAAACAAGAUCUCACAGAACCACGACAGCCACGCUUUCCCCAGAACCGUGGCGUAACACGCAAGAUCCCACGUUUGCCCAUAACGCAGCAGUCAGAGUCCCAUACCGUCUCGAAAAAAGCAGAAAACUCGGAUUCAGAGGAAGCCUAUAAAAAGGUAGCCAACGAAGGUAAAGGGGUUGGUAUUUUUGAGAUGAGAAAAGAAAUUCAAAAGAAGAGAAAACCACGAAAAAGCCAUAAGAUCUGUGGCAAGCGUUCCCCGAACCUUCAUAUCUGACUUGAGCGUCGGAGGGUUUGCGCCGGGAAAAUAACCGGCGUACUCUGACUUGUCUGUGUGCGCAGGAACCUCUGGAGAAGAAGCCUUGCGAGGAGACCUCCUGGUCGUGAUGAAGCUGAUCGAGCAGAGAUCCUGGUCGUAGAACGAGGAGAACCGGAAUCCUGCAUCAACAAUAUAUACAUACACUUUCGUCUUCAAUGCACUGAAACUGGGGAACCAUCUAUAUGAUUUUCAUUCAGAAAAACCGGCGGGAACUAAUGACUUUCAUGAUUAAAAGUAGGAUUAUCAUAUUGUGGAGCAUUGUUAUGUAACGUUUUAUGGUUAUCUUAAGGCAAAAGUUGGCUUAGAAAUUAACUGAAAGGCAAUAUUCAUUCUAUCAAAAAACAAGUGUUUUUUAACAAGGGGAGAAGGUUCCCUUUAUAAUUUACUAAUUUAUGCAACCGUUAAUAUUAAAACAAAUUUUUUUUUAUAUUAAGGAUGAUGAUUCUUUUUCCCUUAGUAAAGUCUGUAUAUAACAUAUGAUGUGGUAAGCAAGGAAUCAAUUUAUCCCCUAUUUUGUUUUUCUUACUUUUUUUUCCCAAAAUAUUGCAGCUUUCUUUGGAGAGGUUCAGCCAAACUGCUGAGACCGUCAGUACAGAUGUUCAACGGUUUUUUAAUACUGCAUUUUAAGAUUACAUGUAUUAUAUAUUCAUUACUUGUGAUUAUGUAAUUUGCUGAUGAUAAGUACACUGAGUGAUGUAUAUAUGUGUGGCUGUGUGAUCAUUACUGAUAAAUUCAUUUGAUCAGCAAUUAUUCUUUACGAGUUUGGUAAUCGAGCAAACUGAUUAUCAGUUGGCAAACUAAUUAGAUAUUGCAUUUUGGCCUUGAAGUGAAAUUAGUGAACAUGUUUCUUGAGGGCUUCUUUUAUAAGACACUUGAAGAAGAAAAUUCAUGUUUUUGCAAAACUUCUUUCUCAAUAUAAAAUGAUAAUUCGAAAGAAUAUUUAUUAAAGAAGCUUGGAACUUGGAGGGCAAUUUGAAUUCUGAAACGGCACCGUUUCACCUCGACCCACUAGAUACAAACUGAUUAUGAGUGACACCAACGAUUGACCGCUGAGACAGAGAACCUCUCUCGGUGACGCCGACGGCCAGCUUUCACGCUCAUCUGCCGUCAUAUUCGGCAGCCGCCUGCCGUCACUCCGUCUUUGUUGUUGCGCCGGUGAAGGUGAGUACCGAGUUGUCAGUUGAGUUCAAUAGUUGUAUUUUGUAAUAGCAAUUACAAUUAUCGGGUUUAAUUUGGGACAAUUUUGAUCAUCAAUCUUUGCCAUGUUUCGUAUGACUCUGUUCUGUCUCACAUAGCAGGUUCUUGGUAGCUCGUACUCAUCAAUGUAUCCUGAUCGUGGUAUGGGAGGCAGCAGUUACAUGGGUAGUGGUGGUUCCGGAUCAUACUAGUGAUGUGGUAAAAAUUGAAUUGUAAGUGAAAUUUUCUUUUAUGUAAAAUUACAAUGAUCUAAUUUUCUUGGUGCAUUAUAAACUGAGACAUAAUGGUUCACCGAAGACUUUGGCAUCUCUCAAGUUAGCUAAGACGCAUGGUUCACGACAAAGGAAUCUACGGUAACAAGUGAAUUUUCUAUGGAACAGACUUGAGAUGAUGACAAAGAGGCUGCUGUAGGGUGUGGACUAUAUGAAGCUUCUCGCAUUAGGAUGCUUGCUACUUUGGAGAGGAUCAAGUUGCUGAGCCUAACAGCCUCCAUAUGUCAUGGGAAGGGCUGCACUGGUUUAGGCCAUUCUUGGUUCUACAGACUGAUUACUUUGUCAAGUCUUAAUGCUGCAAGGAAACUCCCCUCAGUGUGUGAUAUGUACGAAUUGCUUCUUUACUUUUCUGUAUAAGAACUCCACUUGAUGGACAGUGUGGAGGCAUCUGCAUAAAUCUGUUUAUUGGAAUCAACCCUGUCUGAUCCGAAUUUUAAAACCGAAUCGAAUUUUAAUAUCGAACCCAACCGGAUAUCUUGGUUCGAUUCGGUUUGAUUUUAAGCUCGGUUCUAUUUUUUAGGAACCGCCAGCUUGGGUACGGAACCGAACCAAACCAAACCAAACCGUACACUGUGUGCCUCAGUAAAGAGUUUGAUUUCUCUAUUUUAACCUUAAUUAAAUAUUGAUUUCCAAUUUUACCCUUUAACAAAACUAAAUUAAAUAACAAUAAUUUUCACUUGCUUUUUCGAUUUCAUUUUACGGCUCAACAAAAUCUCUCAAAACCGUUGUUCUGAACUUCCGGCGGCUUUCAGUACCGGCGAAGGCUGAAGAUUCAAGCAAUAGAGCUGCUCAUGAUGAGGGGAAGGAGAAGAAGACUUAGCCGAGUUUUGAAGAUUACUUUUUUUUUUUCUUUUGGGUUUUCAUUGGUUUAUCAUUUGAGUCUACAAACAAAUGGUAUUCUUUUUCCCUAAAUUGUGAACACUUGGGGUUUUUAUUGUUGAAAUGCUUUAUUAUUUUUCGAUGACCAAGUAAUGUGAAUCAAUGUUCUCUUUAAAUAAUUUUCCCCUGUCCUUGCAUGUUCUACCGGUCUUUAUUUUUUAUUUGAAUUUGAAGAAACUUUCUAAGUGCAUACACCCAUAUGAAGUCGAAGAUCUUCCAGACAAGGUGGCAUCCAUCAAGAUCAAGAAAUUUUACUGCUUAGCAUGUGUUAUAUUUAUGGAUUGGCUAUUGAAGAAAUAAUGUUUGUACUGAUGCAGAUGCAGGAACUUUACACAUCUUAAGUUUACGAGAUAUUUUUUUCUUUUUUGACUCUGUUAGAUAACUGUCAGUUAGUUAACCAAUUUAUGUUACUCUUCCUUGGCUAGCCAAUUAAGAACUUAUGUCUGCUGGAUUAUAAAGCCUACAUCUGGAAGCCACAGGUGAUUUGAUUUGAAGGCAAUUUGUUCUAGGCUAUAUGUGGAUUUCUAUCAUGAUUUCUGUAAGCUUGAAGGAGAUUUUUUUAUGCGUGAGAGCUUGAAAAUUAUACAUGUACAUGUUGAAACUAUUGGAUAUAUGUUAAGAAUCAAGCAUAAUUGUGUCAAGAUGAAACCAUAAUUUGGGUGCUGUUUUAUGAGUAAACUAUCUCCAAUUUGGGUGCAGUAAACCUAGGUUGAAUACCAGGACAUGGUAUAAAAGUGAAAUCACACAUUGAAUCUCGCAUAAAGAUUUUAAAGAUGCAAAUUCGAAUUGUACAUGAGAUGUUAUCUUGAUCGAAUUGCAGCGGCUUUGUUUUGGAUCCAGAAAACAAAAUUGUAAGCACAGAGAAGUCUCGAUGGGAUGCUUAUAUUAAGGUGCAUAAUGGCCUCAUUGAGUUUUGUGCUGUUGUUCUACGUUGUUUGAGUUUUGUGCUGCUGUUCUUUGUUGCUGCUUUUGCUACCGGUUUUAGCUAUUUUCUGCCACUCUGUUAUUUGCUAUUUUUUACUACUUUGGCUGCUGAUUUUUGCUGUUUUCGCUGCUUUAGCUGUUGUUUUAUCUGCUGUUUUUUUUUUACUGCUUUUAUUGUUGAUUUUUGCUGUUCUCUAUCGUGUUUUACCCACUGGUUGUCGCAUGUUUAUUAAUACUGUUUGCUGCUGUUUUAUUUGCUGUUUUUUGCUGCUAAUUUUUUUUUUUCUGUUUUCUGCGGUUAUUUGCUGCCGUUGCUGUUUUACUCGCCAGUUGAUGAUGUUUUGUGGUUCUCCUCCUCGAGUGCCUACUUUUUCCUGUGUGCAAGCAUAUCUGUUGAGAGUGGCUGAUGAAAUCACUAAACUGUUACAGUUGAUCUCAUGCUUCUCUAGAGAAGGAAUUAGACUUAUUUUGGUGAAGGGGUUUUGGUUUUUAUAUCAGUGUGUGCAUUUCUUCAAUCACGUAGCUUUGUGGCAUUACGAUCGAUAAUGGCAACUCCACAAUGAUGAUAAUGAUAAUUUUGUGAUUCAGACGCGUUGUUAGGAAUUAUGUAUUGGUUUUUCUCUCGCCUUCGGUUUCUACGAUGAAGCAUAUAAUGGCUUUUAAUCUGCAACUGCUGCAAAAUGGACUCACUAGCUACCAAAUAAUAAUAUAUAGUGCUGUCAAAUUUAUAAACGUUUUACGGUUAUUUUAAGCCUGCAGUUGGUUUACGAAUUAAUUAAAUGACAAUAUUCAGUCUAUCAUAAAACAGGUUUUCAACAAGUGAAGAGGAGGUACUCUUUAUAAUUGGAUAAUUAAUGCAACCUUCAAUAUUUUCAACCAAAAAAAAAAUGAUAUUUGAUAUGUAUUCAACAUUAGGGAAAAACCACCCAUAUCGAAGGUUUGCUUAAAUGAUCAAAUAAAUCCACUUAGUUUCGUAAAUGGUUAUACAUAUCCUCUUUUCGACUAUUUAUUGGGUUAUGUUUGAGAGUUAGGACUAAGUGUGGGAUUGUACUAACUUUGAGAUUAAAUAUUAUUCUUUAUUUAGCAAUUUUCCUUGGAUUAGAUUAUGAGAGACUAAAUUCUAAGUUAGUUGUUAAAUAAAGGGGUUUGGAAAUACCAAUUUAUAAAUAGAUUUAAAUGGGAUUAGAAUAAGAGGAAAAAAUGUUCAUUUGUAAUAUUUCUUUCAUAUAUAACACAUCUUUUAUUUAUUACUUAAAAUUUAAUUAAUGAAUUAAUUAUUUUAUUCAUGAUUUACUUGAAAUAUAUUUUUUAUUUUGUUUUUAUAUUCUAAUUAAAUUGGUACUUUAAUUUAAUAAUUUGUUACAUUAAUUGAUUGUACUAAAUUUAAUAAUCACCAAUGUAAUAUUAAAAUAUAAUUAUGAAAAUUAAUAAUUGAUGCGUAAAUUAGCAAGUGUACUAGUCGGCACAAGUAAUAUAAUGAAGAGUAGAGUAUCGUCCCACAGAGAUUGUAUAUCCUAUUAGUUACCGAAAUUAUUCUAACCCUAAUUUAUUUAAACAAUCAAAUAAGCGAAUUUAGAUAAAAAUAAAAUAAAAUAAAAUUAUUAAAAAUUAAAUAAAGACGCAGGCAGUAAUAGAAAUCACCAAGAGAUUAAGACACUAGGACAUCCGAUUUCACCAUAACCAAUCCAAUUUAAUCCGCCAUCUAUGCUAUUAAAUUUUAUUACCCAUGUUGACAGUGAAUUUCCCUAAUUUAUUCAAUAUCCUCUCUCGAGUAAUAUCAAAAAUAUCUCCACAUAUCAACCCACUAUAUCUCUAUGUGAAUUUAAAUAUGCAAAGAUUCAUUAAGUUCUAUGGAAAUUCUUAGAUAAAACUGCACGAAUCACGUUGGCACAUCUCUGUCUUUCGUUCAAUUCAUGGCAUCCAUUACACAGAGCAAAAAUACAUAAAUCUCCUCUCGGUCUCAUUAUGUAUCCUCAAAUCAUUCAAAUAUUGGCCAAAUAAUUAAAAGCAUUAAGCACAAUAAUGAACACUCAAUCAUGGAAUAAUUAAUUAAAAAUAACAUAGAUUUAUGGAAUUAAAUCUUCAUAGUUAGGCUACAUCGUAGCCCUAGUAAAAUAAAUUAGUUCAUGGGAAUAUAAAGAGAAUUCAUUAAUUUAAUUAGAAACAUUCAAGCAAGAUAAUAGAGAAGAGGAAAAGAAAAGCUUAAGAAUUAAUGCGUCUUCUUCCUGCUCCAAAUUAUUCUUGCUGCUCCCGAUUUUACUCAAAACUUGCGGCUGCUGCUCUUCUCUUUAUUUUCUCUUGGCUGCCUCUUAUUUUCCUUGUGCGGCUGCCUUUCUUCCCUUUUAUAAUGGUGUGGUUUCUUCCAAAUCCUUAAAGGAAAAGGAUUGCAAAUCCAGCCCACAAAUCCUUAAAUGAAAAUAAUUAAAAACAAAAGCCCAACCGCCUAUUUCAUUCCUAAGCCAAUCAGAAUUAAAAGCAAAAGCCCCUCCACGUGUUGCAUGCCAUAUUUGUCUUUGUAAAUGAAUUCUUCAAUGCUUCCUCACGUGCAUGCAUGCUUAAUGAUUAAUUAAAUUAAAUCCUUUGUGAUUUGUUCCAAUUAAUUCUCUUUAUUUCUUUAUUGUACCUAAAAUGAGAAAAUAUAAAAAAUUAAGAUAAAAUUAACAUAAUAAAAUAUAAUUUAACAUAAAAUUAAGUUAUGGAAGCAUUAAAAUAAUAGAUAAAUAUUAGCACAUCAAAUACCCCCAAACUUAACAUUUUGCUAGUCCUCGAGCAAAAACUAAAAAUAUAAAAAAUAAAAAAUAAAUAAAAAAAAUAAAAACUACGAAAAGAAAAUUCUAACUAAACCACUUUCGCAGGUGAUCGCGAUUGCAUUUAGCGUAUGCAACAAGCCUUUAAACCCCUAGGCGGCCCUAGUGGACGAGUUAUAGUCUCGUGAGGGUUUCCAGCGAUGAUACCCACAAACAUCAUCAAAAAUGCCUCAAAGAUUGCAUAAAGUAUAUAGCUCAAAGAAAAUAAAAAAUAUUGGCAAAGUUCUAACUUUAAUUGAAUAGUCAGCCUCAUCUCAUAUUGGAUUCCUGUGUUGUGUGUGAAUCAAUUCAAUCAAAACUCAUUCUCAAGAUCUUCAACAUCAACAGCCCUUGUCUCGAAUAAUAAACAGAGUAGGUCAAACUAACCUCAUCAUCUUGAUCUUCUUUUUUUUUUUCUUUUCUUCACAGGCAUAAAUUUGCAUUUUCUUUUGAUUUUUCUUGAAGCACGUGCUUUUUUUUUUUUUCAUUUCUUUGUCCAUAGUCAGGAGCUUUCACUCUACCCCUUAAGGUAGCCUUCUUCUCAUGGUAGAUUAUCCUCUACAUACUGGUGGUACAUAGGCCCAAAUUACUCAAGGAUAGCUUCACUCUUAAGGGUUAUAGGUAGCUAUUUCUGACUAUAGUGCCUGGGUAAACUUAAGUAUUGUAUAAUCGAGGCAAACAGUCAUUUACUCAAUCUAAAAUUCUCAACUUAGGCCGUAUCAAUCUCAAAUCUCAAGUCAAAAUUAUGAAAGAAUCGAUAUAAGUGCGCAAGAUAUUUAAAGAAUCUCAAUCAAGACGAAGCUAACACAAGAAUCAAGAAUAAAUUAAGACAAUAUUCAUCCCUUUCUAAGAACCAUAUUCAUUUUCAACCAUAAACUCAUCAUAGGCAUUAAAAUCUUUUUUUUUUUUUUUGAUGAAAAGCAAAUAAUGAAAAGCAAAUAUUCCCACCCCCAAACUUAAAAUAAACAUUGUCCUCAAUGUAAAGAAAAAGAAAAAGGAAAAGAGAAACUCCCCCGGUUUUGCACUUGAAGAUGUAAAGUUGUAGCUGAGUCGUUGAAAGGCAUGCGGAAAGUUGAUGUUCAUCGACCCCCAAACUUGUGCAAAAUCCUAAAACAAAACAAAAUAAGUAAAAGAAAAGAAAAAUAAGGAAAGAUAAAAAUGACAAUAAUAAAGUUUAGAAAGCAUGGGUUGCCUCCCAAGAAGCGCUUAAUUUAUAGUCAUUAGCCUGACUAUCUUUGAAGAGAUGGUUCAAGGAGGCUCGUGGAUGGAAGGAGAUGAUCUGGAUGGACCUUGCCCAAGUUUCUUGCAAUUAGGUCUCUUCCCACGAAAAUGAGGUGAUGCAUCUUCAUUAAUAGACUACUUUUGUAUUAUAUAAAUGUCAGGAGGGUCAGAUAGAUGCUCAUCCUUAAAUGGUUUGGCCAUUUUUAUAUCCAUGGUGUCUUCUUGGAAACAUUCUUUGAGUUCAAUUGGAUACUUGAUAGGUGUGUACACAUUGAAAAUGGCUUGCUCAUUUUGAACUCUUAAAAUCAAUUUUCCUUCAUGAACAUCAAUCAAAGCUCUUCCUGUAGCUAAAAAUAGUCGGCCUAAAAUGAGAGGUAACUCUAUAUCUUCAGCCAUAUCCAAGACAAUAAAAUCUGCAGGAAAUAUAAACUUAUCAACUUUUACAAGCACAUCCUCAACUAUGCCUCGUGGGUAUUUUAUAGAUCUACCUGCUAAUUGUAGGGUAACAGUUGUUGCUUUAGGUUCACCCAAACCUAAUUUCUUGAAAACAGAAAAAGGCAUCAAAUUAAUGCUUGCACCUAAAUCACACAAAACUUUAUCAAAAUAACAAUUUCCAAUAGUGCAUGGAAUAUUAAAACUCCCUGGAUCUUUCAGCUUUGGUGGCAAUUUAUUUUGUAAGAUGGCGGUGCAGUCCUCAGUCAGCAUUACAGUUUCAUGCUCCUCAAGUUUCCUCUUGUUGGACAACAUUUCUUUCAUAAAUUUGGCAUAAAGCGGCAUUUGUUCCAAAGCAUCUGCAAAAGGAAUAUUAAUAUGCAAUUUCUUAAACACAUCAAGAAAUUUUAAAAAUUGCUUAUCUAUGUUAUUUUUCCGGAGACGCUGAGGAAAAGGGAUUGGAGGAACAUAGGCCUUGACUAGUGUUGCUAGUUUAGGUUGUGGUAUUUCUGAACUUGCUGCCUUUGAAACCUUAGUGGUGUCUUCAGUUUGUUCUUCAUCAACUUUCUUUGCUUCUUUUCGCGGCUCAUCAAGUUGUUUACCACUCCGAAGUAUAAUUGCAUUAACUUGCUCCUUUGGAUUUGUCUCGGUGUUGCUUGGCAGAGAGCCAUGUUGUCUACUGGAUAACAAGUUUGCAAUCUGAUCUACUUGUACCUCGAGGUUCCGAAUUGAUGCAGCUUGAUUUUGAAAAGUUGUCUCUGUUUUGGUCAUGAAUUGAGACAUGUUUGUUGUAAGCUGGGUAAGAGCAUCUUCUACGUUUGACUUCUUUUCUUGUGGUUGGAACCCUGGAGGUGGUGCCAAUGUAUUCUGAGUGUUGUUCCAUGACAAAUUCGGGUGGUUUCUCCAGCCAGGAUUGUAGGUAUUAGAAUAUGGGUUAUGUUGUUGUCUCUGGAAGUUUGACACAUAAUGAGCUUGUUCAGCAGACGACGACGCAAAAGGACUUCCAACUUGGCAGUUGACACUGGUAUGAUUCCCUCCGCAUAAUUCACAAACUUGAGUUUGAAUCGCACUGACAUUUAGGUGCUCCAGCUUAUUAGAUAAAGCAGUCAUCUGUGCAGAUAAAACAGUGACAACAUCAACAUUAUGGGCUCCUACAAUUUUCCUUGGCAUUGAUCGCUCUGAAGUCCACUGGUAAUUGUUGGAUGCCAUCUCCUCCAAUAAUUCAUAAGCUGCUUCUGGUGUUUUUCCCAUUAACGUUCCUCCUGCUGCAGCAUCAAUCAUUGUUCUGGUAUUGGAUCCUAAACCAUUGUAAAAUGUCUGCACCUGAAGCCAAACUGGUAGACCAUGAUGUGGGCAUUUUCUUAGUAGGUCUUUGUAUCUCUCCCACGCUUCAUAUAAUGAUUCCAUCUCAAACUGAGCAAAGGUUGUGAUGUCAUUCCUCAACUUGGCUGUUUUUGCUGGAGGAAAGUACUUUGCUAAAAACUUCUGCGCUAAACCAUCCCAAGUAGUGAUUGUUCCAGCAGGGAGUGAGUUCAACCACUCUUUUGCUUUAUCCCUCAGUGAGAACGGAAAAAGCCUUAGCCUGAUUGCAUUGUCUGAAACACCAUUUUGCUUAAAUGUUUCACAAAUUUCCAAGAAAUUUGUAAUAUGGGCAUUUGGAUCAUCAUUUGGCAUCCCAGCAAAUUGAACUGAAGUCUGAAUCAUCUGGAUUAUGGCUGGCUUAAUUUCAAAAUUAUUGGCUUGAACGGCAGGGCGUGCAAUGCUUGAAUGAGCUCCAUUAACUGUAGGCACAGCAUAAUCUCUUAAGGGUUUUGCAUCCUCAUUUCCAUGUAAUGCUUCGUCAGCCAUGAUUAGUUGUUGCUCCUGUGAAGCUUCUCUCCUUUCUUUAUUAAGUCUUCUACACGUACGUUCAAUCUCUGGAUCAAAAGGCAAUAAAUCAAAACUUCUUGAGCGUCUCAUAAAAUUAAACAAGAAAAUAAAAAAUUCAAAUAAAAACUAUAAAAAUAAAAUUCAAAUUAAACUAAGGUUAGUUGGUAUCGAUACUAAUCCAAACAAUCCUCGGCAACGGCGCCAAAAACUUGAUGCGUAAAUUAGCAAGUGUACUAGUCGGCACAAGUAAUAUAAUGAAGAGUAGAGUAUCGUCCCACAGAGAUUGUAUAUCCUAUUAGUUACCGAAAUUAUUCUAACCCUAAUUUAUUUAAACAAUCAAAUAAGCGAAUUUAGAUAAAAAUAAAAUAAAAUAAAAUUAUUAAAAAUUAAAUAAAGACGCAGGCAGUAAUAGAAAUCACCAAGAGAUUAAGACACUAGGACAUCCGAUUUCACCAUAACCAAUCCAAUUUAAUCCUCCAUCUAUACUAUUAAAUUUUAUUACCCAUGUUGACAGUGAAUUUCCCUAAUUUAUUCAAUAUCCUCUCUCGAGUAAUAUCAAAAAUAUCUCCACAUAUCAACCCACUAUAUCUCUAUGUGAAUUUAAAUAUGCAAAGAUUCAUUAAGUUCUAUGGAAAUUCUCAGAUAAAACUGCACGAAUCACGUUGGCACAUCUCUGUCUUUCGUUCAAUUCAUGGCAUCCAUUACACAGAGCAAAAAUACAUAAAUCUCCUCUCGGUCUCAUUAUGUAUCCUCAAAUCAUUCAAAUAUUGGCCAAAUAAUUAAAAACAUUAAGCACAAUAAUGAACACUCAAUCAUGGAAUAAUUAAUUAAAAAUAACAUAGAUUUAUGGAAUUAAAUCUUCAUAGUUAGGCUACAUCGUAGCCCUAGUAAAAUAAAUUAGUUCAUGGGAAUAUAAAGAGAAUUCAUUAAUUUAAUUAGAAACAUUCAAGCAAGAUAAUAGAGAAGAGGAAAAGAAAAACUUAAGAAUUAAUGCGUCUUCUUCCUGCUCCAAAUUAUUCUUGCUGCUCCCGAUUUUACUCAAAACUUGCGGCUGCUGCUCUUCUCUUUAUUUUCUCUUGGCUGCCUCUUAUUUUCCUUGUGCGGCUGCCUUUCUUCCCUUUUAUAAUGGUGUGGUUUCUUCCAAAUCCUUAAAGGAAAAGGAUUGCAAAUCCAGCCCACAAAUCCUUAAAUGAAAAUAAUUAAAAAAAAAAGCCCAACCGCCUAUUUCAUUCCUAAGCCAAUCAGAAUUAAAAGCAAAAGCCCCUCCACGUGUUGCAUGCCAUAUUUGUCUUUGUAAAUGAAUUCUUCAAUGCUUCCUCAUGUGCAUGCAUGCUUAAUGAUUAAUUAAAUUAAAUCCUUUGUGAUUUGUUCCAAUUAAUUCUCUUUAUUUCUUUAUUGUACCUAAAAUGAGAAAAUAUAAAAAAUUAAGAUAAAAUUAACAUAAUAAAAUAUAAUUUAACAUAAAAUUAAGUUAUGGAAGCAUUAAAAUAAUAGAUAAAUAUUAGCACAUCAAUAAUACUAGUAAUUAAUUGAUUUUAUAUAUUAUUUGCUAAUUUUUUGAUAAAAUAAAAUAUAUAUCUAAAAUAUCUAAAUAAUCAAAAAGUUUUAUUAAUUUAUAUUUUUUAUUACAAUUAUGACUACCCAUAAGUAAUUUACUAUAUAUUUAAUGUUCUUAUUAAUUAUAUUUAAAUUAAUCUUAAUUAUUAUUCUUAAAUAUUCAUAAAUAGUUUUUUAUUUAAAUAUAAUUUAACAUUGUCUAAUCCAAUGUUGUACCAAACAUAAGACAGUAGUGUAUAAUCCAACAUAAUACUUAGUCCAAUUUAGUCUUGCAUGCCAAAUGUAAUCUUAUACACUUUGAUUACAACAAGCCAAUAAUUGACUUAAAGAAACUUCUAUAACAAUUAUAAGUUAAAAUUAAAAUAAUAUGAUAUAUAAAAUAAGAUAAAAUUUAUAAAUUAUUUUGAAUAUUAGAAAAAUGAUUUUAACAUUAUUAAUUUGUCAUAUUCUUUUACUACUAAUAAAAUCUGUUUGACAAAUUAAUAAUAUUAAAAUAAUUAUACCUAACAUUCACAAUAAUUUAUAAAAUUUAUAUAUUUUGUUUACAAUUUUUUUAAUUAUGUCUAUAUUAAUAUAAAUCUUAAAGUCAAUUUUUGGAUUAAUAGAUUUUAGUAUAUAUAAUAAUAACUUAAUAUUAAAAAUAAUUUUCAUUACAUACGUUAUUCUAUUAAUUAUCUUAUUGUAAUAUUUUAUUUGUAUCAUAUGAUAUCUAUUAAUUAUUUUUUUAUCUUAUUACUAUAUUUAUAUUUAUUUGUGUUGUUGUAAUCAAAGGGUAUAGUAACUAAAAAUGUGUUUAUGUGACUAUUUAACCUGAAGGGUCUUUGUGACCAUUUAAGUAAACCUUGGAAAUGUGUGACAAUAGUCAUUCUAAUGACUUUCAAGAUUGAAAGUGAGUCGGAUUAUCAAAUUAUGAAGCAUUGAUACGUAAUGUUUUAUGGUUAUUUUAAGGUUGAAGUUGGUGUAUUCAUUAAACAAGCUUUUAACAGGAGGAGAAGGUUUCCUUUAUAAUUUAAUAAUUAAUACAACCUUCAAUAACAAAAAAGUCAUAAAAUAAGGACGAUGAUUCUUGCUCACUUGGAUAAGAUAUAUAUAUAUAUAUAUAUAUAUAUAUAUAUAACCUAUGAUGUGGUAAGCAAGGAAUCAAUUAUGUAUUUCUUGUAUCUGAAAAAAUGAAUAAUCCUUUAACGAAGGUUAUCAUCAAUUGCAGGUUUCUAGUUUGGCUGCUUAGUUUGAGGACUACGAAUAUUACAAUAUCAUAAUUAAAGGAAAGAAUAUAGGCGGUAGUCUUUGCCUGAUCUACUUUCUUCUUUUUAAUUAACCACUUGAAAGGAAAGAAUAUUGUAUACGCAGCACACUAUAAUACUCUAAUUACCAAUUCUUUAUCUUAUAAUAUAAGUUCAUAGUGAUUAAUUUGUCCUUCUUCAGCAAAAAACAAAUCCCAUUUCAGCACAUCUGCAAGAGCCCUCAUUUCUCUUUGCUCCAGCCAAUUAAUAGCAGAAUCAUCACAGACACCUUGAGCUCCGUCGAAUCAUCAUAGACAAUUGGUGACUAGUGGGAGCAUUACAAGGAAGGUACGACGAGUACAAACUGAUAGAUUUGUUUAUAUGAUUCGGCUGUAGUUUUUAUAUAUGGUUAAAUUAUGACAAUAAUCAAGAGAUAAUCAUGUACCUCAUUAGUUUCAUAAAUGUACAUACUAAUUUAUUCCCCUGCUUGCCAGAAUCACACAUGUAGAAUAAGAUAAAUUUUAAGAUUUAAACUUUUCAAUUCAUUAAAAAUCUAGUGGGAUAUUAAUCGGUAAAACCACUUAGGGUAGUACAAGAGGUUUGUGAUGCUAGCCAAUUUAUGUGAGUGGAGAAAGAAUUAGGUUUUUUUAAUAAAAAAUAAUAAUCAUAUUAAUAAAAAGACAUAAAUUUCAAGGUUUAAAACCUUACAAUUCAUUAGAAGCAAGAGGGGGAUCCUAAAAACUUUGAAUGUAACGUAUCGGCAGUGGAAUGAAUUUUUUAUUUUUUAUUUUUUGGUUGAGACUAUUUACACACUCCUGGGCUUUGAACACAUAUUAGGGUGAGGGUAUUUUAGUAUUUCACUCACUUCUCAAUAAAAUGUUUUGAGGUGAUGCUACCACUAAACUACACAUUGAACCCAUUUACUUAACAAACACACUUCUAAAAUUUAAAAUAUACAAUUUUAUUUUACAACUCCAUUAAUACCUAAAAUACCCUUAUUAAGUUAAAUUAUCACGAUUUCUCUUAUCAUUUUCUUUUCCCAUCAUUUCUCCGUUUCUUCGCUCUUUUCUUCUUCAUUCCUGGACCUUUACCCAUAACUUUUUUAUUCCAAAUUCUUAAACUUUUUAUUUUAUUUUUUAAUAGCUAUUUUUCCCCUUGAUAUUUCAUGCGCUUGGAACAACACCCCUAAAAAAUUAAAUAAACAAACAAUAAAUUUAAAUAAACAACUGAUAUUAAAAUUGCUUAUAAAUUUAUAAUAAAUAAAAAAUUUCAAGUAAUUGCAACAGUUCUGCUUUUUUUUUUUUUCAUUUUAUUACAUGGAAGAAAGCUUACUAACUGAGAAGAGAUCAAGAUAAUUCAUUGUCCAAUUCAAAGAAUUCAGAAAUGAUGAAAUUAGAUGGUGGAAGUCAAGAGGAAUUUUACCAACAAUAAGCUUUUAUCCAAAUGCAUUAAAAAUUCAUUGAAACUUCUUUCCGCUAACAAAAGCGUAAUGACAUAGAAAAAGUGAAUACAGUACAUUGAAUAAUGAAAAAUAUGGGAGAAUGGUAGUAAUUUUUUAUUUAAUUUAAUUAUAUAGUCUUGUCUAUUAUAGUAACUUUCUAUGUGGACAUUUUAGUAACAAAAAUUUUUAUUAAAUAUUGAAUUUAAUGAGUAUUUUGUUGGGUUUGAACAGUCCCACCCAAAAUUUAAUUACAAAAUUUUCUUUAAUUAAAUUAAUAUCUUAGACAAAUAUUACAUCCAUUUCUCUCCCUAAAGUUUUUUUUUUCACAAUUUUUUUCUCUUUUCCUCUCUCUCUCUCCCCGCAGUUGUCCUCUAGUCCUUUGUGGUUCUUAUAUUUUGAAGUUUCUAGUGGAGUAAAACCUCUUUUAAAAUUUCUUAUAAAAAAAAAUUAAAAAAUGAAAGUCUCUUUUAAAAUUUGCCUUCCCCUUACCCUCGCGCUACUAUUAUACGUAAAUGCUCUCGAUGAAACUUUAGCAAUUGGGUUUCUAUUAAGUAUUUUAAUCUCGAAAAAAGAGAAGAUCACAAAACAAAUAUCAAUAGAUCACCAAUUUAGUUAUGCAGGUGGUAAUUAAUUAAAAUAAAAGACGUAGUGCUUCGUUUUGAAGUUGUUAUGAUAAAGAAAGGAGAAAAUAGAGCAAGCCGCUGCAACUGCAACAGUGGAGGAUUUGUAACAAAACUAUUACAGAGAUAAGAUUUAAUUGAUAAAAGAAAGAUUUAAUAGAAAGUAGUUAGAGAAACAACUAAUAAAAAUUAAUGAUAUUUAUUAUGGGUAUAUUAGGAAUAUUUGUGGCCUCACCUCUCAUCUUAUAAUAAAUUUUUAUGUUACUACAAUAACUCCAAUAUAGUUUAAUAUUAAGGACAACGUAAUGAAAUAAUUGUUAUUCUCAUAUCCAUUAAAGAUAUAUCGUUAUCUUAUAGAUGCGAGAAUGCUCCAAUGCUCAAGUAAAAUUUUUAGUGAAACACAUAAGAAUUCUACGUGUAGAGAGAACUUCGUCAGGGUAUUUAAGUUGUAUGUAAUGCUCUUUGCUAGUGUACCACGUUUAAUAUUUGAAUCAUGACACGUGGCGUUGCAAGUAGUGGCUUUAUUUCAGGUCUUCGUAGGUGCUCCGGACAUAUGUUCGCUCCGGAUCUAGUAUUAGGUCAUCAUGUGCUUUUUUUAGUGAUCCACGUGAUUCCUUUUAUCCUUACACCAGAGCAUUUCUUGUUGAAUAACAAUGUCGAAUGCUUGUUUAUCAAGGACACGUGUCUUGUCAUCAGAACAUAGUAAAAACAUAACAUGCUAACCCACGUGCAUUUAUGAAAAAUCAAAUGAGAAUAAUAAAUUAAAAAAGAAAAGGAUAAAAGUACAACAACUAAUUAGUAAUAUUUGAGUUUCUGCUGAUGAAUAUUUAAUUUUAUGGGUGUAAAGAUAGGAAAGAAAAGUAGGUUUAAUGAGGACUAUUUUAGUAUUAAAAAAGUAUUCAAAAUAAAUUUUAUUUUAAAAAUUUUAUUCAAUAAGGUAUAGAGAUCAUUCCAAAUUUAUUUUAGGUGCAAACUCGUCCGUUUGACGUAAUAUUGUGUCUUAUAAUAAGACUAGCAAUAGUCAAAUUAGCUUAUUAAGAUAAGAUCUGUUAAAUUUAAUAUUUUUAAAAAAUUAUCAUCCCAUCAUAAAACACACUGCUCUACUAUUCGGUAGAGCAUGAGUGGUUGGCGCAGACCAUGGAUUGCACAAUUAUUUCUAACAUUUGAAUCCCCAAACCCUCCUAACAAUGCCACCAGUAGGGAUGGCCCAUAUUUUUCUAAGCUCGGCCCUAAGCCCAUGUUAUCCACGCAUUUUUAAUUAUUAUUUUAGAUAUUACUGAAUUUGCAAUGAGUUAAUAAUCAAUAAGUUGUUAUAAUCAACAAUAAAUUAAAAAAUGACUAUUUUAAAAUAAAAUAAUAAAUAAAAAAUGAAGCAAAUAAAAGUUUACAUAUUUAAUUUCUUAGUACUAAAUUCUCUAAUUUAAACAUUCUCUUAGUUAAUUAAGAUAUAAGAGAGAGUUUAGUGUCACAAUUUUAGAUUUUUUUAAUCACUAUUGAUUGAAUUAGGGAUUUAAGCUUUCUUUUUUUAAUUAUUUUUUUAUAUUUUGUAUUAAAAAAAUAGAGGACUUAACAUGUCCCGGACCUUUUUUUUUUUAAAGAAACCCUCAUGUAAAGGACUGGGCCUAAGCCCGCUGGGUCUGGGCCGGACCCUUUGAGGCCCAAGGCUAGCCACCAGUCUCUUUUGUCAAUCAUUGUUAAUGAACUAGCCUAGUUGAAUACUUUUAAAAAUUGAUUGGUCGUAAUUGCCAAUUUCCAAAUACAACAAAUUUUUAUAGGUGUAUUGGUAGACUGAACGAUAGCUAACAACAUGUGACAUAAUUAACUUACUUCCGAAGGAAUUUUUUUUUAUUUAAAGAUACAGUGGAUGAACAUAGAAAUCUUGUGCCAACUUUUGAAAUUCGUCAAUAAUGUAUGGUGGAUCGAUAGGGGCUCAAAUCUCAAAUUGAGAAAGUAAUUUUGAAAAAGAGAAAAUUACUUAAGUUACUGAUUAAUUCCUAUUAUGUCUGUUUAAAGUAGUUGGUUGAAUUUAUAAAAGUAGCCUUAUAAACUCAUAGACAUAUAGAAUUUAAACUUUAACAUUGAGAAAUAUAAAAGUAAACACUUUAAUUAAAAAAUAAAAAUCCCCAAUAAUGCAUAUAGCUAGUUUUAUUAUUAUUUAAUUUAGCCCAAUUAAAUUUAUUAAAGUAAACUCUAGAAAUUCAUUAACCCAUAAAUUUUAAUUUUUAUAUUUUGUCGUUGCGUAAUUUAAAGUCACUGCAAUAAUUUCAAUGAUCCUUCAACUUUCCUAACAUUGAUGUUCAAUUGUAUUGAUUAUAUGCAUUAUCACAAUCAGACAUAAAUUUAAAGCUACCCAUAGAUUAUGUAUAUUAAGCAAAAUUUAGAUUUUUAUCCUCACUAACAAUUGAGAGAUAUCUAUUCUAAGAGAAGGUUUUUGGUGUUCUUGGAAACGUUACUCCUUAUUCAUUUAAUACUUGUCACACGUGUAUUCACAUUAUCAUGAUUGAUUGAAAUAUAUACAUGAUAAAGAUUAAUGAAUAAAAAAGAAACAGUGCUUUAGGAGAUAACACACAAUAAUUUUUCCUACUCCAUCCAGUGGGAAUAUCUACCUCCAUCUAAUUGUAUAUAAUAGGAGGAGGAAUUGUUGAGUCCCCACUUGGGACUCAAGCCAUUGGUCUAUUAACACCCGUUUGUGUUAAAAUUUUGGUUGAAUUUAUAGAAUACUAUAAAUGGUAAAAAAUGCAACCAAAUAAUAUUUCGUGACUCUGUCUUUUCAGUUUUAGGAACAAUGGUGGAAUCAUUUUUGCCGCUUGAAAAACUUACGGAAAAAUUAGGAUCCCGUGCUUUCCAAGAACUUUUAGCACUCUACUGUGUCAAAAAUGACGCAGAAAAGCUAAAGGAGACCUUAACCACUGUCAAAAGUGUGGUUUUAGAUGCUGAGGAAAAGCAAGUCCAUAGCCACCAGUUAAGAGAUUGGCUGGAAAAGCUUAAGGAUGCUUGUUAUGAUGCAGAAGAUGUGUUGGAUGAAUUUGAGGUGGAAGAUCUACGAAGGCAAGUCAUGACGCAAAGAAGCAUCGGAAGAAAGUUACGUAACUUUUUUGGAAGCUCAAAUCCGGUAGCUUUUCGUUUUAGAAUGUGUCAACAAAUCAAGAAAGUCAGAGAGAGGUUUGAUGAGAUUGCAAACAUGAUGCAUAAGUUUGAUCUCAUUGCACGACUUGAUGAUCGUAGUUGGCGAAUUGUGCACGAAGAGAGGGAAUCUACUCACUCGUUUGUGCGUCCAUCAGAUAUUAUUGGAAGAGAUAAAGACAGAGAAAAAAUUAUUGAAGCUUUGAUGCAAACAAGUUCUGGCGAAAGUGAAACUGUAUCUGUUAUUCCUAUUGUGGGAAUUGGAGGUCUGGGCAAAACUGCUCUUGCACAGUUGGUGUUCAAUGACCAAAGGGUAGAAGAGCAAUUUGAGUUGAAAAUCUGGAUAUGUGUUUCUGAGGAUUUUGGUGAGAGACAAAUUAUGACAAAGAUUAUCAAGUCGAUAACUGGUCAAAACCAAGGUGACUUGGAUAUAGAGCAAUUGCAACGAAUCUUGCGAGUUUAUUUGAAUGGUAAGAGAUAUUUACUUGUUAUGGAUGAUGUAUGGAACGAAGAUCCCAAAGUAUGGGAUAAAUUGAAAAGCUUAUUGUCGGGGGGUGCUAAGGGAAGCAAAAUUCUGGUAACCACACGUAGCAAUAAGGUUGCUUCAAUCAUGGGCACGAGGGGAGGCACUACUGGCUACAACUUACAAGGUCUACCAUUCGAGGAUUGCUUGUCUUUGUUUAUAAAAUGUGCAUUUAAAGAAGAGCGAGAUAAACAUUCAAACCUUGUAAAAAUCGGGGAAGAAAUUGUGAAAAAGUGUGGAGGAAUUCCUCUGGCAGUCAGAACACUAGGAAGUCUAUUAUAUUGCUCAACAGAUGAACAUGAUUGGGAAUAUGUGAGGGAUAACGAGAUAUGGAAGUUAGAGCAAAAGGCAAAUGACAUUUUACCUGUUCUGAGGUUCAGUUAUGAUCAACUACCGCCUCGCCUGAAACAAUGUGUUGCUUAUUGCUGUAUCUUUCCAAAGGAUUAUCAAUUUUCAAGUGUUUAUUUGGUUCAAUUUUGGAUGGCUCAAGGACUUCUCCAUCCACUUAAUGAAAAUGAUGAACUAGAUGACAUUGGCAUGCGGUCCUUGAAGCAACUAUGUUCAAGAUCUUUCUUCCACGAUUUGGUACGAGGAUUUGAGAUGUUCACUUUCAAAAUGCACGACCUCAUCCAUGAUCUUGCACAGCUAGUGGCCAAAGGUGAAUUCCUAAUAGUGAACUCUGACUGUCAAUCUAUUCCCAAAAGAGUCCGCCAUUUGUCAUUUGUGGGUGCUAAUGCAUCAAGAAAAGAUUUUUCAAGCUUUUUAUCUGAUUUAGGUCGUGUGAGAACCAUUUUCUUUUCAAUUAAUGAUGAGAAGGUAAGCCAAUCAUUUGUUAGAUCAUGCAUCUCAAAGUCACAGUUCCUGAGAGUGCUAAAUUUAAGUGGCUCUGCUAUUGAGGCUUUGCCAAGAGAGAUAGGUAAUUUGAAGCAUAUGAGAUAUCUUGACCUAUCAAGAAAUUAUAAAAUCAAGAAACUUCCAAAUGCCAUUUGCGAGCUGCAAAGUUUACAAACACUGAAUCUUGAAGAAUGUCUGGAGCUAGAAGAGUUGCCUAAAGAUAUAAGGUACCUUGUUAGUCUCAGAGUGUUUGAGGUAACCACAAAGCAGAAGUCUUUGCAGGAGAGUGGAAUAGGGUGCUUGGUUUCUCUUCGUUGUUUGAUAAUCUCUCAUUGCAGGAAUUUGGAAUAUUUGUUCGACGAUAUAGAUCAACUAAGUGUCCUUCGAUCAUUAUUAAUUGCUGAUUGUCCCCGUCUAAUCUCAUUGCCACCUGCCAUGAAAUACCUCAGCUCAUUGGAGACUCUAAUGUUUGGUGUGUGUGAAAGCCUUAGUCUUAAUUUGAGCAUGCAAUUGGAAGGGGAAGGAAGUCAUCAAGCUCGCAAUACCACAAGGCCUCACCUUCGGAAACUUCUCAUUGCCGGAGUAACACCGUUAUUGGAAUUGCCACAAUGGCUUCUUCAAGUUUCUGCUAGAACUUUACAAAACUUAUUUAUUGCAAAUUGUCCCAACUUCAUGGCACUACCAGAGUCACUGAGAAAUUUCGAAGCACUUGAGGGUCUUGUCAUUGGGAAUUGUCCAAAAUUGUCAUCGUUGCCGGAGGAUAUGCUUCACUUGAAAACAUUGAGGAUUAAAGGCUGUCCUGCACUGAGUGAUAGAUGCAAACUGCUAACAGGUGAAGAUUGGCACAAGAUUUCCCAUGUCGCUCACAUUAAGCUUGAUGACGAGAUAAUUAAAUCAAGUGAUAUUUAGGUAUGGAUUAAUCUCUCCUUUGUUUUUCCUCUUUUCAUUCGAGUUUUUACUUUUGAAUUUCUCAUCUAGCUAUACCGUUUAUAGUUUGAUGUUUUGUUCUGUUUACCGAACAGAAACUUGUUGAAUGUUAAUUAGUUAGUUAGUUCAAAUUUGUACUAAUUUCUUUUCUUCUAAUAAAUGAUUAGUUUGUUAAUACAAACUCCAGCAUAUUAUUUGGAAAACCGAACCAUUCUUGGGGUUAUUUAUAUCUGUUUCUAUAUCCAAACGGUUCAGGAAUUUUCAGAACGGAAGUUAUAAUGGGAUUUUCUUAAUUAGCCAGUUAUCUUCGUAUGGAACCUUAUUCACAUAAAAAAAGAGCUUCUGAAAUUUCAAUUUUUGUUAAUAUUUUAACUCGCGCCGAAGCAUCUAACAAUUUGUCCUCUAUUUUCUCUUCUUUUCUUUUCUUUUUCCCCAAAUAUUGCAGCUUUCUUCGGAGAGGUUCAGGGAAGCUAUAGAGACAAUGAAAUUAUUACUGUAAUGUUGUUCGGAACAGAGGUUCAACGGUUUUAAUGUUGUGUUUAAAUUUGCAAGUAUUAUAUAUUCAUUACUUAUGAUAAGUACAUCGAGUGAUGUAUAUAUGCGUGCUUGUAUGACCAUGACUGAUGACCUUAAAUAUGUAUGUGCCUGUGUUAUCAUGACUGAUAACCUUAAAUAUAAUACCAAUAAUGUUGUAGAAUUUCUGAAAUUCUCAUGACGAACAAUUUAUGUAAUUUAUAGUCUGUUCUUUCUCCUCCCUCGGCAGUCAGUAAUAUAAUUUGCAUUGCCUGCGUUGCUUAGCCCUACAUAAUUUGCAGAUAUAUAUAUAUAUUUUUUUGAAGAGUAUUGAUGUGUUGUAUUUUGUGCUUUGUGAUUGAUGACUUACAUUUUCCCAGGAAAAAAAGGGGAAACGGAUAGGCUUCUUGAAUUUAUCCAGUUAGUUUUUUGAAUGGUAACCUUUUAGGAUAUGACUCGCAUGUUAAUUAGUAGCAAUUGGCCUGCUACUAAUUAGAUAUUGAAUUUUGGCCUUGAGGUGAAAUUAGUGAGCAUGUUUCUUCAGGAUCUUUUUUUUUUUUAUAGGACACUUGAAGAAGAAAAUUCAUGUUUUUGCGAUGCUUCUUUCUCAAUACAAAAUGACUAAUUAGAAAGAAUACUUAUUAUAAUAGAACCUAGAAUUUGUAUGUAUCUUAGGAUGAAAAUUCUGUACAAUAAAAAGUCUUAAAGUGUUGUCGAUCGACACUAUCACCUUAUCAUAUUACCAUUCAAUUUUUCAUUUUUAUCUAAUUAAAAUGAAAAAUUAAAGUUGAUACGAGAAAAUUACAGAAGAUUGGAACUUGAAGGGCAAUGUUAAUUUUGAAACGGCACCAUUUAAGCUCCAACUACUCUAUAUAUCAGCUGAGACAGAGAGAGAUGGUUUCAGCAUGCAAGCAUGUAUGUUGAGAGAAACGGAUGAAAUCACUAAAUUGUUGGGGGUAGAGGAGGCGGGAGAAGAGAUGGUUUCCAUUUCGGCCCUAGCUUUCCUUCAUUUGGUUGACAAAAGUUCAUCAGAAUUCAAACUCCGUUACAUCGUUACGGGUCUUUUGUUUAUUUAUUUUCAAUGUCUUAUUAUGUUUUUAAUUAUGAGCUCAUGAGUUGAGUACUUGAGUUUGAGUCUAGUGAGUCCAGGAUCGUUAAGUUGGACCAAGACUCGUGGGAACAAUUAAUUUUUCUCCAUUUCUUUGAGAUUUGAUCAAUAAAUUAGUUUCAGUUAUACUAAUUAUUCAAUUAUUUUAAAUUAAACCAACUUGUGUUGAGAGGCUAAAGUUCCUUUAUUAACCUUAAACUCUUAGCUUAAAAUUCCCUUUAUCAUAGAGUUCAACGAAAAUAAAGGAUGUUUGAUCCUGAACAAGAUGUCUAUUGUUUGCAGCUGAUUUUGGGUCAAUGAAUAAAAAACCAUAAAACCAACCCAAGAGCAAUAAAUUUAUAUUUUUGUCGGGGAGCGGGGUACCUCGCUUGUUUAGACUUUUUGUGGAGCAAAGAAGGAUUGAGAUGACGGAGGAUAUGGAGGGGGUCUGACUUUAGGUGCGGAGGGCUGGUGAAACUCGCCUUAAACCUGCGAAACAACAAAAAACGAGGUCAGAGGUGGAGCUGGGGGUGGCCGGCGACCACACUCCGACGCUCAAGUCAGAGUUGGGUUAUCUCAGGUUAGAGAGCUUGCAAGCUCUCGGUAAUGGAGAUUUUGAAGUUGAAGAAACUCUAGUUCUUUCUGGUGAGUCUGUUCCCCCCUUGAUAAAAAUCAAACCUGAGUAUUUAUAUGGUGUACCCCGGUCGCCGUGCCACCUGGCGCUAUUUUAGUGGCGUUCCUUGCUGUAAUGUCAAGAAUAUUCUUAUUUUUAUGCGUAUGGCGGCUUAGACGUUUCAAAAAUAUGAGUGGAGAGCAAGUUUGUGGCGUAUUCACGUGCUGGGCGUAGUGGAGUGGUCCCGCGUACCUCUGCAAUUCCGUUGUAAUUUUGCAGGCGUAGCAGGAAAAGCUGGUGGUCCCAACUGUCACAAUAUCACACUUUUAGCGGAUUCGCUGGCGUGACAGGCGCCUGUCUCCUCUUUUGCGGCACGAGAUUUCCUUAUUUUUUGACACGUAUCAAACCGAUCUUUUUGAGAUUCGGGGCCCACAUAUCCCUCCACAUAUUUACGAACACUUUUGUAUCCUUUCAUGGUGUACCCGAGGUACCCGAGAUAAAUUAAUCUCUUAUCGACACGUGGCGCUUCAUCAUUGGCAUCAUAUUUCCUUCCCAAACAUCUAUUAUAGUCUUCUUAUAUUGUCUGUUCAAUAUCAUUUUUACGCCUUUAUUUUACUUUUGAGCUGUAACAUUGAGUCACAUUCUUUUUGCUGUUAUUAUUUCGAUUAGUGACUGGUACAGUGGUAUUUGAACUGCAUAGUAUGUCAAACUUUCGCUCUAUAUGCCUUAGAAACUCUGUACAUCACUAAUUUCCUAGCACAGGCCUUGUUGACUGUCAAAGAUUUGAAGCAUAUUUCUGGAUUGAAGGCUUUUCUGUAGUCGAUUUGAUGAUAAGCACAUUUAUUAUCUCCAAUAUUUUAAGCAGUAAUUUGUAACUAGUAUUUUAAACACGUCAAGAGCCGCUACAAUCAUAGAGCUUGGAGCCCAUCAGGCCAUCACAGCGGCGAGAGUACAAAUGAGUUCGUGGGUCUACUCACUAAUGGACUAAAGCCUAUUCACAAGAAUUCCAAGAACGGCUCAUCGCCACACGUCCCUGGGGUUUGUACGUGCGGCCGUCCACUUCAUGUUCAUCUUUUAUGUACAGAGACUGGACACGUGCUAGCAUCUUAAGAACGUCGUCACGACAAGAGCCGUUCGUUUCCACAGCCAUCAAAACAAGUUGGCUAAGGAAGGCGACUAGUCAAUAAAUCAACGGUCGGUGAGCGGCAGAGCCAAUGGGUCCGCCUACCUUGCAACACUUGCAUUGUACCCCAAACUUUGUCCUUUUCUGAUUCAGCCAAUAAAUUUGAUGACUAAAGUGUUCAACGGAUGAGAUGUGUUCAAUUGAUUAUUAACACCUAAAUCUCUAUUGUUUAUUAUAAUGUUAUAAAAACUAAAUUUUUUUAAAUAUUUGUUUAUAUAACUCUUACUAUUUUAAAUUUUUUAAAGUUUGAUCUAUUGACCUAACUUAAUUAUAAAAAUAAUUGAUGGUGUAAAGAUAAUAAUAUAAUAUCACAUAAAAUUUUUUAAAACACGUGAAAAUUGAUAAAUGUAAACAAUAUUUCUUUUGUUAUAUAAUCUAUAUUUAAUAUAGAAUAAAUAAACUGAAUAUGUAUUAAGAAUAUAGGUUAUUAACCUUGCAAUACUUUAGAAAAAUAUAAAAUAAAAAAGGUAAAAUUUCAAAAUAAGAAACAUGUAAAAAGUGUUAGGUUGUAAAAUUUUAUCAUUUUAAUAUUGCAAAACUUUACUUUUUUUUAAUUAAAUUUUUGUUUCUAACAUUAGUUGACAUGCUAGUUUAUUUAUACAUACAAUGUGUUAAUGUACCUAUAAAAUAUCAAUAUUACUCUUGAAAUUUAAGGGAGCCAUUUUAAUUUUUUAAAAUUUUAAAUGUAGCCCAACAAAGUUAUAGAAAGAUAAAUAAAGAAUAAUAUAAAAAGAAGUUAUUUUUUAAAGAAUAUUUCAAAAGAAUUCGAGAUUUAUGUUUCUUGAGAAUUGUCCUUUUUUUUAGAUAUUUGAGCUUAUGAAUCUUUUUGUAAUGAUAAUUUAUUAUUUAUUCUUGAUUAAAAAUAAUUGAAUAGUAAAUUUAUUGGUUUCUGAAUACUCUUUUAAAUGUAGAGCAGCAACUUAAUUUUUAUUAUGUCAGCCUAAAUUUUUUUAUGAUAGCUAAUCAACUAUCUCAAAAGACUUUGCCACCAUUAUGUUUACUUUUUCUAUAUCUUCUAGACCAUCAUCGCUCUAAGAACUAAGGAUUCGUUAGGCAUACUGUACUAUAUUAUAUUAUAUUACAUUAUUUAAUAUAGGUGUAUUGUAUUAUGUUAUAUUGCAUUAGCAGUAAAUUAUAAUAAUAUAGUACAACAUUUGGUAAUUGGUAUUACAUUGUAUUGCAUUAAUUUUAAAUUAAGAUUAAGCUACCAUUUUUUUAAUUUAUUAUUAAUUAUAUUAAAUUAUUAUUUUUAUAUAAAUAUAAUAUGAUAUAAUAAAAUAAUAUUAUACUAUAAUUUAUUUUUAUAUUUUUAUUUUUAUUAUAAAAAUAAAAAUAUAAUAAAAAUAUAUUUAAUGCUCAAUUAAGGCAAAAUAAUAAUAAUAAUAACAAUAGUAUUAUUUAAAACGAAAAAAUCUAUAAAGUUUAAUGAUGAUGAUGAUGAUGAUGAUGACAUUAAUAAUAACAUAAUAAUUAAAAUAAUAAAAUUAAUAAAUUUUAAUAAUAUUUAUAUUAAUAAGAUAAUAAUUAAAACAAUAAAGUUAAUAUAUAGUAAUGACUUAAUUAAAGUAAUCAUAAUAAUUAAAAUAAUAAAAUUAAUAAAUUUUCAUAAUAAUAAUAAUAAUAAUUAAUGACAGUAAUAAAAAUAAAAUAAUAAAUUAACAAAUUUUAAUGAAAACAACAAUAUUAAUAAGAUUAAUAGUGAUGAUGUUUAUGAUAGUAAUAAUAUAUAACAACAAUUAAAAUAAUAAAUUUCAAUAAUAAUAAUAUUAUUAUUAUUAAUAUAAUAAUAAUGAAAUUAAUAAAUAAUACUAAUAAUAACAGUUAAAAGUUUUUUUAAAAGCCAUUUUAUUAAAAAAGGAUUUAUGUAUAAAACUUUGUAACUUCUAGUACUUAUUCUAUUUUUUCAUAGAAUAUAAGAUAGUGCAGUGUAAUUAAUUCAAAAAGACUAAUGUUGCGUUUACUUUUUGGAUUGGAGUGGGAAUCCUGAGGAGUGGGAAUCCUUGGAUUAGGAGUGUGGAGUGGGAGUGUGAGUAGGGUGUUUACUUAGACUAAAUGAAAGUAUGGAUUGUCAAUUAGAAUCCCAAUUAUUUGUUUACUUUGUCUUGGAUUGGGAGUAAAUUAUUUUAAAUUACAAUUUUAUCCUUAUGUACAGAAUUAUAAUUUGUAAUUAAAAAAUUAAUAAAAAAUAUAUUUGGAAAAUAAAAUAAAUAUUUUAUUAUAUUUAUAAAUUAAUAAUAAUUACUAAUAUUCUUAAUUAUGUAAAUCAUAAUUUUUUAUUAAUUUUAAUUUAAAUUAUGUGAAUAAAAAUUAUUAAUAAUAGCAACACAAAUGAAAUAUUAUUAUUGAUAAUAUAGUACAAAAUUAAUAUUUUUUAGAAUAAAAUAUUUAUUAUUAUUAAUUAAAUAAAUAAUUAAUAUUUAUUAAAAUUAAUGUUUAAUAUUAUUAAUUUAAAUAUAAUAUUUAUUUAUUUUUAUUUUAUUAAAUUUAAUAAAAUAAAUAUGAUAUAAUUAUUAUUUUUAAUAAAUAUGAUAUUAUUUAUUUUAUGAAAUAUUAUUUAUUUAUUUUAUUAAAUUUUAUUUAUUUAUUUUAAUUUUAUAAGGAUAAAAUGGGAAGAGGGAGGAGUGGAUUCCCACUCCCACCUCCCCCAAUGGGAGUAGGAAUCCCACUCCCCACUCCAAAUUUGGGUGGGACCCACGGAUUCCCACUCCCACUCCCCUUUUUUUUGAGGUAAGUAAACACUGGAGUGGGAGGAAUCCACACUCCACACUCCCACUCCAAAAAGUAAACACUGCCUAAAUUCAGUGGUAUGCUGCAACCGUUGCAACAUAAUUUCAUCCCACUUUUAACAACUAUAAAAAAUUUUCAACGAUAAAAUAGGAGGCUAAGGAAACAAUAAAAAAUGUGCAGAAAAGUUGUUAAUAAAGAGGAAAAACGAAAGCUCCAUCUCCAACAAUGCCGCGUACAGCGUGGACCGACUUUUGCUGGUCGGAUAAGAAAAAUAAGAACCGUGUUCGGUAACACAGAUUGUGGCACGUGGUGUGCGUCUAUUGGGCCUGAGUUGUGGUGGACCCAUAUGGGCCAUGAGUGUUUAAAAUCCAAUAAUAUAUCCGCCAGGACUCAGCUUUCGUCUUAAGAUAUAAAAAACGCGGACAGCUGUUCACCUUGUUCAACGCGGUUACUUUCAUCAGCAUCGUCGUCAUUAUCAUACUAAACAAAAGCUUACCCCACCUGCGGUCAAUCCUUACCCACUACCGAAACUACCCUUGUCUCAACAUUGUUUUUGUCGCCUACUAAACUCUAAAGCAGGGCAAUUUUGGAAUGGAAUUAAGCUACAGCAGAUGAUUAACGCGACCGCAUUAGCUACAAUAAAGUAGGUUUAAUUUUGGUUGGUGAAUAGUCGAUCCAACCCUAGUUCUUAGAGAUCACUACAAACUGACUCCCUAGAUACACUAAAAAAAGUCCCAUUUCAGCACAUAUACAAGAGUCGAGAGCCCUCAUUUUUCUUUGCUUCAGCCAUUUUAUAGCAGUGUCAUCGCAAACACCUUGAGCUCUAUCGAAUCAUCGAAGACAAUUUGUGAUUAGCGGGAGAAUUACAAGAAAGGUACAACUACUUCAAAUUGAUAGAUCUGUUUAUAUGAUUCAGCGAUAGUUUUAUAUAUGGUUAGGUUAUGACAAUAAUCAAGAGUUAAUCAUGUACAUCAUCAGUUACAUAAAUGCACAUACUAAUUUAUUCCUCUACUUGCCAGAAUCAUACAUGUAAAAUGAGAUGAAUUUUAAUGUUUAAAACUUUGCAAUUCAUUAAAAUUUUAGUGGGAUAUUAAUUGGUAAAAUCACUCAGUGUUAGUAUAAGAAGUUUGUGAAUUGUGAUUCCAUCAGUUUAUGUGGGUGGAGCGAGAAUUAUUUUUUUAAAAAAUAAUUAAUAAUAAUAUUAAUAAAAAGACAUAAAUUUCAAGGUUUAAACUUUACAAUUCAUUAAAAUCUAGAGAGAUAUAUUGCGUAAAAAAUUUGUAUCUAAUUAAUUUUCAGGUAGGGGGAUAUAUAUAUAUAUAUAUAUAUAUUAAUUUGGAUAAUAUUUAGAUACCUCCCCUGAGGUUUGACAUAUUUUUAGAUAGAUGGCGAAGAUGUGUUUAUUAGUGAAAACCCCCCUGCCGUUAGUUACUUUUCUGCUUGACUGUAAGUUCACAUUUAAAAUACAAUAUUGCCCUUGACAGCUUUUGGCAUGCCUGACAUGCCUCAAACCUUAAUUAAAGCAUCUGCUCCAAAAUCACUGCUACAAAAUUUGAUGAAACUACCCUCACGAUGUAUGUUAUUUACAACUGUAUCAAACAAAUAAUACGAUAAUUUUCCCUUAAUUUAACAUUUAAAAUUUACAAAUAAAACCAAAUAAAAAGAAAAAAAAAAUGAACGUUAAAUUGUUGCCUUCCAAAGUCUUUCAAUAGAAUGCUAGAAUGCUGGAUGAAUCAGACAAAAGCAAACUAAUGAAAACUAACAGCAACUAAUAAGUUCUAAACUGCAGUGGUGUGCACUUAAUAGUAGCCACACUACAAACAAACAAAUUAAGAUUCAAUGCCACCAAAGUAAUCGAUAGCUUAUUUUAAUCCAUCACGGGUCUAGUGUCGUAACUACAGUACUAACAAACAUAAUAUUCCACUCAAAUAUGAAUUCAAUUGAAUUUAGCACAACUGAGAAGUGAAGCUUAAAUUGAAUAUAAAACCAAAUAUUGCAUUUCAGUAUCAAAUAAUUUAAACAGUAUUAGUUAUAGCUAGAAUUAACAACAUUCACAAAGCAGGCAAUAUAGCUGCACACAAUAGGCUCCUCGUAACUCAUGUCCAAUCUGCAGGAAUAGCAAGCUUGCGAUAUUACUUGUCUUUGGCAACAUGAAUUUUUCAUAUACAAAAAAAUCAAAAUAAGAAAAAACUCAAACCUAUGCAUAGUCUGAGAAGAAGAUGAUAUAUCCGCCUUUCUAUUUUUACCUAUCAAAAUGUGUUAUAUCAUCAAAUCAAUCCCUUCAAAUAUCAGUUGGUAGGAUUAGAUUAUGCUUCAAUGCUUUGGUUUUCAAUGCACCUUUAGUUGAUCUGCUUCAUUGCUGGAUGCUAUGGGUCAAGUAGUUUCAUUCUUGGGUAAGCUAUCUUGGUUUCUAGAAGCAAAAAAAAAAAAAAAACAAUAAAAAUGAAAAACGAUAUUAAACAUAAACCAAUGGUUACUGACUACAUUUAAAAAAAAAAAAAACUAAUGUGGAUUGGAAUUAAAAUCUCAGCAUUAUCACAGGCGUUGGACUAGCACAGGACAAUCUUCGCAGCUAUACCACUUUCAAGAUGCUGGGAACUACAACUUACACAUCCAUCAACACUUGUGACACAAUCCACAACAUAUAUAAGCAAUGAAUGAAGUUAUGCUCUACAGAGCAAUGUAUGAUGCACAAAAUCUUUAUCAAAUGCAGGCAAAAAAAAAAAUAAAUAGAAAACUCCACAAAAAUUUCAAGAUCAGGCAAAUUAAAAGAAAAUCAAAUAGAAAACUCCACAUCAUGGUGUCUUAGGUGAAAGGCAGCUUAAAAUUGUUUGCAUGCAUCAUCAUCAACUAACAUUAAACCCACUUUAACUCAGCAAAGUUCGGCAUCAAUUAGUCUACUUGUGUAACAAUUUUGAAGGUAGUGCUCUUCAAAUACAUCAGGAGCAUCACUAGACAUAAAAAUAAAACUAAGAAUAAAAAAUUCAAUUUUUUAACCCAUCUAAGUUGAAAUCAAGCUCUGAUUUAGCACCAACAUCAAACCCAUUUAAUCCAUCGUCAUUUAAGCUUCAGGAAAAUCACGGCUUAAUAAACUCAUCAACUUCUUUUUCUUUCCCCUUCCCCCUCCCCAAAAAAAAAAAAAAUUAGGCUUCUUCACUGUAAAUAAACCCACAACAAAUACUCGGACACGACCAACUAUCAAAAAAUGCAUUCUACAUUUUUAGUAAAGGCAGCAUAAAUGCACUCCAAAUGAACCCAAACAAUACUUGAAUUCGACACUGACCUGUUAUAAUUGGCUUCCCCAAAACAAUCUGAAGGUAUAAGACGCUGACAAAACUCAGAUCAAAACACAAGGUGCGGUGACUAUUGUUCCUUUACUUCACGUAAAGAUUGAGCACUGGACUGGUUUGCAUAUGACAAAGGUUUCGAUUUGAUUCUAACACAGAGCUAUACACGGAACUUGAAGAAAGAGAAAUAGGAAGCUUGAAAGAAAGAAAAAAAUAUAUAUUGAAAAUCCAACCAGGGGCAUUUUUGUCUUUCUAAUGUCAACUAACAGUCAAGCACGAAAUUAACUGACGGCAGGGAGUUUUUCACUAAUAAACGAAUCUUCGCCAUCUAAGUGCAACAAGCCAAAAACUGAGGGGAGGAAACUAAAAAUUACCCAUAUUAAUUUUCUAGUCUGAGAUUUUACAGUGCGGGAAAGUCCGGUAAAAUUUUAAAACCAUACGGUUUUGAAGACUUACAGUUUUAAGUUUUUUAAACCGUGCGGUUUUAAAGAUUUCUCAAACUUUUCCACACUUAAAAAUCUUGGACUGGAACACACACACACACACACACACACACACACACACACACACACACACACACACACACACAUAUAUAUAUAUAUAUAUAUAUAUCUAUAUAUAUAUUUUGUGAGGCUAUUUCCACACUUAAAAAUCCUGUAUGCAUUUGCUUGCCCCCAAGGAGCUGAAAGUUCUCAAAUUGUUUGUAGACGUAAUAGUUCUCCUGAUGUCAUUUGGCUUGCUAAUCUUUUUUGCUCGAAAAUUUGCCCAUUGUGUGGUCUUGACAGUGGGUGAAAUUGAUUCGUGGUUUCAGAUGAAGACAGCAGCAGAUGUGUGUGUGCUAUAUGACAUCGAGAAAAAGCAAAAGCCUUAAAUUGUUCAUCAACAUUUUCCAUUUCAGAAGAAUCUGUUUGUGGUUCUCCUGCUCGAGUGCCUACUUUUCAGUGUGCAAGCAUAUAUGUUGAGACCGGCAGAUGAAAUCACUAAACUUUUACAGUUGAUCUGAGGCUCCUCUAAAGAAUGAUUUGGAUUUUGGAAUUAAUUUGGGGAAAGGGAUUUUUUCUGGUAUAUGAGUGUAAGCAUUCCUUCAAUCACGUAGUUUUGUGCCAUUAACAUAAUGGCAAUUCUACAACUGGGAUAAUGAUAAUUUUGUGAUUGGGAACUCUUUACUGGUUUCUCUUUCGCCAUCUGUGUCUAUGAUUAAGGUUGUUUAAAGUGUUAUGGCUUUUAAUCUACAACCAUUGCGAAAUGGACUCACUAGCUGGCAAAUAAUAAAACAUAGUGCUGUCAAAUUUUGUAAGGAUUAUGUAUACACACUCUUUCGUCUUCAAUGCCCUGAAACCGGGUAACUACAUGUAUGAUUUUCAUUCAGAAAAACUGGCGAGAACUAAUGACUUUGCAGAUUAAAAAAUAAGUAGGAUUAUCAGAUUAUGUAGCAUUGUUAUGUAAUGUCUUGUGGUUUUUUUAAGGUUAAAGUUGGUUUGGAAAUUAAUUAAAAGACGAUUUUCAUUCUAUCAUAAGACGAGUUUUUAACAAGAGGAGAAGGUUCCUUUUAUAAUUUACUAAUUUAUACAACCUUUAAUAUUAAAAAAAAAAUUUAUAUAUUAAGGACGAUUAUUCUUGCUCACUUAGUAAGAUAUGUACAUAACAUAGAUGUGGUAAGCAAGGAAUCAAUUAUGUAUUUCUUGUAUCUGAAAAAAUGAAUCAUCCUUUAACGAGGGUUAUCAUCAAUUGCAGGUUUCUAGUUUGGUUGCUUGGUUUGAGGACUAUGAAUAUUACAUUGUCAUAACUAAAGGAAAGAAUAUUGUAUACACAGCACACUAUAAUUACCAAUUCUUUAUCUUAUAAUAUAAGUUCAUAGUGAUUAAUUUGUCCGUCUUCAGCCAAAAAAAAAAAAAAAGUCCCAUUUCAGCACAAAUACAAGAGCCCUCAUUUUUCUUUGCCCCGGUCAUUUUAUAGCAGUGUCAUCACAGACACCCCAAGCUCUGCCGAAUCAUCAUAGACAAUUCGUGAUUGCUGGGAGCAUUACAAGAAAGGUACGACUACUUCAAACUGAUGGAUUUGUUUGUAUGAUUUAGCUAUAGUUUUAACUUUUAACAAUAAACAAGAGACAAUCAUGUACAUCGUUAGUUACAUAAAUGUAGAUACUAAUUUAUUCCUGUACUUGCCAGAUCCAUACGUAUAAAAAUGAGAUAAAUUUUAAGGUUUAAAAAAUUUCAAUUCGUCAAAAAUCUAGUGCCAUAUUAAGCGGUAAAAUCACUUAGGGUUAGUACAAGAAGAGGUUUAUGAUUCCCCGACCCGUUUAUAUGUAGGGGUUGAGAAGGUAUUAGGCAAUAAAGAAUUAGUAAAAAUUAAUAAACAUAUUAUAAAAAGAAAUAAAUUUCAAGAGAGAUCGUAAAAGAUUGUAUUUAACUUAUCGUUAGUGGAAUGGAAUCUUUUUGGAGAGGCUAUAUUUGGCUUGGAACAUAUAUUAGAACAAGGUUAUUUGAACCCACCGCACUCUCCAAAAUCCACUUCUCAAUAAAAAUUUCAUUACAAAAUUUUUCUUAAUUAAAUUACUAUUUUAACCAAAUAUUAUGUUAAUUUAUCUCCCUAAAGCUUUUACUUUUUUCACCCUUUUUUCUUUUUUCCUCUCCGUCUCCCCAAUUUUUUUUUCUAGUCCUGUGUGGUUCUUAUACUUUAAGGCUUCUAUUGGAGUAAAAUCUCUAUUCAAAUUGCUUAUCCAAAAUUUUUUUUUUCUUUUAAAAUUUGCCUUUCCUUUACCCUCGAGUCACUAUUAGAUGUAUAUGCUCGUGAUGAAACUUUAGUAAUUGGAUUUCUAUUAAAUAUUUUAAUUUAAAAAAAUGAGAAGAUCACUAUAAAAAUAUCAAAAGAUCACAAACUUAAUUAUAGCAAUAAUUAAGGGAAUUAAAAUACUUACUAUUUCUGUUUGAACUUAUUAUUAUAAAGAAAGAAAGGGAAAAAAAAAGUCGCUGCAACUGCAUCAAUUGAGGACAUGUUAUGAAAAGUAUCAUAGAAAGUAGUGAGAGAAACAACUAAUGAAAAUUAAUGAUACUGAUUGAGGGUAUAUUGGGAAUAUUUGUGGGUUUUUUGAAUGAAAAAAUGAAAUUUUAAGUUGUGAUAAUGUGUUUAUUAUAUAAAUGGGUUUAUUCAGCAUUACAAUGGGUUUAAAUGGCUUUAUCCUUCAUAUUAUAAUACAUUUUUAUAUUACUAUAAUAGCCGUAAUAUAGAGGAUAAUGUAAUGAAAAUAUUGUUACUCUUAUACCUAUUAAAGAAACAAUAUUAUCUUGUACAGACAAGAACACUCCAGUGCUCAAGUGUAAAAGUUUUUUUUUUUUAUUACAUGAGACUAUUGCUCAAAUUACAACUCAUAUUACAUGAGAAUAUAACUAAUAUUUACAAAUCAGACUAUAACUGGGACCAACAUACAUCAAUGUUAAUGGAGCGCUGCCCAAAUUUUACUCCCACUGGGGUAAGGAAGCAGACUGCCUUCACUCAAAUUUAAUUGAGGAAGAAAAUACCCCCAUAAUGCAUUGUGGGGGUUCGAACUGCUGCUCUCCAAGUUGGAGAGCAACAGCUCACACCACUCGGCCAAAGGCCGAGUGCCUCUCAAGUGUAAAAGUUUUAGUAAAACGUAUAAGAACUCUUCAGUGUAAACAGAAUUUCGUCAAGGUGCUGUAAUAUAAUCUAAUGCUUUUUGGUAGUGUAAACUAUGUGUGCCACGUGUAGUAUUUCAAUCUUCACAAGUGGCAUUGUAAAUAGUGGCUCUUAUUUCAGUUCCUCGUAGGCACUCUAGAGACACACGUUAGCUUCGAAGCUAGUAUUUGGUCAUCAUGUGCUUCUUUUAAUGAAACAUGUGGUUCAUUUUAUCCUUAUACGAGAGCAUUUUGUGCAGAAUAACCAUGUCAAAUGCUCAUUUAUCAAGGACAUGUGUCGUGUUCUCAGAACAUAGUAAAAAUAUGAUACGCUAACCCAUGUACAUUCAUGGAAAAUCAAAUGAAAACAAAGAACUAAAAAAAAGUACAAAGGCUAAUUAAUAAUGUUUGAGUUUGAGAUGAUUAAUAUUUAAUUUUAUGGUUGUAAAGAUAAGAAUAAAAGUAGGUCUAGUGAGGACUAUCCUCAUAUUAUAACACUAUUUAAAAUAACUUUUGUUAUAAAAGAUUUUAUUCAAUUAGGUAUAGAGACCGUUCAAACUAUAUUUUAGGUACAAACUCAUCUAUUUGACAUAAUAGUAUGCCUCAUAAUAGGACUAACAUUGGUCAAAUCAACCUAUUUCGAUAAGAUCCAUCGAAAUUAAUAUUUAAAAGACUUAUCACCUCAUUAUACAAUACACAACUUUGCCAUCUAGUAGAGAAUGAUUGGUUGGCACACCAUAGUUUACAUAAAUAUUUCUAAUAUUUGAAUCAUUUGUUUGGAAAUUUUAAUCCUACCAAGAUCUUGUAAGUAAACAUAUCAAAUAAAUAGUAAAUAGAUAAUAUAUAGAGAAUAAAACCAAUCAUACAACACAAUAAUUUACCAGAGAAAAAUUCCUAUACUGGAGAAAAACCACGGCCGCCAAAGAUGACGAAAGAAAAUCCACUAUGUAAAGAUCAUUACAAUCACUCUAGUAUUUUCUUCACAUACAAAACCCCAAUAACAAAUAAUCUCUCAUUCUAGAAACUGUCUACUUGUAUAGAACUGAUUAUUGCAAACAAGUGAAUCUAACCUUCUUAUAUAUUGUGAUUGUUUCAUAUAAGAGAAGUAUUUAUUUCCUUAUAUAAUUUGUAUUCCUCCUUUAAUAAAUUCUUUGGAAUUACUUAUUCCUUAAACAUGAACCCCCCAAACAAAAAAAUUACUAAAUAAAAAAAUUAUAGGAAAUAUUUUAAUUUAGGAUUUACAAAUCCUCAUUGAAAAAAGAGAUAUGUUUCUUAAAAAUCUCCACUUUGGCGAGUUUUUUAAUUAAACGACAAAAUAUGAUCCGCCAUACAUCUAUGCAACCAUGUCGUCUCCACCUUCUUUAGUCUACCAAAACCACACUGACAUUGGACUAAUGAGAAUCACUCCACCAUGAGUAAAAUCUUGUCCUCUAUCUAGCAGCCAUAAUUUUCUACAUCGAGAAUCAUCAUACUUCACAUUAUCCAGAGUACACAUGUUUGGCAUAGGUUGAUCACAUUUUCGAAAUUACCCACUCUCAUGUUUGGCUUCUUUGAGAGUCCUCAACGAUCAACAUAAAAAGUCCACCACAUACCUUGCAUAAAUACUAAACUACAUGUUGUGUGCACAUCUUGUGGACCCAUUAGCAAUAACACAUCCUCUUCCACGACACACCAAUAGAUGACAUAAUUAGUUUCUCCUUCUAUUAAUUUACAGCUACUUUCCAAAUUUGCUAUAUUCUAACAAUCUCUUUUAAGAUGUUUUGAUUACCUACACUCCUCCAGGGGUUUCUACUAGUGGAAUAGGCCUGACAUUGCUCUUUGCUUUACUUGUACAGACAGAUUGAAUCAAUAUGUUAUUGACUUGAGCUUCCCAAAAGCCAAAAUUAAUUAUUCCAUCAAACUUUUCUAUUUCUAUCUUCAUAGGUUUUGAAAACCUCCUUGUUGACGUAUUUGCUCUACAUUGCAGCCUUAGCUCUAUUAUCACCUGCUAAGAAAUAAUUAAUCUCACCUAAGAUUCGCAAGAAAAAAUAUGAAAUAAAUAGUAAAUAGAAAAUAGGUGGAGAAUAAAGCUAAUAAAAUAAUACAAAAAUUUACAAGAAAAAUUUCUAUAUUGGAGAAAAAUUAUAAUAGCUAAGGACGAUAAGAGAAAAAUUUAUUAUGUAAAUAUUAUUAUAAUUACUCUAGGGUUUUUCUCACACCUAAAACACCAAAAGCACCUAAUUUUAAUAGAACUACUUUUCUCUCACACUGAAAACUAUUUACUUACAGAUCAUUGAUUGUUGAAUUAUGCAAAGAAGUAAACUCAAUCUCUAUAUAUAUAUGUAGUGAUUAUUUCAUAUAGAAGUUGUAUUCCUUUCCUUAUAUGAUUUGUAUUCCACCUUGAAUAAGUUAAGUUCUAAAGAGAAAAUUACUUAUUUCUUAAAUAUGAAUUAUCUUCAAUAAGAAAACUGAAAAGUGUAGAAAAUUCCUAAUUUAAGACUUAAAAAUCUUCUUUGAAAAAAGAGACAUCUCCCAAUAUCCUCAAAUCCUCCUUACAAUGCCACCAAUCUCUUUUGUGACUAGCCCAGUUGAAACUUUUAAUGGAUGGGCUGUAAUUGCGAAUAUCCAAAUACAACAAAUUUCCAUAGGUAUAUUGGUAGAUUGAAUGACAACUAACAAUGGUAGACUCUUGUGCCAACUCAUGGAAUUCAUCAAUAAGGCCUUGGCUGAUCCAUCUCAUGACUGGUAGAGUUCAAACCCCCGCUAAAUAGUAAAAAAAAUAUUUGGAUUAUUAAUUACUCUUUCUUAAGUCUAUUUAAACUUAACUUUGAGAAUUAUGAACGUCUACACUUUAAUUAAAACAAUAAAAGCCCACCCGUUUGUAUUUAAAAUUUUGUUUGAAUUUAUUCACGAGCAACAAGAAUAGUAUAAAUGGAAAAAAAAACCAUCAAAUAAUAUCCCAUGACUAUGUUUCUUCAAUUUCAGGAGCAAUGGUGGAAUCAUAUUUUCCGAUUGAAAAACUUUUGGAAAAAUUAGGGAGCUUUGCUUAUGAAGAACUUUUAUUGUUCUGCGGUGUCAAAAAUGACUUACAAAAGUUAAAGGAGACGUUAAUCACUGUCAAAAGUGUGGUUUUGGAUGCUGAGGAAAAGCAAAUCCAUAAUCACCGGUUAAGCGAUUGGCUGGGAAAGCUUAAGGAUGCUUGUUAUGAUGCAGAAGAUGUGUUGGAUGAAUUUGACGUGGAAGAUCUACGAAGGCAAGUCAUGAAGCAAAGAAGCAUCGGAAGAAAGUUUCGUAACUUUUUUGGAAGCUCAAAUCCGAUAGCUUUUUGUUUUAGAAUGGGUCAUCAAAUCAAGAAAAUGCGAGAGAGGUUUGAUGAGAUUGCAAAAUUGAGGGGUGAGUUUAAUCUCAUUGAACGACUUGACGAUCAUCGGCGAGUUGUGCACAAAGAAAGGGAACCCACUCACUCGUUUGUGGUUUCAUCAGAUAUUAUUGGAAGAGAUAAAGAUAAAGAAAAGAUUAUUGAACUAUUGAUGCAAACAAGUGACGGCAAAAGUGAAACUGUGUCUGUGGUUCCUAUUGUGGGACUUGGAGGUUUGGGCAAGACUGCACAUGCAAAAUUGGUGUACAAUGAUCAAAGGGUAGAAGAGCAUUUUGAGUUGAAAAUCUGGAUAUGUGUUUCUGAGGAUUUUGAUGAGAGACAAAUUAUGCCAAAGAUUAUCAAGUCAAUAACUAGUCAAAACCAAGGUGACUUGGAUACAGACCAAUUGCAACGAAUCUUGCGAGAUUCUUUGAAAGGUAAGAGAUACUUGCUUGUUAUGGAUGAUGUAUGGAACGAAGAUCCUGAAGCAUGGCGUAAAUUGAAAAGCUUAUUAUUGGGAGGUGCUAACGGAAGCAAAAUUUUGGUAACCACACGUAGCAGGAAGGUUGCUUCAAUCAUGGGUACGAGGGGAGGUACUACUGGCUACAACUUACAAGUUCUACCAUUCGAGGAUUGCUUGUCGUUGUUUAUGAAAUGUGCAUUUAAAGAAGAGCAAGAUAAACAUCCGAACCUCAUAAAAAUCGGGGAAGAAAUUGUGGGAAAAUGUGGUGGAAUUCCUCUGGCAGUCAAAACACUUGGAAGUCUACUAUAUGACUCAACGGAUGAACAUUUUUGGGAAUAUGUGAGGGAUAAUGAGAUAUGGCAGUUAGAACAAAAGGAAAGUGGCAUUUUACCUGCUCUGAGGUUAAGCUACGAUCAAUUGCCGCCUCGCCUGAAACAAUGUGUUGCUUAUUGUUGUAGGAUUAUCAAUUUGAUAGUCAGUCUUUAGUUCAAUUUUGGAUGGCUCAUGGUCUUCUCCAAUCGCAUAAUAAGAAAGAAGAUUUAGAAGAUAUUGGUAUGCAGUACUUGAAGGAAUUAGUAUCAAGAUCUUUCUUCCAAGAUUUGACUUUUGGGAUGUUUGGACGGGAGGUGUUGUCUUUCAAAAUGCACGACCUUAUGCAUGAUCUUGCCCUGCUAGUGGCCAAAGAUGAAUUCCUAGUAGUGAACUCUGAUUGUCAAUUUAUUCCCAAAAGUGUCCGUCAUUUGUCAUUUGCUGCUGCUAAUGCAUCAAGAAAUAACUUUUCAAGCCUUUUAUCUGAUCUAGGUCGUGUGAGAACCAUUUUCUUUUCAACUGAUGAUGAUGAGAAGACAAGCCAAUCAUUUGUUGAAUCAUGCAUCUCAAAGUCGCAGUUCCUGAGAAUGCUUAAUUUAAGUGAAUCUGCUAUUGAGGUUUGUCCUAGGAAGAUAGGAAAUUUGAAGCACUUGAGAUAUCUUGAUCUAUCGAGAAAUUCUAAAAUCAAGAAACUUACAAAAUCCAUUUGCGAGCUUCAGAGUUUACAAAUACUAGAUCUUGAAGGAUGUCUGGAGCUAGAAGAGUUGCCUAAAGACAUAAAAUACCUUGUUAGUCUCAGAGCAUUUGGACUAACCACUAAAGAGAAGUCUUUGCAAGAGAGUGGAACAAGGAGCUUGGGUUCUCUUCGUUGUUUGACAAUUUUUGGUUGCAGGGAUUUAAAACAUUUGUUCGAGGAGAUAGAUCAAUUAAGUGUCCUUCGAACAUUAUCAAUUAAUAGUUGUCCUCGUCUAAUCUCAUUGCCCCCUGCCAUCAAAUAUCUCAGCUCAUUAGAGACUCUUAUUUUGUGGACGUGUGAAAGCCUUGAUCUUAAUCUGAACAUGGAAAUGGAAGGUGAAGGAAGUAAUCAUGAUCGCAAAAACACAAGGCCUCACCUUCGGAGGGUUGUCAUCGGGGAAAUAACACAGUUAUUAGAACUGCCACAAUGGCUUCUUCAAGGUUCUACUGAUACUUUACAGAACUUGGUAAUUGUGUUAGUUGUCCCAACUUCAUGGCACUACCAGGGUGCCCAAAAUUGUCAUCAUUGCCGGAGGAUAUGCAUCACGUCACAACUCUGAAAUCAUUGGCCAUUGGAGGAUGUCCUGCACUGAGUGAAGGAUGCAAACCGCCAACCAACAGGUGAAGAUUGGCCCAAGAUUGCACAUAUCCCUCAGAUUGGUCUUGAUGGCGAGAUAAUUAAGUCAAGUGAUAAUUAGGUAUGGAUUAAUAUCUCUUCCUUUUAAUUUCCUCUUUUCAUGCAGCUUUCUAGUUUUUAAUUUCUCAUACAGCUAUGUAAAAUAACAGAGAUAGAUUGUUUGGUUCAAUGGAAAAUCUCUGAGAAAAUGAAACUAUGAAAUUUCAGUAAAUUCAUUUCUUAUUAUUUUGUUUACAAGCUCACGUUUAUAUACUAAGUUCUCACACGUGAUUUCUACUUGUAAUUAACAAACUCUACAUAACAAACUAUGAGCUGUAUAACGACAUUUUAACCAACUCAGCUGAACUUCUAUAUUUCACUAAUAACUUUUUGCUGACGUAGCUUCACUGAACUGCUUGAAUAGUGAGCUUCCUUCACAAGCUAUACCAUUUAUAGUUUAAUUUUUUGUUAUGUUUACCAACAAAAACUUCGCUUUGAAUGUUAGGUAGUUAGUUCAAAUUUGUACUAAUUUAUUUUCUUCUAAUACAUAAUUAGUUCGUCAGUACAAAUACAAAAAUAAUAUUUUGGAAACCACACUUUUCAAAAUAUUAUUUGACUCAGGGCUUUACCUACACAUGACAUUUCAAAAUAUUAUUUAACAUUCGGAGCAACAGUGUUGUUCCUUAAUUAGUUUAGGUGAUUCAAACAGUUCAGUAUUUUUCAGAAUGGAACUUAUAAUGAGAUUUUUUUAAUUACCUAGUUAUCUUCACAUGGAACCUUAUUCACACAAAAGAAGAGCUUCUGAAAUUCCAAUCUUUGUUAAUACCUUAACUUGCACCGAAACAUCUAACAACUUUUCCUCUCAUUUUUCUCCCAAAAUAUUGCAGCUUUCUUCGGAGAGGUUCAGCCAAACUGUGGAGACAGUGAAAAUAUUACUCUAACGUGGUCCAGAACAGAGGUUUAACGGUUUCCAUGUUCUGUUUAAAGUUACAAGUAUUAUAUAUUCAUUGCCUGUGGUUCCUAGUCCAACUUGGCAUGUAUAUAUGUGUAUAUAUACAUGAGGUUUAACGGUUUCCAUGUAUAUAUGUGUGUGCCUGUGUGAUCAUUACUGAUAGCCUUAAUCAUUAUGUUUUAAUACCAAUAGUAAUGUUUCGGAAUUUCUCAAAUUCUCAUAAUGUACAAUCCAUGUUUAUGGUCUGUUUUUCCUCCUCCCUCAGUAGUCAGCAAUAUAAUUUGCAUUGAUUGCAUUUUUUAGCUCUCCACAAUUUGCAGAUUUUUAUGAAGAACAUUGAUGUGUUGGGUAAUGGAAUGAUGGCGUCUGUAUUUUGUGCUUUGUGAUUGAUGACUUACAUUUGCCCAGGAAGAAAUGAAAACAAAUCGGCUUCUUGAUUUUAGGUAUUUGUUUUUUUGAAUGGUAACCUUUUUAUGAUAUGAGACGCAUAUAAAUCAGAAGCAGUUGGCAAACUAAUUAGAUAUUGCAUCGUGGCCUUUUUUCAUAUAGGACACUUGUAACAAGAAAAUUCAUGUUUUUGCAGUGCUUCUUUCUCAAUACGAAAUUACUAAUUCGAAAGAAUAUUUAUUAUAAUAGAACCAGAGACAAAGUGAAAAUUCUAUGUAUUUUAGGAUGAAAAUUCUGUACAUAUAUAUAUGUUAUUAACUGAUUGUGGCUGACUCUGAACAAGGAGCAAAAAAUGGUAUGCAACUCUGUUUUGAUUAAAAUUCAAUGACUUUCUUCGUAUUAAUCAAAUUAAUUAAUUAUUUUGGUAAAAAGAAUUUGCCAAUUGUGUGGUGGUCUUGAGACCCUUGACGGUGGUGAAAUUGAUUCAUGGUUUCAAAUGAAGACAGCAGCAGAUGCAUGCGUGCCGUAUGAGAUCGAGGGAAAAGUCAAGAGUUUGAUUUCUCUAUUUUACACGUUGAUACCCAAUUUUACACUUCCAACAAAUUUGAAUGAAACAAUCCUGAUGUUCACUUUCUUCUUCGAUUUCAUUUUACGACUUAACAAAAUCUCUCAAAAUCGUUGUUGAUCCAUUCCGAACUUGCGACAGCUUUCAUUCUUAUCGCAAUUAAUUAUUCAAGCAAUGGAGAUGCUCCUGAUGAGGAACAAGGCAGCGGCCAUGGGGUAAAUGGGAAGCUGAAAUUAGAGACCCUUACAAGGGCGUCCGCGUUUGGCUCGGCACACUUUCUCACAGCCGAAGAAGUCGCAAGAGUUCAUGCUGCGUCGCCAAGAGUAUCCGUGGCAACAAGGCCUAGCUCAACUUUGCUCAUCGGCCGCCAAUAACUUCACCUCCAGCUAAGAAACGCUUCAUGCAGCAGAGUUUCGAAUAUUACUUUUUCUUUGGUUUUCAUUGAUUUCUUUUCCCUUAAAUUGUGAACAUGGCUUUUAUUGUUGAAAAUUGCUUCUUUGGCUCUGCUCUUAUCUACGAGGUUGUGCUUUCCCUUGGAUGCUCUUUAAUUAACAGCUUUCUUAAUAACAACUGAAGUGAAAAGUCAUUUUAUCAAAUGAUUUGAUGAAAUUUCAAGUACUUUCAUCUUGGUUUUUGCAGUUAAUAGGAAUAGUUUGGUGUUGGGAUGUGGUAUAUGUAUCAAGUUCUCGUUGCAGGUGAACAUUACUGGUUUAGUGGGCGAUCAUUUACUAUCAUUGCAUGCAUUAUCAGUUUUUUUUUCGGUGUAUUAAACUAUCUAGUAUCCAAAAAUUAUAUUGGGUCUCAACUAAUCUAGAUAAGAGUUGAGUAGGACCAUUAGGGUGGCAAAGCUCUCCCAACAGUAUUUAACGCAGCUGCAUUCUUAAGCCUCGAACCGAGAACUUUGGUUAAACUAGAGCAACCCCAUACCAGUUGAUCUACGCGCUUGUUGCCUUGUUGGUAUUAUUAGUUUAUUUUAUUGAACUAUCCCAAAUAAGUAAAGAAUCCUCACUUCCCUCUGUUUUCUUUAGAUCCUAGUGGUGUUCAGCAUGCAUCAACUAGUGUUCAUGCAUGCAGUGGCGGACCCACACGUGGGCUAGACUGGGCUGUAGCUCGGUCUAGUCCAGAAAAACUCAUCGAUGCCCCAUACUUUUUAAUUAAUUUAGUAAAACAAUAGAAUUUUUAUUUACUUUUCAUAUAUGUCCCUAACUCAAAACCUUUAUAUUUCCAUCAAUUUAGUAUAAUAAUAUAGUUUUUAUUUUAUAUUCAAAUAUGUCCCCAACUCAAUUACCCUUACAUUUUCAUCAAUUUUAUAUAACAAUAAAGUUUUUAUUUUAUUUAUAAAUAUGUCCCUAAUUCAAUUAUAUUUAUUUUCAAUUGAAAUUAGUGACUUAUUUUAUAAAAUGAUUAAAUUAUAUAUUUAUUGUAUAUAUUUAUAUAUACAUGAGGUUUAACGGUUUCCAUGUAUAUAUGUGUGUGCCUGUGUGAUCAUUACUGAUAGCCUUAAUCAUUAUGUUUUAAUACCAAUAGUAAUGUUUCGGAAUUUCUCAAAUUCUCAUAAUGUACAAUCCAUGUUUAUGGUCUGUUUUUCCUCCUCCCUCAGUAGUCAGCAAUAUAAUUUGCAUUGAUUGCAUUUUUUAGCUCUCCACAAUUUGCAGAUUUUUAUGAAGAACAUUGAUGUGUUGGGUAAUGGAAUGAUGGCGUCUGUAUUUUGUGCUUUGUGAUUGAUGACUUACAUUUGCCCAGGAAGAAAUGAAAACAAAUCGGCUUCUUGAUUUUAGGUAUUUGUUUUUUUGAAUGGUAACCUUUUUAUGAUAUGAGACGCAUAUAAAUCAGAAGCAGUUGGCAAACUAAUUAGAUAUUGCAUCGUGGCCUUUUUUCAUAUAGGACACUUGUAACAAGAAAAUUCAUGUUUUUGCAGUGCUUCUUUCUCAAUACGAAAUUACUAAUUCGAAAGAAUAUUUAUUAUAAUAGAACCAGAGACAAAGUGAAAAUUCUAUGUAUUUUAGGAUGAAAAUUCUGUACAUAUAUAUAUGUUAUUAACUGAUUGUGGCUGACUCUGAACAAGGAGCAAAAAAUGGUAUGCAACUCUGUUUUGAUUAAAAUUCAAUGACUUUCUUCGUAUUAAUCAAAUUAAUUAAUUAUUUUGGUAAAAAGAAUUUGCCAAUUGUGUGGUGGUCUUGAGACCCUUGACGGUGGUGAAAUUGAUUCAUGGUUUCAAAUGAAGACAGCAGCAGAUGCAUGCGUGCCGUAUGAGAUCGAGGGAAAAGUCAAGAGUUUGAUUUCUCUAUUUUACACGUUGAUACCCAAUUUUACACUUCCAACAAAUUUGAAUGAAACAAUCCUGAUGUUCACUUUCUUCUUCGAUUUCAUUUUACGACUUAACAAAAUCUCUCAAAAUCGUUGUUGAUCCAUUCCGAACUUGCGACAGCUUUCAUUCUUAUCGCAAUUAAUUAUUCAAGCAAUGGAGAUGCUCCUGAUGAGGAACAAGGCAGCGGCCAUGGGGUAAAUGGGAAGCUGAAAUUAGAGACCCUUACAAGGGCGUCCGCGUUUGGCUCGGCACACUUUCUCACAGCCGAAGAAGUCGCAAGAGUUCAUGCUGCGUCGCCAAGAGUAUCCGUGGCAACAAGGCCUAGCUCAACUUUGCUCAUCGGCCGCCAAUAACUUCACCUCCAGCUAAGAAACGCUUCAUGCAGCAGAGUUUCGAAUAUUACUUUUUCUUUGGUUUUCAUUGAUUUCUUUUCCCUUAAAUUGUGAACAUGGCUUUUAUUGUUGAAAAUUGCUUCUUUGGCUCUGCUCUUAUCUACGAGGUUGUGCUUUCCCUUGGAUGCUCUUUAAUUAACAGCUUUCUUAAUAACAACUGAAGUGAAAAGUCAUUUUAUCAAAUGAUUUGAUGAAAUUUCAAGUACUUUCAUCUUGGUUUUUGCAGUUAAUAGGAAUAGUUUGGUGUUGGGAUGUGGUAUAUGUAUCAAGUUCUCGUUGCAGGUGAACAUUACUGGUUUAGUGGGCGAUCAUUUACUAUCAUUGCAUGCAUUAUCAGUUUUUUUUUCGGUGUAUUAAACUAUCUAGUAUCCAAAAAUUAUAUUGGGUCUCAACUAAUCUAGAUAAGAGUUGAGUAGGACCAUUAGGGUGGCAAAGCUCUCCCAACAGUAUUUAACGCAGCUGCAUUCUUAAGCCUCGAACCGAGAACUUUGGUUAAACUAGAGCAACCCCAUACCAGUUGAUCUACGCGCUUGUUGCCUUGUUGGUAUUAUUAGUUUAUUUUAUUGAACUAUCCCAAAUAAGUAAAGAAUCCUCACUUCCCUCUGUUUUCUUUAGAUCCUAGUGGUGUUCAGCAUGCAUCAACUAGUGUUCAUGCAUGCAGUGGCGGACCCACACGUGGGCUAGACUGGGCUGUAGCUCGGUCUAGUCCAGAAAAACUCAUCGAUGCCCCAUACUUUUUAAUUAAUUUAGUAAAACAAUAGAAUUUUUAUUUACUUUUCAUAUAUGUCCCUAACUCAAAACCUUUAUAUUUCCAUCAAUUUAGUAUAAUAAUAUAGUUUUUAUUUUAUAUUCAAAUAUGUCCCCAACUCAAUUACCCUUACAUUUUCAUCAAUUUUAUAUAACAAUAAAGUUUUUAUUUUAUUUAUAAAUAUGUCCCUAAUUCAAUUAUAUUUAUUUUCAAUUGAAAUUAGUGACUUAUUUUAUAAAAUGAUUAAAUUAUAUAUUUAUUGUAUAUAUUUAUAUAUACAUGAGGUUUAACGGUUUCCAUGUAUAUAUGUGUGUGCCUGUGUGAUCAUUACUGAUAGCCUUAAUCAUUAUGUUUUAAUACCAAUAGUAAUGUUUCGGAAUUUCUCAAAUUCUCAUAAUGUACAAUCCAUGUUUAUGGUCUGUUUUUCCUCCUCCCUCAGUAGUCAGCAAUAUAAUUUGCAUUGAUUGCAUUUUUUAGCUCUCCACAAUUUGCAGAUUUUUAUGAAGAACAUUGAUGUGUUGGGUAAUGGAAUGAUGGCGUCUGUAUUUUGUGCUUUGUGAUUGAUGACUUACAUUUGCCCAGGAAGAAAUGAAAACAAAUCGGCUUCUUGAUUUUAGGUAUUUGUUUUUUUGAAUGGUAACCUUUUUAUGAUAUGAGACGCAUAUAAAUCAGAAGCAGUUGGCAAACUAAUUAGAUAUUGCAUCGUGGCCUUUUUUCAUAUAGGACACUUGUAACAAGAAAAUUCAUGUUUUUGCAGUGCUUCUUUCUCAAUACGAAAUUACUAAUUCGAAAGAAUAUUUAUUAUAAUAGAACCAGAGACAAAGUGAAAAUUCUAUGUAUUUUAGGAUGAAAAUUCUGUACAUAUAUAUAUGUUAUUAACUGAUUGUGGCUGACUCUGAACAAGGAGCAAAAAAUGGUAUGCAACUCUGUUUUGAUUAAAAUUCAAUGACUUUCUUCGUAUUAAUCAAAUUAAUUAAUUAUUUUGGUAAAAAGAAUUUGCCAAUUGUGUGGUGGUCUUGAGACCCUUGACGGUGGUGAAAUUGAUUCAUGGUUUCAAAUGAAGACAGCAGCAGAUGCAUGCGUGCCGUAUGAGAUCGAGGGAAAAGUCAAGAGUUUGAUUUCUCUAUUUUACACGUUGAUACCCAAUUUUACACUUCCAACAAAUUUGAAUGAAACAAUCCUGAUGUUCACUUUCUUCUUCGAUUUCAUUUUACGACUUAACAAAAUCUCUCAAAAUCGUUGUUGAUCCAUUCCGAACUUGCGACAGCUUUCAUUCUUAUCGCAAUUAAUUAUUCAAGCAAUGGAGAUGCUCCUGAUGAGGAACAAGGCAGCGGCCAUGGGGUAAAUGGGAAGCUGAAAUUAGAGACCCUUACAAGGGCGUCCGCGUUUGGCUCGGCACACUUUCUCACAGCCGAAGAAGUCGCAAGAGUUCAUGCUGCGUCGCCAAGAGUAUCCGUGGCAACAAGGCCUAGCUCAACUUUGCUCAUCGGCCGCCAAUAACUUCACCUCCAGCUAAGAAACGCUUCAUGCAGCAGAGUUUCGAAUAUUACUUUUUCUUUGGUUUUCAUUGAUUUCUUUUCCCUUAAAUUGUGAACAUGGCUUUUAUUGUUGAAAAUUGCUUCUUUGGCUCUGCUCUUAUCUACGAGGUUGUGCUUUCCCUUGGAUGCUCUUUAAUUAACAGCUUUCUUAAUAACAACUGAAGUGAAAAGUCAUUUUAUCAAAUGAUUUGAUGAAAUUUCAAGUACUUUCAUCUUGGUUUUUGCAGUUAAUAGGAAUAGUUUGGUGUUGGGAUGUGGUAUAUGUAUCAAGUUCUCGUUGCAGGUGAACAUUACUGGUUUAGUGGGCGAUCAUUUACUAUCAUUGCAUGCAUUAUCAGUUUUUUUUUCGGUGUAUUAAACUAUCUAGUAUCCAAAAAUUAUAUUGGGUCUCAACUAAUCUAGAUAAGAGUUGAGUAGGACCAUUAGGGUGGCAAAGCUCUCCCAACAGUAUUUAACGCAGCUGCAUUCUUAAGCCUCGAACCGAGAACUUUGGUUAAACUAGAGCAACCCCAUACCAGUUGAUCUACGCGCUUGUUGCCUUGUUGGUAUUAUUAGUUUAUUUUAUUGAACUAUCCCAAAUAAGUAAAGAAUCCUCACUUCCCUCUGUUUUCUUUAGAUCCUAGUGGUGUUCAGCAUGCAUCAACUAGUGUUCAUGCAUGCAGUGGCGGACCCACACGUGGGCUAGACUGGGCUGUAGCUCGGUCUAGUCCAGAAAAACUCAUCGAUGCCCCAUACUUUUUAAUUAAUUUAGUAAAACAAUAGAAUUUUUAUUUACUUUUCAUAUAUGUCCCUAACUCAAAACCUUUAUAUUUCCAUCAAUUUAGUAUAAUAAUAUAGUUUUUAUUUUAUAUUCAAAUAUGUCCCCAACUCAAUUACCCUUACAUUUUCAUCAAUUUUAUAUAACAAUAAAGUUUUUAUUUUAUUUAUAAAUAUGUCCCUAAUUCAAUUAUAUUUAUUUUCAAUUGAAAUUAGUGACUUAUUUUAUAAAAUGAUUAAAUUAUAUAUUUAUUGUAUAUAUUUAUAUAUACAUGAGGUUUAACGGUUUCCAUGUAUAUAUGUGUGUGCCUGUGUGAUCAUUACUGAUAGCCUUAAUCAUUAUGUUUUAAUACCAAUAGUAAUGUUUCGGAAUUUCUCAAAUUCUCAUAAUGUACAAUCCAUGUUUAUGGUCUGUUUUUCCUCCUCCCUCAGUAGUCAGCAAUAUAAUUUGCAUUGAUUGCAUUUUUUAGCUCUCCACAAUUUGCAGAUUUUUAUGAAGAACAUUGAUGUGUUGGGUAAUGGAAUGAUGGCGUCUGUAUUUUGUGCUUUGUGAUUGAUGACUUACAUUUGCCCAGGAAGAAAUGAAAACAAAUCGGCUUCUUGAUUUUAGGUAUUUGUUUUUUUGAAUGGUAACCUUUUUAUGAUAUGAGACGCAUAUAAAUCAGAAGCAGUUGGCAAACUAAUUAGAUAUUGCAUCGUGGCCUUUUUUCAUAUAGGACACUUGUAACAAGAAAAUUCAUGUUUUUGCAGUGCUUCUUUCUCAAUACGAAAUUACUAAUUCGAAAGAAUAUUUAUUAUAAUAGAACCAGAGACAAAGUGAAAAUUCUAUGUAUUUUAGGAUGAAAAUUCUGUACAUAUAUAUAUGUUAUUAACUGAUUGUGGCUGACUCUGAACAAGGAGCAAAAAAUGGUAUGCAACUCUGUUUUGAUUAAAAUUCAAUGACUUUCUUCGUAUUAAUCAAAUUAAUUAAUUAUUUUGGUAAAAAGAAUUUGCCAAUUGUGUGGUGGUCUUGAGACCCUUGACGGUGGUGAAAUUGAUUCAUGGUUUCAAAUGAAGACAGCAGCAGAUGCAUGCGUGCCGUAUGAGAUCGAGGGAAAAGUCAAGAGUUUGAUUUCUCUAUUUUACACGUUGAUACCCAAUUUUACACUUCCAACAAAUUUGAAUGAAACAAUCCUGAUGUUCACUUUCUUCUUCGAUUUCAUUUUACGACUUAACAAAAUCUCUCAAAAUCGUUGUUGAUCCAUUCCGAACUUGCGACAGCUUUCAUUCUUAUCGCAAUUAAUUAUUCAAGCAAUGGAGAUGCUCCUGAUGAGGAACAAGGCAGCGGCCAUGGGGUAAAUGGGAAGCUGAAAUUAGAGACCCUUACAAGGGCGUCCGCGUUUGGCUCGGCACACUUUCUCACAGCCGAAGAAGUCGCAAGAGUUCAUGCUGCGUCGCCAAGAGUAUCCGUGGCAACAAGGCCUAGCUCAACUUUGCUCAUCGGCCGCCAAUAACUUCACCUCCAGCUAAGAAACGCUUCAUGCAGCAGAGUUUCGAAUAUUACUUUUUCUUUGGUUUUCAUUGAUUUCUUUUCCCUUAAAUUGUGAACAUGGCUUUUAUUGUUGAAAAUUGCUUCUUUGGCUCUGCUCUUAUCUACGAGGUUGUGCUUUCCCUUGGAUGCUCUUUAAUUAACAGCUUUCUUAAUAACAACUGAAGUGAAAAGUCAUUUUAUCAAAUGAUUUGAUGAAAUUUCAAGUACUUUCAUCUUGGUUUUUGCAGUUAAUAGGAAUAGUUUGGUGUUGGGAUGUGGUAUAUGUAUCAAGUUCUCGUUGCAGGUGAACAUUACUGGUUUAGUGGGCGAUCAUUUACUAUCAUUGCAUGCAUUAUCAGUUUUUUUUUCGGUGUAUUAAACUAUCUAGUAUCCAAAAAUUAUAUUGGGUCUCAACUAAUCUAGAUAAGAGUUGAGUAGGACCAUUAGGGUGGCAAAGCUCUCCCAACAGUAUUUAACGCAGCUGCAUUCUUAAGCCUCGAACCGAGAACUUUGGUUAAACUAGAGCAACCCCAUACCAGUUGAUCUACGCGCUUGUUGCCUUGUUGGUAUUAUUAGUUUAUUUUAUUGAACUAUCCCAAAUAAGUAAAGAAUCCUCACUUCCCUCUGUUUUCUUUAGAUCCUAGUGGUGUUCAGCAUGCAUCAACUAGUGUUCAUGCAUGCAGUGGCGGACCCACACGUGGGCUAGACUGGGCUGUAGCUCGGUCUAGUCCAGAAAAACUCAUCGAUGCCCCAUACUUUUUAAUUAAUUUAGUAAAACAAUAGAAUUUUUAUUUACUUUUCAUAUAUGUCCCUAACUCAAAACCUUUAUAUUUCCAUCAAUUUAGUAUAAUAAUAUAGUUUUUAUUUUAUAUUCAAAUAUGUCCCCAACUCAAUUACCCUUACAUUUUCAUCAAUUUUAUAUAACAAUAAAGUUUUUAUUUUAUUUAUAAAUAUGUCCCUAAUUCAAUUAUAUUUAUUUUCAAUUGAAAUUAGUGACUUAUUUUAUAAAAUGAUUAAAUUAUAUAUUUAUUGUAUAUAUUUAUAUAUACAUGAGGUUUAACGGUUUCCAUGUAUAUAUGUGUGUGCCUGUGUGAUCAUUACUGAUAGCCUUAAUCAUUAUGUUUUAAUACCAAUAGUAAUGUUUCGGAAUUUCUCAAAUUCUCAUAAUGUACAAUCCAUGUUUAUGGUCUGUUUUUCCUCCUCCCUCAGUAGUCAGCAAUAUAAUUUGCAUUGAUUGCAUUUUUUAGCUCUCCACAAUUUGCAGAUUUUUAUGAAGAACAUUGAUGUGUUGGGUAAUGGAAUGAUGGCGUCUGUAUUUUGUGCUUUGUGAUUGAUGACUUACAUUUGCCCAGGAAGAAAUGAAAACAAAUCGGCUUCUUGAUUUUAGGUAUUUGUUUUUUUGAAUGGUAACCUUUUUAUGAUAUGAGACGCAUAUAAAUCAGAAGCAGUUGGCAAACUAAUUAGAUAUUGCAUCGUGGCCUUUUUUCAUAUAGGACACUUGUAACAAGAAAAUUCAUGUUUUUGCAGUGCUUCUUUCUCAAUACGAAAUUACUAAUUCGAAAGAAUAUUUAUUAUAAUAGAACCAGAGACAAAGUGAAAAUUCUAUGUAUUUUAGGAUGAAAAUUCUGUACAUAUAUAUAUGUUAUUAACUGAUUGUGGCUGACUCUGAACAAGGAGCAAAAAAUGGUAUGCAACUCUGUUUUGAUUAAAAUUCAAUGACUUUCUUCGUAUUAAUCAAAUUAAUUAAUUAUUUUGGUAAAAAGAAUUUGCCAAUUGUGUGGUGGUCUUGAGACCCUUGACGGUGGUGAAAUUGAUUCAUGGUUUCAAAUGAAGACAGCAGCAGAUGCAUGCGUGCCGUAUGAGAUCGAGGGAAAAGUCAAGAGUUUGAUUUCUCUAUUUUACACGUUGAUACCCAAUUUUACACUUCCAACAAAUUUGAAUGAAACAAUCCUGAUGUUCACUUUCUUCUUCGAUUUCAUUUUACGACUUAACAAAAUCUCUCAAAAUCGUUGUUGAUCCAUUCCGAACUUGCGACAGCUUUCAUUCUUAUCGCAAUUAAUUAUUCAAGCAAUGGAGAUGCUCCUGAUGAGGAACAAGGCAGCGGCCAUGGGGUAAAUGGGAAGCUGAAAUUAGAGACCCUUACAAGGGCGUCCGCGUUUGGCUCGGCACACUUUCUCACAGCCGAAGAAGUCGCAAGAGUUCAUGCUGCGUCGCCAAGAGUAUCCGUGGCAACAAGGCCUAGCUCAACUUUGCUCAUCGGCCGCCAAUAACUUCACCUCCAGCUAAGAAACGCUUCAUGCAGCAGAGUUUCGAAUAUUACUUUUUCUUUGGUUUUCAUUGAUUUCUUUUCCCUUAAAUUGUGAACAUGGCUUUUAUUGUUGAAAAUUGCUUCUUUGGCUCUGCUCUUAUCUACGAGGUUGUGCUUUCCCUUGGAUGCUCUUUAAUUAACAGCUUUCUUAAUAACAACUGAAGUGAAAAGUCAUUUUAUCAAAUGAUUUGAUGAAAUUUCAAGUACUUUCAUCUUGGUUUUUGCAGUUAAUAGGAAUAGUUUGGUGUUGGGAUGUGGUAUAUGUAUCAAGUUCUCGUUGCAGGUGAACAUUACUGGUUUAGUGGGCGAUCAUUUACUAUCAUUGCAUGCAUUAUCAGUUUUUUUUUCGGUGUAUUAAACUAUCUAGUAUCCAAAAAUUAUAUUGGGUCUCAACUAAUCUAGAUAAGAGUUGAGUAGGACCAUUAGGGUGGCAAAGCUCUCCCAACAGUAUUUAACGCAGCUGCAUUCUUAAGCCUCGAACCGAGAACUUUGGUUAAACUAGAGCAACCCCAUACCAGUUGAUCUACGCGCUUGUUGCCUUGUUGGUAUUAUUAGUUUAUUUUAUUGAACUAUCCCAAAUAAGUAAAGAAUCCUCACUUCCCUCUGUUUUCUUUAGAUCCUAGUGGUGUUCAGCAUGCAUCAACUAGUGUUCAUGCAUGCAGUGGCGGACCCACACGUGGGCUAGACUGGGCUGUAGCUCGGUCUAGUCCAGAAAAACUCAUCGAUGCCCCAUACUUUUUAAUUAAUUUAGUAAAACAAUAGAAUUUUUAUUUACUUUUCAUAUAUGUCCCUAACUCAAAACCUUUAUAUUUCCAUCAAUUUAGUAUAAUAAUAUAGUUUUUAUUUUAUAUUCAAAUAUGUCCCCAACUCAAUUACCCUUACAUUUUCAUCAAUUUUAUAUAACAAUAAAGUUUUUAUUUUAUUUAUAAAUAUGUCCCUAAUUCAAUUAUAUUUAUUUUCAAUUGAAAUUAGUGACUUAUUUUAUAAAAUGAUUAAAUUAUAUAUUUAUUGAAUAGAUUGAAAACACUAGGGAGCUAAAAUUUUAUUAUUGCUUUAAUUUAUUUUUAAAAAAAAUUCUAAUUGAAAAAAAAAUAUGUCAAUGUAAUAUAACAUCGUCACUAAUAUUAAAAGUACUUACAGAAAUAACAUAUAGUAACAAUUAUCAAUAUUUUCGUAAAAUUUUUAUGUGAAUUUUUAGAUUUUAUUUAUUAGUUUUAUUAAUUAAGAGGACAAGUUAGCAAAUAAAAUUUGAGUAUUUUAAGGAAAUUUUGAUAGAGGAAUCAUCAAUAUCUAGUUUUUUAAAGAGAGCUAGAGUGCCUGACAAAAAAACAACUACACCAAAAUACAUUUUUGCUUAAUUGAAUUUAAUUUAUUAUUGAAACUUUUGACUAAUAAUAUUUUUACAAUUUGAAAUGAUGAAUCAAAUUUAAUUGUUUAAUUUAUUAAGUUUGGUAAUUUAGUACUUCAUUUCAAGUAUAAAAAAUUUUAUUUGUAAUUUUUAAUUGAUUGUAAUUGCAUAUAUUAAGCUAUUUUAAUUUGAAAUUAUUAAUUAAUUUUUCAAUCCUGAUAUAAUUACAUGUUAUCAUAGGUUGCAGUGUCAGAUUUUAUAAUUGAAAAAUAAUAUUUUCAUAUCUGAGCUGCCUUUUGUUUUUUAUUAUUUUUUUAUAGUUAUUUUUGUCUAUAGUACAUAUUUAGAAGGAUAAGGUUCUUGGUGUUCCUUCUUAUUUAAUGUACUUAUUUCUACUUAUAAAUUUUUAUAUUCGCUUUAAAAUAUAAAUUUUAAAAAUUAGCCCGGGAUAAUAUUAAGUCCUGGGUCCGCCCCUGCAUGCAUGUGUUGGUUCAUCAUAGGCAACUUCAGCGCACAUACAACAACCCUCAUUUCUCGUUGCUCCAACCAAUCGAUGGCAGAAUCAUCACAGACAUCUUGGGCUCUGUCGAAUCAUCAUAGACAAUUUGUGAUUGGUGGGAGCAUUACAAGAAAGGUACGACUACUUCAAACUGUUUGAUUUGUUUCUCUGACAAAAGGGUUUUCUCUGUUCUUUAUUUUAUCAGCUGAGAAUAAAUUUUAGAAGUUUACUUUGAUUUCUAGCUUUAUGGCCUCUGUUUGAUGUGUGUAGUAUUUGACUGUAAUGCGAGUAUUGUGUGUUUUCAGCUUUGUAUGUGAUGCGGUAGAUAGUUGGUGUGCUCGUAAAUUCAAUCAAGGUAUGAAGUGAUCUGCUAUCUAUCUUUUGGCAAAUUAAGCGUUGAUGAUUUAUGCUAAUUGAUCUGCUAAAAAUUGUCUUUGUGUGUGAUUGAGUACAUGUUAGUGUGAAUUCUCGUAAUCUUUAUCCAGUCAAAGCAAACUUUCGCCUCUCACAUUGACGGUUAGGCUAGAUGUUUGAUCCUGAAUGAGAUGAUUGAGUUUAUUAUAGCAAUAAUGCUACACAUCCCAAAUUUUUUAUCUCAAAAAGUUAUCUCAAAUGAUGUGUCAUUAAUUGAGUGGUUGAUAAUUCUUUACAAGAUCUAAGUGAAUUAAUUGUAUUAUCUCACCAACCACUCAAUUAAUGACACAUCAUUUGGGAUAACUUUUUGAGAUAAAAAAUUUGGGAUGUGUAGCAUUAUUGUUAUUAUAGUCUUCUUAUAUUGUCGGCUCGAUAUCAUUUUAAAAUAUCUCAUCAACUCCGCUUUUGGAGUUUUAAUCCAUGCCAUUUUACUUUUGAGCUGCAACAUUGAGUCAGAUUCUUUUUGCUGUUAUUAUUUCGAUUUUCGACUGGUACACAACUGCAUAGAAUAAAUAAAUUGAAUAAUAUUUGAACACAUGAAAAAUUGAUAAAUGUAAAUAAUAUUUCUUUUGUUAUAUAAUAUAUAUUUAAUAUAGAAUAAAUAAAUUGAAUAUGUAUUGAGAAUAUAGGUUGUUGACCUUGCAAUAAAAGUAUAAAAUAAAAAAGGUGAAAUUUCAAAAUAAGAAACAUGUAAAAAGUGUUAGGCUGUAAAAUUUUAUUAUUUUAAUAUUACAAAAUUUUACUUUUUUUAUUACAUUUUUAUUUUUAACAUUAGUUGGCACGUUAGUUUAUUUGUACAUACGAUGUGUUAAUUUACCUAUAAAAUGCCAAUAUUACUCUUGAAAUUUAAGGGAACCAUUUUAAUUUUUUAAAAUUUUAAAUGUAGCCAACAAAGUUAUAGAAAGAUAAACAAAGAAUAAUAUAAAAGGAAGUUUUUUUUUUAAGAAUAUUUCAAAAGAAUUUGAGUUUUAUGUUUCUUAAGAAUUAUCCCUUUUUUUAGAUAUUUGAUAUUUGAGCUUGUGAAUCUUUUUGUAAUGAUAAUUUAUUAUUUAUUCUUGAUUAAAAAUAAUUGAAUAGUAAAUUUAUUGGUUUCUAAACACUCUUUUAAAUGUAGGGUAGCUGAUUAACUUUUAUUAUUUCAACCUAAACUUUUUGAUGAUAGUUAAUCAACUAUCGCUAAAGACUCUGCCACGAUUAUGUUUACUUUUCUAUAUCCUUUAGACCAUCAUCACUCAAAGAAUUAAGGGUCCAUUUUGACAUACUAUACUAUAUUAUAUUCAUAUAUUGUAUUGCAUUAUUUAAUAUACGUGUAUUGUAUUAUAUUAUAUUACAUUAGUAGUAAAUUAUAAUAAUAUUGUACAACGUUUGGUAAUUGCUAUUUCAUUGUACUGCAUUAAUUUUAUAUUAAGAUUAAACUAACAUUAUUUAAAUUUAUUAUUAAUUAUAUUAAAUUAUUAUUUUUAUAUUAAUUAUAUAUAUAUAUAUAUAAUAUGAUAUAAUAAAAUAAUAUUAUAGUAUAAUUUAUUUUUAUAUUUUUAUUUAUUAUAAUAAAAAUAAAAUUAUAAUAAAAAUAUAUUUAAUGCUCAAUUAAGGCAAAAGGCAAAAUAAUAAUAAUAACAAUAGUAUUACUUAAAAUGAAAAAAAUCUAUAAAGUUUAAUAAUGAUGAUGAUGAUGAUGUUGGAGACAUUAAUAAUAAUAUAAUAAUUAAAAUAAUAAAAUUAAUAAAUUUUCAUAAUAAUAAUAAUUAAUGACAAUAAUAAUAAUAAAUAAUAAAUUAACAAAUUUUAAUGAUAACAAUAAUAUUAAUAGUGAUGACGUUUAUGAUAGUAAUAAAAUAUAACAACAAUUAGAAUAAUAAAAAUAAUAAAUUUUAAUAAUAAUAAUAUUAUUAUUAUAAUAUAAUAAUAAUGAAAUUAAUAAAUAAUACUAAUAAUAACAGUUAAAAGUUUUUUCAAAAGCCAUUUUGUUAAAAAAAGACUUAUAUAUAAAAUUUUGUAACUUAUAAUGUCUAUUCUAUUUUUUUUAUAAAAUAUAAGAUAAUGUAAUGUAAUUAACUUAAAAAGACAAAAUUCAGUAGUCCGCUGCAACUGUUGCAACAUAAUUUCAUCCCAAUUUUAACAACUAUAGAAAAUUUUCAACGACAAAAUAGGAGGCUAAAGAAACAAUAAAAAAUGUGCAGAAAAGUUGUUAAUAAAGAGGAAAAACGAAAGUUCCGUCACCAACAAUGCCGCGUACAGCGUGGACCGACUUUUGCUGAUCAGACAAGAAAAAUAAGUACCGUGUUCGGUAACACAGGUUGUGCCACGUGGCGUGCGUCUCUUGGGCCUGACUUGUGGUGGACCCAUAUGGGCCACGAGCUGUUGAAAAUCCAAUAAUAUAUCCGCCAGGAGCCCAGGACUCAGCUUUUGUCUGAAGACGGAAAAAACGCGGACAACUGUCCCCCUUCUUCAACGCGGUUACGUCAUUAUCAUAUUAAACACGAGCUUACCCCAUCCGCGAUCAAUCCUUGUCCACUACCGAAACUACCCUUGUCUGAACAUUGGUUUUUUCGCCUACUGGCUACUAAACUCUGAAGCAGGGCAAUUUUGGAAUGGAAUUAAGCUAGAGCAGAUGAUUUACGUGACCGCAGUAGCUACAAUAAAGUAGCUUUAAUUUUAGUUGGUGAUAGUCGAUCUAACCUUAGUUCUUAGUGCAUUAAAAAAAAAAAAAAAAAAAAAAAAAAAAAAAAACCUUGGUUCUUAGAGAUCACUACAAACUGACUGCAUAGAUACACUAAAAAAAGUCCCAUUUCUACACAUAUACAAGAGCCCUCAUUUUUCUUUGCUUCAGCCAUUUUAGAGCAGCGUCAUCACAGACACCUCAAGCUCUGCCGAAUCAUCACAGACAAUUUGUGAUUGGUGGGACUGGGAGCAUUACAAGAAAGGUAUGCUACUUCAAACUGAUAGAGUUGUUUAUAUGAUUGAGCUAUAGUUUUAACUUUUAUAUAUGGUUAAGUUAUAACAGUAAUCAAGAGAUAAUCAUGUUCAUCAUAAGUUGCAUAAAUGUACAUACUAAUUUAUUCCUCUACUUGCCAGAACCAUACAUAUAAAAUGAGAUAAAUUUUAAGGUUUAAUCUUAGGGUUGGCAAUAAGCUCCGGAUUCGCAACAAUCCGGAAGAUCCGGAUCCGGAAAAAUCCGGAUCCGCAUGUUAAAAAAUGCGAAUCCAGAUCUUAAAAAUCACAAUCCGUGCGGAUCCAGAUCCAGAUGUAAGUGCAUCCGAAAAACCGAAUAUCUGGAUCCACAAUUUUUUAUAAUUAAAUUAUUUAUUUAAUUAAAUUUCAAUUGAAAAAUAUAUAAAUUAAAUUAUUUAUUUAAAUGUAUAAGCAUAAUUAACUCUCUAAUCUUCAUUAACUUUAAAAAAUAUUUUAAUAAUAAUAAUAAUAAUAAUAAUAAUAAUAAUAAUAAUUAGAGAAUAUUGUAAUAAAUCGAUUUACCUUACAUUUUUUUUUAUUUUUUUAUGUUUGAUUUAUAUUGUGAAAUUAUUGUUUGUGAAUUUAUGGUGUUGUUGUAUGUUAUUUAUGUUGAAUUGAAGUUAAAUUGUUGAUUCUUAAAUUAUAAUUGAAUUUUAUUUAAUAUUAUUAUGUAAAUUAUUAAAUUUAAAAUUAUAUUUAAAUUUAUUAUUAUGCGGAUCCGGAUAUCUGGAAUAUCCGCCCGCAAUCCAUGUGGAUGUUAUCCGCAUCCGGAUCCGUAUUUUUUUUUUUUUGCGGAUCCGGAUGUCAAAAGUUUAAUCUGGAUCCGCAUGCACCUACAUCCGGAUCCAGAUCCAAAUUUUGCCAUCCCUUUUUAAAACUUUGCAAUUCAUUAAAAAUCUUGUGGGAUAUUAACCGGUAAAACCACUUAGGGAUAGUACAAGAGGUUUAUGAUUUCUCAACCCAUUUAUGUGGGUGGAGAGAGAAUCAAGUGUUUUUUUUAAAUAAAGAAUAAUUAAUAAUUAAUAAUCAAAUUAAUAAAAAUAAAUAAAUUGUAAGGGGGAUCGUAAAAGUUUUGUAUGUAACAUAUUGGUAGUGGAAAGAAAUUUUUUUGGAGAGGACAUUUGGCUUGGAACAUAUAUUACAAUACUCUCUUCAUCCACUUCUCAAUAAAAUAUUUUAUUACAAAAUUUUCCUUAAUUAAAUUAUUGUUUUGGCCAUAUAUUAUGUUCGUUUAUCUCCCUAAAGUUUUUAUUCUUUCACCCCUUUUUCUCUUUUCCUCUGUGUCUCCCCAAUUUUUUUCCAGUCCUAUGGGGUUCUUAUUAAAGCUUCUAUUGAGUAAAAUCUCUAUUAAAAUUGCUUAUAAAAAAGAAAAAGAAAAAAAGAAUGGGUCUCUUUUAAAAUUUGUCUUUCCUUCCUUUACCCUUGAGUUACUAUUAGAUGUAUAAGCUCAAGAUGAGACUAGUAAUUGGAUUUCCAUUAAAAGUUUUAAUUUCAAAAAAUCAAAAGAUCACCAUACAAAUAUCAAAAGAUCACUAACUUAAUUAUAUUGGUAAUAAUUAAGAUAAGUAAAAGACCUACUAUUUCUGUUUGAUGUUAUUAUGAUAAAGAAACAAAGAAAAAAAAAAAGAAAUAGCAAGUCGCUGCAGUUGCAACAAUUGAGGAUAUGCUAAUAAAAGUGUUACAGAGAUAAAUUUAAUUGAUAAAAAAAGAUUUUAAUAAAAAGUAGUGAGAGAAACAAUUAAUAAAAACUAAUGAUACUUAUUAAAGAUAUAUUAUGAAUAUUUGUGGCCUUUUUUGAGGUAACUAAAUAAAUUUUAAAUUGUGAUAAUGUGUUUAUUACAUAAGUGGAUUUAUUCAGUAUUCUAGUGGAUUUAAAUAGUUUCAACUCUCAUAUUAUAAUAAAUUUCUAUAUUGCUAUAAUUGCCCUAACAUAGUGGACAAUAUUAUAUUGUACACAUAAGAAUACUCUAGCACCCAAUUAAAAUUUUUAGUAAAAUAAAUAAGAACUCUAAAUGUAAAGAGAAUUUCGUCAAGGUAUUGCAAUAGUAUUUAAUGCUCUUGGCUAGUGUAAACUAUUGUGCCACAUGUAGUAUUUCGAUCCUGACAAGUGCAUUACAAAUAAUGACUCUUAUUUCAGGUCUUUUAGGUACUUUAGAGAUAUAUUAGCUCUGGAGCUAGUAUUAGGUCAUCACGUGCUUCUUUGAAUGAAAGAUAUGGUUUAUUUUUCCCUACACCAGAGCAUUUUCUGUGGAAUAACCUUGUCAAAUGCUCAUUUACCAAGGGCACGUGUGGUGUUGUCAGUAUGAUAUGCUAACCCACGUGCACUUAUGGAAAAUCAAAUGAGAAAAAUGAAUUAAAAAAAUACAAUAGCUAAUUAAUAAUGUUCGAGUUUGAGAUGAAGAAUAUUUAAUUUUAUGGAUACAAAGAUAAGAAAGAUUUAAUGAGAAUUAUCCUAAUAUUAAAAUACUAUUUAAAAUAAAUUCUAUUUGACGUAAUAGUAUGUCUCAUAAUAAGAUUUGUAGUGGUCAAAUCAACUUAUUUCGAUAAGAUCCAUCCAAUUUAAUAUUUAAAAAAUUUAUCGUCCUGUUAUGCAUCACACAACUUUGACAUUUGAUAGAAAAUGAUUGGUUGGCACAUCGUGACUUACAUGAAUAUUUCUCAUAUUUGAAUCUUCCGUUAGGGAAUUUUAAUCCUAUCCAAGAUCUUGUGAGUAAAAAUAUCAAAUAAAUAAAAAAUAAAAAAUAGAUAUAGAAUAAAAUUAAUCUUAAAACACAAGAAUUUACAUGAAAAGCUUCUAUAGUAGAGAAAAACCACGGUUGCUAAAGACAAUGAGAGAAAAACCCACUAUGUAAAAAUUAUUACUAUCAUUCUAGUGUCUUUUUUCUCAUGCAGAAUCAUAAUAACAAUCAAUCUCUCAAAACCUAGUAUUUUUCUCACACUAAAAACUAUCUAUUUGUAGAGAACUGAUUGUUGUGUUAUGCAAACAAGUGAAUUCAAUUUCCCUAUAUAUAGUGAUUAUUUCUUAUAGAAGAAUCAUUUCUUUCCUUAUAUAAGUUGUGUUUCUCCUUGAAUGAGUUCUUUAGAAUUACUUAUUCCUAAAACACAAACCCCCAAUAAGAAAUCUACUAAAUAAAAGAAUUUUAGAAAAAAUCCUAAAUUAGGAUUUACUAAUCCUCAUUGAAAAAAGAGACAUAUUUCUUAAAAAUCUUCACCUUGGCAAGUUUUUUAAUUAAGUAAUAAAACAUGAUCCACUAUGUAUUGAUAAAACUAUAUCGUCUCCACCCUUUUUACUCCACCAAAACCACACUCACAUAGGGCUUAUGAGAAGCACUCCAUUAUGGUAAAAUCUUGUCUUCUAUCCAGCAACCAUAAUUCUCUACACCGAGAAUCAUCGUACUCUACCUUAUCCAGAGUACACAGAUUCAGGGCAUGUUAAUCACCUUUAUGAAAAUAUCCACUCUCAUGUUUGGCUUCCUUGAGAGUCCUCAACAAUCAACAUAAAAAGUCCACCAUACACUUUGCAUAAAUGCUAAAUCAUGGCUUGUAUGGAAAUCUUGUGGACCUGUUAGUAGUAACACAUCUUUUUCCAUGACAUACCAAAGAUGAUAAUCCAGUCUCUCAUGGAAAAAAUAGACACACCAAUAAAUGACAUUAUCAGUAUCUCCUAUUGAUUUAAAGCUACUUGCUAAAUAUGCUAUAUUCUAAUUUUUUUUAAGGUGUUUUGAUUGUCUACACUCCUCCAGGGGAUUUCUACUAGUGGAAUAUGUUUUACAUUGCUCUUGCUUUCCUUGUAUAACCAAAUUGAAUCAAUAUAUUAUUGGCUUGAACUUGCCACAAGCCAAAAUUGAUUAUUUCGUCAAACUUUUCUAUUUCUAUCUUCACAAGUUUUGAAAAUCUUGUUGUUGACAUAUUUUCUCUACAUUACAGCUUUAACUAUGUUAACACUUCCUGGUAAAUAAUUAAUCCCACCGAAGAUUUUCUAAGCAACAAUAUCAAAUAAAAAGUAAAUAAAAAAAUAGGAGAGUAAAACUAAUCAAACAACACAAGAAUUUAUGUGGAAAACUCUUAUACUGGAGAAAAAUCAUAGCCACCAAGGACGAUGAGAGAAAAAUCUACUAUGUAAAAAUUAUUGUAAUUAUUCUAAUAUUUUCUCACACCUAAAAACCCAAAAGCAUCUAAUCUCUCAAUAAAACUACUGUUUUUAUGCAAACAAGUAACACAACCUCCCUAUAUAUAGUGCUUUUUUCUUAUAGGAGAUUUAUUCUUUUCCUUAUAUAAUUUGUAUUCCUCCUUAAAUAAGCUAAGUUCCAAAGAAAAUUGCUUAUUUUUUAAAUAGAAAUCAUACUGAAUAAAAAAAUUAUUAAAUAAGAAAAGUCUAGAAAAUAUCUUAAUUUAGGAUUUACAAAUUUUCUUUGAAAAAGGAGACAUAUUCCUAAUAUCUCAAAUCCUUCUUGCCAAUCUCAUUUGUCAGUCAUUACUAACGAACUAGCCCAGUUGAAACUUUUAAAUUGAUGGGUCGUAAUUGCCAAUAUCCGAAUAAAACAAAUUUUUAUGAAUAUAUUGGUAGAUUGAAUGACAAUUGACAACAUAUGACUUAAUUAACUACUUCCCAAAAAAGUAAAAAAAAAGAAGAAGAAGAAGAAGAAGAAGAAAGAUACCGUGGAUGAACAUAACACUCUUGUGCCAACUUAUGGAAUUCGUCAAUAAUGCAUGGGCAAAUCCACCUCAUGCUUAGUGGGGUUCAAACCCUCGCUAAAUAAUGAGAAAAAUAUUUGAAUUACUAAUUACUCUUUAUUAGGUCUAUUCAAACUUUAACUUUGAGAAUUAUAAAUGUCUACACUUUAAUUAAAACAACACAAGCCACAUGUUUGAAUUUAAAUUUUGGUUUGAAUUUAUUCAAGAGCAACAAGAAAGAUACCUAAGUUGCAGUUCAGAAAGAUACCUAUAAAAUGUAAACCACUCUAUAUUAUUUACAAUUUAUUCAUAAGUAUUAUGAAAUUUAUAGUACAUUCAGUAAACAAGAAUCAAAAUUAGUUGGAAACAUAAUGAGUUAGAAUCGAAAUAGCUAUAAUCAAAAUUAGGAAUUGAAAUUAAAAUAAUUUAUUUACUUAAACUGCAUGAAUCGUAAUUAGAAUGAGCUGUAGUACCAUUUAUAUGUUUACUUUGUCUUAGAAUCAAAAUUAGAAUGAGUUAAAUUGUAACAAAUUAAUAUAAAAUUCUUAAUUAAUUUUUAUCAUAAUUAUUAUCUUGUAUUUUAAAUAUUAUUAUUAUUAUUCAAAAAUUAAUUAUUUAUAAUAAUUAUCGUUAAUUAUUAUUAUUAUUAACAAUUUAACAAAAUAAUAAUUAUUAAUUAUUGUUAUAGAUUAAUUAAUUAUAAUACUUUUUAUUCUUGUUAAUAAUUAUAAUCUAUUUAAAAAUUAUAAUUAUAUUUAUAGUUAUAAUAAAAUAAUUACUAUAAUUAUAAUUAUAAUUCAUUUAAUAAUAAUGAUAUUUUUUAAUUAAACAGAUGAUAUUUUGGGAAUUUAAAAUUAUAGGGGGCGAAUUGACACUCUUAGGAUUUCAAUGAAAUAAAUAGAGUGUAAGGGGGUAAACGAAAUUUUAUAAUGCAGAAAGUUUUAUAAUACCUAUCAAUACGUUGUAAAUAACAUAGCAUUAGGUGGCUGAAUGAAAGUUUACAGGGCAGCUACUUAGCGGACGUACCCAACAAGAAUAGUAUAAAUGGAAAAAAAAAGUACCAUAAAAUAAUAUUCCAUGACUUUGUUUCUUCAGUUUCAGGAGCAAUGGUGGAAUCAUUCUUUCCGAUUGAAAAACUUUUGGAAAAAUUAGGGAGCUCUGCUUAUGAAGAACUUUUAUUGUUCUGCGGUGUCAAAAAUGACUUACACAAGUUAAAGGAGAAGCUAACCACUGUCAAAAGUGUGGUUUUGGAUGCUGAGGAAAAGCAAAACCAUAAUCGCCGGUUAAGCGAUUGGCUGGGAAAGCUUAAGGAUGCUUGUUAUGAUGCAGAAGAUGUGUUGGAUGAAUUUGAGGUGGAAGAUCAACGAAGGCAAGUCAUGAAGCAAAGAAGCAUCGGAAGAAAGUUUCGUAACUUUUUUGGAAGCUCAAAUCCGAUAGCUUUUCGUUUUAGAAUGGGCCAUCAAAUCAAGAAAAUUCGAGAGAGGUUUGAUGAGAUUGCAAAAUUGAGUGGUGAGUUUAAUCUCAUUGAACGACUUGACGAUCAUCGGCGAGUUGUGCACAAAGAAAGGGAAGCCACUCAACCGAAUGUGCCUCCAGAUAUUAUUGGAAGAGAUAAAGAUGGAGAAAAGAUUAUUGAACUAUUGAUGCAAACAAGUGACGGCAAAAGUGAAACUGUGUCUGUGGUUCCUAUUGUGGGAAUUGGAGGUCUGGGCAAAACUGCUGUUGCACAGUUGGUGUACAAUGAUCAAAGGGUAAAAGAGCAUUUUGAGUUGAAAAUCUGGAUACGUGUUUUUGAGGAUUUUGGUGAGAGACAAAUUAUGAGAAAGAUUAUGGAGUUGAUCAUUGAACAAAUUAUGACAAAUUAUGUGUUCCAAGGUGACUUGAAUACACACCGAUUGCAACAAAUCUUGCGAGAUUGUUUGAAUGGUAAGAGAUACUUGCUUGUUAUGGAUGAUGUAUGGAACGAAGAUCCUGAAGCAUGGCGUAACUUAAAAAGCUUAUUGUUGGGAGGUGCUAACGGAAGCAAAAUUUUGGUAACCACACGUAGUAGGAAAGUUGCUUCAAUCAUGGGCACGAGGGGAGGUACUACUGGCUACAACUUACAAGGUCUACCAUUCGAGGAUUGCUCGUCUUUGUUUAUGAAAUGUGCAUUACAAGAAGAGCGAGAUAAACAUCCAAACCUUGCUAAAAUCGGGGAAGAAAUUGUGAAAAAAUGUGGAGGAAUUCCUCUGGCAGUCAGAACACUAGGAAGUGUAUUAUGUGGCAAAACAGAUAAACGUGAUUGGGAAUUUGUGAGGGAUAAUGAGAUAUGGCAGUUAGAGCAAAUGGAAAGAGGCAUUUUACCUACUCUGAGGUUAAGCUACGACCAAUUAUCGCCUCACCUGAAACAAUGUUUUGCUUACUGUUCUAUCUUUCCCAGGGAUUAUCAAUUUUAUGGUGAUUCUUUGGUUCAAUUUUGGAUGGCUCAUGGUCUUCUCCAAUCGCAUAAUAAGAAAGAAGAGUUAGAAGAUAUUGGUAUGCGGUACUUGAAGGAAUUACUAUCAAGAUUUUUCUUCCAAGAUUUGAGUUUUGGGAUGUUAGGAAUGGAGACGUUCUCUUUCAAAAUGCACGACCUUAUGCAUGAUCUUGCUCAGCAAGUGGCCAAAGAUGAAUUCCUAGUAGUGAACUCUGAUUGUCAAUUUAUUCCCAAAAGAGUCCGCCAUUUGUCAUUUGGUGCUGCUAAUGCAUCAAGAAAUGACUUUUCAAGCCUUUUAUCUGAUCUAGGUCGUGUGAGAACCAUUUUCUUUUCAACUGAUGAUGAUGAGAAGACAAGCCAAUCAUUUGUUGAAUCAUGCAUCUCAAAGUCGCAGUUCCUAAGAGUGCUAGAUUUAAGUGGCUCUGCUAUUGAGGUUUGUCCAAGAGAGAUGGGUAAUUUGAAGCACACGAGAUAUCUUGAUCUGUCGAAAAAUUAUAAAAUCAAGAAACUUCCAAAAUCCAUUUGCGAGCUACAGAGUUUACAAACACUGAAUCUUGCUGGAUGUUUGGAGCUAGAAGAGUUGCCUAAAGACAUAAGGUACCUUGUCAAUCUCAGAUUGUUAGCGCUAACCACAAAACAGAAGUCUUUGCAAGAGAGUGGAAUAAGGAGCUUGGGUUCUCUUCGUUGUUUGUCAAUUUCUAGUUGCUGGAAUUUAGAACAUUUGUUCGAGGAGAUAGAUCAAUUAAGUGUCCUUCGAACAUUAUCAAUUGAAAGUUGUCCUCGUCUAAUCUCAUUGCCACCUGCUAUCAAAUAUCUCAGCUCAUUAGAGAAUCUGUAUUUGGCUAGCUGUGAAAGCCUUGAUCUUAAUUUGAACAUGGAAAUGGAAGGUGAAGGAAGUCAUCAUGAUCGCAAAAACACAAGGCCUCACCUUCGGAGGGUUUUCAUCAAGGAAAUAACACAGUUAUUAGAACUGCCACAAUGGCUUCUUCAAGGUUCUACUGAUACUUUACAGAACUUGUUAAUUCUUGGUUGUCCCAACUUCAUGGCACUACCAGAGUCACUGAGAAAUUUCGAAGCACUUGAGGGUCUUGUCAUCGGGAAUUGUCCAAAAUUGUCAUCGCUGCCAGAGGAUAUGCAUCACCUCACUACUCUGAAAUCAUUGGCCAUUGCAGGAUGUCCUGCACUGAGUGAACGAUGCAAACCGCCAACAGGUGAAGAUUGGCCCAAGAUUGCACAUAUCCCUGAGAUUUUACUUGAUGGCGAGAUGAUUAAAUCAAGUGAUUAUUAGGUAUGGAUUUUUUUUUUCAAUAAGCAUACCACUCUGUUAUAUUUCCUCUUUUCAUGCAGCUUUCUAAUUUUUAAUUUCUCAUACAGCUAUACCGUUUAUAGUUUAAUGUUUUGUUAUGUUUACCAAACGAAAACUUGACUUUGAACGUUAGUUAGUUCAAUCAAAUUUGUACUAAUUUAUUUUCUUCUAAUAAAUAACUAGUUUGUCAGUACAAAACACAAAAAUAAUAUUUUGGAAACCGCACUGUUCUGGGGGUCAGAUCUGUUUCUAAAUUCAAACAGUUCAGGAUUUUUCAAAAUGGAACUUAUAAUGAGAUUUUUUUUUUUAAUUAUCUAGUUAUCUUCAUAGGGAAUUUCAAUCUUUGUUAAUACUUUAACUUGCGCCGAAACAUCUAACAAUUCUUCCUCUUAUCCUUUUUUUUUCCCAAAUAUUGCAGCUUUCUUGGGAGAGGUUCAACCAAACUGCAGGGACAGUGAAAAUAUUACUCUAACGUUGUUCAGAACAGAGGUUCAACGGUUUUAAUGUUGUGUUUUAAAGUUACAAGUAUUAUAUAUUCGUUACGUGUGGUUAUGUAAUUUGCUGAUAUAUAAGUACAUUGAGUGAGGUAUAUGUGUGUGCCUGUGUGGUCAUUACUGAAUUUCUCAGUAAUAUAAUUUGCAUUGACUGCAGAUUUGUGAAGAACAUUGAUACCAAACAUGUGGUGUCUGUAUUUUGUGCUUUGUGAUUGACGACUUACAUUUGCCCAGGAAGAAAUGAAAACAAAUCGGCUUCUUGAAAUUAACCAUUUAUUCUUUCGAAUGGUAACCUUUUUGUGACAUGAUUCGCAUAUUAAUCAAAAGCAGUUGGCAAACUAAUUAGAUAUUGCAUCGUGAUUCGUGGCCUUGAAGUGAAAUGAGUGAGCAUGUUUGUGGAGGUUUUUGUUUUUUUCCUCCAUAUAAAAUGACUAAUUCGAAAGAAUAUGUAUUGUAAUAGAACCUAGAACUUCUAUGUAUUUUAGGAUGAAAAUUCUGUACAAUAGAAAAUAUUAAAACGAAAAUCAAAGAAGCUUGCAACUUGGAACUGCAAUCUAGCUCGACCUACUAUAUAUAUAUACGUUAUUAAUUAAUUGAUCAGGUAAGAUAGGGAGAGACUCGCGGACUCUUUACAAGGAGCAAAAAUGGUAUGAAACUCUGUUUUGAUUAAAAUUCAAUGACUUUCUUCGUAUUAAUCAAAUUAAUUGAUUAAUUAUUUUGGUAAAAAGAAUUUGCGAAAAGUCAUUUUAUCAAAUGAUUUGGUGAAAUUUCAAGUACUUUCAUCUUGGUUUUUGCAGUUAAUAGGAAAUAGUUUGGUGUUGGGAUGUGGUAUAUGUAUCAAGUUCUUAUUGCUGGUGAACAUUACUGGUUUAGUGUGCGAUCGUUUACUAUCACUGCAUGCAUUAUCAGUUUAUUUUAUUGAACUGUCCCAAAUCAGUAACGAAUCCUCAAUUCCCUCUGUUUUCUUUGGAUCCUAGUAGUGUUUGGCAUGCAUCAACUAGUGUUCAUGCAUGGGUCGGUUCAUCAUAGACAACUUCAGCACACAUACAACAGCCCUCAUUUCUUCUUAUAUUGUCGGUUCGAUAUCAUUUUGAAAAAUCAUAUCAAAACUGCUUUUGGAGUUCUAAUCCAGUGCAGUUACACCUAUAUUUUACUUUUGAUCUGCAACCUUGACUCACUGUCAUUUUGCUGUUAGUAUUUCGAUUAGCAACUUGUACAGUGGUAUUUGAACUGCAUGGUAUGUCAACUUUCACUCUAUGUGUCUUAGAAACUCUGUAUAUCACUAAUUUCCUAGCACAGGUCUUGUUGACAGUCAAAGAUUUGAGGCAUAUUUCUAUAUUGAAGGCUUUUCUGUCGUCAAUUUGAUGAUGAGCGCAUGUAUUAUCCCCAAUAUUUUGAGCAGGAACUUGUAACUAGUAAUAACCAGUACCUAAGAUGUUGCAUUUGAUUGACUUCUCUUUCUCGUUUAGUUUCAGCCGUUGGAGCUGUUUCAGACAUGGUAACUGAUACGUAAUUUCUCUCUUUCCACCCCACAAUGUAUCAUUAGUCAUCAUUCGUUCUGGUUGGCGUGGAUACGCAUACUAAUUUGGAUUAUUGUCUGUGCCUUCGUCUUUUGUCAAUAAUCUUUUGCAUUUCAGGAUUAGUACAGCUUGUAUACUGGUAAUACUCUCUCAACUAUACAUGUAAGACUUUGUUAUGUUUUCUUGACCCGUAAUCUAAUGCUAUAAGAUGACGGCAUAAUUGAGCUAUUUUGCAUCUCCAUGCAGGCCUGAUUUGGUUUUUGUGUCACUACCUGCAUUAGAUAUUGGUAGUCAAUGGCUGCAGAUGUACAGGUGCCGUUUCGUUUCCCUGACAUAAUCUCAUGUAACAUGAAAUUGCUUGUGAAACUGGAAGAUAUUUGAUUCUUUUUUUUUUUUUUCAUUUUUGCUAAAGAAAAGUGUUACUUGCGUUGGGAAAUAUGCCUACCACUCUGGAUCUCCGUUGCAGUACAUUCUUGAGAGGAAAAUCUAGCCAUAAAAUGUAAAAGACAACACAAAUUGGCUUUUCAAAGCCUAUGAUGGGAACCGGAUGUUUAUGGGUUAUAGUUGUGUGGCAUGUGAGGUAAUUGUAGCUUUCCGUGUUAUUAUCCAUAUCAGGAUUUGUAAAUGUUAUCAGUGCUUUUUACCUGAUCCAACUGUUUCAACCCUGCAGCUUCUUUACCUAAUCAUAUUUCUUAUUGCGGAGACGCAGAGUGAAAGUUUGGUGGAUGUAGGUUCUCAUUUUCUUACUAUUAGAUUGUUCUGCAUAUAGAAAGAUUUCCCCUGUUUCUCGCUUUGCAAACAAUCCUUCUUUCAGGUUGUGGUGAGUGCUGUGCGACAGGGCAAUCAAGCAAACGAUCAAUGUCAUAAAGGUAACUUGCACUCCAUAUUAUCGUAAUGUUCGUUUAUUCUGAUACUUCUUCACAAUAAGUAAAUUUCUUGAUGUCUACAAAUUAAGGAGACUUUUGUAUGGGUAAAGUUGACAUUUUACAAUGGCAUUCUGGAUCCUGAAAUCGGUCAGUUUGAGAUUCACAUGCUGUGAUAUGCUCUAAUGUUAAAACUCAAACCUUUUCUGUAUCUUAAAUGGAUUGUCGUGGAUAUGCCUGGGAUGAUCAUUUUCUUCCUCUUCACUUCAUCAUCUUUGUCAGAGUAGUUAUAAUUGAUUGAGGAGUGUGAAAACGCAUUGUGAUGAAUGAAUGCACAAGCUAUGUGAUUAAGACUGCAUUUAUUAGGUUGGUGACGGCAAAUAUCAGGCAGGAUAUUCACAAUAGUGCUACUGAAGCUUUAUAUGGAAUAAGGAGACCAAACCUCUAUAUGAUAAGAGUUGUAUGAAUACCAAAUGAAUUGUAAGAGGAUAUGGUUAAUUUAGAUUGUAAUUUAAGAAAGCAUGAGUUCUAAGAGCACAGAAAUGGGAUCAGUCUUGCUCAAGUGUGAACUCCAUCAGUUAGGAAGCUGUCCAUCAAAUGGAAAUAUUUACGUGAUUCAGAGAAAUUUUGGACUUUUGAUGAAAACAAAAAUCCUGUAUGCAUUUGCUUGCCCCGAAGGAGCUGAAAGUUCUCAAAUUGUUUGUAGACGUCAUAGUUCUCCUGAUGUCAUUUGGCUUGGUAAUCUUUUUUGCUCGAAAAUUUGCCCAUUGUGUGGUCUUGACGGUGGGUGAAAUUGAUUUGUGGUUUCAGAUGAAGACAGCAGCAGAUGUGUGUGUGCUAUAUGACAUCGAGAAAAAGCAAAGGCCUUAAAGAGUUCAUCAACAUUUUCCAUUUCAGAAGAAUCUGUUUGUGGUUCUCCUGCUCAAGUGCCUACUUUUCGGGGUGCAGCAUAUAUGUUGAGACCGGCAUAUGAAAUCACUAAACUUUUACAGUUGAUCCGAGGCUUCUCUAGCAAAGGAUUUGGAAUUAAUUUGGGGAAGGGGUGUUUUUUUGGGUAUAUGAGUGUGUGCAUUCCUUCAAUCACGUAGCUUCGUGCCAUUAACUUAUUGGCAAUUCCACAAUGGUGAUAAUGAUAAUUUUAUGAUUGGGGCACAGUUUUAGGAACUCUUUACUGGUUUUUCUUUCGCAUCUGUGUCUAUGAUUAAGGUUGUUUAAGGUGGUAUGGAUUUCAGUACAUUGAACAAAAAAUUAUUUAUUUUUAUUCAAAUAAAAAUACCUAAAAAUCAAACCUAAGUUAAAAAAAAUAAAGUUUAUGAUUGGGGCACAGUUUUAGGAACUCUUUACUGGUUUUUCUUUCGCAUCUGUGUCUAUGAUUAAGGUUGUUUAAGGUGGUAUGGAUUUCAGUACAUUGAACAAAAAAUUAUUUAUUUUUAUUCAAAUAAAAAUACCUAAAAAUCAAACCUAAGUUAAAAAAAAUAAAGUUUAAAAAUUUCUGAAAUUAAUCAAAUUUUAAAACUUGAGACUUUUAACAGAUUAAUCCAACCUUUGAAUAAAUAAACUAAAUGGGGGUCAGUUUUCUCGUGUCAGCUUGUUCAAUCGACACUAUCGUUUCAACCUCCCACGAAUAAACAAAUCACUAAUGAUGUGUCCAUUUCUUCUACUUUAUAAUAAUUUUUAAUAAAAAGAUUAUUAAAAAGAUUAUUAAAGUCAGUCUGGUUCCAAGAAGAAAGUGAACAUGAGAUGAUGAGAUGCCGUAUCAAAUGGGGCCACGUAGACAGAGGUGCUUCGAGGUGACAUGUCAGCAGAUAGCUCCACCGACGAUCUUCAAAAUAAUUUGAACGGUUGGGAUUUUAUUUUCAACUUACCUGUGUCCAGGCUGUUGUUGAUUGUCGCUAUCCUGAAUUGUCCACUUCGAAUUUUUUUUUUAAUUUCCCCAACACUCUCCUGACCAAAGGAGUUAAUAAGAUUUCGAUAUUUUUUUCUUUAAAUGAUUUGAAAUAUCAAUAUUUUAUAAUUUUUUUUUUGGGUCCUAUUUUGUCCAUAAAAUGUUUAGCGAUCUUUUCGUUAAUUAGUUUCGUGGAUGUCUUAUCAAAUUAUUACAACGGUGAUAACGGUUACACAUAAAAAUUAAGGAAAAAAAAAUGAUUAUAAUUAACGGUGUACGAUCCAUGUUGUCGAUACGCCGUUGGACAACUUUCAUUAGACUGAAGAUUUUCCUUUCCGCCCCGGCGCGGAAAUUAUCUGCGUUAAAAAAAUUUGUCACUCACAUUAAAAAAAUUAUCUGCGUCCCGCUAACACACUCUUUCACCUUCAAUGCACUGAGGAAAGAAUAUAUGCUAUGGAAUAUAUGGUAUGGUGUUUGGCUGGUCUGCUUUUUUCUUUUCAAUUAAUGUAAUAUUCUUAUGCUAUGGAAUUGAUUAUCAUAACUAAAGGAAAGAAUAUAUACUAUGGAAUAUAUGCUAUGGUCUUUGGCUGGUCUACUUUUUUCUUUUCAAUUAAUGUAUUAUUCAUAUGCUAUGGAAUAUGAAUAUUACAUUAAGGGAAAGAAUAUUUUUACACAGCACACUAUAAUACUCUAAUUACCAAUUUUUUAUCUUGUAAUACAAGUUCAUAGCGAUUAAUUUAUCCGUCUUCAGCCAAAAAAAAAGUCCCAUUUCAGCACAUAUACAAGCUAGAGCCCUCAUUUUUCUUUGCUUCAGCCAUUUUACAGCAGAAUCAUCACAGACACUUUGAGCUCUGCCGAAUCAUCAUAGACAAAUUGUGAUUGGUGGGAGCAUUACAAGAAAGGUACGACUACUUCGAACCGAUAGAUUUGUUUAUAUCAUUUAGCUAUCGUUUUAACUUUUAACAAUAAACAAGAGACAAUCAUGUACAUCAUUGGUUACAUAAAUAUUAAAAUGAGAUAAAUUUAUUCCUCUACUUGCCAGAUCCAUACAUAUUAAAAUGAGAUAAAUUUUAAGGUUUAAAAAUUUGCAAUUCAUCAAAAAUCUAGUGCGAUAUUAAGCAGUGAAAUCACUUAGGGUUAGUACAAGAGGUUUAUGAUUCCCUGACUCAUUUAUAUGGGUGGAGAGGGAAUUAGGCAAUGAAGAAUUGAUACAAAUUAAUAAUUAUAUUAUAAAAAGAAAUAAAUUUCAAGAGGGAUCAUAAGUUCAUAGAAGAUUGUAUGCCAGUUAUUUGUAAUGGAAUGGAGUUUUUUUGGAGAGGCUAUUUGGCUUGGAAUAUAUAUUGGAAUGAGAUUAUUUGAACCCACCGCAAUACUCUCUAAAAUCCACUUUUCAAUAAAAAAUUUUAGUUCAAAAUUUUCCUUAAUUAAAUUACUAUUUUAGCCAAAUAUUAUGUUGAUUUAUCUCCCUAAAGUUUUCAUUUUUUUUCACCCUUUUUUCUCUUUUCCUCUCUAUUUCCCCAAUUUUUUUUUUCCAGUCCUAUGUGGUUCUUAUAUUUUAAGGCUUCUAUUGGAGUAAGAUCUAUAUUCAAAUUGCUUAUCCAAAAAAAAAAAUUCUUUUAAAAUUUGCCUUUCCUUUACCCUCGAGUCACUAUUAGAUGUAUAUGCUCCUCAAGAAACUUUAGUAAUUGGAUUUCUAUUAAAUAUUUUAAUUUCAAAAAAUGAGAAGGUCACUAUACAAAUAUCAAAAUAUCACCAACUUAAUUAUACUAGUUAUAAUUGAGGGAAAUAAAAGACUUACUAUUUCUGUUUGAAGUUAUUAUGAUGAACAAAGAAAAAGGGGGGGGGGGGGGGAACAAGUCGCUGCAAUUGCAUCAAUUGAGGACAUGUUAAGAAACGUAUCAUUGAGAUAAGAUUUAAUUGAUAAAAUAAGAUUUACUAGAAAGUAGUGAGAGAAACAACUAACAAAAAUUCAUGAUACUUAUUGAGGGUAUAUUGAGAAUAUUUGUGGCUUUUUUGAGUAAAAAAUAAAGUUUUAAGUUGUGAUAAUAUGUUUAUUACGGAAAUGAGUUUAUUUAAUAUUACAGUGGAUUUAAGUAGCCUUACCCUUCAUAUUAUAAUAAAUUUUUACAUUACUCUAUAAUAGCCCUACUAUAGAGGACAAUUUAAUGAAAAUAUUGUUACUCUUAUACCUAUUAAAAGAAACAAUAUUAUCUUGUACGUACAAGAACGUUCUACUGCCCAAGUAAAAGUUUUAGUAAAACGUAUAAGAACUCUAAGGGUAAAGAGAAUUUCAUCAAGGUACUAUAGUAGUAUCUAAUGCUCUUUGCUAGUGUAAACUAUUUGCGCCACAUGUAGUAUUUCAAUCUUCACAAGUGGCAUUGCAUAUAGUGGCUCUUAUUUCAGUUCCUCAAAGGUACUCUAGAGGUACGUUAGCUUAUAAGCUAGUAUUUGGUCAUCAUGUGCUUCUUUUAAUGAAACAUGUGGUUCAUUUUGUCCAUAUACGAGAGCAUUUUGUGUGGAAUAACCUUGUAAAAUGCUCAUUUAUCAAGGACACAUGUCGUGUUGUCAGAACAUAGUAAAAAUAUGAUAUGCUAACCUAUGUGCAUUUAUGAAAAAUCAAAUGAAAACAAAGAACUAAAAAAAAAUGCAAAGGCUAAUUCAUAAUGUUUGAGUUUGAGAUGAUUAAUAUUUAAUUUUAUGGUUGCAAAGAUAAGAAUAAAAGUAGGUCUAGUGAGAAAUACCCUCAUAUUAUAAUACUAUUUAAAAUAAAUUUUGUUAUAAAAGAUUUUAUUUAAUAAGGUAUGGGGACUGUUCAAAAUAUAUUUUACAUACAAACUCAUAUGCAUGACGUAAUAGUAUGUCUCAUGCUAGGACUAGCAAUGGUCAAAUCAACCUAUUUUGAUAAGAUCCAUCAAAAUUAAUAUUUAAAAAAUUUAUCAUCUCAUUAUACAAUACACAGCUUUGCCAUCACAGCUUUGCCAUCUAGUAGAGAAUGAUUAGUUGGCACACCAUAGUUUACACGAAUAUUUCUAAUAUUUGAAUCGUCUGUUAGAAAAUUUUUAUCCUACCAUGAUCUUGUAAGUAAAAAUAUCAAAUAAAUAGUAAAUAGAAAAUAUACAGAGAAUAAAACCAAUCAUACAACACAAUAAUUUACGUGAAAAAUUCUUAUAUUGAAGAAAAACCACAGUCGCCAAAGAUGAUAAAAGAAAAAUCUACUAUUUAAAGAUCAUUACAAUUACUUUAAUAUUUUCCUCACAUAAAAAACCCUAAUAACAAAUAAUCUCUAAUUUCAGAAGCUGUCUACUUGUAUAGAAUUGAUUGUUGUGUUAUUCAAACAAGUGAAUCUAGCCUUUCGUAUAUAUUGUGAUUAUUUCAUAUUGGAAAAAUAUUUAUUUCCUUAAAUAAUAUUUAUUUCUCCUUUAAUAAGUUCUUUGGCAUUACUUAUUCCUUAAACAUGAACCCCCCCCCCCCCCGGAACAAGAAAAUUACUAAAUAAAAAAAUUCUAGGAAAUAUCCUAAUUUAGGAUUUACAAAUCUUCAUUGAAAAAGGAGAUAUGUUUCUUAAAAAUCUCCACUUUGGUGAGUUUUUCAAUUAAGCGACAAAAUAUAAUCCACCAUACAUCUAUGCAACCAUGUCGUCUCCCCCUUAUUUAGUCUACCAAAACCACACUAACAUAAGACUAAUGAGAAUCACUCCACCAUGAGCAAAAUCUUGUCCUCUAUCCAGCAGUCAUAAUUUUCUACAUCGAGAAUCAUCAUACUCCACAUUAUCCAGAGUACACAUGUUUUGUAACACUCCAAAAAUUACUCAUGAAAACACAAGGAUAAAAUUGGAAUGAAACUUUACAUCAUUUAUUCUUAUUAAUAAAUCUCAAGAUAGACAAUUAUUCAUACUCCAACUGAAUCCUUACAUAAAACAUCUGAAAUAAAGUCUAUAAAGAAAAGUCUCUAGUCCAAAAUAAAAAGUCUAGCCAAAUUCACUCUUGAAAGCAACUCCAAAGAUCCACUAAGAAAAAUUCUCCAUCUAAGCACCCAAGCCACAUUUCUAAUCAAUCUACAAAAUAUUGGAGAUGAGGGGUGAGCCGUCAACUCGGUAAGCAAAUCCAUGCACAAUAUUUGAAAACCUUGUCAUUUUACCUUUAAAUAUUUUAUAACAACAUCUUCAUUUAGCAUAAGGGGUGGAUUCAUAUAAAAGCAUUAAAAACAUUAAAACAUUCAUAAAAACGUUAAAACAUAAACAUUGGUAGCUCAUGCCUCGUAGUCAUCAUCAUUCAUCAUUCAUCAUUUAGGGUGUUAUACCCCGCAUUUUUCCUCAUUUAGGGUACUAUACCCCACAUUGUUCAUAAUAUCCUUGUGCACCAGAUCAUCAUCAUACCAACAAGCUGGCCUUAGCAUUUCAUAACAUCACAACAUUAACAUCAUAUACAUUACUACGGACUAUGAGCCAAAACAUUUUUGAAUCCACCUUACAUCUUUUCAUAAAUAGCAUUUAAAGUCUUCUAAAACAUUUAAGAACUUUUCUUUUACACAUUUAAUUCUUUUAAAAAAUUCUUUAAGAAAACAUUUAAUUUAAAAAAACUAAUUUCUUAAGAAAAAAUCAUUUGAAAAUACAUUUAUAUAAAUUCAUUUAGAAGCGUUUUUAUUUUACAAAAUUCAUUUAAAUAUUUUAGAAAUCAGUUUUGUAAAAAUCUCUAUUUAAACAUAAUUCUUAUAACAUAAUUCGUAUUUAUUAUAAAGGACAUCAUGCAUGAAUCUACUUAUCUCGAUCCAUAGCAAUCAAUUCAAUACCUCAAGAAUAACCAACGAGCUCACCCACGUCCUGUAAUCAUCAUAAAAAUAUUCUUAUGAAUAUCAUCUCUAACCUUAAACAUAAUCCCAGUCAUCCUUAAAUCAUAGGCACUUGUACUAGCUUAAUACUUAUACAUAUUCUAAACAUAUCCUAUACUUAUGAGUAUCUUGUACAUGCUGAUUUUUAAUAACCUAUACACAUGUCGAAAAACCAUGAAAAUUUACAGAGGCACUGUGAACAUGCAUAGCAUUGCAUACAAUAUUUCACAAAAAUCAGCACAAGUCAAAAUCGAGUCAGAAUAUUGGCCUUUCACCAAAGUAACAAAAUUGUCCAGCACUGACCAAAACAGACAUUUUCCAAUUAGAAAAUUCAUAAAAUUUUCUUUAGUACUCGAAAUAAUAUGUUUCUUUUUUCGAAUCACAGAAGAAACAUUCAGAAAGCACUAAUUAAAUUUCAUAAUUUUUGGACUCCUGAAACUAUUUUAAAACGUUUUAUUUCCGAGAACAUCUAACCCGUCCAGAAAAUCUUAGAGUUGAAAACAGAAUUUCAAAAAUUCGUAUCUUUUAUUUUACAUGCCCAAAAAUCACGAUUCCAUUUUUUAAAGACAGAGGAAAGAUUGAAAUUUCAUUAUAAAAUCCUAACAUGGCAUGUAAUAUUCAUAAACUAGCCCAACUGUUAUACGUUUCAGCUUCUGCAAUUCUGGAAAACAGUUUCCAGAUUUGCAGCAGCCACAUGUUACGGUUUUUAAUAAUUCAACCAUAAAGAAUAAAACUACGAAAUUAAACAUGCAAGCAUAGGAGACAUAUAUCUGUUGAUACAAAAAUCGCCAUAAUUUUUAAGGAUGUGUAACCUUAUAGAAAAAUUUCCAGAAUUGAGAACCGCUGCUGAAAAUCGGAAUUUUCCAGCACCAGUAACCCAACUUCGAAAACCCAUAACAAUUUGCAUAAUUAGACGAUUUCAACACAAAACCUAUCAAUGGAAAGCUUAGGAUGUCUAGUUCCAUGAUAUGUAAGCAUAUUCAUGUGAUUCUAAAUAGAGAAAACGCUUUCAAGCAAGGAAUAGAGACUGUUCAUAUCAUCACAACAUUACAAACACGCAUAUAUUACCCAAAUCAUACUACGAGUAAUUAAAGGCAAACAAUUCAAAAAAAUAAAUCAUAUAAGUCUAAGAAAUAUUUAAUACCUUAAGGAAAACACUAAGAAAAGAAGUUAUAAAACUUUCUUUUCCUUCUCCAAAGACUUAUGUUUCUUUCUUUUCUUUCUAGGGUUUGUAACGGUGUAGAAAAUAAAAGACGGCUUCCUCUUAAAUACUUGUCAAUUAAUAAAUACUUUUUUUAAAAUUUAAUAACUUAUGUAAUUUAUUUAAAGCAAUUUGAUAAAUUUUACUCACACACAAACACUCAAUAAUAAUUAUCCUACUCAAUUUUGAUAAGGGUAAAAGUAGAAAAAUAAAUAAAUAAAUAAAUAAAAGUGGGCGUUACAUGUUUGGCAUAUGUCGAUGACAUUUCUAAAAUUACCCACUCUCAUGUUUGGCUUUUUUGAGAGUCCUCAUCAAUCAACAUAAAAAUUUCAUCUCAUACCUUGCAUAAAUACUAAACUAGGGGUUGUGUGCAUAUCUUGUGGACCAAUUAGCAAUAACACAUCCUCUUCACGAAACACCAAUAGAUGUCAUAAUUACUAUCUCUUUCUGUUGAUUUAAAACUACUUUCCAAAUUUGCUAUAUUCCAACAAUCUCUUUUAAGAUGUUUUGAUUACCUACACUCGUCCAAGGGUUUCUACUAGUGGAAUAGGCCUUACAUUGUUCUUUGCUUUACUUGUAUAGACAUACUGAAUCAUUACGUUAUUGACUUGAGCUUCCCAUAAGCAAACAUUGAUUAUUCUGUCAAACUUUUUUGUUUCUAUCCUCAUAGGUUUUGAAAACCUCCUUGUUGCCAUAUUUGUUCUACAUUGCAACCUUAGCUCUAUUAUCACCUACUAAGAAAUAAUUAAUUCCACUUAAGAUUCGUAAGAAAAAAUAUCAAAUAAAUAGUAAAUAUAAAAUAGAUAGAAAAUAAAGCCAAUCAAAUAAUACAAAAUUUACAUGAAAACUUCUAUAUUGGAAAAAAACUAUAAUAGCCAAGGACAAUAAGAGAAAAAAUUAUUAUGUAAAAAUUAUUAUAAUUACUCUAGUAUUUUUUUAACACCUAAAACACCAAAAGCACCUAAUCUCUUAAUAGAACUAUCUUUUCUCUCGCAGUAAAAACUAUAUGCUUACAGACAAUCGAUUGUUAUAUUAUGCAAAUAAGUAAACCUAAUCUCCAUAUAUACAUAUAUAUGUGUGUGUGUGUGUGUGUGUAGGUAUGUAUGUAUAUAUGUAUGUAUGUGUAUGUAUGUGUGUAUAUAUAUAUACACACAUAUAUAGAUACCUACAUACAUACAUACAUAUAUAUAUGUACAUGUAUGUACAUACAUACAUACAUACAUACAUACAUACACACACACACAUACAUGCAUACAUACAUAUAUGGUUUGUAUUCCUCUUUGAAUAAGUUAAGUUCUAAAGAGAAAAUUACUUAUUUCUUAAAUAUGAAUUAUCUUCAAUAAGAAAACUGAAAAGUGUAGAAAAUUCCUAAUUUAGGACUUAAAAAUCUUCUUUGAAGAAAGAGACAUCUCCCAAUAUCCUCAAAUCCUCUUUACAAUGCCACCAAUCUCUUUUGUGACUAGCCCAGUUGAAACUUUUAAUUGAUGGGCUGUAAUUGCCAAUAUCCAAAAUAUCCAAAUAAAACAAAUUUCCAUAGGUAUAUUGGUAGAUUGAAUGACAACUAACAAACACGUGAUUUGAUUAACUUAUUUCCAAAAAAAAAGAAAAAAAAAAGAUACAAUGGAUGAACAUAAGACUCUUUCAACUCAUGGAAUUCAUCAAUACGGCCUUGGCUGAUCCACCUCAUGACUAGUAGAGUUCAAACCCCCGCUAAAUAGUAAAAAAAAAUAUUUGGAUUAUUAAUUACUCUUUCUUAAGUCUAUUUAAACUUAACUUUGAGAAUUAUGAACGUCUACACUUUAAUUAAAACAAUACAAGCCCACCCGUUUGUAUUUAAAAUUUUGUUUGAAUUUAUUCACGAGCAACAAGAAUAGUAUAAAUGGAAAAAAAAAACCAUCAAAUAAUAUCCCAUGACUCUGUUUCUUCAAUUUCAGGAGCAAUGGUGGAAUCAUAUUUUCCGAUUGAAAAACUUUUGGAAAAAUUAGUGAGCUCUACUUGUGAAGAACUUUUAUUGUUCUACGGUGUCAAAAAUGACUUACAAAAAUUAAAGGAGACGUUAACCACUGUCAAAAGUGUGGUUUUGGAUGCUGAGGAAAAGCAAAUCCAUAAUCGCCGGUUAAACGAUUGGCUGGGAAAGCUUAAGGAUGCUUGUUAUGAUGCAGAAGAUGUGUUGGAUGAAUUUGAGGUGGAAAAUCUACGAGGAAAGUCAUGAAGCAAAGAAGCAUCGGAAGAAAGUUUCGUAACUUUUUUGGAAGCUCAAAUCCGAUAGCUUUUCGUUUUAGAAUGGGUCAUCAAAUCAAGAAAAUUCGAGAGAGGUUUGAUGAGAUUGCAAAAUUGAGGGGUGAGUUUAAUCUCAUUGAACGACUUGACGAUCAUCGGCUAGUUGGGCACAAAGAAAGGGAACCCACUCACUCGUUUGUGCUUUCAUCAGAUAUUAUUGGAAGAGAUAAAGAUAGAGAAAAGAUUAUUGAACUAUUGAUGCAAACAAGUGACGGCGAAAGUGAAACUGUGUCUGUGGUUCCUAUUGUGGGACUUGGAGGUUUGGGCAAGACUGCACUUGCAAAAUUGGUGUACAAUGAUCAAAGGGUAGAAGAGCAUUUUGAGUUGAAAAUCUGGAUAUGUGUUUCUGAGGAUUUUGAUGAGAGACAAAUUAUGACAAAGAUUAUCAAGUCGAUAACUGGUCAAAACCAAGGUGACUUGGAUACAGACCAAUUG
rnacentral:lncRNA from 1 species